AUGUUAACCAUGGCACUCAGAGAAACAAUGAGUCUUGUGGUGCAGUGGUUAAAGCUCAAGUUUAACACCUUGGGGAUGCAAGUUCGAGCCCUGCUGGGUGAAUUUUCUUGAUACAGUGCUUUAUCACGCGGACAUCCUUUUGUAGCAAACUUAUUGUUAAAAAAAUUGUGAAAAAGAAGAAUAGAACCCUAGAUCUCUUCUAUCUAAAACCUUGACUAAACUAACUAUACAAGUCUAAAUCUGGUGUAGAAGUUCGCUAAUAAAUAUUAUGGAGCUUCCAAAUCCUGGAUCCACCUCAAAAUAUAGUGUCACCUAUGACAGGCGAAGUGCACAACCUGGCUUUGACUGGGCUUUAGAACUUAAACGCACCUCAAACAAGCCUUACAGAGGAGUCUAAAGUUAUGAUAUAUCAGUAUCCCUCAAACAUUGUUGAGAAACAGACUAGCAUAAAUGAACACAGAUAACAGAGGGAAAACUUCAACUUCUUUGUAGCAAAUAAGAGAUUAGUCCUUGGCUUUCGGGUAAAAAAAUAAUCUCUUAUUUUUUUUAUUUUUAUUCUCAAAAAAAAAUAAGAGAUUAUUUUUUACCCGAAAGCCAAGGACUAACAACCUACCUCAAAUUAUUAAAUCAAUGGUCAUGUGUUAGUAAAAUCUCUAGGAACCCAUGUAGGUUAGCUAAGAGAACAAAAUAGAAGUUAAUGAUCUGCUUAGAGUUGGUAAUACAUAAUGUAGGCAUAAGUGUGGAUGUGUAUAAAGUUGAAGUGGUAUAGAUAAAGGAUUCAUACAGGUGAAUCUAUUGGAUUUGCUAUUGGAGCUUCCCUGAUUGAUUGGUUGAUACUUAUUAUCUAUGAUGAUUUUGAUAAAUAUCUGAGCACUUUGUCUACACUAGUGCACUGGACUACUAAAAACUGUUAGUAAUUCUAAGAGAUCCAUUAAUGUUUUACCCUUCUGUUUGAAUUGUACUACAUCCCUUUAGCUUUGGCACAACACAGGAUGAAGCAAUGUCUAGUAAAUAUGUAAACAGAACACAUUCUGCAGUAGGAUUGUAUUUGUAAAAUGUAAUCUCGGCAUCUUCUUUAUGACUUUUAAUGACAUUUCACCUGAUAAAAAUAGGAUUAUGUUUUGUAAAACCUUCUGAACCUCAAGUACUAAAUAUUAUAAUCUGUUACAUGAUAGAUGAUACUAAGAACCUAAAGGAUGUGAGUUACCAUUAUAUAAAAAAAAGGAACCUAAAUGAUGUGAGACUUUUCAUGCUGCCAAAGACAAUGGAAAAUGAAUAAUUCCUUAAAAGAUAGGAAAAAUGAUAGAGAAAGGUAAAGGGAGUUAUUGAUUUGUGGCCUCAUCUAUUAGGAGGCAUACGUGGCAUCAAUGGAUGUAUUCAAAUACCAAGGACAUCACCCUUAAUAGGAGGGUGUGGUGGUCAAGGAUUCGGGUAGAAGGAAAAUAGUAUUUAGUUUUGCGUCUUGUCUCUUCGGCUAUUAAUAUUAUUUUUGGUAUUUUUAUUAGUUCACUACUGUAUUUCUCACUCUUAGUUUUCUAUUACUUCUUUUUGUCUGGUACUCCUUUAUUUUCUUACUAUUCUGCUAUUGUUACUGUUUAAGUCUUCAUAAAUGUUGUGUUUUUGCUUUCUUUUAUCCGCGGGUUUAUCGGAAACAACCUCUCUACCGACCAAGGGAGGGGUAAGGUCGUACACUCUAUACUCCCAGACCCCACUUGUGGGACUACACUACGUAUGUUGUCACUUUGAAUAUAUUUUUUUGAGGUCAUGUAGUCAGCUGACAGACAAAUACUAGUAAUUUCUCUAUCCACUGAGGAUUGCUAUUAGCAUCAAUUUCUGACAUCUCUAUUUUAUAUGCCACAGUUGAUGAGGAUGCUCUUUUAACUCUUGCUCAUCAGAACUACAAAGCUGGGAACUAUAAACAGGCACUAGAGCACAGCAAGGCCGUUUAUGAGAGAAAUCCAGGGCGCACUGAUAAUCUUCUUCUUUUUGGGGCUAUAUAUUAUCAGGUGGGCUUUCCUUGCACUAAUGCUUACAUAUUCUGUGAUUUCUCUAUCUUGCAUUCUUUUAUGAGUUUUUUUGUUGUUUAUUUUCUAUGUGAUUUGUGGAUCUGAAGUAAAGCAUGUUACCAUUUCUUUGUUUUAGUUGCAUGAUUUUGAUAUGUGUAUCGCAAAAAAUGAAGAAGCCCUAAGUAUCGAGCCACAUUUUGCUGAGUGCUAUGGAAAUAUGGCGAAUGCUUGGAAGGUAUGGUUGUACUAACUCAGUAACUAAUCUAGAAGCUGCUUCUUCUGGUUUUGGAAUUGGGCACUGAUGAAGUUCUACUGGUGCAGGAAAAAGGCAAUAUUGAUGUUGCAAUACGCUAUUAUUUAAUUGCAAUUGAGGUUUGUAAACUUCUUCUGCCUUACAUGACUGUAGCAAGAACUUUUAUUUCUUCCUUUAUACUUUAAAGAAAGGUCAAUUAUUGCUUACAAUCUGAGUUAUCCACCAGUUGGGAGGGGAUCUAGAAGUUAGUUGUAUUCAUUCUUUUCUGUUCUUGAUGAUUACGGUUUUAUUGGGAUACCAUUGUUACUCAGCCUCAUGCUUUCAGAAUGAGUCACCUGGAAAGAACUUUUGAGGACUUCUGGAAUUUCGGAAGCUUGCUUAAUUAUCUGUCUGGCUGUUCAAUUAAAGUUGUGCCAUGCUGCGGUUAUUUGAAUAAUAUUUUAAUUAUUAACCAUAUAUAUGGGUUGCUGAAGACUUCAAAUUGGAGUAAUAUCACAGAGAAUAGAUGAGAAUAGUUCAGAUCCAAGGUAUUUUUCCAGUUCAGAUCUGAAUUAUCAAAGCGAAUAUUGAAACUGUUGGUUACAUUAUAGGUUCUAAAGAGAAAGUAGAUAGGUUGCUCUGAGGUUUGGGUUUCAUGAUUGUAUUUCAUGUUUUCUUAUUGUAUUUGGUUGUCUUUUUAUAACAAUCUUUUUUUUAUCACAGACAAUAAAAUUUGCUUAACACAAGAUAGCUUAUAAUGAAUCUAAUAAAAAGAGUGCUAUCUCGGUUAUCAAAAAAAAAAAAAGAAAAAGAAGUGCUAUCUCUUACCACUGGAAAAUGGCUACUCACAUGAUUUGGUAGAGUAACCAACAUAUUCCACAUCAGAAUAAAAAAGCUCCAUCUAUAACUUCCCAUUAAGAUGUGAAUUUAAACACUUUUUUUUCUUUUGGUAGUGUGUGUUUAAACUCAUUUGCAUGACACAUCUAUUAUUGAUAUAGUAAAGAAAUUAUUCUGUUGCUACAAGCAGAUGGUUAUUUGUGAUAUUGAAUUGAGUUGUAAACAAUUCAUGUAUAAUUUAAAUGGAACCAUCUAAUAAAUUUUACUUAUUAGAUGAAUAUUUAGUCAGUUGCGUGAAAUGAUGCAAAAGAAUGCAGGUUGAAAUUCUGAAAAAUUGUGACUACAUAACUUUGUUCAAAGAAGGUGCAUCCAGAGUUUCGACAGUUAUCCUUGCCUUUGGGUACUGAAAACAUUUUUUCUUUUUUUGGUUGAGGGAGGUGGGGUAGGUUUUGGAGUUAGAAUUUGCACUCAGGUUUAUCACAAAACCUUGGAGCUUACUGCUUUUUCUUAAUGUCCUUUUGGUAUGCUGUAUCUGUAUGUUCAUUAUCUAUAAUUAACUAAAACCUUUUUGAAGACAUUUAUAGUUUACCAGGUGUAUGCUAGGUAAUAUGACCUUAAAUUAUCUGGUUGCAGCUCCGUCCCAAUUUUGCGGAUGCAUGGUCAAAUUUAGCCAGUGCAUACAUGAGGAAAGGAAGGCUGAAUGAGGCAGCCCAAUGUUGCCGUCAGGCUCUAGCAUUAAAUCCGCGUUUGGUAUUAAAAAGUUAUCCUUUUAAAAAUUUAGCAAUCUGCUUCUUUCAAUUGUACUUUCUUUACUGACAUUUAUUCUUUUAUUUUAGGUGGAUGCUCACAGCAAUCUCGGCAAUCUGAUGAAAGCACAAGGUUUAGUCCAAGAGGUAAAGGAGAGAGGACUCAGAUCCACUUUGUGGUCUGAUAUAUUGGUGACUUGAGAUUGGCUAUUCAUGUUCACGUCUGCCUUUAGGAUGGUUAGGGGGUGGGGGACAGUUCUUCAACACGCACAUAGUGUGCCCAUAGUACCUGUGUUUGUGCAUCGUAUGUGGGCCAACAUUGUUCUUUUAUUCCAGACAUCCACUCACUUUGUGCAGCUUGAAAAUUCUCUGUGAUUAUUUGUUGACUAUUGAUGUAUCUAUGUUGAUUCUCCCACAUCGGUUGUGGAGGGUUGUUUGGUGUCCUUACUGGUCUUGGGAAAUCCUCCCCCCAUGAGCUAGUUUUUGGGGUUGAGUUAGGCUCAAGAUCCAUUUCUUAUCAUGGUAUUAGAGUCAUACCCAUUCCAAUUCAUUGUUUACUGUAUGUUGGGCUCUAUCUUGUAUUGUCCAUGCUCCAGAUUUCUAGACUCUUCACUCUUGGGCAUGCUGGGGGUGUUGAUUCUCCCACAUCAGUUGUGGAUGGGUGUUUGGUCUCCUUAUAUAGUCUUGGGCAAUCCUCCCCUCGUGAGCUAGCAUUUGGGGCUGAGUUAGACCCAAGAUCCAUUUAAUAACAGUUGUUGUGCUUUUGAGUUUCUUUUUCCACUUUUCUCUUCAUAGAUAUAUGCCAUUACUUUUCACCUUUGAGUAUUUCUUUUUUCCUUUUGGUAGGCAUACAAUUGUUAUGUUGAAGCACUGCGUAUAAAGCCUGCAUUUGCCAUAGCAUGGUCCAAUCUUGCUGGCCUUUUCAUGGAGGCGGGCGAUCUUAACAAGGCUUUGCAGUACUACAAGGUAUGAGUAAGGUGUAAUUGGAAUUCACUGAUCAAGUGUUGGAUGUGUUUUUCAGCUUAAUGCUAUCAUGUUUGAUGCCCUCUUGUGGUUUAAUCCCCUCCAGGAAGCGAUCAAGCUGAAACCGAACUUCUCAGAUGCAUAUCUGAACCUAGGAAAUGUAUACAAGGUAAGCUGUCAUGCAUUGUGCUAAUUGCGUCUGGUGGCUCCAAGUGCCUAGACGAGGAUAUGGAGAAAUACAAGCAUCUUCUUUGCAUUUUCCAGGCUUUGGGAAUGCCCCAGGAGGCCAUAGUGUGUUAUCAGCGUGCGCUCCAAGUACGACCAGACUAUGCCAUGGCUUUUGGUGAGCGACCGUUUUCAGUCAUGCCUUUAAUUCAGUGCAUGACGCAAUAAGUCUCUGGGAGAGUGUUUAAUAUCAUUUCUAUACUUCAAGGUGUUUGUGUAUGGGAUUUAUUACAAUACGAAGACACGGGUCUUCAUCUUCUGUGUGACUAGGCCACCCUAAUAACGCAUUCACACCUGAAUCUCCUUUCUGCAGGCAACUUAGCUAGUGUGUACUAUGAACAAGGAAAUAUGGAAAUGGCAAUAUUUAACUACAGGAGAGCUAUUACAUGUGAUACUGAAUUCUUGGAGGCAUAUAACAAUCUGGUAUGUACUUUCUUUCAUUUUUGUUUAUAAAAUUCCCAUCUUAAAUUUACUAUUUGUUUCUAUAGUAAUACUAAAUUUUCUCCAAAUUUUUUUAUAGGGUAAUGCUCUGAAAGAUGCUGGUAGAGUGGAGGAAGCAAUUCAUUGCUAUCGUGUAAGCUGAGUUCCCUUGUUUGUUUGACGGUUCCUUUGUUUGAUGUUGCUUUUGUGCUGUUUUCUUAACUUUUCUGACGAUGCAUGCAGCAAUGCCUCUCUCUUCAGCCUAACCAUCCGCAAGCGCCUACUAAUUUGGGGAACAUUUAUAUGGAGUGGUAAAGUUUACUUAGUCGCAAAGAUUCUCUUCUUAACACUUUCAAUCAAGUAAUUUUCAAGAGUUGCUUUUCUGUUCUCUAGGAACAUGAUGAGUGCGGCUGCACAAUGUUAUAAAGCGACUUUAGCUGUGACUACAGGGCUCUCAGCUCCUUUUAACAAUCUAGCAAUAAUAUACAAGCAACAGGUAAUAAUUUAAACUAUACUUCUGAAGAAUUCUUAAUUUUUGAGUCAGUAGAGAGUUUUGUGGAGGUUUAUAUACCAUAUUUAAGAGAGCCACGAGGGAUUAUUUUAUUUACAAUUAUCUUACUGUUUCUCUGUCAGGGUUUUAACUAACAUGAAUGUUCUCUUCUUAUGUGAUGUAACUUCAGGGUAAUUAUGCAGAAGCCAUAUCUUGCUAUAAUGAGGUACUACGUAUUGACCCCAUGGCAGCAGAUGGGCUGGUCAAUAGGGGUAACACAUACAAAGAGAUUGGUAGGGUUAAUGAAGCUGUACAAGAUUACAUGCGAGCUAUUACUGUUAGACCUACCAUGGCAGAGGCUCAUGCAAAUUUGGCUUCAGCUUACAAGGACAGGUAUGUUGUUAGGUUUAUAAGCUUCAAAAGGAUGAAGGUCCCAUUUGCUUGUGCUCCUACAUGUCCACUCUGCUUGUUGGUGAUGUUUUGGUCAAUUGUGUAGUGGCAAUGUUGAAGCAGCCAUAAAAAGCUAUAGACAAGCUUUGAUGCAACGUCCUGACUUCCCCGAAGCAACUUGUAAUCUUCUCCACACGUUACAGGUACGUUCACCCUGUUAAUUUCCACUGUUUUCUUUUGUCUCGGGUUUAUCAGAGCUCAUGCACUGUCUUAACUACUGAGAAUUUGAUGAACUUGUUUAUGUACUGUCUUGAAGCAUGAGGUAAUAUAACCUGCCUAAUGAACUAUACUUCUACAGUUCAUUAGUAUUUGUCUACUUUGUAAGCGUAGGCACAGAAUUCAUGUCAUGCUCAGUUUGCUUAAUUUUAAACUUAAGCUUCUUAUCGGUACUACUGUAUUUGCCUUGAGUUAUUAUUACUGUUGCCAAUCACCGUUUUUGCAAAGAAAUUUUAGAAUUUGUUGAGCAAUUAAUCAAGCAAGCAACUCUGUAAAAAAUCAUGUGCAUCACCUAGAACAUAUAAUUGGUUUCAUCAAAUAAUAUGUGCUUUCUAGAUUGUGACCAGGUCUUUUAGUCUUAAUUUAUAGCUUCACAAUUGAUGACUGUGAUUGGGUUCCAUCUCUUGCAUACUUAAUUUUCUCUUUAAAUUUAUUGCUGCAGUGUGUGUGUGAUUGGGAUAACCGGGAGAAGAUGUUUAUUGAAGUUGAGGGGAUACUUAGAAGACAAAUUAAGGUAUCACAGCUACUCGCCGUAUUGUUACAUGUUUACUUUGUUGGAUAUUUUUUCAUCCUGAAAUACUGAUUCUGUUUUCCUUGAUGUUGUGUCGUCUCAUAUUUGUCCUUAAGAUGUCCGUUAUCCCAAGCGUUCAGCCUUUCCACGCAAUUGCUUACCCUCUUGAUCCAAUGCUUGCUCUAGAUAUCAGGUGGGGAAUUUUCUUUUGGAUUAAUCACAAAAAUGAUGUGAGGUUGAAGCUGACUGUUUCUUUGCUUGUACAGUCGCAAGUAUGCCCAGCACUGCUCUGUGGUAGCAACUCGCUACUCACUUCCUCCUUUCACCCAUCCACCACCGCUGCCAAUUAAAGGAGGUGGCAGGAUCGACAGGCUGAGGGUUGGGUAAGUUCCAUAAGCUGAUAAAUACUUGCUUGCUUUUCCUCUGAGGUUCAAAUCUGCUGUAAGCUUUUCAUAAAUAUUGCUACAUGCUACUUACUAAUAAGUUUCUUAAAUGUGUCUAGAUAUGUGAGCAGUGAUUUCGGCAACCACCCACUAUCACAUCUAAUGGGUUCCGUUUUUGGGAUGCAUGACAAAGAGAAUGUUGAGGUUAAGUUAAUUUGUUACUUUUCCUUAUCCUUUGCACCAUUCACGACUUCGCCACUUGUUCAUGCUAAAUCUCCAAGUACUUCUUUUCCUAGGUGUUCUGCUAUGCCUUAAGUCCAAAUGAUGGUACAGAGUGGAGGAUUCGCACUCAGACAGAAGCUGAGCAUUUUAUUGAUGUAUCAUCCUUGACAUCUGAUGUGAUUGCAAGGAUGAUUAAUGAGGAUCAAAUACAGAUACUUAUCAAUCUCAAUGGUUAUACCAAGGUACAGAUUGGACUCGAUCCAGAUCAAUCCUAAUUAGAUUUUAUAUUUGUUUGGCUAGUGUUGGUUGUGUGCGCCCAGUCCAUGCACGAGUUCCAUAUGCUAGACCCAUUAACAUAAUGAAAAGAAAUGGAAUGGAAAAAGUAGUUUCCUUUCUUGGAAAUAGUCCACAAUAAACAAAUAAAUCAAUGAUUUCUGUUCCAUCUUAGUUAGCUUAGUUGUGGACAUGAAUGCAAACUCGAAUACUUACCAAUAAGAAUUUGAUCAGCCACGGCCUUCCAUUUGCUGGUUUGGCAAAUGAGUAUAAUAAUGAUAUUGCCGAACUAAAGUGCAAACCUGUGAAACAGGUCUCACCGUCUCAUGAGGUGCACAUUUUGUUGGUGUAUGUCUUAUAUUUGUUGUUUUAAGCAAAAAAUACGUGUGUUACAUCUUUUACCUUUUCGAAGAUGCUGAUUAAUGUGCCCAUAUUUUGCUUUGCCUUCUAUCCUGAGAGGUAUUUUUUGAACGACUUCGUUUAUCUAAUGUUGUCAUCUUUGACUUCGGACUUAUGUAUUGCAGGGGGCAAGAAACGAGAUAUUUGCCAUGCAGCCAGCUCCAAUCCAGGUUUCAUACAUGGGGUUCCCUGGAACCACAGGGGCAACAUACAUAGAUUAUUUGGUUACAGAUGAGGUAAUUUGCUAAUGACACCCUUGAUAUUACAUAUUUGCUGUUAACCUUUGCUCUCUAUGGGUCCCUGAUGUAAUAUCCUUGUAUGCAGUUCGUUUCACCUAUGAAGUACGCACAUAUUUACUCAGAGAAGCUUGUACAUCUCCCUCAUUGCUAUUUUGUCAACGAUUAUAAGCAAGUAAGUUUCCCGUGAUCUUUCUGAGCUUUAUAUGAAUCUUAUUUCAAAAUGAAUCAAUUAUGCCUCAAUCCUAAAUUCAUAGUUGGAGUAGGCUAUAUGUAUUUUUUCAUCUCUUCUAGCAGUAGGUCAUUUGUAUCCAAUAUUAGAUAAUAUUUAGUUAUUAAUGUAUUUGAUCAUGAAUAAAAAUCUUAUUGAUUUCUUAAAAAAAGAUCUGAGCUUGUAUAUAUGUUGAACUCUUCUGGAUUUGUUAUAUUUUUCACUGCUGAUGGGUGUCUUGCUGCUGUUUUUUGUAGAAAAACUGUGAUGUGCUAGAUCCAAACAGCCAACUGAAGCGCUCAGAUUAUGGGCUGCCAGAGGAUAAAUUCAUAUUUGCAUGUUUUAAUCAGCUUUACAAGAUGGAUCCUGAGAUUUUUAUUACAUGGUAGUUACUUGGAAUGAUUUAAAUUGGUCUACUUUUACCCUCACAAGCACUUACUAAAAAACUUGCUGAAUUGGUAUGUGCAGGUGCAAUAUCCUUAAGCGUGUACCGAACAGUGCUCUUUGGCUUCUCAGAUUUCCAGCUGCAGGGGAGAUGAGGCUCCGUGCACGUAAGUAUUUUCUUCCACACCAUGCAUUUCUCUUGUGAGACUUGUUGGUCUAUGAAAAGUCUCCUAAUUCAGCUCACUUUUAUUACAGAUGCUGCUGCCCAAGGCCUGCAACCAGACCAAAUUAUUUUCACAGAUGUUGCAAUGAAACAAGAGCACAUCAAGCGCAGCUCCUUGGCUGAUCUUUUCUUGGACACGUAAGAAGAUUAAGAACAUUCAGCGCCUUGUCUUUCAAGAAUCUUGUUCCACUCAUCUCAUUUACUUGAACUUCGGUGUGUUUUUUUUCCACUUGUAGGCCACUGUGCAAUGCACAUACCACAGGAACAGAUGUUCUUUGGGCUGGUCUACCAAUGAUAACCCUUCCCCUUGAGAAGAUGGCUACUAGAGUUGCUGGUUCUCUGUGUUUGGCGACAGGACUUGGUGAUGAGAUGAUUGUCAGCAGGUAAGUGUUGUAUACUUGCUGUAAUUGCUGGGUAGGGUACAGUGUAUGACCGAUAGAACCUUGGCUCAAGGACAAGUACUUUAUGACUGAUAUCAUUAUAUUGACUUUGAUGUUGCAACAUAAAUGAGAGUUGUCCUUUUCUUUCCUUUUUGGUUUACUUUGCAUUUUGCAGUAUGAAGGAAUAUGAGGAGAAGGCGGUGUCACUGGCACUAAAUCGUCCAAAGCUCCAAGAUCUCACCAAUAGACUCAAGGCUGUACGAAUGAGUUGCCCUUUAUUUGAUACAACACGUUGGGUGAGUAAUUAAACACAUCAGAUUUACUUUACUGAACGGCCUUGUUGAUUCUAGUGCUUUGAGUGGACAUGGUAAACUCAUUCUUUCUCCUUUGCAUUUUCAGGUGAGGAAUCUGGAACGUUCUUACUUUAAGAUGUGGAAUCUCUAUUGCUCCGGCCAGCAUCCUCAGCCCUUCAAAGUGACGGAGAAUGACUCAGAAUUUCCUUUUGACCGCUAGAUGUAGUAGGGAAGGAAGAGAACAUGAUUGUACAUAAAACAAGAGAACAUAAAAAUUCCUAUUUAUAUAGAAGUAUAUAAAUUACUGCAUUUAGGUGUUUGUUGAAAUGUGAUUCUGGAAACUCUCGAUGAAAGUUCAUUAGUUGCUCAAGUGCAAGCAGAUGUCAAGACUCGAGACGAGACUCACCCAGUGUCUUGUUUGGCUUGAAUGUGAAAAUGCGUAAGAGUGAGAGAGAGAGACUGGAGGGAGAAGGGUGCUGGAUAGCUGUAGAGUUCAAAAAUUGGGUGGUUAAUGAAAUGUAAGGAGUCAUUGUUGUGCAUCUUUGUUCAUCAACUUGUCUUUGACAUUUUCAGUUGAGUUUGUGCAAGCAUCCAAUGCCCCCAGUAAAUUAACACAUUGUGUUUGUUUCAAAUGUUAUAUUAGUUAGUCAUCCUCCUUUAAAAUUUUCAAAUGUUCCUUUAUAAAAUAAAUUAGCAAAUUCAAAUAAAGUAUAUCAGGAUGUUUGAGGUUGUAUAACACACUCAGAAUAAAAGGGUAGAAUCCCCCCCCUAAAUUGUACAUAAAAAGAGGUUUCAACAAAGAGUUGUAACAAAUGAAUGUACUCGAAAUUUUGCAAGUUGCAAUGAAUUAAACUUUGGCUAAAAACUUACUAUAUUACUCCCUCCGUUCUUAUUUACUGGUUAAAUAUUUUCUAGUUUAAUUUCCCUAUUACUUGUUAUUUUUGACAAAUUAAGGAAGGAUAAUCCCCCCUCCCCCACCCAUCCAUUAUCCUCAAUUAAUAUUAAGAAAUAUAGUGAGUAAAUAUGUUGGACACCUUAUCAAUUAACAAGGAUAAAAUGAUAAGCUUACUAUAUUAAUCAUUAUUUUUUAAUAGAUAUGUUACGUUAAAAAUUGGCAAAUAAAAAGGGAUGAAAGGAGUAUUUAUUUUUAUUAAUAAGCUCUUAGUCUAAUCACUUCCCCUCAUAUCCUUUUACUUAUUACUUCUUCUUUGAUUAUUAUAUUCAUUUAUAAACCAGCAUAUGAUUAUCAAUCAUAUCAUCAAGUCAUUUAUCCUAAUUAAAUUUUGAGGAUAAAUUUAAAUCCUGAAAUAAAAUAGAUAAAGAUAUUCAUUUAAAUCUUUUUUAUACAUCAUUUUCAAAUUCAUGUAUGUUUACAUUAUUUUUAAUAUUAUGUACAAUAACAUUCACAAUAUUCACUAUUUCUUAUUCUUAUGAUCAUUCUUCAUAUUUUUCUACUAAAAAAUUACACUAUAUAAAUAUAAUUUUUAUUUAUGAAUUUAUUUGACUAAUGCUUAUGUUUAUUUAUAUUUUGAUUUCUCAUAAAUCCUCUUUUACUUUAACAAAUUUAAGUUGAAAAUUCUAUUUUUUAAGCUAAAUAAAAAAAUAUUUAACCUAAAUAAAAUAUUAUUUUUUUAUUACAAAUUGUGGGAUUUUACCGAAAGUUUUACUCCUAUAUGACGAAGAAAGGUAUUAUGGCGUCCAUUGUAUCAGUUAGUUUUCAAGUUCCAGACUUCCAAACGGCGUCGUUUCUUUGUUGGUGUAGGAUUGAUUUCGAAAAUUAGGUUUUGAGUUCAGAAAUUUGGUAGUUAAUUGCAAUGGUGCUGAGUUAAUCAAUGGCGGCUAAAGGGAGGUAGCGUCUCUACACACUCACUCUUUAUUUCCUCUGUUAAUUUGAGCUCAAUAGAGCUGUCUUGUUAUUGGUGGUUAGUACGAAGUUUAUCUGAAAUGGUUGUAUGAAUAAAAAAUGCAACUUUAUUUGUUUUUUGUGAUUUCAUGGAAUUUUGUGGUAAAUACUAUUGUUUACACAAAACCAACUCAACAAUUGCUGUGGUUAAGUGAUUCUGUAAAGUGAAAAUAUGAGUUAAUAAACCAUUGAUAUGUGUUUUGGAAGUUUAUAUGCAGUGACAUUCAUCUAAUUGGUUUGGUAUAAACACUCGUGCGAGUAAGUUUUUAUGUAUUUUUUCCAUUUUUGUUUGAAGGAUUUUGCUGAAUUUUCCAUGUAAUUUGUAGGACUCGAGCGUUGAUAUAGUUGCAUUCUAUGCUCUUUAGCGUAGUUAAUUCAGCUGGAAAUUGAGUUAGUUUACCUCAAUUGGAUUUGAACCGAUUUGCUAUUCAGGAAUGUUUUCAAUGUUCGCCAGAAUCUUUUUUCAAAGGACUUUGUAUUCGGCUACAUUCACCAACAACACCAGCAUUUUUAGGUGUCUUAAAACUAUAGCACCUUCCAUUGACCAGUGUAGCAAUCCUUUCAGCGGUAAAGGUAGUUGUGGCAGAAGUGUGCCUAAUGAUGAUUACUUUGCAACAAUUCAUCAUGUAUCUAACAUUGUACGGCGGGAUAUUUAUCUGGAGCGGACCCUUAACAAGAUGCAUAUUUCAAGUAUUGUCAACUCUGAACUGGUGUACCGCGUCCUUAGAAGUUGUUGCCAACAUGGUAUUGAAUCUUUUCGUUUCUUUAACUGGGCUCGGACUCAACACCCUCAGUAUGACCCAACUACUGUUGAGUUUGAAGAACUUCUUAAGACCCUUGCCCGGACUGCCCACUGGGAGACAAUGUGGAAAGUAGUCCAGCAGAUGAAAGCUCAAAAUAUUCCUAUCUCACCGUCCAUUGUUUCAUUCAUUAUUGAACACUAUGGUAAGCGUGGUCUCAUUGAUCAGGCUGUCGAGCUUUUCAAUCGGCUCAAGAACUUCGACUGUCCUCAAACUACUGAAGUAUACAAUGCUAUGCUUUUCGCACUCUGUGAGGUCAAGAAUUUCCAAGGGGCCUAUGCAUUGAUUCGGAGGAUGAUACGAAAAGGUACUGUUCCAGAUAAGCAGACAUAUUCUAUUCUUGUAAAUGGCUGGUGUUCUGCCGGGAAGAUGAGAGAGGCACAAGAGUUCUUGGAGGAAAUGAGUCGGAAGGGCUUCAAUCCUCCUGUACGUGGGAGGGACCUUCUAAUUGAUGGGUUGCUCAGUGCUGGAUAUCUAGAAUCAGCUAAAGGAUUGGUGAGAAAAAUGACAAAAGAGGGGUUUGUGCCAGAUGUUGGAACAUUCAAUUCUUUGGCAGAGGCUAUAUGUAAAACUGGGGAAAUCGACUUUUGCAUUGACCUCUUCAAUGAUGUUUGUAGAUCAGGGCUUUUUCCUGAUAUUGAGACUUAUAAGAUUGUCAUAACUGCUGCAUCAAAGGUAGGUAGGAUUGAUGAGGCAUUUCAGAUUCUUCAUAGGUCAAUUGAAGCUGGACACCGGCCAUUUCCCAGUUUAUAUGCUCCAAUACUAAAAGCUUUCUUCCGGAGAGGACAGUUUGAUGAUGCAUUUAGCUUUUUCAGUGAAAUGAAGCUGAAAGGGCAUCCACCAAAUCGACCUCUUUAUACCAUGUUGAUAAAGAUGUGCUCUCGUGGAGGUAGAUUUGUAGAGGCGUCUAAUUAUUUAGUAGAAAUGACCGAGUUAAAUUUGUUGCCUAUGUCACGAAGCUUUGACAUGGUGACAGAUGGAUUGAAGAAUUGUGGAAAACAUGAUCUAGCCAAAAGGAUCGAGCAGUUGGAGAUAUCUGUCAAGGGCAUCUGAAUUAUUGUUGUGAAUCGAGCAGUUGGAGAUAUCUGUCCAAUAGACUCAAGGCUGUGCGAAUGAUCUGCCCUUUAUUUGAUACAACACGUUGGGUGAGUAAUUAAACACAUCAGGUUUACUUUACUGAACGACCUUGUUGAUUCUAGUGCUUUGAGUGGCCAUGGUAAACUCAUUCUUUCUCCCUUUGCAUUUUCAGGUGAGGAAUCUGGAACGUUCUUACUUUAAGAUGUGGAAUCUCUAUUGCUCCGGCCAGCAUCCUCAGCCCUUCAAAGUGACCAAGAAUGACUCAGGAUUUCCUUUUGACCACUAGAUGUAGUAGGGAAGGAAGAGAACAUGAUUGUAGAUAAAACAAGAGAACAUAAAUUCCUAUUUAUAUAGAAGUAUAUAAAUUACUGCAUUUAGGUGUUUGUUGAAAUGUGAUUCAAGUCUCAAGUGUUGAUCAUAUUACCCAUUCGUGGUACUGGAAACUCUCGAUGAAAGUUCAUUAGUUGUUCAAGUGCAAGCAAAUGUCAAGACUCGAGACGAGACUCACCCAAUGUCUUGUUUGGUUUGAAUGUGAAAACUCACAAGAGUGAGAGAGAGACUGGAGGGAGAGGGGUGAUGGAUAACUGUUAAGUUCAAAAAUUGGGUGGUGAAUGAAAUGUAAGGAGUCAUUGUUGUGCCUCUUUAUUCAUCAACUUGUAUUUGACAUUUUCAGUUGAGUUUAUGCAGGCAUCCAAUGCCCCUAGUAUAUCAACACAUUGUGUUUGUUUCCUUCAUUUUAUUGUCUAAAUAUUGCUCUAUUAUGUGGCAGUGGCCAUCAUCCAAUGUUGUCUAUUCCAAACCUAGGUUUGGCUAGCCAAGAUUGUCUAUCUUUUGCUUUUCCGGUAGCAAAUUUUAAGCUCAAAUCGACCACGGGAAACAUUCCUAUUGUUUUUAGCAGAUAUUGAUAGUAAUGAAGGUGUUUUUUCGGAAACAAUGCCUGGAGUUGUAAGAAGCUACAUGGUGAAACAAAUAUGUUGAAUUGCUCGAAGAUGAAAAAUGACAUGGGAUGGUUGUUCUUAUAUUGGCAAAAGUUUUUUUUUUCAAAAAAGUUCUUGUGAUACAAAUUAUUUUUCAAAACUUAUAAAAUAGUGUAUGACUCGAACACACACAUAAUCAAUAGGCAUAAUACAUAAAGAAGACCUUUAACUUGGCAUCAAUUCACAACUAUGACCUUAAACUUUGCUACUGCACAAGUAGGCACUUCAACUAUCCAAAAAUUUAACAAUUAAACACUCUAAUCAUACAUGGCAAAGUGCGUGAAACACACUUCAAUUAGGCGCGUCAGUGGUAAAAAUAAAGGUCCCCAACAGUAAAAAAAACGCUUAAAUGACACUUCUACCCUUAAUGAGUCUCUUUCAUAUAUAUAAAAUCUCACUUUACUCUCUUCUUUCUAAUUUCUUCAACACAUAUUCUUUAAAAUUUUCUAUCAUUUGUAAAAUUAUAAAAAUCUAUGCUCUCUUCUAUUCUUGGAUACAUCACUUUACACUAUGUAUCGGGACGUACGUGUAUCAAGAUAAUGAGUGAUAUAUUCAAAAUCGAGACACGAUGUAUCGAAAAGUUAAGAGAUGUAUUUGAAAUCAAAACUCGAUGUACAGAGACAUUUUGGGAUGUAUCCAGAUUCCAUCAAAUUUAAGAGAUUUUUAUAAUUUAAAAAAAAAUAGAAAUAAGAUGUAAUUAGCUAUUACCAUUGGGAUAGGAUUUGAUAUUUUACAUUGGGUAUGAACUCUGAUAUGUAAAAGAAUAGAUGAGUUUAUUUUUUAAGUUACAUGAUAUUUUUUAAAUUAAGAAAUGAAUUUAAGAAUUGAUUUUUUGAUUUAGUAAAUAUAUAUUUGUUAAUGAAAAGGAUAAAUAUCCCUUAUUUGUUAGAUUAUGGGUAUAUAUAUAUAUACCAUUAUUAUAUAAAAUUAUACAAUUAUUUAAACUUAUAAAUAUUGAAUUUUGUCUCACAUGGACUUCAAACCACUAAACUCCAUCCUAAUUGGGACACAUCACCAAAUAGUUUAUAUUUCCAUUAAAUAUCCUCAAAUUUUAACGGAGGAAAUGCAUUUCAAUAAGGCACCUUUCAAUAAUGUAGCAUACCAAUAAAUAUCGUAAAUAUAUCCAUCAAUCAUCAUCAAGCAAUGACAAGGGGCACAUGUUACUAUCGUAAUAGUUGACAAUUGACACUAACGGUGCAUAACAAGUAAACUUGGUACUAUAAUUGAGAUAUAUUUCUAUAACUUUUAAUAAACUAAAGGCAUAAUACAUAAAGAGGACCUUUAACUUGGCAUCAAUUCACAACUAUGACCUUAAACUUUGCUACUGCACAAGUAGGCACUUCAACUAUCCAAAAAUUUAACAAUUAAACACUCUAAUCCUACAUGGCAAAGUGCGUGAAACACACUUCAAUUAGGCGCGUCAGUGGUAAAAAUAAAGGUCCCCAACAGUAAAAAAAACGCUUAAAUGACACUUCUACCCUUAAUGAGUCUCUUUCAUAUAUAUAAAAUCUCACUUUACUCUCUUCUUUCUUAAUUUCUCCAACAACUUUUGCCAUCUUCCUCUCUUUCUUCACAAUUUCUUGAACAAUUUUACCUUUGAUUCGAAGGAUGAAAUGUAGGAACUUAGGGUUAGGAUUUUGUAGAGAAUAAAGAGGAAAACAUUGUUCUCUGUUCUAAGCAUAGGGUCAAAGUUGUUAAUUGAUAUUUAUUUUGUUUUUAUUUUCAGUUUUUUAAUUGAAAAAUCCACGUGUAUUUAUUUUAAUUAGUUGGCAGCCACGUAGAAGCAUUUGUAUAUCACGCACUUUACCUGGGAUAUACGAGUGUUUAAUUGUUUAAAUUUGUGAUAGUUAAAGUGCCUACUUGUGCACUGGCAAAGUUUAGGGUCAUAGUUGUGAAUUGAUGCCAAGUUAAAGGUCCUCUUUAUGUAUUAUGCCUAAUCAAUAAGACGCUUAACAUUUUUACUACUAUGUGGGCCAGCAUUGCACUUUUUUGUUAAGAAACUUUUCAGUUCUUAUUUGGUUGACUAUGGUCUUUCUGGCUUCUCUGUCGUUUGAGUUUCUUUUUGUAUUUUUGUCUUUUAAUAUCUAUAUACAGUACCAUUACACAUUGCAUUUGCAUGCAUAUCUAAUCUUGUUGUCCUUAUGGAGAGAACUGAUCUUAUCAAGGCCUUAAAGGGCUACAAGGUAUGAAUAAUUUAACUUUUACUAAUUAGUUGUGUAUAUAUUUUAGUUUACUGUGAUUAUGUUUUGCAUGUCUACUUUUGCAUUUACAUAUAUAAACACUUUAACUUGGCCUCAAAUGACAACUUUGAAAAUGCACAUUUACACAUUUUAACUUUGGUUUAAGCACACUUUCCCAGAUGUGCAUUCUCUAAGUUGUGGUGUUUAUGGGGCCAACUUAAACCAAGUUAAGUUGUCUAGAUGUACAUUUUCAAAGUUGUGGCGUUUAGUUGUCAGUUGAGGUUGUCUUUGUUAUUAGAGAAAUCAUGUAUAUUAUAAUGUCCUCUUUUUUAUGGUUCGAUCCUCUCCAGGAAGCAGUCAAAUUAAAACCAAACUCCUCUGAUGCUUAUCUGUGCAUGGGAAGUGUAUACAAGGUAAGUCCUCUUGUAUUGUGUCAAUAAGGUCCAAAGGCUAUAAGAAGUGACGAAGCCAAUAUUUUCAAUAACCAAACUCAAAAUAUAAAUAAGUAAAAAUCAAAAGUAAUUUUAACCUCGUAUAUAGUAUAGUGUAUACUAUAUAAGUGUAUUUUUUAGACAAAGGGAUGUGAAGAAAUACACGAUAAGCAUCUUCUUUGCAUUUUCCAGGAUUUGGGAAUGCCCCAGAAGGCUAUAGUGUGUUACCAGCGUGCACUGCAAGCGCGACGAGACUAUGCUAUGGCUUUUGGUGAGACUCCAUUUUCACUAUGUCGAGUCCCAUAUCCUCUGCGAGAAAGGAAAUUGGACUCUUUAUAUGGUCUAGAACAAUUCUCACCUCUUGAGUUGUCUCUGCAGUUCUCUUGGGUCUUGUAUACCAUGAACAAGGAAAUCUGGAAAUGGCAAUACGUAAUUACAGGAGAGCUAUUGCCCGUGAUGCUGAAUGCUUCGAGGCGUAUGGAAAUCUGGUACUUAGCUCAUAAAAGUUCAUAUCCUAUAUUAACAUUUUGUUUUUCGAUAUUAAUUCAAUAUGCCUUAGAUAAUCUUACUUAUAGGGUAAUGCUCUAAAAGAUGCUGAUAGAGUGCAGGAAGCAAUUGAUUGCUAUCAUGUAAGUUUGUGUUCACUAUUUGGCUCGUCAUAUGCUUUAAUUUCCUUUUUCUUAAUCCGUCUGUCCCAAUUUUUGGGACACUUUUCUUUUUCCGAGAGUCGGUUUGACUAAUCUUUGAAGCUAAAUUUUACAAGAUCAACUAUAUUUUAAAACUAAAAUUUAGAAAUUCAAACAUAAUAUUAUGCAUUUCUUCACAGUUCAAUCUUACGACAAGAUACAUCUUAAAAUGUCAGUCAAUGUUCACAUAGUUUGAGUUUUGAGAUGCGAAAAGUGUCAUAUAAAUUGAUACAAAGAAUAAUUAUGCCUUUCGGAUGAUUUCUCAACCUUUCUGAUGAAUGCAUGCAGCAAUGCAUCUCUCUUCAACCUAACCAUCUGCAAAUACUAUCCAUUCUGGGAAACACUUUUAUGGAGCGGUAAGAUUUUGCUUAAUCGUAAUGAUUCUCUUCUUAACUAGCAAUUUUCAAGAGUUACUAUUCCUAUUGUCUAGGAACAGGACGAGUGCCCUUGAGCAAUGUUAUAAAUCGAUUUUAGCUGUCACAAUCUCAGAUCCUUUUAUAAAUCUCGCCAUAAUAUACGUGCAACAGGUAAGUAUUUAGUUACUACUUCCCAAGAAUGCUUAAUUUGCAGAUCAGUAAAAAGCUUUCUUGUACAAUUUUUAAGAUAGCAAGGAGGGACUAUGUUAUUUACAAUCACUAGUGCCAUUUCUGUAUCUGGUUCUUCUUUUAUGAUGCAACUUUCAGGGAAAUUAUGGACUAGCCAUGUCAUGCUGUAAUGAGGUACUCAGAAUUAACCCCAUGGCAACUGAAGGACUGGUCAAUCGGGGUAAUAUAUACAUAGAGAUUGGUAAAGUUAACGAAGCUAUACAAGACUACACGCAAGCUAUUGCCAUUAGUCCAACCGUAGCAGACACUCAUGCAUUAUUAGCUUUAGCUUACAUGUUAAGGUAUUGUCGUUAAGGUUAACAAGCUUCGAAAGUUAAAGAUCCCUUUUAUACGUGUUCCUACCUGUUCAUUCUGCUUGUUCGUAAUGCUUUGAUUUUUCGUGUAGUCGCAACAUUGAAGCAACUAUAAAAAGUUAUAGACAAGCUUUGAUGCUACGUCCGAACUUCCCCAGAGCAACCUGCAAUCUUUUCCACUCGCUACAGGUCUGUUCACUCUGUUAUAGGUACUUCCGUAGUUCAUUUAGAAAUCAUGUCAUGCUCUGUUUGGUUAGGUUCUGAUCUUAAGCUUUAUUGUUAGUAUUUUCUUAUUUUCCAAGUGUUAUUUAUGUCUGUUGCCAAACUGUUAAGCAAUUAAUUAUGUAAGAAACUUCAUAAAUAAUUUGCAUCUUGUGCACGAGGACGCGUGAUUGGUUUCAUCUUGUGCAUAGUUUAUUUUUCCCUUCCAAUCUCAUGGUAUGCAGUGUGUCUGUGAUUGGGAUAAUCGAGAGGAGAUGUUUAUUGAAGUUGAAGGAAUACUGAGAAGACAGAUUGAGGUAUUACAACUACUUUCUGACCAGUACAAUUUACAUGAUUGCUUCGCUUUUCAUCACUAUAUUACUGGUUACUAUAUUUUCCUUUGAUGUUGUGCCUUGUCAUAUACGUCUUUAGAUGUCCAUUAUCCCGAGCAUUCUGCCUUUCCAGGUAAUUGAGUUCCCUCUUGAUCCAAUGCUUGCUCUAGAUAUCAGGUGAGGACAUCUCUAUUGGAUCGAUCACAAGGGUUGAACGAUGUGAGGUUGAUACUGACUGUUUCUUUUUGCUUGUACAGUCACAAGUUUGCCCAAUACUGCUCUUUGAUAGCGGCUCGCUAUGUACUUUAUCCUUUCAUGCAUCCACCACCUCUGUCAAUAAAGGGAUGUGGCAGGAACGGUAGACUGAGGGUUGGGUGAGUUUCUCUAUACUUUUCUGAUGCAAUGCGGAAAUGACAAUAAUGGAUAGAUAGAUAGACACAAAAUGGAAUUUAUUGUGAACUAAGGCUCUUGAUUAGCCAUAAUCCACAAUUAAGGAAUCCAAUAAGCACCUAAUCUCUUAGAUGAAUCUCAAGAGGAUGAAAUCCUCAAGCAAGAAAUCUCUCUAGGAAACCCUCAAGAAGAAUGAUUCCUCAAGCAAGCAAUUCCUUCAACACUGUUUAGCAACAAAUGCCAGCCCCAACUCUCAAAAGAGUAAACUCAAAUACUCAAUUCAUCAUUCAUCCAAAAACUAACUCCAUCUAAAUGAGCUAUUCUCACUUAAUUAUAGUCUAGGCUAGCUAUUACAUAGAUGACAGAAAGUAACAUAUCAGAAAUUGCAAAUAUAGCCAAAUGUACGCUUCCAGGCCUGACAUGCGGUCCAUAGAUGCAAUCUAUGGUCCACGCUCCCUCUUCUGGUUGGUAUCUCCCCCGUUUGAUGUACUGCUAGUAAGUGCACUGUACGGCCCGUUUAUGGCUCUGUAUGUUGUAGCUUUCGAGGACAGAAUCUGACACUUCCAGCUUUUGACAUACAGUUUGUUGUAUGGACCGUAACUCAUGACUGCUCCAGCCUUAUCCUGGAUACAGUCUGUGUGUGGUUUUUGCGGACCAUACUCUGAUCCGCAUGUCAAGUCAAGAAAUUCUCCACCUUCCAUUUUGUCCUUCAAACGCUUCCAUCUUUGUGAGCAACCUUUGUAGUUCUUGGAGAUCCUGAGCUGGACUCCUCCUAACUGACCUUGGUGCAACUUGACUUGCAUCAUUUCCCUCUGGGGUCUGUCCAAAUUUAUAACACUCUUUCCCUUUUAUUUAGUCCCAAAAAGGAUGAUUUGUUUCAAUAUAUUUUGUAACAAUUCAACAUUAAACUUCUCAUUUUACCCUUAAUGAGAUGACAUACACAAAUAUCUAUGACUUGUUUUAGUCCACAAGCUUCAAAAGUUUUCCUUUCAUUCUUAAACUCUGGACUAGUCAAAUACCAUCUUAUAAAUUGGGAUGGAGUAAUAUUUAUGUGUUGCUUAGGUUGAUAUCUGCCAUAGUCUCUUCAUGACUAUUGCCUGCUGAUAGUAUGUCUUAACGUGUCUAGAUAUGUGAGCAGUGAUUUUGGAGACCACCCAGUAUCACAUCUGAUGUGUUCAGUUUUUGGGAUGCAUGACAGAGAGAAUGUUGAGGUUUGGACAAUUUCUUCCUUUUUUUCGAUGUUUAGCACCACUGUUGGCAGUCUGUUCUUGUUCAUGCUAAAUUUACAAGUACUUUUCCUAGGUGUUUUGCUAUGCUCUAAGUCCAAACGAAGGUACAGAAUGGGAGAUUUGCAUCCAGUCUGAAGCUGAGCAUUUUAUUGAUGUGUCGUCCUUGACAUUUGAUGCAACAGCAAGGAUGAUUAAUGAGGAUCGAAUACAAAUACUUAUCGAUCUUAAUGGUUAUACCAAGGUACAGGUUGAACUUCAUCUAAUGGUUAUACCAUUGUUUUCUGGAUGACUUUGUUUAUCUAAUGCUAUAUUUUUUACUUCGGAAUGAUGUGUUGUAGGGUGAAAGAAGUGAGAUAUUUGCCAUGCAGCCAGCUCCAAUCCAGGUUUUGUACAUGGGGUUCCCUGGAACCACCGGGGCAACAUACAUAGAUUAUUUGAUUACAGCUGAGGUAAUUUUCUUGCGACACCCUUGAUAUUAUACAUUUGCUGUAACCUUUGCUUUCUCUCGGGUCCUUUGAGUGUAACUUCCUUGUAUGCAGUUUGUUUCACCUAUGAAGUAUGCACAUUUUUACUCAGAGAAGCUUCUACAUCUCCCUCAUUGCUAUUUUGUCAACGAUUAUAAGCAAGUAAGCUUUUCUUGCUGUUUCUGAGCUUUAUAUCAAAUCUGAUUUCACCAAAUUUAUCAACGAAUCAAUUAUAUGUAUGUUGAUGAGUCUUAUUCUGUAGAAAAACCGUGAUGUGCUAGAUCCAAACAGCCAACCGACACGUUCUGAUUAUGGACUGCCUGUGGAUACAUUCAUAUUUGCAUGUUUUAACCAGCUUUACAAGAUGGAUCCUGAGAUUUUUACUACAUGGUAGUUACUUGGAGUUAUUUGAAUUGGUUAACUGUAACCGUCACAAGCACUUGCUAUAAUAAAACUUGUUGAAUUGGCCUGGUAUGUGCAGAUGCAAUAUCCUUAAGCGUGUACCAAAAAGUGUUCUUUGGCUUCUUACAUUUCCAGCUGCAGGGGAGAAGAGGCUCCGCGCAUGUAAGAGAAUACCUGUUUAUUGGUUCAUGUAAAGUCUCUCCUAAUUCAGCUCACUUGUUACAGAUGCUGCUGCACAAGGUCUGCAACAAAACCAAUAUUAUUUUCACAGAUGUUGCAAUGAAACAAGAGCACGUCAAGCGCUGCUCCUUGGCUGAUCUUUUCUUGGAUACGUAAGAAGAUUAAGAACGUUCCGCAUCUUGUCUUUCAAGAAUCUAGUUUCAUUCAUCUCAUGUUCUUGAAUUUGGUUUUUUUUGGUGAUUUGUAGGCCACUGUACAAUGCACAUACCACAGGAACAGAUGUUCUUUGGGCUGGUCUACCAAUGAUUACCCUCCCCUUGAGAAAAUGGCUACUAGAGUUGCUGGCUCCCUGUGUUUGGCUACAGGACUUGGGGAUGAGAUGAUUGUCAGCAGGGUAUGUGUUCUAUACUUUUAUGACCAACAACGAGAACAACAUACCCAGUGUAAUUUCACAAGUGUGGUCUAGGGAGGGCAGUAUGUACGCAGACCAUACCCCUAACCAUUAUAUCGACUUUCAUGUUGUGACAGUAUGAAGGAAUAUGAGGAGAAGGCGGUGUUUCUGGCACUAAAUCAUCCGAAUCUCAAAAAUCUCACCAAUAGACUCAAGGCUGUGCGAAUGAGCUGCCCUUUAUUUGAUACAGCGCGCUGGGUGAGUAAACAAACACAGCAGUUUUAGUUAACUAAACGACCUUCUUGCUAUGUUGCUCGAACUCCUCUCUAAAAAUGUGUGAAAUCCUUCAAAAGUAAUGUAUUUUUGGAGAGUCCGAGUAACAGAGUUGAAUCAACAUGGAAUGCUCAUUCUAUCUCCUUGCAUUUUCAGGUGAGGAAUCUAGAGCGUUCUUAUUUUAAGAUGUGGAAUCUCUAUUGCUCCGGCCAGCAUCCUCAGCACUUCAAAGUGACUGAGAAUGACGCGAAAUUUCCUUUUGAUCAUUAAAUGUAGGAAGGAGGAAAGAACAGAAUUUUUUUGUUUUGUACAAGAGAAGGCGGAACUCAAAUGCUACACUAAACUAGGCGUUACCCGAAGAGCGGAGAUGCACAAGAGAGAUUUCAGGUUAUAUAGUUGAAUGAUCGUAAAUGAAAGCAUUUUGUCUAAAAAUUGCUCCACAACUUCUGUUAUAAAAAAUUGAGCUUUGCGUUCCUAUGGUUUUGAGUUUAAAAUGCUUUUUAAUACGAGAUCAUAUCAUAAGGUGACAAAAUAUCCAUUAAAAUAAGUUGAGAUGCGUGCAAGUUUACUCACGAAUUGAAAAGUGAGUGAUGGAGACAAGAUAAUCCUAUUGGUAGUCAUGCAAAUCUAGGUGAUUGGAAUAUGUGUAGUUUUUGUCUGAACUAAGAAAGUAAAUAGAUUAUUGGCGAAAAUUACAUAAAAAUAAUCAACUCUUAAGAAUUUAUAUGGUCUCCUAUGACCUAGUUUUGAAGAAGAGCAAUAUUAAUGGAACAUGAUUAUUGAUAGAUCAAAAAGAAAUGUUAAUCUAAUCGAAAUCUCUCUAUAAUAGUCUCGUUUGUUAUGAUUUUCUUUUUACAAGUAAUACUCAAAUUCUUUCUCCUUUGCAUUUGCAGGUGAGGAAUCUGAACGAAGAUAUUUCGUAGAAUUAAUUGAAACGUACAUAAACAUUAGGAUUAUUAUACACGAGAUCAUAUAUUACCGUUCGUAAGACAUUUUGUAGAAUUAAUCGAGAGAUAUAUCAACAAAAUAGUAACUAAAAAUAGUGAAGUACAACCAUAAUUUAUCUAUAACAACAUACUAAUACAUAUGUCAUUCAUUGAUUAUUGCAUCACAUAGUACACAAGUGAACUCAAAAUAGGUUAUAAAAUAAAAGGCUACAAAUUAAAGUACUUCAAAAUUAGAUUAACAACCUCAUUUUAAACAUUAGCACUAGUAGAAGUUUUAACUUUUAGCCACAAUCAACCAUCAGAAAUUCAUUUCGUAGCCGGUGAAGGAGAAGGAAAAAACGUAAGCAAUUCCUCCUUCUUCUUCUCCCAAGAUUUAACAACCACAACAGCAUCGAACAAUUUUGGUGAACUAGAUGAUUUAACAAUAGCUGAGAUUUUUAGGUAAUAUUUAACACCAGAAACAACUUGUUUUUCUGCUUCAACAACUUGAGAAAAACUCAAUAAAGAACUCAAAGCACCAUUUUGUUUCCGCAAAUUUCUGUUGUGUUCUUCGACGCAGUACUUACCUAGAUCUUGAAUUUCCUGAUUUGUUUUCACGUCUUUGAUUUGUGUUCUUCCGCCGAGUUUUCCGCCUAAUGCGUUUGAUGAAGAAAAUAAAGUGAAAAUGAAGAAGAGAAGGAGGAUUGAUGAGAGAAUUUUUGUGGAUUUCGCCAUUGGAGAUUGGGGAUUUUUUUUGAUGGAGAAGAAAGGAAGAAGGGGGAAUUAUAUAUAGGAGUUUUUUUUGUUGGACACGUUAUGGGGGUGGUGGCAACAUGUACGUGACGCUGCGUAUUUUGUGAAAAGGAGGACAAAACAGUCUGUUUCUAGUGUUUGUUUGUAUAUUAGACGUAUUAAAGUCUAAUUAAUUUGAAUUUAUAUGGCAUAGUACUUUAUUUGAGAAAAUAUUUUUUAUCGAAAAUUAUUUUAUAUUUAAGGCUCGAAUUUAAUUUGUGUUUAAAGGAGGAGCAUCACAUCUAUUACUAACAUCAUUGUUUGUUAGCUAAAUAAUUUUAGGAUUAGGGUUUACAAUAUAUUAGUAGUAAUUUUACUCUAAUUAUUAAUGAUAGAGGGGAAUUGAUUAGGAUGGGUUUAAGAUUGACAAUCUAGGAGAUACGGUAUGUGAAGGUUCACAAGGAAUAUAUAAAAUAAUUAGUUUAGUUGGUACGUGUGAUUUUAGGUUUAACGAUGAUAUAGCUCAAGAGAUAAAUUUGUGAAAUUUGUAAGGAUAAAGUCGAACAUGAUUUUUUGUAGUAGAUGGAGCGAACUUCAACGGAGGAUGUUGAAUCUUUAAAAAGGGUGUAUAUGACGCUAAUGAUGAAGGGCGAUAUGACUUGUGUAUUCAAUUUCAUUGUUAUAACUAAUAAGAUGCAAAAUUACUAUUGUAAUUGUUACUCUUCGACGAAUUAUAGACUAAUAGAGAAAUUAAUCAUUUAAACGAUGUCACAUAAACGGAAUCACGAUAGAGUAAUGCUUAUCUGUUUUCUUCAUGUCUAGCUACGGAUGACUAAAAGGUGAGUGUCCAAUUGUGGACAAAAGGCAAUUUGCAAAUGUCAUUCAUUUGUCAUUUUUUCUUUUUAAUUUUUAAUUAAUUGUAGAUGUUAGAAUUUUUGACCAAAACAAGCUACUAUUUAAAUCAAUUUACAAUAAUAAUACAAUUUUUUGAAACUUUACAAAACUAGUAUAAACGUUGUUGGUAGUAACGUAUUAGCCCAUAUUUUAUUUCAAAAGAAUAAACGGACAAAAGUUAAAUGAGGGACGACGUUAAGUAGGAAAACGUUACUACGGGUAACGUUUUAUACGACGUUAAGUAAGAAAACGUUACUACGGGUAACGUUUUAUACGACGUUAAGUAAGAAAACGUUACUACGGGUAACGUUUUAUACGACGUUAAGUAAGAAAACGUUACUACGGGUAACGUUUUAUACGACGUUAAGUAAGAAAACGUUACUACGGGUAACGUUUUAUACGACGUUAAGUAAGAAAACGUUACUACGGGUAACGUUUUAUACGACGUUAAGUAAGAAAACGUUACUACGGGUAACGUUUUAUACGACGUUAAGUAAGAAAACGUUACUACGGGUAACGUUUUAUACGACGUUAAGUAAGAAAACGUUACUACGGGUAACGUUUUAUACGACGUUAAGUAAGAAAACGUUACUACGGGUAACGUUUUAUACGACGUUAAGUAAGAAAACGUUACUACGGGUAACGUUUUAUACGACGUUAAGUAAGAAAACGUUACUACGGGUAACGUUUUAUACGACGUUAAGUAAGAAAACGUUACUACGGGUAACGUUUUAUACGACGUUAAGUAAGAAAACGUUACUACGGGUAACGUUUUAUACGACGUUAAGUAAGAAAACGUUACUACGGGUAACGUUUUAUACGACGUUAAGUAAGAAAACGUUACUACGGGUAACGUUUUAUACGACGUUAAGUAAGAAAACGUUACUACGGGUAACGUUUUAUACGACGUUAAGUAAGAAAACGUUACUACGGGUAACGUUUUAUACGACGUUAAGUAAGAAAACGUUACUACGGGUAACGUUUUAUAUAUAUUUAUACAUUUAAUUCUAAAUUUUCCAUAAACCCAAUUUUGACCCUUAUACGAUUUAACCUACUCUAAACCCAAUUUCAGUUCUACUUUGAAAUUUCACCCCUGCCCUAACCUCAAUCUCAUCUAGCGCUGCAAACACCGUUCAGUUCCCAAUUCUUGCUGCUGGUGUUGCCGGAAGAAGGAGAUUUAGCGCCAUAACUAUUUUAAGGUAAUUUUCUUGUUCAAGGUUUGAUUUUUCUUUACGAAGUAAGGCUUGACAAAUCCAUAGAAGAAUUCUGUCUUUUGUAAAUUGAGGAAAAUCCCAUGAAAUCGAAUUUCAAUAUAGGAUUCCUUUUUUGAUGAAAAACCCAUGAAUGAACACCCAAUUUUGGUCUUACUUCGGCCUUCAUUACAAUUGAAAUGGUUCUUAGUUUGUUUUCCUUCAAUUGUCAGUUGGGAUAUUAUCUACAUUUCUUGGACAAGAUUAUCAGUAUUGUAAACUUACAUCCGGAGAACAUAAGUUGAUGUUUGUCUAUUAGUUAUCCUUCUUUGAUGAAAAACAAAACAUAGGAUUCUAUUUUGUUAUAGAAUUUGAUUUGAUUUUAAUUUUUUUGGACUAUUUUUCGACACUCCUUUCAUGGCCAGUGAACUCGAACUCUCUCUGAUUUUCUGAUUUGCCUGCGUAGUAACUUUCACAUCCUAACUACCGUUGAUUCGAAUAACGGAAGCUCCGAUGAGCAAAAGUAUCAACUACAUAAAGAAAAUGGCUUUGAUUGUAAGAGCAUACAUUGCUCCGGCCAGAUACUAUUUUAUAUAAACUUCCAAGUUUUCUAUUUUUCUAAUAUGAAAAAGAUACAAUCUCUGUAAUGCCAAAUAAAUUUUAGAUCUUUCAAGACACUUUUUUGGGAUCAUUUUCACUUGGUAUCAAUACAUUGUUAAUUAGAGCCAUAUUAAUAGCAUGCUGCCUAUCCAAGUUCCUAAUUCGCUUUGUCUAAUUCAUGCUUCUCUUUUUUCGAUGAAUGUCAAGAAAAAAUCACAUAACAAUAUUUGAGCUAACAUUUAAGUUUACUUUCAUAUGUAUCUCAUAGGUAUUUUCUUUUAUGGCGAAUAAUAGUGAAUACAAGUUGGAUCCCGAUCCACUUGAAUUGGAUGUAUUAACGGGACAACUCACUCAUAGAUCACAGGAUAUAUGGGAAGGAAGUUCUAAUAUGAUUCUUAAUACGAGGAGAGAAGAUGGAAAUUUUGGAAGCUACGUAUAAAAAUAUCCUAUCCAUCCACGAGUCCUUGAAGUGAUUAGAUUAUGUGGAUUGUAUGGUGUUACAAGCUAAUCGGCCUGCUAUCGACCGCAGUUUGAUCACUGCAUUAGUUGAGCGAUGGCGUCCCGAAACUCAUACUUUUCACUUUAGGACAGGUGAAGCAAUAGUCACUUUACAGGACGUAGAGGUGUUGUAUGGAUUACCUGUGAAUGGUGAUCCAGUACUUGGUAAUGAGACGAUAAAGACCAUAGGGGAUUGGCAAAACAUUUGUCAAAGAUUAUUAGGUUUCAUUCCAUCUCGUGAAGACUUCAAAACAAAUUCCCUCAAGGUCGCUGCAUUUAAUGUAUACAUGCUAAGCCAACCAGAGUUGCCGAACACGACAACGCAAGAUAUGAUCAAUCAGAAGGCCAGAUGUUACAUGUUCUGGAUGAUUGCGGGUAUGUUGAUGGCGGAUACAUCUGGUGGUUAUUUGAAGCUUAUGUACUUGCCUAUGCUCGAGGACAUCGAUAAAAUUGGGUCUUAUAGUUGGGGGAGUGCAACCUUAGCUUACUUAUAUCAUUUUCUUUGUAAAGCCUCACAGACUACCCAAAAUGAAAUAGCGGGAUUUCUACCACUACUUCAGGUAUACUUAAAAAUUGUACAAAUUAUUUAUUUGUAUUUCUUAUAAUUUACUAGUUUUGAAAGAUGCAAACUUUGAUUUGUCUCCAUAGCAUUAUUGGAUGAUGGAAACUUUAAAAGAAGUAAUCUUAAAACUUUUUUCUAAUAGAUUUGGGCAUGGGAGAGAGUCACUGUCCUCAGUCCUCAGAUAGUAGCCAAGAAAGAUGCGAGAACUGCUUUUGUUGAUUUUCCUAGGGGUCCACAUGCUACUAGAUGGUUUGCGCAUCUUAGUUGGACGAAUACUACCAAGCAUGUGUUGAAAGUUUAUAGGGAUGCCCUUGACUCUAUGAUAGAAGAACAGGUACAAUGCAUAUCAUUUUUAUUUUUUUAUAAAGAUUGUAAAUGUAAAGACUCAUUUUAUUUUUUUCCUUUUUCAUGUAGUUUAUUUGGGAACCAUAUCUUGAUGACUUGAUUGAGAGUCUUCCUGUCUAUUGUCACGCUGGACGAAACAUAUGGCGGGUUAGAGUUCCAAUCUUUUGUUGGAAUGUAGUCGAGGUUCAUUUGCCAGAUCGUGUUAUGAGACAAUUUGGAUUGCAACAAGCUAUUCCAACUCCGUUUCCAUUUGAUUCCACACACUUUCGACAUGAUCGUCGGGGAAGACCAAAUACAAAUUGGGAAUUGGAACAUGCACAAUGGUUAUCACUUUGGAACCAACGGCUCCAAUAUAGUUGUGAUGCACCGGUCAAUCAUGAACCAUUUCGAUAUGAUGACCCCUACCUUAUUUGGUUUAGGCGCAUUACUCGUCUUGUUAUUGGUAAUCCUAAUUCGCGUCCUCAAAGUCAACAAGGUUAUGUGCCUAAUUCAACGUCAUAUGAAACUAUAGUAUGUGUCACCUCAUUUAAUUGUUCUUACUUAAUUGAUAUUUAUGGUACUUUUAUUUAAUAUAGGAUACUUUUGAUAGUUACUAAAGCUACUAAUUAAUUUUAUUAAUGCAUAAAUACAUGUACAGUAGCAUGUCUACUUUGAGAGUGGGCAAUUGGAUUGGUCUUUUACUCCUUAAAACAACUUAAAUGCAUAGGGUCUGUAUGAUUUGCAAAUGGGUACAGGGAUCUUGAACUGCAUUGAUGACUUGAUUGAGAGUCUUCCUGUCUAUUGUCACGCUGGACGAAACAUAUGGCGGGUUAGAGUUCCAAUCUUUUGUUGGAAUGUAGUCGAGGUUCAUUUGCCAGAUUGUGUUAUGAGACAAUUUGGAUUGCAACAAGCUAUUCCAACUCCGUUUCCAUUUGAUUCCACACACUUUCGUCAUGAUCGUCGGGGAAGACCAAAUACAAAUUGGGAAUUGGAACAUGCACAAUGGUUAUCACUUUGGAACCAACGGCUCCAAUAUAGUUGUGAUGCACCGGUCAAUCAUGAACCAUUUCGGUAUGAUGACCCCUACCUUAUUUGGUUUAGGCGCAUUACUCGUCUUGUUAUUGGUAAUCCUAAUUCGCGUCCUCAAAGUCAACAAGGUUAUGUGCCUAAUUCAACGUCAUAUGAAACUAUAGUAUGUGUCACCUCAUUUAAUUGUUCUUACUUAAUUGAUAUUUAUGGUACUUUUAUUUAAUAUAGGAUACUUUUGAUAGUUACUAAAGCUAAUAAUUAAUUUUAUUAAUGCAUAUAUACAUGUACAGUAGCAUGUCUACUUUGAGAGUGGGCAAUUGGAUUGGUCUUUUACUCCUUAAAACAACUUAAAUGCAUAGGGUCUGUAUGAUUUGCAAAUGGGUACAGGGAUCUUGAACUGCAUAUUUGAGUUGUGGAUUUUUUUGUAAUGUUACCAUGUUGUGAACUUUUUCUGUCAAAGGCCAAGUUUGAGUCGUGUGGUGAGAUUUUUGAGUAAAAGAAGGUGUUAGUCUUCGAGUUUUGGUAUAAUUAUUUUGGUAUACAUUAAAGAAAAAAAUUGGAUUGAUUCUCGUGGUGAAUAACUGUCUCUAAAUAUUAAAUUCUAAACUCAAUUAUAAAUGCCUCAUUUGCUCUUAGGUACGCCAUAUUCAUUCGAUGGUUGAUGAAGCUAAAACACUUGGUGAUAAUCCAUCAUAUGAGGCCUUAUACAUGUUUAGAAAAAUGGUGCGGGAUCAAGGUUCUGAUUGUUUGAAAUAUGUCCAUGAGGCUGAUAGGGUUCAUGUGCCAGCCGAUUAUAGAAGAGAUAUGGUACAACCUACCCAGUUACAUCCCCCAGUUCGUAGGCGAGGAAAAGGUGGUGUUGCUGGUAGAAGAGAACGUGCUGUUGAAAGAGGACAAGCACAUGUUGAAAUGGAUCAGGCCACAGAAAAUGCCCAAGCAGUCCCAGAAGAUUAUCAAGCAACAUCUGAUUAUAAUAUUGGUUCCAUUUCAAGAGACUACACUCAUGAAUUCACUCAGGCAUCAAAUAUGACAUAUCAACUGUCACAAACAGAUAUCACGCCAUAUGUGAUGCCACAGAAUCUACAAAUAUCAAGUCAUCCAAGUCUUUCAUCACUUGAGAAUGUCGUUGGUAAUUAUCAACCUCAAAAUUUUGAGAAUGUCCCAAACUUUACCUCAUCGCCUGUGCCAAUGAUCAUUGAGACCCCUGAUGCCAUUAAUAAUUUAGAGGACCCGAAUAAUCAAGUGGACGAUAAUGAUCCAAAGGAUGCAAAUGAAGGCGAUGAUACGAAUAAUCAAGAUGGUGAACCAUCAAGGAGAGAGAAGCGUAAAAUUAAACUUAAGCCUUGUGGGACAGGUAAUAUCUUACAUUUUAUUAUUUUUGGCUUCACUCUCCUUUUGAAUAAUAGAACAUUUAUAUUUUCUUUACAGGUGGCCACUAUGCUAUCCAACAUGUCAAAAAAAAAAGAGCAAAGAAUAAGUAGUGAAAAAUUGUGGUGCUGCUGAAAAUUGCAGCCACUAAUGGAAAUUGAUGCUGGAGUUGAUGACAUAACAGACUAAUUUUAGUAUUCUAGUUGCAGUAACUUGGCAUUUAUGCCCGGUCUGUCUACACAAUCCACAAGCCCGCCCAUAUACUGUAGGAUCACGAUCCAUCUCAUUAGGAAUUCUAGUAGUCNNNNNNNNNNNNNNNNNNNNNNNNNNNNNNNNNNNNNNNNNNNNNNNNNNNNNNNNNNNNNNNNNNNNNNNNNNNNNNNNNNNNNNNNNNNNNNNNNNNNUCCUAUCUUCCAAAGACUACCUCCAACCUUCCGACCUUGAAGAAACCAUGGACAACCUAAUGAAUCAUAAAACCUGCAUCUCACAGUCCAUAUGCUCUUAGUUGAUAUUACAACCUUGAAUUCUUUAUUUUUGCGCAAACUCCAAAUUGUCAUAGCUCGUUUCAACUUAGCUUUGCUGCUAAAACACAUAUCUUUUUCUAAAUCUUUUUUUGCAUCCUCGGACCAAACAGAACAAUAUUUCAUUUCGGAUUCACGAGUAGAGAUAAAAAUAUCUUCCUCGUUCUCCAAUGUUGUAAAGUAAGGUAUAUCAUUAUUUUGCAUUUCAGAUACAUUCUGAUCAAAUUGAUUUUGAAGAUUUACCCCACAAUUAUUUUGAGGUAAAUCUCCAAUAUCUUCAUCGGAUUCACUUUCAAUNNNNNNNNNNNNNNNNNNNNNNNNNNNNNNNNNNNNNNNNNNNNNNNNNNNNNNNNNNNNNNNNNNNNNNNNNNNNNNNNNNNNNNNNNNNNNNNNNNNNNNNNNNNNNNNNNNNNNNNNNNNNNNNNNNNNNNNNNNNNNNNNNNNNNNNNNNNNNNNNNNNNNNNNNNNNNNNNNNNNNNNNNNNNNNNNNNNNNNNNNNNNNNNNNNNNNNNNNNNNNNNNNNNNNNNNNNNNNNNNNNNNNNNNNNNNNNNNNNNNNNNNNNNNNNNNNNNNNNNNNNNNNNNNNNNNNNNNNNNNNNNNNNNNNNNNNNNNNNNNNNNNNNNNNNNNNNNNNNNNNNNNNNNNNNNNNNNNNNNNNNNNNNNNNNNNNNNNNNNNNNNNNNNNNNNNNNNNNNNNNNNNNNNNNNNNNNNNNNNNNNNNNNNNNNNNNNNNNNNNNNNNNNNNNNNNNNNNNNNNNNNNNNNNNNNNNNNNNNNNNNNNNNNNNNNNNNNNNNNNNNNNNNNNNNNNNNNNNNNNNNNNNNNNNNNNNNNNNNNNNNNNNNNNNNNNNNNNNNNNNNNNNNNNNNNNNNNNNNNNNNNNNNNNNNNNNNNNNNNNNNNNNNNNNNNNNNNNNNNNNNNNNNNNNNNNNNNNNNNNNNNNNNNNNNNNNNNNNNNNNNNNNNNNNNNNNNNNNNNNNNNNNNNNNNNNNNNNNNNNNNNNNNNNNNNNNNNNNNNNNNNNNNNNNNNNNNNNNNNNNNNNNNNNNNNNNNNNNNNNNNNNNNNNNNNNNNNNNNNNNNNNNNNNNNNNNNNNNNNNNNNNNNNNNNNNNNNNNNNNNNNNNNNNNNNNNNNNNNNNNNNNNNNNNNNNNNNNNNNNNNNNNNNNNNNNNNNNNNNNNNNNNNNNNNNNNNNNNNNNNNNNNNNNNNNNNNNNNNNNNNNNNNNNNNNNNNNNNNNNNNNNNNNNNNNNNNNNNNNNNNNNNNNNNNNNNNNNNNNNNNNNNNNNNNNNNNNNNNNNNNNNNNNNNNNNNNNNNNNNNNNNNNNNNNNNNNNNNNNNNNNNNNNNNNNNNNNNNNNNNNNNNNNNNNNNNNNNNNNNNNNNNNNNNNNNNNNNNNNNNNNNNNNNNNNNNNNNNNNNNNNNNNNNNNNNNNNNNNNNNNNNNNNNNNNNNNNNNNNNNNNNNNNNNNNNNNNNNNNNNNNNNNNNNNNNNNNNNNNNNNNNNNNNNNNNNNNNNNNNNNNNNNNNNNNNNNNNNNNNNNNNNNNNNNNNNNNNNNNNNNNNNNNNNNNNNNNNNNNNNNNNNNNNNNNNNNNNNNNNNNNNNNNNNNNNNNNNNNNNNNNNNNNNNNNNNNNNNNNNNNNNNNNNNNNNNNNNNNNNNNNNNNNNNNNNNNNNNNNNNNNNNNNNNNNNNNNNNNNNNNNNNNNNNNNNNNNNNNNNNNNNNNNNNNNNNNNNNNNNNNNNNNNNNNNNNNNNNNNNNNNNNNNNNNNNNNNNNNNNNNNNNNNNNNNNNNNNNNNNNNNNNNNNNNNNNNNNNNNNNNNNNNNNNNNNNNNNNNNNNNNNNNNNNNNNNNNNNNNNNNNNNNNNNNNNNNNNNNNNNNNNNNNNNNNNNNNNNNNNNNNNNNNNNNNNNNNNNNNNNNNNNNNNNNNNNNNNNNNNNNNNNNNNNNNNNNNNNNNNNNNNNNNNNNNNNNNNNNNNNNNNNNNNNNNNNNNNNNNNNNNNNNNNNNNNNNNNNNNNNNNNNNNNNNNNNNNNNNNNNNNNNNNNNNNNNNNNNNNNNNNNNNNNNNNNNNNNNNNNNNNNNNNNNNNNNNNNNNNNNNNNNNNNNNNNNNNNNNNNNNNNNNNNNNNNNNNNNNNNNNNNNNNNNNNNNNNNNNNNNNNNNNNNNNNNNNNNNNNNNNNNNNNNNNNNNNNNNNNNNNNNNNNNNNNNNNNNNNNNNNNNNNNNNNNNNNNNNNNNNNNNNNNNNNNNNNNNNNNNNNNNNNNNNNNNNNNNNNNNNNNNNNNNNNNNNNNNNNNNNNNNNNNNNNNNNNNNNNNNNNNNNNNNNNNNNNNNNNNNNNNNNNNNNNNNNNNNNNNNNNNNNNNNNNNNNNNNNNNNNNNNNNNNNNNNNNNNNNNNNNNNNNNNNNNNNNNNNNNNNNNNNNNNNNNNNNNNNNNNNNNNNNNNNNNNNNNNNNNNNNNNNNNNNNNNNNNNNNNNNNNNNNNNNNNNNNNNNNNNNNNNNNNNNNNNNNNNNNNNNNNNNNNNNNNNNNNNNNNNNNNNNNNNNNNNNNNNNNNNNNNNNNNNNNNNNNNNNNNNNNNNNNNNNNNNNNNNNNNNNNNNNNNNNNNNNNNNNNNNNNNNNNNNNNNNNNNNNNNNNNNNNNNNNNNNNNNNNNNNNNNNNNNNNNNNNNNNNNNNNNNNNNNNNNNNNNNNNNNNNNNNNNNNNNNNNNNNNNNNNNNNNNNNNNNNNNNNNNNNNNNNNNNNNNNNNNNNNNNNNNNNNNNNNNNNNNNNNNNNNNNNNNNNNNNNNNNNNNNNNNNNNNNNNNNNNNNNNNNNNNNNNNNNNNNNNNNNNNNNNNNNNNNNNNNNNNNNNNNNNNNNNNNNNNNNNNNNNNNNNNNNNNNNNNNNNNNNNNNNNNNNNNNNNNNNNNNNNNNNNNNNNNNNNNNNNNNNNNNNNNNNNNNNNNNNNNNNNNNNNNNNNNNNNNNNNNNNNNNNNNNNNNNNNNNNNNNNNNNNNNNNNNNNNNNNNNNNNNNNNNNNNNNNNNNNNNNNNNNNNNNNNNNNNNNNNNNNNNNNNNNNNNNNNNNNNNNNNNNNNNNNNNNNNNNNNNNNNNNNNNNNNNNNNNNNNNNNNNNNNNNNNNNNNNNNNNNNNNNNNNNNNNNNNNNNNNNNNNNNNNNNNNNNNNNNNNNNNNNNNNNNNNNNNNNNNNNNNNNNNNNNNNNNNNNNNNNNNNNNNNNNNNNNNNNNNNNNNNNNNNNNNNNNNNNNNNNNNNNNNNNNNNNNNNNNNNNNNNNNNNNNNNNNNNNNNNNNNNNNNNNNNNNNNNNNNNNNNNNNNNNNNNNNNNNNNNNNNNNNNNNNNNNNNNNNNNNNNNNNNNNNNNNNNNNNNNNNNNNNNNNNNNNNNNNNNNNNNNNNNNNNNNNNNNNNNNNNNNNNNNNNNNNNNNNNNNNNNNNNNNNNNNNNNNNNNNNNNNNNNNNNNNNNNNNNNNNNNNNNNNNNNNNNNNNNNNNNNNNNNNNNNNNNNNNNNNNNNNNNNNNNNNNNNNNNNNNNNNNNNNNNNNNNNNNNNNNNNNNNNNNNNNNNNNNNNNNNNNNNNNNNNNNNNNNNNNNNNNNNNNNNNNNNNNNNNNNNNNNNNNNNNNNNNNNNNNNNNNNNNNNNNNNNNNNNNNNNNNNNNNNNNNNNNNNNNNNNNNNNNNNNNNNNNNNNNNNNNNNNNNNNNNNNNNNNNNNNNNNNNNNNNNNNNNNNNNNNNNNNNNNNNNNNNNNNNNNNNNNNNNNNNNNNNNNNNNNNNNNNNNNNNNNNNNNNNNNNNNNNNNNNNNNNNNNNNNNNNNNNNNNNNNNNNNNNNNNNNNNNNNNNNNNNNNNNNNNNNNNNNNNNNNNNNNNNNNNNNNNNNNNNNNNNNNNNNNNNNNNNNNNNNNNNNNNNNNNNNNNNNNNNNNNNNNNNNNNNNNNNNNNNNNNNNNNNNNNNNNNNNNNNNNNNNNNNNNNNNNNNNNNNNNNNNNNNNNNNNNNNNNNNNNNNNNNNNNNNNNNNNNNNNNNNNNNNNNNNNNNNNNNNNNNNNNNNNNNNNNNNNNNNNNNNNNNNNNNNNNNNNNNNNNNNNNNNNNNNNNNNNNNNNNNNNNNNNNNNNNNNNNNNNNNNNNNNNNNNNNNNNNNNNNNNNNNNNNNNNNNNNNNNNNNNNNNNNNNNNNNNNNNNNNNNNNNNNNNNNNNNNNNNNNNNNNNNNNNNNNNNNNNNNNNNNNNNNNNNNNNNNNNNNNNNNNNNNNNNNNNNNNNNNNNNNNNNNNNNNNNNNNNNNNNNNNNNNNNNNNNNNNNNNNNNNNNNNNNNNNNNNNNNNNNNNNNNNNNNNNNNNNNNNNNNNNNNNNNNNNNNNNNNNNNNNNNNNNNNNNNNNNNNNNNNNNNNNNNNNNNNNNNNNUAGGCCCUUAGCCCUUGAGGCUUGAUCGGGGCCGGGCCGGGGUUGGCCUAUGGGCCAAAUUAUUUAAAUUAAAAUAGAUAUUAAAAACUAGAAAACUUAAAUGUAACCUCUAACCUAUACAACUAUAGUAGAUUAGUACUACUAGACUACUAGUACGUGAAGAUUUAAAAGGCUAAAGCCUUAUAAAUUCUAAAGCCAUUACUCUUAAAAACUUAAGUCCCUAAGCCCUAAUAUCUAAAUUCUUGAACUACAACUCUCUGUCUCUUUACUCUUAUAGUUUUAUUGUCGUCUCGUUUCUGCUACGACAUUGAACAAUUUUCACGCAUGUAACAAUUUUCUUGAUUUCAUUUAACAAAAUACUUUAAGUAAUUAUGUAUUGCUAACUAAAGUUAUAGUUAGAAGUGUUCUUUAGUUUACUAGUUUGUUUUUUAGAUAUUAUUUACUUAAGAGAUUAUUCUUUUUUUCUUUAAAUAUUUAUUGCUAGAUUUUUUAUUUAGAAUUAUUGAAACAAUGUUACUAUUUGUGACAUUGAUUUGACAUUAAAAAAAAAAAGAGCGCUGGCCCGCCUCAGCCCUUGACCCUUCUGAGGUUGGACCGGGUUGACCAUUUUACAGCCCUUUGAAAUGAAGGGCCGGCACGCCCCAGCCCAUCAAAUUCUUUGGCCCACGGGGCUUGGGUGGAGUAGGGCUGGGCUAACCCGUUUUGACGGCUCUAGUCACAUAUGUCUUAAAGGGGAGUGAAUACGUAUAAGAACUCUUGAAUGAAAAAGAGAUGUAACUUCAAUUCCUUCAAAAUUGAUAUUUAAUCCUAUUUCAAAUAGAGGCAAUUGACUAUUGAAUUCAAUUUUGAUCAUUAUUUUCAUAUUCGUAAUAGUACGAAAAAAAUGUCUGGCUUCAAGUUGUUCAAGAAUAGGGCGUUGAAUUUCCCGAACCUUUGACUUAGGAUUAGUCAGUUCUAUUUUGCGAUGGGGCGGGGAUGAGAUAUAACUCAGCGGUAGAGUGUCAUCUUGUGGAAGUGAUCAUCAACUCGAGUCUGAUUAUCCCUAAGCCCAAUAUGAAUUUUUCUAGUUGGAUUUGCUCCCCUGCUGUCAUUCAAUGAGAAUGAAUAAGAGGAUCGUGGGAUCGACAUGAGGGGGCAAGAAUGACUAUAAUUCUAGGAGCAAACUCCAGGCGAAUAUCAUGAAGUGCAUGGAUACAAGUUGUGUCUUGGAAUGAAAGACAAUUUUGAAUUUGCUUUGUCUACAAAUAAGAAAGCUAUAAGUAAUGCAACUAUGAAUCUCAUGCAAAGUUCGAGUGGCAUGCUUAACUCAUGCAAGUCGGAUAGAAAACACAGAAAAUGAUGUUUUCGUGUAAGAACCUGCCAUUGGAUGCGGGGAGAUUCAUACUAUUCAAACUAAGCAAACUAACUAAAUAAAUAAUAGAAAAAAAUUAGUUAUAGAAGAAAACUUUCUAACUUUUAAAAUUAGGUUUUUGGCCAAGUAUAAAGUAUUACUUUCUUUGUUUUAAUGUAUGCACCAAAUUUUUUUUAUAUAUUUUUAAUAACUUAUUUGAUAUACUGUUUAAACAUACGUACAUAGUACAAGUAUUAGUUAUACAUGACAAGAAAAGAAAAAUCAAGGAAUGAUCAUUAAUAUUAUGAUCCAAAGAGAACGAAUAUAGAAAAAAUAUUGCAAAUAUGACAAUAAGAAACAACACGAGCAAUUUAAGAAUCAUUGCGGUUUGAUUUGGAUUAUUGGUCAUUUAUCUUGAUAAGAAGAAUAAGGUGAAUAAGUAAAGAGUAAAUGUUCAACACAAUGAAGUUGGUUGAUAAAGUUGAUUGAUGAAAUCGAUUAUCUAGUACCUCUGAUUCAAGGAAUGACAACCAUUAUAUAUUUUUUUUUAAUCUUAAUCUUUUCUUUUAAGGGAAGGCAGGUUAUUAGAUAAUUGGCGGAGAAAAUUUGAAUAUAUGGCUAGAGAAGGAACUUAUUCUUCGUAAUCUAACCCAUGCCUCCUCUAUUAUUCCGUUCUAUUGCGUCCAUAUUUAUAGACAAGAUUUUCACUAUCUUCAAAUGACCCACGAUUUAUAUUUUUUAAAUGACUUGAAAUUUCUAUAUUUUGUCAUAAAAAUAUGAUGUACGCUAUAUAGAUCAAAUCUUUGUUAAGAAAAAGAGAAUUAAUCAUAUAUUUUGGAAAAAGGAUGGUUAAAACAUUUCAUAUUACUGACUUAUUUGUUUAGCAGAUUUGGGCUAGUUUUUUUUAAAUUCUUAAUAAAAAGUAUAUAUUUCUUAAAAUGUUGGUUACUCAUUUAUACACAUGCAAUAACUUUUUUCCGAUUUUACCGGUCAUCUUCAUGAAUGUUUAUUGCAAUAAAAAUUAAAUGUUAUAAGUUUUUUUUUUUUUUUUUGUAUAUUCUUAUCUGUUCUAUGUGUUAUCCAAUAUUGACUGAAAAAUAAAUUCAUAUGAAUAUCAUUUAUUUGUAAGAAUUAAAUAGUGCUAAAAUAUCGUAUAAUCGAUAUCUGAUUUUUAGAAAUUGAUAUCAUUUUAUAUUAAGUUGAAUUUUAGAAAUUAUCAAUAAAUAAAUAUUUAGGAGACUGCUUAUUAAUUGAUCGCGCAAUAUGGGUAUAUACUGGUAUAUUAUAAAACGAUAUGUAUCACCAUUCAAAAAUACAUUUCCGGUUCGAAUCCUACACCUUGAACCGUUCGAUCAAAAUCAACGGCUCAGAUAGUUUCAUAUACCAUUAACCCUUCUUCUUCCCCUAUUUCAAAUUCAAAUCUCAUCACUUCUUAACGGCUAGUUUUCUUUCUUCCUUAACCCUAACCCCCCAAAAUCCACCAUUUUUCUGUACAAACAAUGAAGCAUUCAGUACAACCAAGAAGCACAAUAUUAAGGGAGAAUCACGAAGCAAUGUCGAGUCCAAACCCUAGCUCUACGAGGCAGAAAUGGCUGACGCCACCGCCGUACCGGAAGAACAAGUCGUCUAAAGAGAAUGCUCCUCCUUCAGAUCUGAAUUCCUCACCGGCUGUUACCGGUAUGAAGAUGAUGAAGAGUCCGUUACCUCCUCGGCAUCCUAAUUCUAAUCCUUUGAAGCGGAAGCUCAGUGUUGAAUCUGUUGGUUCGGAGAUUGGCGCUGUUGUUGCUGGAUCUUCCGACUCUGGAGUUAAAGUAAAUUCCAUGAAAUUUAUUUAAUUUUCAGUUGAAUUAUGAAUUGCAGUUUUUUGAAUUUGAAUUUGUUGAAGAAAAAUCUAAUUUAAAUUAACUGCUUUAUAACUAAAAUUUUAUCAUUUUACUAUUUCUGUAUUUGUCACUCUUAGUUUUCUUUCAUUACUUGUUGUCUCCUGUGAUUAUCUUGUUAUUGAUACUGCUAACGUUUCGUAAAUGUUGAGUUUUUUCCCUUUGAACUGAGGUAGGGAUAAGGUCUGUGUAUGUUGUACCCUCCCCAGACCCCACCUGUAGGACUAUACUGGGUAUGUUGGUGGUGUUGUUGCUAUAUCACUAAAAUCUGAUUUUCAAAUGAUGAUGGAACCCCAAAGGAACUAACUCAUUUGACCUGUAAGAUCAGUUUACUUGAAAUGUGUUAAAGAUAAAGACUUUUCACACUUGGUAGUUGUUUUCAUUGAUAGAAACAUGCAUUUCUUUCUGGUAUCAUGCUUUUGCUUGCCGUUCUCUACCAUCCGUGUUUAUCAAUUUCUGGCUCUAACGUAUUCUGUAUGUGUGAAGUAGUAUAAUUUGUGAGCUUAUGAUCCUGCAAUGAUUUUAGGUUAUAGUGAGGAUGAGGCCACCAACCAAGGAUGAGGAAGAGGGUGAAAUUGUUGCCCAAAAGGUCUCUAAUGAUUCUUUGUCAAUAUCAGGACACAGUUUUACAUAUGACUCUAUCGCUGAUGUCCAAUCAACACAGGUAAAAUGAAAUGUUUUGCUUGUAGGGAGAUCAAUUUGAUUAAGUACUGCAUGAUAAUUGAAAAGAUAUGUGCUUGAUUCUUCCUUGUUGAUUUGGAUGUUUGAACUUAAUGUUUUUAAAUUUGAUAGGUAUGCCUAGAAGUACGAUAUCAAUUAAUGUGAAUGAUUCUGCUUUGUUUUGAUCUUUCAGCUAGAUAUAUUUCAGCUUGUGGGAGCUCCUCUUGUUGAAAAUUGCCUCGCUGGGUUUAACAGCUCAGUAUUUGCUUACGGGCAGGUAAUUUUAGCCUUAUGUUUUGCAAUAUGCUAAAUAUAAACUGCAGGAUGUCAGAUAUUCUAUUGUAAAGUAUUUUGCUGACGUGAUGUCCCCUUAAUGGUUGAUAUGACUUGGAUUAAUCAGACUGGUAGUGGAAAGACAUAUACAAUAUGGGGACCAGCCAACGCCUUGUUGGAUGAAAACUUAACAAGUGAUCAACAAGGCUUAACACCACGUGUUUUUCAACGACUUUUUGAACGAAUUGAGGAGGUGAUAUUCUGUUGUGUCUUCUCUUAUAUGUAUGUUACCUUUUCUCAGUUGUGCUGUAGGCUGUAUAAAAUUUGUAUGAUCUUAGUGAAUUCAUUUCCUCUGCAGGAACAAGUCAAACAUUCUGACAAGCAGCUUGCCUAUCAAUGUCGGUGCUCUUUUCUUGAGGUUAGGCAACUUGACUGAUUCUUUGCAUGGUGAAUAAGGUCCUUACAUAACUCUUCUUCUAAGUUCUUGAGUACUCAUGACUUGCAGAUAUACAAUGAACAAAUCACUGAUCUAUUGGAUCCUAGUCAGCGAAACCUCCAGGUAGAAGAAAACUAACAUACAGCGAUAUUGACUCAUUAUCUAAUAUCUGAGAAUGCUAUAUUAAUAAAUUUUAAUUGGCUCACUUUUCAGCUAAGGGAGGAUGUGAGAACUGGUGUAUAUGUCGAAAAUUUGACCGAGGAAUGUGUUUCUACGAUGAAGGAUGUGACAAAGCUUUUGAUGAAGGUUCAGACUGCAACCUUUUAUUAUAACAUUGUGUGGACAAAUGAAUAUUGCAUUCACAUCUAGGUUAAUUGUGAUAAAAGACCAAGAAAUGAUAACUGUUGUGCAGUACAUAUUCUCAGUUUGUGAGGUCUCUGCCCCACCAUUGAAAGUUGAGACUAAAUAUUCGUCACUGCCUUAGACAUAGUGAAAUGUCCAUAUAUUUUAAUGAAAGAAACUUGAUCUUAUCUUAUUAUCUUCUUUUUCUCCACUCUUUCUCACUGUUGUGAUUUCCUCAAGGAGGAAGUGCAAGAGUCUUAGUUUCCCUUAACUUAAUGCCCUUGCUUUGUUGAAUCUCGCUGCAGUUUGUUGGUGUCCUUUUUUUUUCUUUUUUCAAUGUUGUGCUCCACAUGAAAAUAGAGGGGGUAACAUAUUUUACUUUUUCAUCAUCUCUCUUCUUUGAAGUUCCUGUCCAGUAACAGUGAAAAAACCUCUGGUUUCAAUCUGUGCAUUUGUUAAGUAAAGCCAGUUUUUUAGCAAGUAAUAUCUGAGAUUAGUGCCAAAUUUUCUCAUCUGCAUUCUUCUUUUGUUUCUUUGACUUGUAUUAUUUGAGCUGCCUCCUGAAGAUGGCCUGAUGUACUUAGAAAAGCUAAUAGAACUUGCUCAAUGAAUGUUACAGGGUUUGUCAAACAGGAGAACUGGCGCUACUAGUAUAAAUGCUGAGAGUUCACGUUCUCACAGUGUAUUUACUUGUGUUGUUGAAUCACAUUGCAAGGUAAUAACUUCUCAUAUCCUUAUGACUAUCAUCUGAUCUAUAAUGAUCCCCUAGACCUUUUACCAUCCUUAUUACAAUAAUCUGAUCUCUAUAAGAAAUACUAACUGCCAAGUUGUGCAUGAUGUGUUCUUGUCAUUUUUUGUUUUACAAAGCAAUUUUGCAUAUUCCUGUGGCUGUGAGAGGGUGCAUGGAAAGACUUGCUACCUUCCAAGUUGUUCGUUGUAUUUGAGAUUUGAAAAUGUUUGCUGUUGAUCUCUUAUAAAAUUUUAUUUUCAGAGUAUGGCCGAUGGCUUAAGCCGCCUAAAGACGAGCAGGAUAAAUCUUGUUGAUCUUGCUGGAUCAGAAAGGCAAAAACUAACUGGAGCAGCUGGAGAGCGCCUGAAGGAAGCUGGGAACAUCAAUCGCUCCCUGUCACAGCUGGGGUAUGUUCUUAAGUUGGACAAAUUCUCUGUGGUUUAGUCAUCUACUCAUAAACAUGCAUUUCAUAUUUCUCAUUAGCUAAUUGGAUGAAGAAGAGAGGAACUUGGUCCAUUUUAAGAUGUAACGAGUUUUACUUCAUUCAGCAAUCUUGGCCUUGGCGCCAUUGCAUUGAUCCAUCUAGGGAUCCUUUUCUCUUUCUGGAAGUUUUACUUUCUUGGUAUGAUCAUGCACACCUUGUGACAGGUAAAAGAGUUCUUUUAUCUGCAAGUGAAAGCCACACACGUAGUGUAAGAUUAUUAUUUGAAACAAACAAUGUGAAUGUUUUUCCUGCAUUCUCUUCUUCCUGAACUGAAAUUGUUUCUUCUAAAUGAUAUGAAGUGGGUUGUUAGAAAAGUCUGUGCUUAUCAUGGUUUUGGAUAAUGGAAAGUAGAUCUCCAAUGGCAGCUUCCUAGAAUCUGGGCAUUUAAGACAUGCUAUAUAGUACCGACUACCUAUGAAUGUGUCAGAUAUACCUUUAUGUUAUGAAUGAAUGUGGGCGGGUAUAUUCUAGAGAAGAGAGUGCAUGAGAAAUUCAUUUCCUUGACAUUAAGGUCAGACGGUUGCCAAUAAAUGUCAAAAAGCUGGUUAUACUGGUUUUUUCUCCUAUAACUAAAAUCAUUUAUAAGGACCGACUUAAUAGAAAAAUAGUGAAGCUUAGUCUUUUCCUUUUUCUGUAAGAGUUUUGCAGAAUUUCAAUUCUUGUCAUCCGUAGGGUGUCAAAUCUGUAACUUUUUCAUCUCUUUGGUUUGAAAUUAUAUUUUUCACCUUCGCUUCUGAUUACACGAUUUUUCUUUUUGAGAUUUGCAGGAACUUGAUAAACAUUCUAGCAGAAGUUUCCCAAACAGGAAAGCAUCGGCACAUUCCCUAUAGAGAUUCCAAGUUGACAUUUUUGUUACAGGAAUCUCUUGGUGGGAAUGCAAAACUUGCAAUGAUAUGUGCCAUUUCUCCAGCCCAGAGGUAGAACCAGAACCAUAUUUGCCUCAAUUGUAUUUCAUUCUUGUAAAGUUUACAUUUCAAUAUCUUUAACUAUUCUUGAAGUUCUCCACUCGUGGGAUUACACUGGGUAUGUUGUUGUUGUUGUAUAUGUAAUUGUUGAUAAUUUGGAGUCCUUUAUUCUUCUUGAUAAUGCAGUUGUAAGAGUGAGACUCUCAGUACCCUGAGAUUUGCCCAGCGCGCAAAGGCAAUCAAGAAUAAGGCUGUUGUCAAUGAGGAGAUGCAAGAUGAUGUAAACGUCUUGAGGGAAGUAAUACGACAGUUAAAGGCAAACACCUAAACCCAUUUUUGUUUGUAUCUGUCUUAACAAUUGGCUGGCGUAUUCCUGUUUUUGUGAGUCUUGGUGGAAUGAAUGCCCUCUUUUCCUUUCUCUUUACAGGAUGAACUGAUAAGAGUGAAGGCAAAUGGAUCUCAAGCAGAUCAAAAUGGAAAUCAUUCAUCGGGGUGGAAUGCGCGUAGAAGCUUAAACCUUUUGAAAUUCAGCCUCAACCGUCCAAUGACAUUACCUCCUCUAGAUGAAGAUGGUGACACAGAAAUGGAGAUCGUUGAGGAAGCUGAACUAUUAGGUCUCCUACCGGGAGGAAGUAAAGAGGUUGGUAUCUUGCGAAAAACUCUUUCCAAGAGUUUCUUGGUUGGUCCUGCUGAAAGAGGUAAUGAGGAAAAGCACAGCUCAUGCAAGGGAGAGGUAGGUUCUGAGGAUGCAGACGUCACCAUGGAGGAAGAGGUACCUGAACAAGUUGUCCAACCUGAAAACAAAGUUAUUCAUGGUGCUGGGCUGCAGAACUUGGAAAAUUGUUCGAUGGCUGAAGAAUCAAUUCACCAAAGUUGCGAAGAAGAAAAUGUUGAGGCUGAUUUGAAGAAAUCCAUGUCGAAGAGGCUUGAUAGUGAUUCUUCUCAAGAUUGUUUGCCAUCACUGGCCAUUAAUUUGCUCAAUCAAGGAGUAAAAGGGGAGCUGGUAGAAGAAAUAGCUUCAGAGCAAUGUGAAGGCUACAAUGAAAGAACUCCUGAAAACUCUUCUAAAUGUUCAGAGGGUGAUGCAGCCUGUAGAGACGUUAGUGUAGUUACAAAUGAUAUAUCUCCUAUUUUGAAAUCUCCCACUCCAAGUGUUUCACCAAGAGUUAAUAGCAGUAGAAAAAGUCUAAGGACAUCAUCAAUGCUGAGUGCUUCUCAGAAGGAUCUUAGAGAGAGUAAGCUGGAUGAACCACAUUUUUCGUUCGCAAAGCCUUCAAACAGUAUUUGUUUGGACUCUCAAGCUAAUCAGAGAAGUAAAAGUUGUUUUACAUCGACUGAACAUUUAGCUGCUAGUCUACAUAGGGGACUUGAAAUUAUAAGUAAUCGCCAGAGUACAUCUUUGAGGCGGUCCUCGUUCAGAUUUUCUUGCAAACCUGCUGAUAUUAGAGCAAUUAUUCCAGUUGCUAAAGUAGAUGUUGGGGUCCAAACUAUUGUUACAGAUGAUCAGUCAUUUGAAGGAGGGUCAAUUUUCUUGUGUAGUAAAUGCAAGGAAAGGAAUUCCCAGCAAGAGCUUAAAUAUGCCAAUGAUGGCUCAAACAUGCAAUUGGUUCGUGUCGAUGAAUCACUGUUGGUACCUGCUGAUGGAUUACAGUUGGUACCUGCUGAUGGAUCACAGUUGGUACCUGCUGAUGGAUCACAGUCCUGCGAAAAGUUCAAGAUUCAAGUACCCAAAGUAAGUUUGAAGAUUUUAUGAAUUGUUUGGCUUUUGUACUCUGUCGUAUUUAUUUCUGUGCAAUAUUUUUACAGGCUGUAGAAAAAGUAUUGGCAGGAGCAAUACGGAGGGAGAUGGCACUUGAAGAAAUAUGUGCCAAGCAAACUUCUGAGAUCAUGCAACUCAACCGCUUGGUAGGUUUUGGUUGGUCAAUUGAGCAACUUGCGACAUUCAUUAUUUCCUUCAUCUAUUUUACAUGUAUUGCAAUCAAUGGGCAGAUUCAACAGUACAAACAUGAGCGAGAAUGCAAUGCCAUUAUUGGCCAAACACGCGAGGAUAAGAUUGCUCGUCUUGAGAGCUUAAUGGAUGGAAUUUUACCAACAGAGGAGUUCAUGGAGGAUGAAUUGUUAUCACUCACUCAUGAGCAUAAGGUAUGUGUCUGACUUGAACGUUGUCUAUUGAUAUGUACAUUUUUUCCUCUUGCUAUACAUGUCUAAUUCAUGAUUUUCAGCUUCUGAAGGAAAAAUAUGAGAAUCAUCCAGAAAUAUUAAGUGCGAAAAUUGAAAUAAGAAGAGUUCAAGAUGAGCUGGAACAGUAUCGAAACUUCUUUGACUUGGGUGAGAGGGAUGUUUUGAUGGAGGAGAUUCAGGAUUUGAGAAGCCAGCUCUACUUCUAUGUAGAUUCUUCACCGAAGCCAUCCAAGAAAGGAAGUUCUCCUCUGCAAUUAGCUUAUCCAUGUGAGUCAAGUGAGCCUUCGGUUUUAUCCACUAUUCCAGAGUCAACUGAGGAGAGUGCUGAACAGAGACUUGAAAAGGAGAGGAUUCAAUGGUCCGAAACAGAGAGUAAAUGGAUGUCUCUUGUAGAAGAAUUGAGGUUAGACUUAGAAGCUAGCCGCAGCAUGGCUGAAAAGCAUAAACAAGAACUGAAUUUGGAGAAGAAGUGCUCGGAAGAGCUGAAAGAAGCAAUGCAGAUGGCAAUGCAGGGACAUGCACGCAUGCUUGAACAGUAUGCUGAACUUGAAGAGAAGCAUAUGCAAUUGCUUAUAAGGCAUAGGAAGAUCCAAGAUGGUAUAGAGGAUGUCAAGAAAGCAGCUGCAAAGGCAGGAGUGAGGGGUGCUGAAUCUAAAUUUAUCAAUGCUCUUGCUGCUGAAAUUUCAGCUCUAAAGGUGGAAAGGGAAAAAGAGAGGCGCUAUUAUAGGGAUGAAAAUAAGGGGCUUCAGGCCCAACUGAGAGAUACUGCUGAAGCUGUACAAGCAGCUGGUGAAUUGCUUGUGCGGCUUAAAGAGGCCGAAGAAGCUAUCACAGCUGCUGAGGUGAGUUUUUUGGAAUCAAUUGUUCCUAGUUUCGCUUUAUUCUAUCAGUAUGUAUUUUCUUGUCAUUGCAACACCAACGCUUGCUUUCCCAGUCGUUUACAGUCAACACUCAUUAUGAUGCUACUCCUUGAUCAUUAUAUAGUUCCUAUAUGUCUCUCUUUCCACCUGUGAUGCCAUCUUCUUUUACUUCUAAUUCCAAUUCUACAUAAAGGGUCUCACAUUUUCAAUGCUUUUGUGUGAAUAUAUCCCUGUAAUUACAAGGCUUGUCAUGUAAGAUGAGUUAACACAUCUUCUAUAAAAAUACUAUACCAAGUACUGUGAGGAGUGUUUGAACUAACCUCACUGGAACCAGUAUGAUACAGAAAUAUUUCUCAACAAGGAAACAGUUCUUAUUGUCUUCCACUUUCUUCUCAAAACAAGGAAAUAUUUCUUUUUAUAAUCUUACUGAAACAGAUGACACUCUCUUCCUCCUUACCUCGAACAAGUAUUUGCAAUCAAUAUAUAACCUGACAUUUUCAUCUGAAUGUAGAUAUUAUUUUCUGUUGUUUUGAUCUCCUACAAACUCUUUUCUACAGUGUUUUAUAUCUUUCAUGUUUUUCUUGAAAUUAUUAUGGCUAUGUCGAAUGAGCAUUUGGAUCUGUUUGCUUACUUGGUCCUCUAGAAGAAUGUCUAUACUCAUUGACUGUGGAUAAUGUAGUACCUCCACUGUAUGUGGAAACUGGCUAUGUUGGCUUGAGCUAUUAGUGUUAAACAGUUAAUUGUGUUGUAGAAUUACUUUAGGUGACGAAUAUUUUGAACUUUGCUUUUCAUGAUAUAUCAUACGAGAUUACAGCGGCUCAUAGUGCCAUUAUUUGGUUGUCCCGAAGCACGUUACCCUUCUUUUAGAUAUGUAUUGUUUAGCCAUAGUUAUCUGAUAAGUUCUAAUCUUGUGCAGAAACGAGCUAUUGAGGCAGAGCACGAAGCUAAGACAGCUUACAGACAGAUUGAUAAACUGAAGAAAAAACAUGAAAAGGAGAUCAACAAUUUGAAUCAGUUACUCGAAGAAUCCCGUCUGCCUAAAGAGAGAUCAGAAGUCAUUGUUAAUUCCGAGACAAUAACAUAUGAUGCAAGGGAGAUGAAUCAUGGAGGUGAUCAGCUGAGCAGAGAAGAAUUUGAGUCAUUUUACAAUAGAGAAGAGGAGGAGGACUUGUCAAAAUUAGUAGAGCCCUCUUCUUGGUUCUCUGGAUAUGAUAGGUGCAACAUAUAGACUAGACAAUAUGUGAUGUAAAGGUGGUGGGUGUUUGUUGUAUGUACCAAUAAUAGUGUGUUUACAUAGUUUUGGAAAGGUGUAGCUUUUCUCUUCAAAUUUCAAUGAUAGGAAUUGUCUCACCAAUUGUGAAAGAAACAACUUAAUCUAUCAAGCUCUUUUGAUCAAUAGGCCUAAUGAUUGGUUUUUUUUGUCCAAUGGUUCAAAAUUUAUGUGAGGCAUUGUGUUCGAAUCCCAUUCGUCGUAUAUCUUCCAAUUUCAUUAAACAAAAUGAUAUGCUUUUUUGUUCUCUCAGUCUCAGAUAUCAACAUGAUCUUGCUUGCUUACUGAUGUGGGCUUAAUACAAGUGUUGGAUUCAAGAGUCAUCCACAAAGGUACAUUUUCAUUCUCUGAACCCUUGUGCACUAGCUGUUUUAUCCCAGUUUUGAAUUGGUAUAGUAAAUUAUAUGCUGUCAAUCUUUUUCCUCCAUUCAUUUUUGGCAAGUCCAUAUUUCAAAUAUUGAAAACUAUAUGUGGAUGUGGAAGAUGGUAUAUGUGAUAUUAUUAUUAUUUUCUACACAACAUUGAAAAUCAUAUGUUGAGGGGUUUUGUGGGGAAGGUAUCCAUUGUUUUUCUUUAUUCAAAAAUUUGGAAUGUGCAUUAUUUGGAUAGGGUGGGACCUAGAAGUAGAGACAACAGGAACAGUGAAAAGAUCCCAAGUAUGAACAUGUAGUAGCUUAGAUCAUUUAUUUGCUUGGUUUUGGUGUCAAGAGGAUAGGGGGCAAUCUUCAAGUGGCUCAGACUAGUAUGCCCAUUGCAUUUUUUUGUAUAAUAUUUCGAUGCCAAGAACAGACAGUCCAUUAGUACUUUGGAAAACUUUGGCAACUUUGUUGAUAUUGUAGUCUAUCAUAUCUUGGAGACCAUUAAACAAGUAGCUUGUGGGAUUGUCUACUCUGACAUGUAACUCUCCCUACUUGUGGACCAUUUCUCUCUCUUUUUUGCAUAGUCACUUCUUUUUCACUCAAAUACAAAAGAUAGGAAAGAUACCAUGUAGGCUCUCAUUCCCUAGCCAUAUAUUAGCCAUGGAAUUGUUGUGGAUCCCAUAAUUGCUUUCAUAACACCAAUGUUCAGACCACACCAGCUCGUAUGCAUCUCGAAUAUUUCAAUAAGUAUAUAUUGUGUUUUCACCUUACCGUACCAAGGCAGAUAAGAUGAAAUCACCUAACAAAAUUGUAUCUCUACACAAGUCCGACCAACUAAAUUAUUUAAAUGAUUUAAUUGUUGAGAUAUUCCUUUUAGCCCAUUUAUGUGAUUAAGAAACACUACUAGAUAUAUGUUAUCCUAAAACAUGAUGAUAUAUGUAUGUAUAUAACAAAUAUAUAUCCUUUUAUUAUAGGAAGGGAUAGGCACCUCCUUCAAUAAAAAUCAAUGGGGCAAAUGGUGAGGAAAAUGACAUUAGUAGAUGAAACACCUACCAUUUUAAACAGGAAAAGGAAAUGGAACAGUAACAUGGGGCAAGUCUUUGUGGUCCAUUAUAGAUAAAUUGUUUGUUAAUUACUAUAUCUCAUUUGGCCCAUGGAGAGAAACAACUCUCUGCAAAAAUAAAUAAAUAUAAAUUACAAAAGAAAGUGACUGUUUUUCUGUGGCUACAAUGUUUUUCUUAUUACAGUUUACCAAAAUGGAAAAAUAAAAUACUGUCUACUUUUUUGCAUCAUGUAUCUAAAUGAAGUCAAAUUAGAUAUUAGGUAUAUUGACAUUUUCCCCAUGGACUUUGGUUGAGCGGUAAGAGUGUAGCGCGUGAUAUAUAGGUCAGGCCUACGUCAUAGAUUCAAAUCCUAUCACAAAUAGCUUUUUUUAGCCCUUGAAUAUCCGAGACAUAAAAAAAGCACUUUCUAUGCAAUUCCAAAAUCAUUUUCGUGUUGGCGGUUCAACAAAAAGGCAAAGUAAUGGUAUUUUUCUAUUAAUUACGAAUGACACACUUUGCCUGCUCCCUCCCGUAUCCACUAGCGCUCGAGAGCAAAAAAGCAUCGUUGAAGCAGCAUAAGCAGACUUCUAUUACUACGUAAUUAUUAUCAUGAAGUUUCAUAUUCCAUUAGUGAAACUCCAUGAAAAAAUGCAUAAGAAUAGUGAUUAUUUUUCAAUUACAUGAUCGAAAAAGUGUUUGAUAGGCGUUAUUUCUACUACAGAAACCUUAUAUUAAAGUAGAAAAGGAUAAAUAGGGUGGUCCAUUACUCCCCCUAGUUUCGAAAUGUGUGUAAUGAAUGGCCCGCAAGAUUUCUCAAUUAUAUGAAAAAAAGGAAAAAUAUGUAGGUAUGAGAAUACUUAAUUUAUUGAGAUUCCCCUAUCUUAUUUGAUCUUUGAUUAUAACAUGAUUUACAAAAUCAAAUUCAAUAAUGAUAUUGUUAAAGUAGUUAGUACUAAUUAAUGUCUUAUUAGAGUAAAAUGUGCUUUAAUAAAAUACUGCUAAGCAAGAUUACAUUGACAAUAAAGCAAAUCACUUUGCUAUAAUCCAAAUCUAAGUACUUGAAAUAGACACAUUUUAAGUAGAAAUCUUGAGAUAUUCUUCUAAAGAUUACAAUAGAUUUGAUGAAAUUAAAUGAGAAUGUAAAAGAUAUAGUUGGUGAAAGCAAAAUGAUGAAGUUGAUUAUUCAAUCUUCACAAUCACAACCUGUUUUUUAAUAAUUUAUUUAAUUUAUUUAUCAUAUGAUAAAUUUGCUGCUUAAGUUGGAAGAAAGAGACAUAAAGUGAAUGGAAGGUAUGAUAUAUACAGCAUGAUAGGGAAAAUUAUAUUGACAGCCUGGUAAUUGGACCCCUCUUCCAACCACACAACAAGGACUUAAUAAUCCAAAGUAUAGUACAUGUAUUUUUUUUAAUUAUUUUUUUUCUAUUUGAUAUCUGAUAUUAAUAUUGAGGUUUGAUCAAAUUUAAUUUCAUGUCGAAAAGUUAUAUAUUGAGGUAUAAAACACUCUAACAAAGAUGAUUAUGUACUCAAAACUUGAAUAUGUGAUAUUUGUAAGGAUGAAGAUGUAGUAUUUAACACUACUUCAUCACAAUUCACAACCCUUAUUGAUAGGUUUCUAUUUGAAUUCACGUCGAAAAAUUUGUAUUUGAAUUCACAUUUGUAUUCAAUAUUUAUAUUGAGAUUCGACUAAAUUUGAAUUUACGUCGAAACUUUUUAUAUUGAAGUGAAACAUUUCCUAACAUAUACGACUCUACACUCAAAAUUCCAAUACAAAACAUCGGAUGAUUAAGAAGGAAGAGUAUUUAUUACUCUAUCACAACCCCUAAUAUAUAACAUACACUUCAAGUUGUUUAAUCAGCAUACUAGUUAUGCAGGAAAUAAAAUAUGUAAAUUAUUAUGAGAUAAGUAAUAAUUAUAGCAUAAAAUUUAUUAUAUGAUGAAUAAUAUAACAUGAACUUGUGGCAUAAUGUAUAAGUAAUAAUUUUCUAGCAUGAGAGUUCAAUGGUAAAGUCAAAAAUUUAUUAAGAAUAUUCAAAAAUUAGUAUCUUACAUUUGAAAAAUAAUACUUAAUCUAUAUAUUUUGUAUAAUUUUUUUAUCAAUGAUAUUCAACUAAUCACCUCUCACUACACCUGACUACGCCUCUACAUAAGACUAGCUAGUAUCCAAAUGUCACAUCCUUAACCCCCAUCCCCACCCCACCCUUAUCUCAAAAAACAAUUGGUUGAUCAAUAAUAUUCAAUUAUAACAAAUUUAUUCAAUCAAUCCCUCUCAAAAUAUUUCCCUUUCAUUGUGGACCCUAAUUUUUCGUUAUGUCCGGAGUUAAUUAUGGGAAAUGCUAUUAUUAAAAAUCUAUUCAUGCAGUCAAAAUCCAUCAUUCUUUUUUAUUUUAUUUUUAAAAAAAAUUCUUUUGUUCAUGAUUUUAAUUAAUGGUUUGGUAUAAUCAAAGGUGAUUUAACAAAUAACUGAAAUCUUUUUAUUUUCACCAACCAAAUUGACUUUAUUGAGGACUAAUAAUAAAGGAAGAUUCAUGUAUCUUCUUUUCCGGAAGUAUCUUUCAAGCGUUUGAAAAAAAAGAUUAACGUCUUAACUGACUGUCCAUUCAAUUAUUUGAACUAAAAAUAAUCGAUGAAUAUAUAACAUGUUUACCAACUAAAAAGAUAAAUAAUAAAAUUGAUUAACUAUUUAUACAAAAGAAGGAAAAUAUUAUUACAUAUUUUAUAUUAAAUCAAAUGAUUUUUUUUUUGUUUUAAAAAAAUAGAUUUUAGAACAGCCUCCAAAAACAAGUUAUAUGGAUGAAGAUUUCUUUUUGUUGGUGUUUAUAAGAUGUUAGUAAAUUUGCUGACAGCUUUUCAUGGAGAAAAAAAUAUUAAAGGAUUUCUACACAUCUGAAUUCCACUACUUCUUUUCUAUUCUUUUAUGCUUUUUCUACUUAUCCAUUUCUCCCUGUCUUUUUUGUUUCGUAUUCGUAUUAUGGUCUCGAUUAAUUUAAAUUGUAGCGAACAAGGCUCGAGCGAAGCUAGAAGUCCAAACACAAUCUCGUCUGUAUUGAGUGAUUUUUAUUCAAAUAAAAAUUAUAAAAUUGAAAUCACCUCCAAUAAAUCAAGAAAGUACUCUCAUAGUAUUUUUUUUUAUAUUCAAGAUUUGAAUAUCAAGUCAGAAAAUAUAUAUUAAAAGAUUUACUAAAUAUGUGAAUAUGAAUUCACAUACUGCUUGUUGGAGAGGUGGGGAUAACCUAUUAUUUUUAGUAAUAGCUUUCUUUCUUCAUGUUUAUUAUUAUAUGUUGCUUCAUGUAUUUUGUAUCAUAUUAUUUUAUCGGUUUAUUGAAUCCUCCUUCAAUUUCUUUCUUUCUUUUGUGCCGAGGCUUUAUUCGAAACAACGUUCAUACCUAUAAAGAUAAAAGUAAUUAAGUCGGCGUACAUUUCAUCUUUCCAAAAAUCUUUAAAAUGCCAUAUUUAUCUCACUAUAAUCCCUCUCUCUCUCUCUAUAUUUAUAAAAAAUCCAUUAUUUAUUUCUUUAAGCAGAAGGGAUUUUCACAAAAGUCAUCUGAUUCCUUAGCCAAGUCAGAACUUCACCAUUGCCAACCUGGUUUUACAAUGUAGAUUCUUUUAUAUAUAUAUAUAUAUAUAUAUUACUCAACGGAGUUAAAAUUUUCACUAAACAACAAAUUAUUUUAGCAAUAUAUAAAUUAUGUAAUUUUCUGUCGAUCCUCCCUUGCUCUGCCUCUAUUUCUUUACGUAACUUAGGUCAAAAGUCUUUUGAAAACAUUUUUUCUAUCUCUGUAAGAUAGAAGUAAAACAUUUCUAGACUCUACCCGUAAAAUUAUACUGACUCCAUCAUUGUUAUGAAUUAUUGUGAAAUUUAGUUGUAUGAAAGUAAAAUUUAAGGAGAUUAAUUAGUAGAGGGGGCUUUGGAUUCCAGCUGAAUUGCAUUAAUUUAACAAGACAUAAUUCUUAAUCAAAACAACUGGAGUUAAUCAGACACAAUUUGUUUUUGUCCCCACUAACAGCUGUUUUCUAAUAACAACAAUCCUAUCUUUUCCACAACCCACGCUACUUAUUAAGGUGGUUUUUUUAAUCAUUUUUUUCAAUUUAUUUUGACCCCACUUUUAUGAUUAUGACAUAUAUUUAUCAAUUUUAAAUAAAAAUAUAUAACAUAAGUAGCAUAACUACUUUUUAUUUUACAAUUUUACCCACCAUUUAUUUACACAAAAACAAUAAUCAUAGAGAUUGAUUUUUUAAAAUAUUUUUUGUAGAAUUAAUUGCUCUAAUUGAAAAAAUAUUUAUUCAUAUCCGUUAUUUAUAUCAAUUAGAGUUAUAUUAUUCCUAAUUAGGCCUCAAUGUAAAUAUCGAAGGCAGAUAAAAAAAUUAUGGGAAGAGAAAAACUUAAUAUUUGUAAAUUGCAAUAUAAUUGAUUAUUAUUAUUAUUAUUAUUAUUAUUAUUAUACAUAAAGAGUAUAAAAUAUAUAUUUUUUUGUGAAAAAUAAAACAAUAGAGACGUGCAAGUAUACACUCUCCAUGAUUGGCGCAUAAUUUAGGAGUAAAAGACAAUUUUCAAGAUGGAGAUUUUUUUGUCAAUGUCUUUUCCGUUUAUUAUGUUAUUUCGAUUUGCUUAAUGUUAUUUAUUUUUUCUACAUAAUUUGAGAACUAUUGCACAUGAGCGAAUUUCUGGGGUUCCAAAAAUAAGAUUUGCCAAAUAAAUAUAAAGAGGAAACUAAAUGAAAUAUAACAAUUUUGUCUUGAAUAUAUGAAUUAGUGAUAAAAUUAAAAUGGUAAGAAAAUAUGUGUUUAAGAAAGUACAUAUCCAUCCUCUCAACACAAUUUCUUACCAAAUGAGACUACAAAAUAUUUUACAAAGUGCAAAUCUUGGUAGAGUUUGCUAAUUGCCUCUCCAAUUUUUGUAGUAAGAAUUACAUGAAGGAAAGAAAAAUAAUUAAAAUAGUAAUAAUAACAAUAAUCAGAAUCAGCCAAAUAAAUCACUAAAUAGAUCAAGAAUUUUGAAGAGAAAAAAUAUCUCUUUAAUUUCUUCUUUCUUCGUUCUUCUUGAAUAGCGAUAUUUGCUCUGAAUAGGUCUUAAUCGUGAAUUUUCUCUCUUUAUGUACAAAGCCUCUCUUAUUUUGGGGCCUCAAAUUUAUUCAUCAAUUUUUACUAGGCUUUUUUUGGGUCAUAGUUCAACUUUCAUUUGAGAAUUAGGUACAUUGCCUGCAUUCAACAAAGAAAAAAAAAGUUAAACUCUUUGUAUAAUAAUCAAUAGGUGCGUUUUUCUAAGCGAGUUAAUCUUUUGUAUACUGACAGUAUAAAAAAAAUAUUUAUACUAAUAAAUCAUUUAAAAAAUAGAUCAUACAAUAAGACAUGUUACCUGCUACACUGUGAAAACUUUGGUUCUGAUUUUGGCCAAAUCCCAUUUGAACAACACUAUUGAGAUCAUCCUCAAAGAAUGUGGGGACCUAAAAAUAAACAAAUUAAACUUUCAUUUAGUAUUUUACAAUUUUUUAAAUAAAUUCCUAUGCUGCUCGGAUCACCCUAGAUUAAUCCUCGAUAUUUAGAUGAUCCGACACAGAUACGACAAUAUUUUUGAAGAAUCCGAACGACCAGGAUUAGAUUUAUUACCUGAGGGGUAGGUUCAACAAAACCAUCUAGAGGAGGCAAUUGCAUGCUUGAAUUUCUGAUUAAAUUAGGAUUCAAUGAGUUAAUUGGGAAAGGAAACUCUGUUCCUUUAUGAUAAUUUUGGUUUGGUUGAGAUUGAAAUCCAUAAGGAAAUCCUUGUGUUGAUGUCUCUGAUUGAUACAUGUUAUGUGCCAAUGAUCCCCUAGAUUGAAACAUCUGAAAAAAAUAGCCAAAAAUAUCGUCAGGUACGUGUCGAAAUGCAGUAAUAUUUCUAAAGAGUCUGAGUAACGAAGUUUAAUUGACUUACAUCUUUGGAAAGAAGUGCUUCCAUAUUAAAGUCCAUUCUUGGAUUCACAGUAGCUAAUUUCAUUGAAAGGAACUACAAAAAUGACAUUAAAUAAGUAUAAGAAUUUAAUAAUAUAGUCUCAGAGGUUAAUAGGACUCCCAUAAAAUUUAAGUGUAUUACAGUAAAUUCGAUCAUAAUUUACCUCAACUUGACGUUGAAGUGAUUGUACAUAGUUAAUAAUCUCAUCAAGCAUCACAGCUUUUCCAGUCACCUAUAUUAAAAAAUUCAGUUUCCCAUAUUAAAAUUAUGAAUUUACUAGCAAAUCAACAAAAUAAUUUAUUUUUUCCAAAAGUAUAAAAAAAAUCACCUUAUUGCAGCCUGGUACAAGAUCUUGUAAAAGCUUCAUUCUUUCACUAAUUUUCUCCCUUCUCACCUGUCAAGUUGAAUAAACGACGUAUUAGGAAAAAAACAUCGUCACACCUGUAUCAGAUCCUCAAAAAAUUACUAUAUGUUUUUGAAGAAUCCGAGUAACAGACAAUGUUACAUACUCUUUCAGCUAGACUAUGUGCAUCUGUGGCCUGUCCCCUUCUAGCUCUCACAUGAAUAUAGUCCUUUGGUGGCUCUGUUGCCUUUUGGUUAUCUUUAUUUUCUUCUAAAACAGCUUUUUCCUCUUCUUUAGUUACUUUAUUUUCAUUUUCCUCAGACUUGCUUCUUUUGGCAUUUGAUUCAUUUUUCUCCUGCAAAAUUAAGUACAAAAAAAAUAAAAUAUUAGUACUACAAAUUUCCCAAGUAAUAGUUAUUAUCUCAGAAAGUAGCUAUUUUUUAGGCGACUUUCUGACAUAGUAACACACUGUUUGAGCGACCAGCUAAGAAAUCAACUAUGACUUACAUUGACAAUCUUGGAUGAUUUUCCCUUGGAAAUUGAUUUUCUUUUUCUUGAAUUGGUAUCAUUUUGACCAAUUAUUUGCUCAGAAAGUGAUGAAUUUUCUCUUGAAUCUCCAAAUUCUGAAUUUCUUUGAACCAAAUUGACAUCUUUGAAAUCUUGAAUCUUGAUAGAAUGAUUACUUGAAAGUUGUCCACUUUCCAAAUUUGUAGCAAAACAAGAAAAUCUAGCAGCUCUUUCAGCAAAUCCAGGAUCAGUAGUAAAUUGUGUUGGUGGUAAAUUUCCUCUCAUAGAAAGAUUCAAUUUUGGUGGAGAAUUUAAAGGGGUAGUAUAACAAGAAUUAUUAGUACUACUACUAUUAUUAUUAUUAUUGUUACAAAUACUUCCUAGUCUACCAAUUAAUUCCCUUAAUACAAAAUUAUCACCACCACUAUUAUUAUUAGGAAUUGAAAUAGGAGAAGAUACCAUUGAACUUAAUGCUGACUCAAAUGGAUCAGAAUUAUUGUUAUCUAAAUUGGGAUUAAAGAAACAAUUUUGAAGAUGUUCAUAGGUAGUGUUAUCAUCAUUUAUGAACAAAUUUCCCUUUUCCAUUUUGAAAAAAAACAAACCCAAAAGGCUAAUAUUGAAGAAGUAAUCAAGAGGAAAAAAGGGUAGAAAUUUUCUUGGAAAAAAAAUGGACACAAUAUUUUUUGGAGUAGUAACAAAAUAUUAGAAGAAAAUGACUUUGUUGUUUGAAAGGAAAGGAAAUAUGUAGAGAGAAUUGGAAGAGAAAAUGAGGAAAGUGAGAUUGAAAAAUAUAGGAGGAAAGUGUAGAGGAAAGAUAAAUAAAAUAGAUAAUGUGUGUUUGACCUUUUGUUAAUAGGUGGUGGGACCCAUGUAGGACUUCUCGAUACGAAUUUAAUUUAAUCAGAUUUCAAUAUGAAUAUCAGACAUCGAACGAGAAAAAAAUAAUUAAAAAAUAGGUGGUGGGUGAGAUGGGGUAUGGGGGAAGUAGAGGGGUGGUUGCCGGGCCUUAAACGCCAAACUAGCUGAUGUUUAUUUUGUUAUGGGAAUUAAUGAAAAAACUAUAUAGUAUUUCAAAAUGUCCCAAAUUUAGGUAUGUAGUACUAGUAUGUACAUCAAUUUUCGUUAUUCAUCACAAUUCUAGUUCAUUCGUAUCUUUAUCGUUAGCAAUUUCUUUUAUUUGUCUUAUCACAAACAUAGACUAAAAAGUAACUUCAAUGUAAAAAUAGAUAGAUUUCACGUGUUCAAAUAAUUUUACGAGAAAAGUGAAUUUAGAUUAGGUCUUUGAACCUGAAGUAGUAAUAUUUGUAGGGAAAAAAAUAUGAUUUUCUAUUCCAAUUGUUCCUUUUUUAGAAGAAUCGAUAAGAAACAAGAAAUAUUUCAACGCGAUUGGAUUUCAUACUAAUUCCAUAGUUUAGGAACUAUUUCGAUUCUAGUGAAGUUAUAAAAUUAGAAGAACUUGAGAAAUUUUGAUACAGAGAGUUGUCAAGAAAUUCUAGUAAUAACUGAUGGUUUCGAUCUUUUGGAACAACUCGAUGAUUUUGUUAACCAUUUUAAAACUGUGCUUGAAGUUAAGUUGAAAUAUGUUAUUUGGAAAUUGAAAUUGAGUUUUAACUUUAUUCCACUUUAAAACAAAGUAACAAUAUUGCAUUUCAUUUUCUUGUUCUUUGCUAUUUAUUUCAUUUUUUGUUUUGUUUAGAGGAAAGAGAUAGGAAAGCCUUUGUGUUUUUGGCAUUUUUUCCCCACUUAAGUUCCUUCUCUUUCUUCUUUUUCUAAUUUUUAAUUAAAUAAAAUAUUUUUCUCUAUGUUUUCUGUCUUCACUAUGUAGUUAUGGAAUCAUUUUAUUUUUAAAAUGACAAAAACUCCACUCAUAAAGAAGUCACAUUUAUGAAUGGAUCUAAGUUUUUUUUAAAAAUUGUUAGAUAAAUGAUACAAAUGUAGAUACGUAUUCAUACGGGUUAUUUCCGGUGUUAUGAUGAUAACACCGCAUUUACAUAAAUAUACUUUUGUCACUGAUUAGAGGGUCCAAAUUUGAACCUGAUACUCUGAUUCUCUGAACAUGGAAAAAAAAAAAAAAAAUCAAAAACAAGAAAAUUUUAAUUAAAUGUAACGUGGAGAAAGUGCAAUAAAGUCCCUUUUCAAUUAUUUUUACAGUAUUUUAGUUGUUCUUUAUUUUCCUCAAAGAAUUAUUUAUUAUACAUAAAAUAAAAGUCUUGGUUGGCCUAUUUUUUAUAUUUAUAUCGUUGUGAAAGAGUAAUGAGGAAAACAGAUCUAAAGGGGUCUAUUUGGGACCCACAAGAAAAAUAUUUAAAGCAAACAAAAGGUUUUGAAAAAAAAAACUAUUUUUUUUUAAAUCUUUAUAUUUAAGAUUCAUUAGCACUUGGUAGUAGAAUUGGAGUUUACUUCUUCACAAAGUAAUUAAUAGUAGUAUAUAGAAAAGUAUAUACUACGAAAAUUAGGAGCAUAUUAUAUAUAUAUAUAUAUAUAGAUGAAAUUAAAAAAUAUGUAUAUAAUGUAUAAUGAUAUAUCAGAGAUAUACUAAUUAUAUAGUUUUUCUUUUUUGCUUUUGAAAAUAAUUUUAUUCGUGUGAAUUUGUAAUAUCGCGAAUUGUCAUGAUCUCAUACUUAUGAAUAAAUAUAGUUUGUAAUAACAUAAUCAGAUAAUCUUCUUUUAAUCUAUCUUUUUUAUAUUAUUUGCACUUUUCACAAAUAUGCGUAUUUUUUAUCUUGUAUGACUAUACUUUUACCUUGAUUUAUGUUUAUUAUAUAUAUAAACACACAUAAAGCCCCUACUUUGUUAAAAAAAAUUCUCCAUAAUUCAAUUUUUUGAUUGUUACGCUUCUUAAUUUCAUCAAUUAACAAAAUAUUACAUACAAUAUAUGAACUCAUCAUAAUAUAUUUUUAGUCAGCUCAUUUUUUGGUAUAAUUGAAAUUUUUAUUAAUUAAAAAUUGAUCAAUUGAAAUAUUUUGUACCAUAAUUUCUUCUUUCUGGCUGUACUCAAUAUAAUUAUAGUGGCAGAGAGUUGUUGAUCCAACUAUUAUUCAAAUAAUAAAGUAAAUAAAAGCAUCUUCUAAAGCUUCUUUAGGAAUAAGUGAUUACAAUAUUUUAUUAUUAGGAUUAAGUGAAAGUAGCAAGUAAUAAGUCAAUAACAUAAGAUUGAUUUAACUGUAAUUAGUUGUGUUUAGUUGGAAUUCAUUUCUAAAUUACUAAAGGGAAGAAGAGGACAAUGAUGAAGAAUAACAUAAUAGAAGACAAAAAUAGAAAUAUAUAUUGUAUUUUUACUUCUAUUAUGUAAAUUAAUUAUUGCUAUUUUAUGGACAAACUUAUAGUGGUAAGUUUUUUAAUUUUAAAUUUCAACUUCUACAGAUAGAUGAUUGAAUGUUUGAUUAAACAUGCCAAAUGUAAACCUUUUUUUUAAUUUUUUUCUGUACUUGUUUUCAUCUUGGGAAAUGUAAAGGAGAAAAAAAUGUCUCCUCAUUUCUGUUUUUAUCCACCAUAAUAAUAAAAUGGAUGUAAAGGAGUUUAUCGUAAUUGUGGGUUUAAUUAAUUAUUUAAUAAAUUGGAUAUAAAUGAAGUUUAUUUAUUUUUAAUCUCGAUCAACUCAAAUCUCCUCUAAACAGUACUAAAAUCUAGAUACAAAUUCAUGUUUGUGGUAUGUUAAACUUAUAAUUGAACUCCUCUAAACAAUACUAAAAUCUACAUACGCAUGUUAAAUUUAUAAUUGAACUUUGAAGAAGCCUCAAUAGCUUAUAGUGUCUUUUAUUUUUGGUCAAUUCAAAAUCUCGUCUAAAUAAUCCCGAAUCUUUGCGGCGCGUCAAAAUUUAUAAUUGGUGUGUAUAUACUCCAUGAGUGUAAAUAUUGAUUGGAUUCUUUUUCCUCUCUAGUGUUCUUGGUGAACGUUUAUUCUAUUCUAAUAAUUUUAUGGAGUAGGUGAUUGUAGAAGGUUGUGUAGGCUUCGAUGGGCUAGAAAACCUAUAACGAUCUUGUGCUAAUUAUAUAAAAAAAAAAAUUGUGUUUCAUUAAAUACUCAUUUUACCAUAAAGUCUACUAGUGUCAAGUGUGGAAGCUCGAUUACCAAGUGAAAGAACAAAUGUUUUUGGUUAGAGCUCAAGAAAAAAAAAACUAGAGGUGGUUUGUCUUAAUAUAGGCCUAGUAUUUUAAUAUCAACUUAUUUAAUUUGGUUCAUUAUUAUUUACUUUGUUAUUGCUGAUUAUUAAUUUUCUAGUAGAGUUUUGCACUGUUUUUAGUAUACUUUACUAUAUUUCUUUUUUGUAUUUGUAUUUGGGUUUGUGUGCCGAAAGUCUUUUGAAAAUAACAUGCCUAUUUUUACGGGAUAGUGGUAAGAUCUGUAUAAUUCUACCUCUCUAAACCUCAUUUAUGGAAUUUCAUUGGAUAUUUUGUUAUUAUUAUUGCUCUUUUUUGAUAGACUUUGCAUUGUUUCCUUACACUUUUCUAUAUUUCUUCUUUGUAUUUGGAUUUGGAUUUGUACAUUUGAGUCGAAAGUUUUUUGGAAACAAUUUAUAUACUUUCACGAGAUAGUGGUACGAUAUGUGUGAUUCUACCUCACUUAUGGAAUUUCAUUGGAUAUAUUGUUGUUGUUGUUCAACCAAUGUUUAUGUAUUAUUGUGUAUAUUGAAUAUAUAUAAUCUACAUGUAUAUCAAAGUAGAAAAAGUAAAUAAUAAAUUCACUCGAUUAUUCAUGUAAAAAUCCCGAUUAAUUAUUCACAUAUUUUAAUCUAAUAAGGUAUUAUUUUGUGUGAAUUCAUCGUGUCGGUUUGAUCUAUUUCACAAAUUGAGUAGACUUUUUGACUUAAAAUGACAAGUAAUAGUACAAAAAUAACAAAUAGGGUACUUUCUUUUUUUCAGCAUUAAAUACGUGUCAUUACGUGAUUUAAUAAUUAAAAUUUCUUUUAAUUCAUGAAAAUAUGGAAAUAAUAAUAAACUGUGAGUGGUAGCCCAUAGAAAUUGUAAUUCUAUUGGUGGAUAUUAUAGUUUUAUUUUAUUUUUUCUUCCUUUUAAGGUAGUUCUGCUAAGUUUUCUGGAUUGACCACGUGUUGUAAAUUUUUGGUCAAUUCCCAUAACCUGUAGAAUCUGUAUUUUUCAGUACUGUUACUAACAGUUAAAAGUAGUAGUAAAUGCUAUAUGUACGUAGAAUAAUAAUUUUGACAUCGAUUGAUUUGUCUCGAUUUUUGAUUGAUGAACAAGAACAAAAAUGAAAUAAUUUUAUUUUAGAGUCGUAGCUGCUACGUGACUUUUGGACCCUUCUCUCCGUCCGUCAUUAGUAUAUAUAUUAUUAACGCUGAACAAAAAUACAUAAAAAAAUUAUUAGAAUUUAAAAAUAUUAAAUUAUGAACGCAUAAUUAAGUUCAAAAUUAUUGGAUAUGAACCAUCAAAUUAUGUUAUUUUUAAUAUCUUCUUAUUGACUUAGUUACACCACUCAUCGAUAUAAUUGAUAGGUUGAAAUGUCUUUAUAUCGAUCUGUCGAUCUUAAAUUUUGAAUUCGUCUCUAUUAAAAUACACUUCGAUUAAUGAUUUAUUUAUUUAUAAUAUAAAAUUAGAGCAAAUGCGUGAAUCCAUUGCAUGGAUUUGCAUGGGAGUUGAAAGAACAAUAAAGACAAAAAAAUCUCAUAAUAUAAUAUAAUAAGUAUGGUUUUGCAUUUAAUUUAUUUAUAUUUAUAUUUAUAAUUAUUUAUUUAUUUUGCUGACCAAAACCAAACUUUUCCUCUAAUAAGCCACCGCCCCAAAUCUUUCAUCUUACACAGUUACACGUUAAUAAAUUUUUCUUCAAAUUCAAUAAAUGCAAGUGUGGACUGAAUAUAUAUAUAUAUAUAUAUUGAAUUAAAUUCAUGCAUUAUGUACAUAUAUGAAGGGACAUAUUAAUAAGGUUCACAAAAGUCAUUCUUGUUUAGAUAUAUAUAGUUUCUAAAAAAAAUGACAAACAUAUAUGUAUUCUUAAAUUCAACGACAAUAACGUAUGUAGUGUAAUUUCAUCUAGUACAGUUUAGGAGGGGGGGGGGGGGGGUGGGGGGGGAAAAAAAUUUAAAUGANNNNNNNNNNNNNNNNNNNNNNNNNNNNNNNNNNNNNNNNNNNNNNNNNNNNNNNNNNNNNNNNNNNNNNNNNNNNNNNNNNNNNNNNNNNNNNNNNNNNNNNNNNNNNNNNNNNNNNNNNNNNNNNNNNNNNNNNNNNNNNNNNNNNNNNNNNNNNNNNNNNNNNNNNNNNNNNNNNNNNNNNNNNNNNNNNNNNNNNNNNNNNNNNNNNNNNNNNNNNNNNNNNNNNNNNNNNNNNNNNNNNNNNNNNNNNNNNNNNNNNNNNNNNNNNNNNNNNNNNNNNNNNNNNNNNNNNNNNNNNNNNNNNNNNNNNNNNNNNNNNNNNNNNNNNNNNNNNNNNNNNNNNNNNUUUGGGGGGGGGGGGGGGUGUUAGGUGUGUACAUAACUUUAUAAUGACCUUUUGAAGAUAAAGAUCAAGUUAUUUUUUAUAGAUCCUCGAGCCUCAUAAGCUGAUCAAGUAAUACAUAUCAACAAUCAAGUAUAUAUAAAACAAAUAUAGUAGUGAAGAAUUCAUACAAUAGUAAGGAGCAAGUAAUAUGAUAAUAAUCAAAGCAAGAAAAACUUAGAAACAACAGUGAAAUUAAAAUCGAAGAAUAAGCUAUUGUAAUUGCCGGAAAAUAUUUUAUAAUAAGCAAUGACGUAAUCUUAACAUUGGAAUUAUAAAUACAGGUUACGCUAGAACAAUCCCUUUAAAGUUUAAUACAACAACAUAUCACGUAAUUUUAUAAGUGGGAUCUGAAAAAAAUAAAAACUACACAAAUCUUAUUUUUAUCUCGUAAAAAUAGAAAGAUUGUUUUUUGAAAGAACCUUGACGACAUCCUUUAAAGUCUAUUAAUGUUUUGCAAAAUUCAGAUUAGAAGCUCUGAAUCUGAAUUUCAUUUUAGCCAUAAUAAACGGGUGAUAGAAAUAGGUUGCCUAACCCCUACACUUGAGUUAGGUACUUUUUGAGAAGAAAAAAAGGUUAGAUAUACAAAUUCAUGCUUUUCAUAAUUUUUUUUCAAUGAGUAAUCUUUGAGAUGUAGACCCUAUAUAUAUAUGUGUGUGUGUGUUGAUUUAUAUGUUCAUGGAUUUGCCAAACUUUAAGGAUAUAAUCUCCACAUAUUAUUAGUGUUAUAGGCGACCAUAUUAAUUAUAUGUAUAGGGGGGUUUGCUUAUAUUGCUGAUUUCAAGUUCUAAUAAAGUGAAAAAAGUUAUGAUACACGAGCGAUUAAUUAAUAACUAGUUAUUUUAUAAUAAAUCCUCAUAAUACAUAUUGUUGAGAUGAAUUAAAUAUAUAGGAGAAGUGUGAUUUUUUUUGUAUAACGAUUAAUUUAACUUGUACAGGAUAGAGACGUAUAUAUGAUUAUUGUUGUUUAAUAUCCAUAUGUUCGAGAUUCAUAUAUAUUUACGUAAAUUUAAUUUAAUUCUUCUCUUACUUAGAUCCUUUUAAAAUAAUGUUUCUUUUUCCAUCCUUGAUUUUUUUUUUCCAUUUCCCUUUUAAUGCUCAAAUAUGUUUAAAGAGUCAUGAAAAGGAGCCAAUAUUCAUCAAGACAUGAAUUUUGUUUUUGCAUAAAAUAGGUUGUAUGUAUAUUAGCUUAAUUAUACGUACGUUUAUACCUAUUACGUAUAAUAUUUUCUAUUAAAAAAGUACGUACUUUUCUUAUUUUGUCUUUUCUUACAAUAAAAAUUGAUCACCACUUAGAAAUUACAUUUCAAGCGUAGCAAUUAUUUUUUUAAUUUUCCAGUGUUCAAUAUUCAUCGAAUGCUCUGAUUAAACUAGAUUUGUGCAUUGAAAUUUACACGACUCAUUUCUGAGGCAAUGCUCUAGAAAGUUCUUUUCCAUUUCGCUAAAUUUUAGGGCUCGAACCAACUAAAAUUCUUGAUAAAAAAAGUGAAUAAAUCUCAAUCAUUUUAUCGCGAAAUUGUAUAGCAAGUAUUAUUUCAUUUCACACACAACACAUUUUAAAAAAAAUUGCCCAGCCAUUGUUGACUAUCUAUAUAGUCUAAUACAUUAAUUAAUUAGCCACUCUUGUUCCAUACAACUUGCAUUAAUUUUAUUUCAAUUUCAAACUUCAAAGAUGCCUCUAUGUCGGCAAAGAACAAAAUUUAUUAGCCCCCAAAUUAAAAAAAUUACAAAAAAGAAACCCAAAGGUAAAUAAAAUAAUAUUUUUAUUAAAAAGGAUAAAAUGAAGGCUCAAUAAAUACUCGAACAACUCUUUGAUCCUAACGUGACAUUCAAUCAUUAGAAAAUAAAAAAUAAAAUUGUAGCUUCCUUUGACCUAAUAAGUAUGUUUACGUAUCCUUUGUCUAGGGACAAGUGUUGCUUUCUUAUUGGUACUUGGCACAAAAAUCGAGGUAAAACUUUGUUUAUUAGGGUAUUAAGUAAGUUUUAAAAAUGGUUUAAUUUAUUGACAUUGCAGGUUUUCUUAGAAUAGACCAUUUUGUUUUCCUUAAUUAUUAUACUAAUACGUAUGUAAUUGCCUUUUGUUUUCCACCGGUGGUGAAUAGUUAUUUUGGAGCUUGAUUAAUCUGAAAUCGAUAAGGAAGUUCGACUUUUGAUUUGACUCUCUUAUAAUAAAUGAUUCGAAUCGAUCGAGACUUAUGCUUAAGAAUUAAUAAGGAUAACUUACUAUUUUAUCUUAAGUUUUUGUGCUACUCAACUCGAUGUGUAUAUAGCAUCUCGCAUUAUGGUUCGAUUAAUCCAAAAUCAACUUAGAAGUCCUACUUUGGGGUAAUUCUUUCUUUGUCAAAGGCGAGUUCAUUUUCAUGCAUUUGGAUCGAAAUUUCUAAUUAAAGAUAAAGAUUUACUUAUUCAUAUGUUGAGAAUAUGAUUAAAAUAAAUAAUAGUAUGCUCUCUCUAAUAAUAACUUAAACUUUCCUGUUUUUAGAUAUGACAAUUACUUAAUUCCAUAUGAUAGCAGAGUGGGCGGACAACUUCUGAGAUCAAGUUUCGCUGCCACACAUUAUCAAAUUAAAAAAAUUCCACACGUACUUGUCCCGUUAAAAAAAUUAAGCCUACACACGAGAAGACGUGUUGAAAUCAUAUGAUCACACACUUCAAUACCGUGCACCCCUCGAGUGAUCAUAUUCAUUAUUUCAACUUUGCAGAUUAAUUUUAUUGAAGCAAUAGUAGACCAGUUUUAAUCGAUCUCAUCUAUAUUUCCCUUAUGAAAAUCAUUUCUAAAACAAUUAUCAUUAACGAGUUUUCACUUUUUACUAAAUCAUAAAUUUGAAUUUUCACAAUUAAGUACUAAAACAUGUGAAUUUAAUUAUAACCAAUAAGAUUAUCUAGAAAUUUCUCCUUGAACUUAGAAAAAGAUAAACAAAUUAUUUUUUAAAGUAUAAUUUUCCAGUAAACAUUGAAGAAGUCUCUUCCAAUUAAAGCCUAGAAGGAAUCAUUUGUUUAUAUAAAUGUCAGGAAGGUUAAUGAUUAAGGGAAAGAUUAAAUUAUUUUUAAGUGAUAAUUAAUUAAAUAUUGAUUAAACGACAGGGGUGUCAGAAAACAGAAAUUAUUCGAUUUAUUAUUGCAAAUAGUUUAUUUUAGAAUUGCAAUUCAUUUCAAUAUUUAAUGACCGACUUCUUUUGUUUUAAUGUACCAAGAGGGUAAUUAAUUAAAUAUAUUAUAGGUAACUUCUAAUGUAGUAUAAUUAAUAAAACAAUUUUGUUUUGGGAUUUUGUUUAGUACAGUAAGAAUAAGAGCUCUAAUAGCUCCACCCUGCGUAGAGAUUAAGUUUUAGUCCAUGCUAAUAUAUUUACUUUAGAUUAAAUAUUUUCUAACACUUUUAGUCUUAUCGGGUAUCUAUGUACAAAAAUAGGUAAUACAUGAAACUUCUAGUAAUACUUAGUGAGCCUUCACUACUUUGUUAUGUAAUUUUCAUUCUUUCGUCAGGUUAUGACUCUGUAAAGUUAAUUUUUAUUUUACAUAAUAUUAGACAUAUGUGAAUUUAAGUAUAUGGAGAUUAUGAAUAUCGAGAAGUUAUAUAAAGUUGAUCCCAACUCAGAUGAGAUUGGUAUAUAAAUUGUUAAUCUUGAUGUUUUAUUGAUAGUCGUCAAUCUAAAUUUGAUCCAAUUCAUAUAAAUAAUUAAAAUAGAGUUUGAAUUCUCAGAGUUCGAUUCAAAUAAAUUUUGCGCAACUCUCGAUCAUGUGAUGGUAGUUUAUAUCUAUUCGUCGCAAUUAAAAUUUAUGAUAAAUUUAUAAAUUAAAGAGAGAAAAUAUACAUAUGCAUGAAUAAGAUAUUUGUGGGAUUUCAAUCAAGUUGAUUGACAUGAAUACAUGGAAGAAUGUUAGCCUUUUAACAUGCAAAUCACCAGUAUUUAAGCCUAAAAUUAAUUUUUAAUCAAACUUUAAAAGUCAUACAUGUAUCUAUCACCUUGUUAACAAGUAAAGUAACUUAAUAUAGAUUAAAAAUAAAAACUAAAUAAUAAAAAUAAAAGAGCAAGAAAGAAACAAGUGGUAUAAGACUUAUGAGUGGGAUUCCUCUAGGUUCCCAUUUUCUUCUAAGUUGACUUUUAAAUAUUUUUGACUAAUUUUUUUUAUUCAUCUUUUAUUUAUUUAUUUAUACUUCUAUUUGAUUAGCUUGUGCCAUAGACUUGUGCAUAAGUCUAUGUGUUGUAUCUCAUAUAUAAUAUAUAUAUAUAUAUGAAGUAUUGUGGAUAUCUAUGGUUAAAAAAAAGAAGGUAGUUGAUGUACUAAACUUUUUCUAUAUGCAAAAUUUUAAAAAGGGCAGGACGAUAAAUUACACAUCAAAAUGAAUUUUAAAACUCACUAUUUGGUGUUGGGAGAUUGAAUUUCUCGACAAUAAGUAAUAUACUUUUUAAAUAAUUAUUAAAAUAUUUAAUUUAUAUUAAAUUAAGUGUUAAUAAUUCUACGUCUUAUUGCAGAAUGAAAUGUCACAAAGUCAAAAUGAUGAUGAAGAUGAAUUUUCAUAACAAUAUGUAUGUUAUAUUGUUUUUAAUCAAUAAAAGUUCAAUAUUCACAUUUAUAAAAUUUUAAAACAAUUAACAAGUAUAAAUUUAAUUUUGUGGGACAUUAAUUAACCAUCGAAGAACAACAAGGUCAGAUGUACCAAUUAUGUGUGAAAAAGGUACACAUAAACAACAAAAAUCGCGUCGGAGUAGACGAUAAUCUCUAUGCAUAAUAAUAUGCAAUGUAUAGAAGUUUUGUCCUUUUUUUUUUUUUCAUGUCCGUAUAUUUGUCCUCAAUAUUAUAAAGCUAUAUAAAAAACUAUUAAAGUUGACUGCAUCACUUACAAUUUUAUUUACAUAUAAAUAGUGAAAAUACAGAAACAACAAUAAAUACAAAAACACAAUAACAAAACGAUUAAAUAAAUAAUGAGACGAUUAAGUAAACAGUCGAUUAUUUUUUUAAAGUCAUCUGCCUCCUUUUUAAAAAGAGAAGGCACAUGACGGCUUGAGCCUUGUAAGGCUCAUGUUGUCAUGUGCCUUACCCUAUAACUUUGACGACGUAACACGAAUAUUGCCUUUUUAAUUUCAUCUUUAAAUUGUUUGUCUUUUUAGAAAUUUUGACCAAUUUUCUUGUCCUAUUGGCUCUAAACUCUUAACUUUUGACUUUCUCUCACACUUUCUUGUUUGUUUUUCAAUUUUUACAUUAAUAUUCUUUCUCAAUUAAAGUAAUUGUCACCUUUUGUCAUUAGUAAAGAAGGAGAAGGAACUUUUUUAUUUUUUUCAAUUAUAGGUCUCGGGUUUGAGUCCCCUGGAUACGAAACAACCUUUGUUUGGGAGCACUUAUUUCUCAAUGUGGGACUUUUCGACGUAAAUUUGAAUUUACUCAAGCUCCAAAAACUUCAACAUCAAUAAUGGACACCAAGUAAAAAAAUUUAUAGAGAAACUAGAACCAAAAACAAAAUUUGAAACGAAAUAUAUAAAAACUUAAAACUGGGCACAUUUCAACGGUCUCCAUGGAAAAUGUACAUUUUAUUGGGUUUCACAUUGUUAUGUCGUAUGAAAAUGGAUUUCACUGUAUUUUGGGCCUUAGGAUUACAAGUUGGGAGAAGUUUCUAAAUGACCCUUAUGAUUAUUGAUUAUGAUAUUUUAUUUCUCAUAUGAAAAGUUUUACAAAAAUAAUUUUGAUUAACUUUUAAACUACUCGUUAAUUGUUUGUGUGACCCAGGACAAUAAUAAAUUAUAGAAACUUUAAUAUUAUAUCAUUAUUUGUGUUCUUAUUAAAUUUAUGGAGCUAUUUUAUUUUUUUAUCAUUACUCAUUUAUAGAGCUAAGAAACUAUAUUUUUUGAAAUCAUUUUGUACUUUUAAAAAAUUAAAUUACUCGCAGACUCAAGUAUCAAAGUACAAGACAAUUUUUUAAUACUAUUUUUUUUUUGUAUUUUUAUUAUAUAAAGAACUCAGCCCUAAUUCAUUGGUGAGAUUAUAAAUUUUUUAAUUGAAAUCUUUUAUUUUAUUUUUAAAAAAUCUAAAAAUUGAAAUAAAAACUUGAUUAUCUAGAUUGAUGAUUUAAUGCAUUGAUAUGUUAUUAUAUAAGAAACUUAUAACUUUGCAUAUUAAAAAGAUAAGAUUCUCAUCACUAGCAGCAACAACUACUUCUUUUCCAGCACCACCAGCAUCUUCUUUUCUAGCAUUAGCAACAGCCUCUUUCCAGCAUCAGAAGUAGCCUUUUUCCAGCACCACCAUCAACAACAAGACCUCGCUCAACAAUAAUAACCUCAACACCAUUGUUAACAACAACAACUUCCUCAGCAAUCGGUCUCUCAGCAACCAUAAUAUCUCUAUGCUCCAAAUAAGCUCUCACAUAGGCGAGGAAUCAUCAACAUCCAAACAUAAUCCAAGUUUGUUGAUCGAGCUUAUGAUCUCUAACCGAAACUCCGAUAGAGAGGGAACAUAAUGCGUACAUUAUGCCCAUAUCAGUAGUAACCGGCCUAAUAAGCAUCACGAUGCAAAAGGCUGUGACUACCACUGAUAUGAGUGUUCCAAGCAUAUAAGGAACCACGGGUACACCAUGAUGUUUGAGGAGCAACACAGUCCAACCGAGUAUCACCCCUUGAUGUUUGUAAAACUUGACAAGUGCCGAUGAAAUUGGAUAUGGCAAAUUUGCACCACAAGAAGUUCUUUCACGAGUGUGAAUGUGCAGACCCAGAGAAUACAAGUUGGUGAAUAUAAGGAAUAUGAUAACAUUAUGAAUUGGUUUAGCAUCUUUGGUGAAAACAAUGCCAUCAUGAAUCAAGAACACAACUGCAGUCGCGUAAGAAAUUAUGUUGCCCCUAUACCACAAACGAAUCCCUCAUGGUUCCAUGCUGAAUGAUUUUUUUUCAAAAAGGGGAGAUGUAAAUGGAGCUCUGUUCUUUUUGUUUUUCUUUUGUGCUAUUAAUAAGUUCUUGUUCUUCUUAUUAUCCUCUUAUUUUUUAGUGGGAGUUAAGAAGCUCCCACAUGUCAGUUUAAUGUUACAUAAUUUCUUUUGAGGGUAUUUUGGUCUAUUUAAGCUUAUUAUUGUGUAGUACCUUUUUAUUCUUUCUGCUGAAAUAUUUUUUCUUGAAUUACAAUUUUCAAUAAAAUCAAGAGAUCUCUAUGUUAAAGCUUACUAUUUGUGUAACUUUUGUAUAAUAUAAUUUGUAUAACUAUUUAAAGUUCAGAUGUUUGUGUUUGUAUAAAUUCGUUAUUUCGUGUUUAUACAAAAAUAGUUCAAUUAUACAAAUGUACCUGUGAAUUAUACAAACGAAACAUCUUAAACUGUAGCUACAAUCUGUAAAUAAUUAAGUUUAUUAGAGUGGUUUUUUGCAAAAAUUUCUCAUUUUUUUUUACCUUUAGAAGUUAAAUAAGACACAUGUCUCCAGAGCUCAAAAAUAUUUGAAGAUAUAUUGUAAUGGCGAACAACUGAAAUAAAGAUCAAUAAUUACUUAUUAACUCAGCCCAAUUCGACCCCCCAUAAAUUCAACACAUUCAUUCCAUUUGAUUUGAACUUGGGUAUCAAUCACCACCACAUCCACCACAAGCACAAAUAUUUUUAAGCUCUGAUAAAAAUUAGUGAAAUAAAAAAAACUUGUGGGAGACGUAAUGAUCGAAAUUUUUUAAUAGGGAGAAUAAUUUUAAUCCUGAUCAUCUUGCAAAUAAUAAUAUUCCUUAUCAAUCCGUUAACUCUCGUAAUUGAUUUCUUAUUAACGUCAUCACUUUUAUAACGUAAUGACCAGAAAAUUUCUAAUCCAAUAAAAAGAAUGAAGUGUUUUCUUUUGAAACAAAUUUUCAGACUAAAGGAACAAUUUUUUGAACAAAAAUCCAAAGCUUUUUUUUAAUACUAGAUUAAAAAAAGCAGAGCAAAAGUAGAAGACUAAUUUUAAAAUCAAAAUAUAGUCUUAAUUUAAAAAAUCUCAUAAUGGAUUACAUUGCAUAAUGAACACCAAAAAAAGGUUGUCUACCAUCAACUUGCAACAAAUUUUUUCACAAAAAAAGGGGUUAUCUAGGCAUCAACCCGCAACAACUUCUGUCUCAAAAAAGUGGGUUAUCUACCCAUCAACCCGCAACAGUUUCUUUCUCAUCACUAGCAGCAACAACUGCUUCUUUCCUAACACUAGCAGCAACAACUGCUUCUUUUUCAGCACCACCAGCAUUUCUUUUCUAGCACUGGUAGCAACCUCUUUCCAACACUAGAAAUAGUCUCUUUCCCAACACCACCAUCAACAACAAGACCUCCCUCAACAAUAAUAACUUCAACACCAUUGUUAACAACAACAACUUCCUCUAAAUUAUGGAUACCGUAGGAAAAAAAUAGCAAAAGAAGAAAUCAUUGAAUAACUGAAAACCAAAAGUAGCAAACAAGAUUAAUUCCUCUAAAAUUUAAAUCAUCCCAUUUAAAAUUGUAAGAUAGACAAAAAUCACUAUGUUUGCAUGAUGGGAUCAACAAAAAAACAAAAAGAAGGAAGCAAAGUAUCACCCCAACCACCACCACCACCAACCCUCACCAACAUCAUCGUCUUCUUCAUCAUCAUUGGCUUCUUAGACUACUUUUUCCAUAGCGUCGAAAGAGUCGAUAGCUUCAGCCCGGUCAACAACAACCACACUAUCCACACGGCCGGCUUCUUCAAUAGCGUCGUCGACUCCUUCCACGGCUUCGACCCGGUCAACAACAACCUCACCAUCACGACUGGCUUCUUCAAUAGCGUUGUCGACUCCUUCCCGAUCAGCAAUUUCAACAUUGUCAUUCACACCCUCAGCAGCAGCAGCAGCAUCAAUCACUGCUCUGUACUCAAAAAAGCCCUUCACAAAUACAAGAAGCACAAACAAGCCAAAAGUCAUCUCAGUUUGAUAACCCACUUUGUCAUCCCUCGCUGAUAUGCCUAUAGACAGCUCACAGAGGGAAUACAUUAACCCCAUAUCCGUAUUAGUGGGUCUAAUAAACAUUAAAAUGCUAAACGAAUGGAACACUAAGGACAUAAACAUUCCAUACAAAUAAGGACCCGAAGGUACCCUAUCAUGUUGGAGAAGUAAUAUGGUCCAACCAAAUAUAGCUCCGAGAGGGUUGACCAUCUUGACGAUAGUCAAACUAAACAGAGUUUCCACAUUUUCGCCUCGAAUAAUAGGACCAACAUCAAUCAAUAUCGUUAAAGUAAUCGAGUUGUACAUAAUAAGGAGUGAUGAUGUCGUGAUCUAUUUUAUUAACACCUCUGGGGCCCAAAACCAUAUCAAGCAGUAAGAAGAGAAAUACAAGGAUAAAGUAAAUGGAAUCGGAACUAACGUACAAAAUUAUCUCCCACCGUUGCAUUUUUUUUUUGUUUUUUUUCAAGUCUGAAAUGAAAAGUUAUGUCUGUGUGUUAAAAGAGUAAGUUACUUCUUAUUAUAUAGGUAGUUAUUAAAGGGAAACAAAAUACUUGCUAUGUUUGUUUUCUUUUGUAGUUGGAAUAGUUGUUUGUUUCAGAAAGUAUAUGGCACAUGUCUGCUUGCACCCAGGGUUAUUUUCAUGUUUCCUAAGCUUUAAAAUGAUUUUUUGUUGGACAAAAACACGUGUUUCCUUUUUACUUCCUUUAUUGCUUAACUUUUCUUUAAAUGCUUGUGAGUCUUAUAUCCCAUUAGAUAUCUCUUUUCAUAUAUAUAUUCUUUUUACUACUCAUGUAUGUAUUUUAUCUUUAAAAUUGUUAGAUAGACAAAACUCACUAUGUUUGCAUGAUGGGAUCACAAAAAAAUAGAAAGAAGGAAGCAAGUAUCACCACAACCACCAUCACCAACCCUCACCAAUAUCAUCGUCUUCUUCAUCAUCAUUGGCUUCUUCGACUCCUUUCACAACUUCUUCGAUAGCGCCAAAAAAUUCGACAGCUGCAGUCCGAUCAGCAGCAACCUCACUAUCCACACGACCAGCUUCUUCAAUAGUGUCGUCGACUCCUUCCACGACUUCAACUCGGUCAACAACAAUAACUUCAACAUUGUCGUUCACCCGAGCAACCUCAGCAGCAUCAGUAGCAAUCACUGCUCUGUACUCAAAAAAUGCCCUCACUAAAACAAGGAGCACACACAAGCCAAAUGUCAUCCCAGUUUGAUACCCGACGUUGUGAUCCCUUACGAAUAUGCCGAUAGACAGCGCACACGUGGAAUACAUUAACCCCAUAUCCGUAUUAGCGGGUCUAAUUAGCAUUAAAAUGCUAAACGCAUAGAAUACUAAGGACAUGAACAGUACUCCAUACAAAUAAGGACCCGCAGGUACCCUAUCAUGUUGGAGAAGUAAUAUGGUCCAACUAAGUAUAGCUCCGAGAAGGUUGACCAACUUGACGGUAGCCGAACUAAACGGAGUGUCCACAUUUUCGCCCCGAAGAGUAGGACGAACAAUAGUUAAUAUCGUUAUAGUAAAUGAUUGACUCAUGAUAAAAAGUAGGGAAAAGGGACAAAUAUACCCCCGAACUUUUGAAAAUAAUAUGUCAAUACCCUCCGUUAUACUUUUGGUCCAUCAGAGGCCUUGCCGUCCAAUAAUCAGUGCACAUUUACCCCUCUCACUAACAGAACACACAUUGUGUACACGUGGCGCAAUCCUAGACCACAACCCGGAUUGACCAAUUUUUUAACCCGAAUUUCAAAACCAGCCCAUAACCCAUUUAACCCACCCGAUUUACCCACAAAUAAACUCAAUAAAAUCCUAAAGAAAAAUGGAAAUCCUUAUUGAAUUCAUCAACAUGAACCUUGAUAGGAUCCUUAUGAACAUUAACAUCAUUUUUAAUCCUCUUCGCAUUUUGGUGAUCCACAUACGGCACCGCCGGCAACGGCGGUGAAGGUGACGACGGAGACCGAAACCCACCCCAUCCGUUAUUACUGUGAGGAUGAUAAUAAGGAGGAUAUUGAUUUUGAUAGACUAUAGAUCUAGUACCAUAACUAGACUGACGGAAACUAAAGUGGUAAUUCGAAUUGGAAUGAGUCGGGUAGUUGGGUGGGGGAGGAGGGGUUAGUAUGUUAAGGAUAAGGGUUUGGGGGAAGGGGGAGGUGUUGUAGAAAUUCCCAUUUUUUUCUUCCUUGCAAGAAGCAGAGGAACAGUAUAAGAAGAAGUUUGAAGAAAUCAACAAAAGAAUUAGGAAGAAGAACGAUGGAAAAUAUGGGACCCACGUGGUUAAGGGAAAGUGAUUAGGAAGUUAAGUUGUUGAAAAAAUAAUUUCAAAAAUUAAGUUUUACCAAAACAAUCCAUUAAUUAAUAAGAGUAUUUCGAUAAAUUUUUUAUUACAAUCGUAUUUUUUAAAACGUGUGUAAAAUUUAACGUAAAUAACUAAACUUUUUAGGAAUUUUAUCUAGGAUUUUAGAGAGUUUAUUUGUGAGUAAAUUGGGUGGGUUAAAUGGGUUAUGGACGGGUUUUUGAAAUUUGGGUAAAAGAAUUGGUCAAUCCGAAUUGUGGCCUAGGAUUGCGCCACGUGUACACAAUGUGUGUUCCGUUAGCGGGAGGGGCAAAUGUGCACUGAUUUUUGGACAGCAAGGGCUCUGAUGAACCAAAAGUAUAACGGAGGGUAUUGACAUACCAUUUUUGAAAGUUCGGGGGUAUAUUUGUCCCUUUUCCCUAAAAAGUAUGAUGACGUCGUGAUCUAAGUUAUCACGACGGUAGCCGAACUAAACAGAGUUUCCACAUUUUCGCCCCGAAGAGUAGGACAAACAGCAGCCAAUAUCGUUACAGUAAACGAUUGUCUUAUGAUAAAGAGUAUGAUGACGUCGUGAUCUAAGUUAUCACCUUUGGGAACCAAAGCCAUAUCAAGCAGUAAGAAGAGAAAUGCAAGGAUAAAAUAAAUGGAACAGGAACUAACCCACAAAAUUAUCUCCCACCAUUGUAUUUUUUCUUUGUUUUUUUUCAAGUCUGAAAUGAAAAGUUAUGUCUGUGUGUUAAAAGUGUAAGUUACUUAUUAUUAUAUAAGUAGUUAUUAAAGGAAAACAAAAUACUUGUUAUGUCUAUUUUCUUUGGUAGUUGGAAUAUUUGUUUGUUUCAGAAAGUAUAACGCACAUGUCUGUUUGCACCCAGGGUUAUUUUCAUGUUUCCUAAGCUUUAAAAUGAUUUUUUGUUGGACAAAAACGUGUGUUUCCUUUUUCUCUCUUUUAUUGCUUAACUUUGCUUUAACCGAUACUUUUAUGUUUCUCUUAUAUAGAAGAGACAGUUUUUCAACUUUCAACAUGACUGUUUUUCGCCAUAUUUAGGAAAACUUAAGGGCAAUUUGGUCCAACUAAUAAUACUUUUCUAAUGAAUAAUAUUGUACUUCACUUUUUUGUAGUUGUACUUUUAAAAUUUGGGACAUAAAAGCCCUUCCAUAUUUUACUUUUCAGCCGCAAAAAAAAUUGCCUACUUUCCAUGCAUGUUAGGGGUGUGCAAAAAUCGAACCGACUGAUAAACCAAACCAAUAAAAGUGUUAUUGGUUUUUGUUAUUGGGUUAUUGGGUUAACGGUUAUUUAAUGGAUUUACAAAAAAAAUUAUUGGGUUAUUGGUUCCUUAUUUAUUUUUUAAAAUUGGGUUAUUGGGUUAACCGAUAAGCCAUUAAGAAUAUAAUUAUUUAGGGCAAAUUAUAGAAAUCACAUACUUUUAAGGCAAAAUUACAAUCUAUCCCUUAAAAGUUUAUAAUUACAGAAAUUCCUCAAACAGAUACAAUAAUAUAAGCGUUGAUACAUUAAUCUGAUGGGUGAGAUACAUUAAUCGUUAAGUAAGAUACAUUACAUUUUAUACAUGAUACACUAAUUUGAUGUACAUUUUUAUACAUCAUACACUAAUUUGAUGCGCGAGAUACACUAAUCUGAGGUACAUUUUAUACAUGAUACACUAAUCUGAUGCGCGAAAAUGAGGGAUUUUGGAGAUUUGUAAAACUUAUAGGGGAUAAUGGUAAUAAGUAAACUAAAAUGUGGGAUUUCUGUAAUUUUUUCCUUAUAAUUAUUUAUCAUGAUAUUUUAUUUCUCAUAUGAAAAGUUUUACAAAAAUAAUUUUCAUCGACUUUUAAACUACUCGCUAAUUGUUUGUGUGAUCCAGGACAAUACUAAAUUAUAGAAACUUUAAUAUUAUAUCAUUAUUUGUGUUCUUAUUAAAUAGAGAAACUUUCACAUAUAGCAAACAAAAAAAUCAUAUUUGUAUGAUAUAGCAAAGUUUGCAUAAUUGCGCUCCAUAGCAAACAUAUAUCUGUAUAAUUCGCUAUACAUAUAUACAAAAAGAAGCAAUUGUAUAAUUCGUUAGAUCCUCUUCAGAAUUGUAUAAUUUCGCUGGCAGGCCAUUUGUAUAAAUUGUUGUUAGCCUCUCGUUUGUAUAAAUCGUUGACAAACAUAAAUUAUUACAUUAUACAAGCAUAAAACUGGGCAGGGGAAUAUUUUUAUUGUAUAAUUAUAAGUGUAUAGGACGAAUAUAUAUGUAUUUGCAUGUGUAUAUACAAUUUCUCGCGCUUUUAUACAAACAGAAAACGCAAUUUAUACAAUUCUGUUGUAUAAAACGAGAAAGAGAGAAAGACAAAAGAGAACUGGGCAGGUCUUUCGCUUUAUACAAACAUAAAUUAUACAUUAUACAAGCAUAAAACUGGGCAGGGGAAUAUUUUUAUUGUAUAAUUAUAAGUGUAUAGGACGAAUAUAUAUGUAUUUGCAUGUGUAUAUACAAUUUCUCGCGCUUUAUACAAACAGAAACGCAAUUUAUACACUUCUGUGUAUAAAGCGAGAGAGGUGAGCACAGAGAGAGUGAGCGAGAGAGGAGAGUGGCGAGCGAGAGUCUGAGGGAGAGAGGCGUUGGCAAACAGUUUGCUACAGGACACAAUUAAAUCAAAGUGUGAUUAUACCAUUUAAUUUGAAUUAAUAGUUUGUCAUUAUGUACAAUUUUCCCUAUUAAAUAUAUGGAGCUAUUUUUUUUUUUUUAUCAUUACUCAUUUAUAAGAGCUAAGAAACUAUAUUUUUUGAAAUCAUUUUGUACUUUUUAAAAAUUAAAUUUACUCGAAGACUCAAGUAUCAAAGUACAGACAAAUUUUAAUAUUAUUUUUUGUAUUUUUAUGAUAGGGAUAAGGGUCUGAAAAAUAUCUCAACUUUGGCCGAAUUUGAUGUUACGAUACCAAACUUUUAUGAGGAUCUAUUACUCCCUAGACUAUUUAAUACCGUACUUUAAACAUAUAUAUGUGCCCAUGUGGACAUAAAAAAUAUUGCAUAAUUAUAAAUAGUAAUGUAUCCACGUAACACAUAUAUACUUUUAAAAUACAUUAUUAAAUAGUUCAGGGGUAAGAAAUACACUAUUAAAUAGUUCAGGGGGUAAUAGGUCCUCAUGAAAGUUUGGUAUCGUAACAGCAAAUUCGGUCAAAGUGAGGGUAUUUUUCAGACUCUUAUCCCUUUAUUAUAUAAAGAACUCACCCCUAAUUCUUUGGUCCGAUUAUAAAUUUUUAUUGAAAUCAUUUAUUUUAUUUUUAAAAAAUCUAAAAAUUGAAAUAAAAAGUUGAUUAUCUAGAUUGAUGAUUUAAUGCAUUGAUUUGUCAUUAUCUAAGAAAAUUAUAACUCUGCAUAUUAAAAAGGGAUAAGACACAAGUACCUUACAUUGUGACCAAAAUUUCAGAGACAUACCUAAACUAAACUAGGUCCUACUACUACCUAAACUAUAUAAUAUAUAAUUCUAUUUAAUACAUAGGUUUUCAAAGGAAAAAAUAACAUUUUUAGUCCCGAUGUUAUUGUUAUAUUCUAGUCUUGGUCCAAGUGUUAUUCGACUGAGCACUUUCAGUCUUCAAUUAAUCAAUGUGGACUAUUUUAAAUUUGUUUGCCUUACUCUUCUUUGAUUUUUAGUCAGUUUCAAAACAAAUGUUUUUUAAUUUUUCUUUUUUGAAAACUCGUUAAUUUCAAUUUUUCACAUGACAUGUUUAACAUCAUAAGAUUAAUUUUUUUUUUUGUAUAUUCUAAAUAUCUUUAGUUUAAAAUCACUGUUGACACCCAAUUUUGACCCUUCCCGAUGUAAAUUAAUCAUUGAGCUUCUUAAAUUCCGAAUGAGUUGAAAUAAUUGACUUUAUAAAAUUCAAUAUAUUUUUCAAGUUAGUUUAAAGUAAUUUUGUCAUUUUUAUAAAAAAAAAUUUGAAUAAUAUAUAUGCUUUACAUAAUUAUGUAUAUAUCAAUUAGUAUAUUUUAUGAAUAUUUGAAAAUAGUCUCAAAAAGAUUUUGUUUUAAUUAAAUAUUUGGUAAAUUAAUUUUGGUUAUAUAAUAGUUUAUAUUUUUAACUAUUUAGGUUAUAACUAAAUUGAUUAUCCUAUUUCGUUGAAAUUAAGAAGCUCGUUAAUUAAUUGACAUUAGUUCGUCUUAUACAAGUCUUAAUCAAACUCGAUUUGGCAACAUUCCUAAAUUCAUUGGGCUAUAAAUGUAAUCUAAUAGCCAUGUAUGCAAUUGCAAAUUAGCAACUCCUUUUAACCAAUUUUUUAUUUUAUUCAAACCAACAACAUACGUGUACAGACAUAUGUCCUAGCCCACCAAUCACCCAUUUUAAUUCUUUUUUUUUUAAUUACAACAGCCCAACACUUGAUUUAAUUCCCACAAUGCAACAUACAACACCAAUACCCGGCCCACUAUCAAUUUCCAAUACAACAACAUACCAAAUUAGCCCAUACAAUACAACAACAAUUCCUAGACAUUCCAAAACCCAUUUCCAGCAACACAAUACGUACAUCAGUUCCCAAAUAACCCAAAAUCGCCCAGACCUGCUUCUUUUCUUCUUCAGCGGAAAUGACAACAAACAGAGGGCAGUGUUAACAGCAAUUGCAUUGUCGUCUUCUUCUUUUUCCCUCUCAGGUCUGUACAUUAGCAACCAUGCGCUCCAUCCUCCUUUCCCCUUUCGGAAUGAGUCAAUACUUCAGGGGAAAGGGUGUUUGUCCAAAUCGGUGAAAGAAUUUGAAUUUUGAAUUCGGGAUUGACCCGAAUUUUCCCCCUCAAAAAUCAGCCCGAAAAUGUCCCUAUAUGUAUUCCCCUCUUAUCCACUGUGAGAGGGGAGGUUUUAGGGUUUGUUUUUGGAUUUUGGGGGAGUGAACAAAAUUCUAUUUAAGAAGUUUGAGUAUUUCUUUGGUGGGGGGGACGAAAAAAAAAAGAAGAAGGAAAAAACCAGAAGCAGUAGCAUUCUAGUAGCCACAAUUUUUUUUAGAUUUUCUUUCUUUUGGUAGGGUUCCAUCGGAGCUUCGGGAGUUUAUCGCAGCUGCUUCGUAUAUUGAUUCCAAAAGAAUUUCGAAUUUCUUUUAGUCUUGGUUUCACGCUUUAUUCACUAUCCUCCAGAUUUCGUCGGAAUCCCUUUUCAGUGGUGAAAGGUUCGUGAGAAGUCCAGCUCGUUCGUCCUAGAUUCGCUGCCCGGAAAAAGGUAACGCCUCCUCCCUCAUUUACGUUUUAUUUCGAUUUCAAGUAUUGUGUGAUGAACACUCUAUUGGUUUUCUUGGAUUAUUUCUUGUUUCUUUUCUUUAUUUUGAUAUCUACUCAUGAUUGAAAGCCUGUUUUGGUUUGAGUUUUGAGUCUGCAGAUUUAUUUCCUUAGUUGUUUAAAUUUCUUGUCGUUCAUCUCAUUAUGCACUAUUUACUUCAAGCUAAAGGGAUGAGUCUGGAUAUAUAGAAAUCUAUUUGCCGGAACAUUGUUCGCUUAUUUUACAUUGUCUUUAAACAUCCAUCUCUUCAUUAUGUGCUACUGUUUGUCAUAUGAUUAAAACAGAUGAAGAGAUAAGUCUUGGUUGUCUUACAUUAAUCUCGAAAUGCCAGUGUCUGUCCUCUUGUUCCAGUGCCAGUUAGAUUGUUCCCUGUUGAAUCGUAGGAGCUCGAGUGGGCUGUCUCUAUUUGCUUUAGUUUAAGGCGAAAUUAAGUGUUUUCCUUUUCAUCUACAUGUUUAGAUUGCUCAAGAAAUGAGUUGGCUUAACUUUUCUUUCCAUGCUUAGUUUAGGCGUAUAUUUCAUCCUAUCUUGAGCAGUCGUAAGUAUGUCAUAUCCAAGUUUGCAUUUAUUGUCAGUUUGCUUGAUUUCGGGUUUGAUUCAAAUUCAUGAUAUCAUAUCGUGUCAUACUUUUCCAGCAUGCCUUAGUUUCUUUUUGUGCCUCGUUUUGUUUCUAUUUGGAUAGUGUUCAGCUAUUUAUUCACUGCUGGAAGAUGGAAGGUGUUUGGAUUAUUUUGAUCUAGUGCAAAUCACUUGUAAUACUUAUCAUGCAGUGCAUCGAGUGAAUAGCCAAUUUGUUUAUCUCAUUUAGGAUUUAGUUUUAUAUUGAAUUUGUUGGAAAACAGUAGCUUAAGUAGCCAUAUUUUAUUAUUAGCAUGACUUGGGUUAUUAGUAUCUUUGGGAUUUGUACUCAUUUUUAGGUAUCCACUGUUUAGUCCAAUCAAGUUAUUUGUUAUAUAUUAAUUUAGGUGUUGUUAUGAUUUGCCUUGGAUAUAUUGUUGCUCUAUUAUUUUGGACACUAAUCCUUACUAUCAUUUUUGUCGCAUGUGAUGCCGUCCGAGUCUCUUGUGGACUCCCUCCCUCCUUGCAUAUCGAAUUGGGCCAUGAAGGCCCAAUCUUGCCUCUUAUCGAGUCUGCCGAGUUAAUGGAAUUGAAGAAUAUGGCUAGAAAAUUAGAAUUGCAGGUCUCGAAACAGAUGUGUACAACCUGAUACACCCCAAAAAUGGGCCAACGACCCUUUUAAAAUCCCAGCUCUUGUAUUGUGUUACAAUUGGGCUAAAGGUCCAUCUUUUAUUUGAGUAUUCUCUUGUUAGUUUAGGACAGGUACUAAGUUUUGGGCCUUUGGACCCAAAAUCGAAAUUAGGCUCAAGUACUGGCCCAGGCGGACAGAUAACCAGACUUGGGCCCAAACUCUCUUUCUCUUUAUUUUAUUUGUUUUUGUAUUUGUUUAAUUGUUUAUUUGCUAGUCAAUUUUAAGGUUGUCUUAAUUCGAUUUCCCCAAAAGAUAGUCGUUUCUAAAUUUUCUAAAAAAACUAAAUAAUCAUAUCUAUUUUACUACCUAAGUUACUUUGUAAAAUAUUAUAUUUAAGUAAAUCCCUUAUACUAUUUCCCUCUCCCAUAAAAAGAUAAUUCAAGUCUUAAGUUGUUUAUUUCCUAAACUUGUCAAACAUGCUUUUAUUUUAAAACCAAUUAGCCAAAUAGUUAAUUAUAGGAUAAUCGUGUGUUAGCGGGCAUUUCGGGUGCUUUCAAACCCUUCCUGAAAUGCUAAUAUGAGCCUCGAACCCCUUUUAAGUUUUCAUGAGAUUUUCUGUUUUACUCUUUUGAAAACGACGGUUUUCUUGAUUUUUCUUAAAAAUUAAGUGGCUACUCUUAAAUUAGUCUAAGUAAUACUUUCCUAAUAAAACAGAAUGGCGACUUUCGCUGGGGACUUGAAUGGGUUCUAACCUUAAGAUUAACUUAUUUAUCUAUUUGUUUAAAUUGUUUACUUGUUUCAAUUCUUGAAUAUUAUAAACUGUUGCAUCUCAUGGCAUCCGAUUCCGCCAAAUGGCAAAUAGUGUGCAUUGGGAGAAAAGGCGGUUACGUGGCUUUCCACGACUGUCCUUCAGAAAAAACACCUUUAAAUUCUUUCGAAGUGAUAAACGAAUAGUUGGCUUGUGGUCAUCCAACGUCGUUUAUUAUACUUCACCCCGUAGUUUGUCCAACUCGGGUUCCCGGUCUUUCAAAAACCAACUCCUAGUCAACUAGUGUAGAGCGAAAUCAAAUCCCUUUUAGCACAUCGAACUAAGAUGACCCAACACCCCAAAGGGUGUGUUGGGGCCCCAUUAGAGAGACCACCUUGAGUCCAAAAUGGCCCACGACCUAAUUGGACGAUCAUACUUACAUGUUCAAAUUUGAAGGAUGUAUAAGUUAUUUGAAAAAACUCAUUGUCCCUUGGGGUAAGGAGUAGAUUAUAACUUAUUCUAGUCGAAGAAAGAGAUUUACAAGCUACUAGUCUAUCUAAAGGCGUCGAUAUUUGGAGACGACAUGAAGUUCAAGAAAGAUAGAUUUUUCAUGAAGGCAUAGCUUAGGAUUGUACCCCUGCGCGGGAUUGAUUAUUUUGUAUCCCAUUUUCCCUAUUAUGUAUCCCCAUUCAGUUUAUCCAUAAGACUUGUAUAAAUUUGGGUUUUGGGGCAAUGAAACGUUUCAAUUAAUGUAUACAUCCUUCAAAUCGUUAGGCCUACCCUUGGCAUAAAAGGGUCACAUAUUUGUUUAAAAAAUGCGCAAUAUUUGUUUGUGUGCUACAUGAUUAAUUGUUUGUGUGAAUAUGUUGUUUACUUGGAGAUAUUCUAGCUCACUCAUCGAAUUUUUUUUUAGAACCUCCAAGCAUAAAUAUCAAGUCACUAUCAAAAGUGCGUCCAAAUACUCUUCGAGUCUUUAGUUUCACCACAAAAUUCAAACUCUAUUUUUUCAAAUCUUACUUUCUCAUUUUAGAAAAAAGGUUAACCCUUUACCUCAAAUCGAAAAGAAAUUCAAGGUCGAACCACGUAGGACCUGAAUUCUCUUCCGCGAACUACGUAGGACCUGAAUUCUCUUCCGUGAGAUACGUAGGCAGCCUUUCAAGGUUCGGUCCCCAUUUUUGAGAAAUUCUACAUUUCCAACUCUUACAAAUAAAUUAGAGUUACAUCUCAAUCGAAAAUCAAAGUAUGACAAUGAAAUAUACAAUUGACUUUGUCCCGACUCAAGUCAACAUUUCUGGUCCAUCAAGCUCAAAAUCAAAUAGUCAAAUUCCUGUCUAUUUAGUCAUUUAUCUAUUUAUGUGGGCUAGUUUAUCUUCAAAUGAAGCAACCUUUAUGUGUUUACAGUAAUGUGUGAUAUUUUUUAUUAUUUAUCAUCGACACAAACUAACACAUUUGCCUUUGAGUUGUUUUUCUUUGUCAGGUAUUCAAAACUGAUCUGUGUUGAGAAAAUGGCUGAACAUCCGUACUUCACAAGGUCCAAAGACCCCAAAGACCCCAAAAAUUCCUUCUCCGACCAAUAUUUGUCAAAAGGCAAAGAAAAAGUGGUUGAAAAUGUUGAGAAUACAAAUUUAACCGAAAUUACUGUGAAUGACCCCAUCAUUGUCGAAUAGAACAAGUUGAUUGCACAAUUGUUCCAACAGAUUGCUGAAAUGAGGGCUGAAAUGGAUAAGACACAAGAUUUGACGAAUCUAGCUAUCAUUGCCAACACUCCUACUCUAGACAACGGAAGACCUCCACUCCAUUUUCCUACUUCGAAUCCAACACCCGAGGAUUUUUCAAACAAUUCAUCCCCCUCUAUCAUUCCAAAACCUCCCAUCAUCGACUUAACCACCCCUAACCCACACCAUGCUAGCUCUUCACACCAAAAAUUACCUAUUCCUCCAAAACCAAAUACCAACACUUUCCAGAAUUUUCCUCCUGUCCAUCCAAAACUCAAAUUGUCGAAAACCCACCUACAACUCAACCCAUACCUCUAAAAACCGCAUUUCAUCUUCCAAUAUCGCCAGAAUCAUACCCUCCUUUACCCCACAUUCUGAAUCCGGUCAUCAUGAGAAGAAGGAGAAGGAGUGCAAGAACAUCAGAGAGGAAGUUAUAAAUGCAAUGAAGGACUUUCGAUACACCACAGACAGUUGUGGGGUUGAAUUAUGAAGAUUUGUGCAUUCAUCCACAUUUGGAGCUUCCAGAAGGUUUAAAGUACCAAAAUUUGAAACAUUUUGUGGAAUUGAGAAUCCGUUGACUCAUUUGAGGGCUUAUUGUGAUCAACUCAUUGGAAUUGGGAAAGAUGAGGCUUUGCUGAUGCGACUCUUUAGUCGAAGUCUAAAAGGAGAAGCAUUGGAAUGGUUUAUUUCUAAAGAAACCAAUCAGUGGCCAAGUUGGAACGCUUUGGCUAAAGACUUCAUCGAAAGGUUUGGCUACAAUGUAGAAUUUAUUCCCGAUCGAUACUCUUUGGAGAGAAUUAAACAGAAUUCUACUGAAAGCUAUCGAGAGUAUGCCUACCGUUGGAGAAGAGAGGCUGCAAGGGUUAGGCCUCCCAUGACCGAGAAAGAGAUUAUUGAAGUCUUCGUGCGCAUUCAAGAGUCGGAGUACUAUAAUAGGAUGUUGCUCAUUUUAGGAGGGAAGUUCAGUGAGAUAGUUAAAGUUGGUGAAGCUAUUGAAGACGGUCUCAAGACCGGAAAAAUCAUCCGAAUGACUCAUCAAGAUGAAUUCUCGGGACCAUUGAGGAGGAAAAGGGAAGAUGUUUCCUCUAUCUCAUUUGAAUCAAGCCAAAAAUCAAAGAGGCAUGCUGGUCUCAAUGUUCGAAAGUCUUUACCAUCCAAAACCUACCCUUUAGCUCCACAAAAUUCCUACCUCAUCCAACCAAAUUACCAAACUCCACCACCAAAUCAUCCAAAUUACCAAGCUCCAUUGCCAAAUUAUCCAAAUGCCCCUCAUAGCUACCAAGCUCCACAAUACCAAAUUUCAAACAUCAGCACAUACUCGCCAAAUCCUCCAAGUUAUCGUCAAGUACCCCUGCUAUCGCGAAAUAAUUACAAUCUUUCUUGUCAUAAGUAUUUGAAGAAACCUUCUCGAGUCUUUACUCCUUUGGUUGAAAGUCGAUCCCAACUCUUUGAGAGAUUGAAAGUGGCUGGCCUAAUACGAACAAUUGAUCCAAAAAAUGUCAAUGUCAAUUCCAGACUUUACAGGCCUGAUCUUCAUUGCUCUUACCAUUCAGGAGGUGCUGGACAUACCACUGAUGAUUGCAUCAACUUGAAGCAUAAAAUUCAAGACUUGAUUGAUCAAAGAAUUGUCACUCUUCAAGCUGUCAAUUCUGAUGCCAAUGGUAAUUCACUGAUGAAUCAUGGAGGAUUCGCUAUUAACAUGAUUGACCCAAAGUCUCAAGCACCUCCCCUUCAAAUGCAUCCGCCUCACCAAGGUCAUUAUGAUCCUCCUCGUCCGAGAUUCGAGAAGAAACCUGCUCGAAAGUUUACGCCACUCAUUGAAAGUCGAACAAAGUUGUUUGAGCGAUUAACUGCGGCAUAAUUUAUUCAUCCAGUUAGGCCAAAGCAUGUUGAUACUAGCUCUAAAUUCUAUCGAGCUGAUCGAAGAUGUGCGUAUCAUUCCAACAGUGUUGGGCAUGACACUGAAGAUUGUAUUAAUUUAAAGCAUAAGAUCCAGGACUUGAUCGACCGAAAAGUGGUCGAGACCACUGUAACCAACGUCAACAGUAAUCCUCUACCGAACUAUGGAGGCGCCACUAUCAAUAUGAUAGAGACGGAGGAUGAGUGGUGCGUGGUAAAGACGAUAGUUCCGGCUGGUCCUGACAACCUGGAGAAAGUUGUAAUUCUCUAAGCAUAAGUGAUAAACUCAAUUUUACGAUUAUGACACCCCAUCAAGCUUUUGCUUUAGUGUCAAAAGAGAGUCAGAACAAGAAGGCAAUUAAUCAUGUUCCACCAAAGUCUUUGCCUUAUUUAUGGCAGUCCUUUCUGGUGGAGGAAUAUGUCAAUGAUGACGGUUUUGGAGAAGGAAUUGGGGAUCGUUGUGAAGAAGGUGAUGUUGCGCCUAAGAAGAUGAUCGAGACACCAAGCAUACGAGAUGCCGAGCCAAUGGAGCAAGUUUUAAUUGGACUUCCACUCCACUCUUGAUUCCUCGCUCACCUUGAUAGACAAAGAUGAAUCUUAUGCUGUUUUUUAAAAUCGGUGGUAGUCCAAAUAAUGCCCGGAACCACCUUUUAUGUCAUUUUAACUGAUUAUGUUUGAAUUUCCCUCGUGAUGUUUUGAAAAGGCAAAAUGGCUCAUGGUCAUAGGCCAAAGUUCGUAUUUCCUUGUUUUCAAUGAAAGCCUCUUCUAUUGCAAAAAAUUAUUUUGCUUGCUUUAAUUUUUCUAUCUAAUAGUCUUUGCUUUUGGUUUCAGUAAAAAUAAUUUUUUAAACCUGUCACUAUCAUGUCAUGUCACAAGCUGAAUGAACAAAAUGAGGUAGAUGAAGAUGAGUUUGAAGAGCAUAACGAGGAGAUCAUGAUAUUCGAAUACCUUGUUAAAAAUUUGAAACAGUUCAAGAAUCUGAAUAAGUCGAAUCUGGAUGAAACAUAAACUGCAAAUCUGGAAAAUGAUAACUGUGUCAAAGAAGUCAGAAUUAGGGUCCAUCUGAGAGAAGAUCUGACAAGAGAGCUCAAUAGUUCACUUGGAAAAUACAUCGAUGCUUUUGUUGGAUCACGUGUCGUAGACGUUCAUCUCAAGUUUCCAAUCAACGCAGAUACUAUCAAAAGUUAUGAUAUUUGAAGAUUCAGAGUUUUUUUUUUAUUUCUAUCCUUAUAAUCGCAUCGUUUGUUUGUAAUCGUCUUAGAAAAUUAUUAUUUGUAAUGAACUACGUCUGACCUGAAUUCUCAAGAAUGAGAUACGUAGGCGGCCUAUGUCGGCUUUGGUCACCCCUUCAUACAUUUUCAAUAUUUCCCUUUUGUACUUGAACUACGUUCGACUUGAAUUCUCAAGAAUGAGAUACGUAGGCGGCCAGUGUCGGCCUCGGUCAUUUCCUUAUCAAAUUUUCUUUUUCGUUAAUCCUUAAGAUGGGAACUACGUUUGACCUGAUUCCUGCUUUAACGGGAUACGUAGGCGCCACAAGGUCUCGGUCAUAUCUCCCGUAAGAUUUCUAUUUUUCUUUACAAUUGAAACUGGGACAGAAUUUUUGAGAGAGACUCAAAAAUUCUCAAAAAGAAGAAAAAGAUAUCUACAACAAGUCAAGACUGAAGAUACAUUGAGAAUCGUAACUGGGACAGAAUUUUUGAGAAGAUCUCAAAAAUUCCACUAGUCAUAUAUCAACAGUUUGAGAUAUUUCAAUACAUCUAACUUGGACAGAAAUUUUUGAGGAUUGCCACAAAAAUUUCUUUAAAUAUCACUAAAAGUUUGUAGUAAAUUUCAAACAUUCCAAGCAUGAUUAGAAGUUUAAGGCUAACUUCAAAUGAUCUCUAAAGUUUACAGUCAACUUCAACAAUCUCCUGCAUCGUUGGAUUUCAGAGUCAACUGCAAAACCUUUCAUUUAUAGCAGAUUUCGAGACGACCGUGUAAGAUAUUUCCCAAGAUUUAAGGAUUUUUGAAUUCUCCAGAACAAGCUAUCGGAUAUACCAACGUUUCGAACCAAGGACGUUCAUUUAAGCUACGCAUGACAUGACAUUUGUCAGUGAUUUUUGGAAAAUCCCUUUUUAGGCUUUUUAUGUGUUAAAUAUUUUGUAUAAUUUCAUCUUAUGUCUAUCGAGGAGCAAGAGAUCGGAGUGAUCAACCGAAGAUAGCAAGACAAAGAGCAAGCGAUAGAAGAACUCAACACAGAUCAGUUGUUUUAAAAACGAAUAAUUUUUUAAAAACUAACAAUUUUUCUGUGGAUGCAGGUUUAUAAGUUUGCCUCAAGAUCAUCAUAUUCCUCCAUUCAAUGAAUAUGAAAAAGUCAAAAGAGCGAGGAGCUCUCCAAAAUUGACAAUUUUUCUAACGCAAGCAACAACACCUCGGUCAAAUUUUCAGCAAAGCAUGAGUCACAAUGAGUACAAAUGUUCACAUAUGAACAAGUGAAAAAAUCACUCUCAACAUGUACAAGCAUCUGCAAUGACAUCAAAUCUAUUUUCAGUAUCAAGAAUAUUCACAAAUCGCGUCGAUAUUAGAUGCGGUAAUGUGAAAACCCCUAGAGGGACAUUUCUACAGUAUUAUCGAAAGAGAUAAUACCACCCACGAGAGGGACAUCAUCGUCAUUCUAUCGAUGAAAUAUCAACAUGAUCCCACCAUUGGAUCAUCAUCCUACCAAUGGAUCAGCAUCAUCCUACCAAUGGAUCAUCAACGAAGCAUCAUCAUCCUAUCAAUGGAUCAACAUCUUCUUGCCGAUGGAUCAAUAUCGUCCUACCAAUGGAUCAUCAACAAAGCAUCAUCAUCCUAUCAAUGGAGCAUCAACAUCAUCCGGCCGAUGGAUCAUCAAUCAUUAUCCUAUCAAGGGAGCAUCGACGUCAUCAUCCUAUCACGUAGCAGCAUUAUCCUACCAAUGGAUCAUCAUCAUGCUAUCAAUGAAGCAUCGUCAUCCAUAUCAUAGCAAGUCAUCAUCUACUGCGUCAAAACCGAUGGAGGCUGACGUCAAAACAUUUAUAGAAAAGAACAUUUGUUGAAUACGGUAAAACGUAUCACUACUCUAUUUAAAUUAUAGUUUAUGCUAACAAGUUUAUUUCAUUCCUUGUCGAGAACAUCCAAGAGGAUGAAUUCUCAAAUCAAUUCACAGGUGCAGACGACAUCAGAAAAGAUGCAGCACAAUGUGAAACUUUUCCUUAGCGCGAGCUGAGGAGCGAUUCAUCGAGCCAUCCAUCUCAUUACAGUUGGAUAUUUAUCGAGCCAUCCACCUCGUUACAGUUGGAUAUUCAUCGAGUCAUCCGCCUCAUUACAGUUGGACAAUCAUCGAGUCAUCCACUUCGUGACAGUUGGAUAAUCAUCGAGCCAUCCACCUUGCUACAGUUGGAUAAUCAUAGAGCCAUAUGGCUCGUUGCAGAGAUCACAAGAGUUUGCCAUGUAGAAAACAAGCAAUGACAUCUCCAAAUCCGCAACAAAUCAUGAGUUGUACUGGACAUACUGUGUUCGAAAGCGAGAUCCAUUAUCUUUUACUCUCAAUACUUCUUUAUUUUCUCAUCUAGUUAAAAAAGACGUUUAUGCUUUUUCAUAAAUAUAUACUCAUUUAUUAUAAGCAUGAUCUUUCUUUAUUUUUUACUCAAACCGCCAACUAGAGCGGCAUUAUGUCUACUAAUUAUUUACUUUGAGUGUGCAGACAUAUAUUGAACAUAUUUAUGUGACAUCUCUCACAACAAGAGUAACCGAAAAGCAUCGUAAGAGAUGCUACUAGUGUUUUCAAUUACAGUUUCUACUAAUUAAGUUUAUUUCAGUCUUUGCCGAGAGCAUCCAAAGGGAUGAACUCUCAAAUCAAACCACAGGUGCGGACGACAUCAAUAAGGAUGCAGCACAACGUGGAACUUUUUCUUAGCAGCAAACUGGGACAUAGUCCAAAGAGGAGUGCCAAACUCUUAGGACGCGAGCUGAGGAGCGACUUCCACCACAAUCAAACCACACCCCUAUCAAAAGGCAUGUGGGUUUUUCUUUAGGUGUCCUAGUUUCAGUUUCGCGUCCGAAAAUAUUUAGUCCCCACCGGAGACAUCUUUCCAAUCUAAGUGACAAUGCUCUAAGAGCUUUGAAAAUUAUGUCCGUGUAAGUUCUUAAAUCUGAGUAUAAAGCAUGCCACAUUCAUGGUUAAUAGGUUGUAACCCUCCUUUUCAUACUCAAUUCAUUUCUGUCACUCUUCUCGAACCGAAGGUUAUCUAGCAUAAUAAAUUUCCUUUUCAAUCGAUCGAAUCGAACUACAAACAGCCUGAUUCCCUUAGUUGAGGGAUAUGUAGGCGGGAUCAGUGUUGAAAACUCAGUUGUACUCCAACACUCGCUCUUAAAUCUUAUUCUCGAGCAUUCCAGUCUCUUCAUAAUCCGAUAUCGGGAUGACUUUUGAAUUCUUUCAAAAUCGUGCGUCAAAUCAAGCGUAUCGAACUACAAGUGGCAUUAAUUCUCAUAUAGCUUGAGAUACGUAGAAAACCCACUUCCGGGGUUCGGCCAUAAUUCUUAAAAAAUCCGUACCAAACCCCUUUUCCUAAAGAUGAAGACGUGGUCGGUCAAAAUUGGAUUGGUCAAUUUCAUUUUCCUCGAAUUUCUUGCAUCAAUCCAAGUAAAACGAGGGACAGUUGUUGACACCCAAUUUUGACCCUUCCCGAUGUAAAUUAAUCAUUGAGCUUCUUAAAUUCCGAAUGAGUUGAAAUAAUUGACUUUAUAAAAUUCAAUAUAUUUUUCAAGUUAGUUUAAAGUAAUUUUGUCAUUUUUAUAAAAAAAAAUUUGAAUAAUAUAUAUGCUUUACAUAAUUAUGUAUAUAUCAAUUAGUAUAUUUUAUGAAUAUUUGAAAAUAGUCUCAAAAAGAUUUUGUUUUAAUUAAAUAUUUGGUAAAUUAAUUUUGGUUAUAUAAUAGUUUAUAUUUUUAACUAUUUAGGUUAUAACUAAAUUGAUUAUCCUAUUUCGUUGAAAUUAAGAAGCUCGUUAAUUAAUUGACAUUAGUUCGUCUUAUACAAGUCUUAAUCAAACUCGAUUUGGCAACAUUCCUAAAUUCAUUGGGCUAUAAAUGUAAUCUAAUAGCCAUGUAUGCAAUUGCAAAUUAGCAACUCCUUUUAACCAAUUUUUUAUUUUAUUCAAACCAACAACAUACGUGUACAGACAUAUGUCCUAGCCCACCAAUCACCCAUUUUAAUUCUUUUUUUUUUAAUUACAACAGCCCAACACUUGAUUUAAUUCCCACAAUGCAACAUACAACACCAAUACCCGGCCCACUAUCAAUUUCCAAUACAACAACAUACCAAAUUAGCCCAUACAAUACAACAACAAUUCCUAGACAUUCCAAAACCCAUUUCCAGCAACACAAUACGUACAUCAGUUCCCAAAUAACCCAAAAUCGCCCAGACCUGCUUCUUUUCUUCUUCAGCGGAAAUGACAACAAACAGAGGGCAGUGUUAACAGCAAUUGCAUUGUCGUCUUCUUCUUUUUCCCUCUCAGGUCUGUACAUUAGCAACCAUGCGCUCCAUCCUCCUUUCCCCUUUCGGAAUGAGUCAAUACUUCAGGGGAAAGGGUGUUUGUCCAAAUCGGUGAAAGAAUUUGAAUUUUGAAUUCGGGAUUGACCCGAAUUUUCCCCCUCAAAAAUCAGCCCGAAAAUGUCCCUAUAUGUAUUCCCCUCUUAUCCACUGUGAGAGGGGAGGUUUUAGGGUCUGUUUUUGGAUUUUGGGGGAGUGAACAAAAUUCUAUUUAAGAAGUUUGAGUAUUUCUUUGGUGGGGGGGACGAAAAAAAAAAGAAGAAGGAAAAAACCAGAAGCAGUAGCAUUCUAGUAGCCACAAUUUUUUUUAGAUUUUCUUUCUUUUGGUAGGGUUCCAUCGGAGCUUCGGGAGUUUAUCGCAGCUGCUUCGUAUAUUGAUUCCAAAAGAAUUUCGAAUUUCUUUUAGUCUUGGUUUCACGCUUUAUUCACUAUCCUCCAGAUUUCGUCGGAAUCCCUUUUCAGUGGUGAAAGGUUCGUGAGAAGUCCAGCUCGUUCGUCCUAGAUUCGCUGCCCGGAAAAAGGUAACGCCUCCUCCCUCAUUUACGUUUUAUUUCGAUUUCAAGUAUUGUGUGAUGAACACUCUAUUGGUUUUCUUGGAUUAUUUCUUGUUUCUUUUCUUUAUUUUGAUAUCUACUCAUGAUUGAAAGCCUGUUUUGGUUUGAGUUUUGAGUCUGCAGAUUUAUUUCCUUAGUUGUUUAAAAUUUCUUGUCGUUCAUCUCAUUAUGCACUAUUUACUUCAAGCUAAAGGGAUGAGUCUGGAUAUAUAGAAAUCUAUUUGCCGGAACAUUGUUCGCUUAUUUUACAUUGUCUUUAAACAUCCAUCUCUUCAUUAUGUGCUACUGUUUGUCAUAUGAUUAAAACAGAUGAAGAGAUAAGUCUUGGUUGUCUUACAUUAAUCUCGAAAUGCCAGUGUCUGUCCUCUUGUUCCAGUGCCAGUUAGAUUGUUCCCUGUUGAAUCGUAGGAGCUCGAGUGGGCUGUCUCUAUUUGCUUUAGUUUAAGGCGAAAUUAAGUGUUUUCCUUUUCAUCUACAUGUUUAGAUUGCUCAAGAAAUGAGUUGGCUUAACUUUUCUUUCCAUGCUUAGUUUAGGCGUAUAUUUCAUCCUAUCUUGAGCAGUCGUAAGUAUGUCAUAUCCAAGUUUGCAUUUAUUGUCAGUUUGCUUGAUUUCGGGUUUGAUUCAAAUUCAUGAUAUCAUAUCGUGUCAUACUUUUCCAGCAUGCCUUAGUUUCUUUUUGUGCCUCAUUUUGUUUCGAUUUGGAUAGUGUUCAGCUAUUUAUUCACUGCUGGAAGAUGGAAGGUGUUUGGAUUAUUUUGAUCUAGUGCAAAUCACUUGUAAUACUUAUCAUGCAGUGCAUCGAGUGAAUAGCCAAUUUGUUUAUCUCAUUUAGGAUUUAGUUUUAUAUUGAAUUUGUUGGAAAACAGUAGCUUAAGUAGCCAUAUUUUAUUAUUAGCAUGACUUGGGUUAUUAGUAUCUUUGGGAUUUGUACUCAUUUUUAGGUAUCCACUGUUUAGUCCAAUCAAGUUAUUUGUUAUAUAUUAAUUUAGGUGUUGUUAUGAUUUGCCUUGGAUAUAUUGUUGCUCUAUUAUUUUGGACACUAAUCCUUACUAUCAUUUUUGUCGCAUGUGAUGCCGUCCGAGUCUCUUGUGGACUCCCUCCCUCCUUGCAUAUCGAAUUGGGCCAUGAAGGCCCAAUCUUGCCUCUUAUCGAGUCUGCCGAGUUAAUGGAAUUGAAGAAUAUGGCUAGAAAAUUAGAAUUGCAGGUCUCGAAACAGAUGUGUACAACCUGAUACACCCCAAAAAUGGGCCAACGACCCUUUUAAAAUCCCAGCUCUUGUAUUGUGUUACAAUUGGGCUAAAGGCCCAUCUUUUAUUUGAGUAUUCUCUUGUUAGUUUAGGACAGGUACUAAGUUUUGGGCCUUUGGACCCAAAAUCGAAAUUAGGCUCAAGUACUGGCCCAGGCGGACAGAUAACCAGACUUGGGCCCAAACUCUCUUUCUCUUUAUUUUAUUUGUUUUUGUAUUUGUUUAAUUGUUUAUCUGCUAGUCAAUUUUAAGGUUGUCUUAAUUCGAUUUCCCCAAAAGAUAGUCGUUUCUAAAUUUUCUAAAAAAACUAAAUAAUCAUAUCUAUUUUACUACCUAAGUUACUUUGUAAAAUAUUAUAUUUAAGUAAAUCCCUUAUACUAUUUCCCUCUCCCAUAAAAAGAUAAUUCAAGUCUUAAGUUGUUUAUUUCCUAAACUUGUCAAACAUGCUUUUAUUUUAAAACCAAUUAGCCAAAUAGUUAAUUAUAGGAUAACCGUGUGUUAGCGGGCAUUUCGGGUGCUUUCAAACCCUUCCUGAAAUGCUAAUAUGAGCCUCGAACCCCUUUUAAGUUUUCAUGAGAUUUUCUGUUUUACUCUUUUGAAAACGACGGUUUUCUUGAUUUUUCUUAAAAAUUAAGUGGCGACUCUUAAAUUAGUCUAAGUAAUACUUUCCUAAUAAAACAAUCACAAGAUUCAAAGUUCUUUUUACUUUGUUUAACUUCAUGUCAAUCGUUAAAACUAGACAAAUUAAUUGAAACAGAGGGAGUAUCAUUCUCUUGUACCAAGUCAAUGUGUCAAUGUGUAUAUGACAAUGUUGUAAAAGGAGACAACAUCGACCUACAAUUUAUCACAAAUAAUCAAAAAAAAUCACCACAAUUUCUAGAAAUUAGAUUAGAUUGGGCAGAAAUUAAUAAGAUUUGGGCAAAAUCGUAACAUGUAUUGUAUAGCUCCACCUUGCGUAGAGAUUUAAGUUUUAGUCUAUGCUAAUAUAUUUACUUUAGAUUCAAUAUUUUUAAAGGUUGUUAGUUUUAUCAGAUAUUUUCAUACAAAUGAACAAUACAAAGAAUUUCUAAUUUUAUUUCACAAGUUUUCACUGCUCGUUAUGUAACUUUCAUUUCUUAUACAUCCAUCCACGAGGUUGUAAAGUCAAUCUUAUAUAAUAUUACAUUAGACUAGUAUGAUUUUUAAGUAUAUAGAGAUUAUGAAUAUUAAAAAGCUUUAUAAAUUAAAGCUAAUCACAACUCAGAUGUUAUAUAAAGUUUAUCUCGAUAUAGAUACGUGUCUAAAUCGCAUAUCCAAACAAAAAAUGUAGGCAAAUAUAGAUACUAAACUAGAAUAAAGAGCAUUAUAUAGUCGCCUAUGAUGCAAGUAGCGAAGCAUCUUCAGUUGAAACAGUCUCUAAUAACAUUGUAUCACUACGUCAUUCGUGGUGCAAUGAGUUACCUAUUUUAUUUAUUUAUUUAUUUAUUUUUAAAGCAAAUUUACCACUAGACAGUGUCUAGCGGUCUUUUAUUAAACAUAAAAAAUAUCAAUAGGGACAAGUACAAGCAAGGGGGGCUAGGCCUUACCUUACUAAUCCUAAUGAAGUACCUAAUUUCUGCUACCUAACAAGCAUGAAGAAAAUAAGAGCUAGAGAGAACUAAAUAUUUUCUAAUCAUCACAGAGUUUGUAAUACACUCCAUGAUGAUAUUACAAAUGAGGAUGCUUAAAUAAUGUAAAAAUAUGUCAAUCAAGAAGAAAGUUGAGUUACCAGCCUCAAACUUUCUAUUACAAAAACAUGACUUAAAAAAGAUUGAUUGUCCAUCAAAAGUAACUUGAAGUAUUUUUCUCUUGUCUCUUUCUUCAAACCUAUCCAACAACACUUGAUGAUUCAUACCUUCUUUAUGGAUUUAUUAGAUCUAGUUCAACCUAUUGAUAUUGUCAAAUGGUUUUGUUUUGCUUGUCGCAUCGGUAGGUGUCUUGGAACAAACUCCUCAGUUAUUAUACCGUCCCAACUAUGUUGCCAUCCAUGUGUCUUCUUUUUGCUUUUGUUGCUUCCACUUCUUUGUUGCCUAGGUGAUAUAUCCCCUUCCCUAGCCACUCUAUCAAAGCAAAUGUCCAGCAUAUUGUCUUCCUCAUCUUCAUCAAGAGAAUCCUCACCCAAGUCCACUUCAUCUUCAUCAAAAGAAUCCUCACAUAAAUCAAUUCUAUUUGACACUAAGGCCCUUGACUCAUUCUUCUUUGCAAGCACACAUUUAGGCACAAAUAUGGGAGCUUCUGGACUUAAUUUACUAUUUAAAGCAGGUGGUGAGACUUGGUUUUCUUGGAUCAAAUCGUUGUCAUUCUCUGUUAACCUUACUUGUUUUUCAAUAGUCUUCAAUAUAAAGCAUCAAAUAUAUUCGAACAUAAUAGGUCUCUUGAGGCAUUACUAGUAUCUUGUCUCUUCUCACUGUCAUGAAAAUUCCUAGUCGGACCCUUUUCACUACAUGCAGAAUUAUUUUGACUAGUAGAGGAAAUGAUCCGACUACUAGCUCAAAUAUAUGUAGAAAAAUAAAUGUAACUCUAAAAAACUACACCUCAACUAGUUUUUCAAAUAUUAUGUCUAAAAAUAAAAAUAUAGUUAAACAUUAAAUAAUAAUUGAAGAAUACGUCUUUCACAAGUUUUUUUUUAUUCCGCUCAUUUUCAUCAUAGAGCUUAAAAAUAUUUGAAGGAUCAAUAUUUAUUUAUUAACUUAGCCCGAUUCGACCCCCAAAAAAAAAACCAGCAGCGCACCAUCAUCACCAACAACAAUCACAAUAUCAAUCGCUUCCCCCCACAUAAAUGAGAAACAUGCACAAUUCAAAUGUAAAAAUUUAGCAAAAACAAAGAAGAAUGUUUGGAUAUUUUGAUGAAAAUAACUUGAAUCUUUUUAAACCCCAAGCAAAAAAUAGGAUUAGAAUCAAUGGAUUCUUUUUCAGUACCCAUAACGAAGAUGUUAUUAACCUAUUUUUGUUUAGCUUUAAUUCGGAUCUUUCAAAAUUAAGUUUAUAUUUUGAUUUUGAAAUAUAAUAGUAACAAGCUUUUUAAUCAUAAUUAAGAAGAAAUAAAUCUCUUUCUCUAAUCUCUUCAUUCCUUAAUAAUUAUACAUUUUUAUUUUAUUUUUGUUUUAAAAUUUAAUAAAGUAGAUAAAAGAUAUGUUUCUGGCCCAAUGUUGUUGAGAUUGCGGCUAUCUGGUGUGCAGGGCGGAAAGGACUGUGAAUAUUCUAUAAGUAGUUAUUAAAGGAAAACAAAAUACUUGCUGAGUCUGUUUCUUUGGUAGUUGGAAUAUUUGUUUUAGAAAGUGUUACUCAGUAGACAAUAUAUGACAUAUUCCUCCUUCCAGCCAGGGUUAUUUAUGACAUUUCAUGUUUCCUAAGUUUUAAAAUGAUUGUAGUAUAUUUUUUGUUGGACAAAAAUACGUGUUUCCUUUUAUUGCUUACUCUUUCUGCCUUAAUGAACAGUUGCUUAAAAUGCUUGUCAGUAUAUUAGAGACUUAUGACUGAGCUAAGUUAUCCCAACUUGUGGGUGAAAUAUUAAUCCCGUGAUAACUUAAAAAUGUAAAAUAACAAAAUUACACCCUUAAACAAUGUGGUUAUCAAAUACCAAGUGAAAAAAUCAAUUGCAAUAGCUAUUUUCUUAAUUAUAUUUCUCUAGUAUAAUUUUUCGACUCUUAAGUAAACACGAGAUCGAUUUGAUCAUUGAUUUCUCUCGUGUGUUAAAGAGCUAGUUAUUAAGUUUUCUCUUCUUCUUAUCUUAUUUAUUUAUAUAUACUCACUUUAUUCCAAUUUAUGAGAAAUUUUUUUUUUUAUGUGUCUAACAUCUCAUCUCAAAAAUGUAUUUGAUUACUAGUGUUAGUAGGAGAUACUAGAAAUGCAUGCAUGCAUGCAAAAUGAAAAACUUGCAUACAUUUCAUGUCAUUAAUAAUUAAAUAUCGUAAAAACGCAAAAAGUUCACACCAUAAUUAGUGAAGUAACUGCUAAAAUAAGGGAACAUAAUACAUAAACAAGAACCCAAUAAUUCAAACACAUUUUGGAGUUUAUUGAUCAAAAUGGGUUUCAAGACAAAUUUAUUGCUUAUAACACUUUGUUUGUUUGUGCUUCUUAUAUUAUGAUGUCUUCAGAGGUUACUGCUAUGGAGCAGGGACACACCUAGCUACUAGUCCUUCACUAAUUAAUCCAUUACUCAAAUGAAAAUUUUCUAUCUUAUUUACUUAUUCUCCAACGUUAACUUCAUUAACAUAGUCAGUACAUGUAAUUUUCAGACUAAACAAAAAGUUUUUUAAAAAAGAGCAAAGCAGCAGGUUCUUUCUCGGAAAAAUAACAAAAAAAAGUUAUGGACGCAUCAUCACCCCCAACCAUUUCUUUCCUACCCAUCAAACCGCAACAAUUUUUUGCCCAUCACUAGCAGCAGCAGCUGCUGCUUCUUUCUCAGCACUAACAAUUUCUUUCCCAUCCUCUUUUCCAGUAGCAACACCUUUCUCAGCAGCAACCUGUCUCUCAGCAGCAGCUGCUAUUUCUUUCUCAACACUAGCAAUUUCUUACCCAGUAGCUUCUUUCCCAGCCUCUUUUCAGCAGCAACACCUUUUCUCAGCAGCAACGACUUCCUCAGCAGCAACGAUUUUCUCAGCAGCCUGUCUCUUAGAAGCAGCAACGACUUUCUCAGCAGCAACAAUUUUCUCAGCAGCAGCAACGACUUUCUCAGCCGCAACGAUUUUCUCAGCAGCUUGUCUCUUAGCAGCAGCAACAACUUUCUCAGCAGCAGCUUGUCACUCAGCAGCAACAACAACUUUCUCAGCAGUAGCAACGACUUCCUCAGCAGCCUGUCUCUCAGCAGUAGCAAUAACUUCCUCAGCCACAAUAGCUCUAUGCUCCAAAUAAGUUCUCGCAUAAACGGGGAAGCAGCAAAAUCCAAAUGUAAUCCAAGCCAGCUGAUCGGGGUGGUGGUCUCAAACCCGAAACUCCGAUAGAAAGGGAACAUAAUGUGUACAUUAUGCCCAUAUCGGCUACUACCGGCCUAAGAAGCAUCACGGCGCAAAAUGCAGUGAUUACUUUCUAAAUGAGUGCUCCAAACAAAUAGGGACCCGCGGGUACCCUAUGAUGUUAGAGGAGCAACACAAUCUAGCCGAAUAUCACCCCUUGAGGUUUGGAAAAGUUGACAAGCGCCGGUGAAAUUGGAUUUGGCAAAUUUGCACUGCCAGGAGUAGUUUUCUAAAUGUGAAUGUGCAGAGGCAAAGAAAGAAAGUUGUUGAAGAUAAACAAUAUGACCACAUUAUGCAUGGGUUCAACAUCUUUCGGGCCAAGAAUGAUAUCAGAAACCAAGAACACAAAUGUUGCACCGUAAGAGAUUAAGGUGCUCUUAUACUACAAACGAGCCUCUCAUGGUUCCAUGUUGGAUGUUUUUUUUCAGAAAGGGAGAUGCAAAUAGAGUUGUGUUCUUUUUGUUUUUCUCGUCUGUUAAUAACUUCUUCUUUUUCUUCUUCUUUUCUUAUUUGAUAGGCGUGGGAGUUAAGAAGCUCUCACAUGAUAGUAGUAGAGGGUGUUUCGGUCUAUUUGAGUUUACUACCUUUUUAUUCUUUUUGCUGAGAAUUACAAUUUUCAAUAAUGUUAAAGCUGUCUCAUCUUCGGAAAUAUAGGCCCAUUCUAUCUACAAUUUAUAUGUAUAGAACCAAUUCCACACAAAACACCCGAAGCAACUUUUAGUAGAUAUUGCAUAUUUUAAUGGUUAAUGAAUUUUGUUUAAUUGAGAUUAAAACAGAAAAUGAAUGAUUACUAUUUUAUUUAUUUAUACUUUUAAAGAAUAAGAAAUAGCUAAUAUUAACGUUUAGUCAAACAAAUGUAUUCUUUCUGGUGAAAUACUUUAUAUGUUAAAAUGAGCCUUAGUUAAAAGUAUUAUCGAAUAGAACCAAGUCCUCUCACCUCUGAAAUCAUUAUGUAACUAAGUAGACUAUAAACUAUAUAUCAAUAAAUAAGGUAAUAAUAAUAAACUUAAUUUAUGUGGUGCCAUAUGAAAACAUGUUCUUCAUAUACUUAUGUAUUAGUUUGACAUAAUCAUUCGGUCGUAGAGUCGAAUCCUCGUGGUACGGAGUCGCAUUUUUGGAAGUGCCUUAAUAUGAGACUUUUCAACGCGAAUUCAGACUUAAUUGGGCUUCAAUAUGAAUACUGAAUACUGAAUGGAGAAUAAAAAAAUAAAAAACUUACGAUCACUAUUUUCUUAAUUAUAUUUGUAGUAUGACUUUUCGACUCUUAAUUAAACAUAUGAUUUGAUCAUUGCUUUCUCUUGUGUGUUAAAGCGAUGGUUAUUAAGUUUUAUCGUCUUCUUAUCUUAUUUAUUUAUAUAUACUCUUUUUAUCUUAAUUUAUGUGACACAUUUCGUUUUUAUAUAAAUGGCCAGAAAAUUUGGCCAAAAUUUCUUUCUCUAAUCUCUUCAUUACUUAAUAAUUUCUUUUUUAUAUAAUUGAUUUGAUUUUUGUUUAAAAAUUUAAUAAAGUAGAUAAAAGAUAUGUUUCUGGUCCAGUGCUGCUGAGAUUGCGGCUAUCUGGCAUGCAGUGCGGAAAGUGAUAAAAUUAUGAAGCUAAACUAUAGAAUCCAUGGAAAACUUUAAUGAACUCUAAGUAAACAUGGAAGACAGAUUGUGGAAUUUACUAUUGUAUUGAAGAUAGAAAAAAAUUGUGUUACAGAUAUCUCACCACUGCUUAUAUACACUUUACAUAAUUGAGUACAAAAGGAAUCUAAUGCUAACUAACUGCCAGCUCAUCUAACCAACGUAAUCAAGUUGUUAACUAACUAACUAUUUGAUACAUGCUCAAGUUAUGCCAGUCUUAAUACUCCCCCUCAAACUAGUAGGUGGUGCAAAUAUGUUCAACACUCCCAGUUUGAAAAUCAAAUAUUCAUGUUGUGUUCUCAAUAGUGCCUUGGUUAGGAUGUUUGCAUGCUGCUCCUUAGAACUAACAUGGUGUGUCUUUAUCAACCCCUGUUGAAUUUUUUUCUCAUAUGAAAUGACAGUCUAUUUCUAUAUGUUUUGUCCUCUCAUAAUACACUGGGUUUGCUGCUAUUUACAAGGCUGCUCGACUAUCACAAUAUAGUUCAAUAGGCUUCUUUAUUUCUGCUCCCAGCUCUUCAAACAAUCCAGUCAGCCACACUAACUCUGAACAUGUUGAAGCCAUGCUUCUGUACUCUGAUUCAGCAGGGCUCCUUGAGACAAUAUUUUGUUUCUUUGAUUUCCAGGAAAUAAGUGAUUCUCCAUCCUUUACCAAGAAUCCUGUCACAGACUUUCUGGUAUUAGGGCAUGAUGCCUAAUCAGCAUCACAGAAUGCUGUCAAUGUGUUGUCUCCAUUGCUACUCAUUUAAAUUCUCAUUCCAAGUUCCCUCUUAAUGUAUCUGACUACCCUUAAGGCUACUUUCCAAUGAGAUAUUUUUUGUUGCUGCAUGAACUGGCUGAGAGUCUGAACCACAAAUGUUAUAUCCAACCUAGUCAGUGUCAAAUAUAAGAGCUUCCCAAUCAGUUUCUGAUAUUUUCCCUUAUCCUCUAAGGGCUCAUCAUCACUAAUUCUUAUGAGGUCAUCUAGUUCCUUUGUUGUGAAUUUCUGGUUGAACUCCAAAGGUGUCCAGGCUGGCUUUGAACCACUCAAGCAUAAGUCUCAUAUCAGCUCCAAUGCAUGCUUUCUUUGGUUCAUUAAAAUUCUUUUAUGAGACCUUGAGAAUUCUAUUCCCAGAAAAAACUUUAACUCUCCAAGAUCUUUCAUUUUAAAGAUAUGUUGCAGACCUUAUUUAGUUAACUGAAUCAGUCUCCUGUUGUUGCCUGUAAUCAACAUGUCAUCCACAUAAACUAAGAUCACAACAAUGUCACUUUCUACCAUUUUUGUGAACAAAGAAUAGUCCAAGCAGCUCUAAGUGAAACCAAGUUGAACCAAUGCAGUGGUCAACUUCUCAUUUCAUUGUCUACUUGCUUGUUUCAGACCAUAUAAGGAUUUGGUAAGCCUACAAACCAACCAGGUUUCUCUCUCUGGCGUGCAAAACCUUGUGGCAAGUGCAUAUAAACCUCAUCAUGGAGAUCACCCUGGAGGAAAGCAUUAUGGACAUCCAUUUGCUCAAUAGACCAGCUUGCAGUAGCAGCUAUAGACAUCACAGCCCUAACAGUCACAAUUUUAACCACAAGAGAAAAUGUCUCAUGAUAGUCUAGACCUUCAAGUUGUGUAUAGCCCUUAGCCACUAACCUGGCCUUAUACCUCUCUACCUCACCACUGGCAUGAUACUUCGCUUUAAAAACCCAUUUGCAGCCAAUGGAAACCUUCCCUGCAGGCAAAGGAACCACUUCCCAAGUCUGAUUAUCCUGAAGAGCUGUGAUCUCAGAUUGCAUGGCCUCAAUCCAAAGAGGAUCAGUAGUAGCCUCCUGAAAUGUUUUAGGUUCAACUAUAGAGGUAAAAGCAACAAUGAAGGAUUUGUAUGAUGCAUGUAAAGAGGAAUAGGAUAGAGAAGAACUAAUAGGAUGAGGAGUGGAAUGAGGAAAAGAUGUGGAUGCAGUGAUAAAGUCUGUCAUCCAGGUUGGUUGUGUCCGAACUCUAGUUGAGUGACAACAGCUGGUGGAGGGAGUAAUGGUGGAGCAUCAGGAAGAACAAUGGGGGCUGGCUGGAUAGGAGGUGAAAUAGGGGAAUCCAGCUCAAAAGGAUCAAGAACAGCAGUAUGCUGAAAAAAAGGCUCUCUUGUAUCAGAGUGUGUUUGAAAAGGAAAUGUGGAUUCUUUGAAAACCACAUCCCUGUUGACAAAAAAAAGCAGAGGUAGCAAUAUUCAACAAUAUGUAACCUUUAGAAGUUGCAGAAUAACCCAUCAUCACAGCUUCAAUGGCUCUAGCAUUAAACUUAUCAUAGACUGGCAACUUCUUGGCAUAACAAAGACAACCUAUGGUCCUGAUAUGAUCUAGAUUGGGCUUCCUCCCAUAAAACGGCUCAUAAGGGCUUUUACCAUUCAAUAUUACUGAUGGCAGUCGAUUGAUAAGGUAUGCAGCACCAAGAACACAAUGACCCCAGUACCUGAUUGGAAUGCUUCCCUGAAAUCUCAGACCUCUAGCUAUUUCCAGAAUGUGUCUAUGCUUCCUCUCAGCUACACUAUUCUGACCUUCAAUAUACUAAAUGUACAUCUAUCUAUUACAUUUUCGAAUCACUAACUUUUAAUUAAAACUAUGAAUUGAAUACGUUUAUCUAUUACAUUUUCAGUUGAUUAGUUUUCACCUAGCAAAGAAAAAAGGUUUUGUAUUUAGCUAAUACUCCCUCAAUCCCUAAUUAUUUGUUCAUUUUAUUUUUGUCCUUUCUACUUGUCCAUUUUAACAAAUCAAGAAACAACAAUUAUUAUUUUUACAUAUUAUACCCUUAAUUAAUUAAUUUUGAAAAAAAAUAAAACUUUUUGAAAAUCUUAAAAUUUUAAAUUCAUCCACUUUACAAUUAAUAGAAGUAAAACGAUAAACUUACUAUAUUCAUUAUUUUUUUUUAAUAGGUGUGUCAAUUUAAUAGUGACGAAUAAUUAGGGAGAAAGGGAGUAUUAGAAGAUGUAAUACAAGUUAGUUCUAAAAAAAAAAUGGAAGAUCAAAUAAAGGAGUUAGAGGGGGGAAACAAGCAAGAGUUUAAAAAGAGUUAACAACAUAAUAAUUUAAAUUCUUAAAUAUUAAUAUUUCUAGCCUAAAUCUUAAAUUUUAAAAUUUUCUAAUCCUAAGCUCUAAUUUUCUACUACAUCAAAGAAAAGAUUUUCAUGUGUGAAUUGAGAUCAUGUGAUAAAAAACUCUAGAAAGAUGAAUUGAGACUUCUUCCUGAUGUUCGCCAAAAUAUAAUGAUGAACUUUUCAGUGAACAAUAAUUAAUUCUUCACUAUUCCCUCCGUUCAUUUUUAAUUGUCAUGUUACAUUUUUCAUAUAUAUAUAUAUAUAUAUAUAUAUAUAUUAUUCUACUAUAUAUAAGUGUGAAGAAGCACACAUGUGAUGGACAACAUGGAAUUAUGUUCAAUUCUCACUUUACAAUUGUAAUGUUUUAGAUAACUUGUAGUAGAGGUUAUAUUAGGUGUACGCUUUCCUUCUCAGACAAAAAGGGUAUGUGUGUCGGCCCUAUUAUUACUUCUGUAUACCAUUUCAUUUUUUUCCUGCAUAGCUUGAUUGGGUUGUUAUAUUUUAUUUCCAAUUUCUAUCCUCCAGAUCCAGAGAUCCUUGAAUAUUUUUAAAUUUUGUGAUUUUAAAUAUAAAAUAUAUCACAUAUAUUAAAGUAUUUUUAAUUUUAUAAUCUUGAAUAUGCCAUGUCGAUUUUUUUUAAAAAAAAAACAUGUUCAAAUAAAUUACGGAAGGAGUCAUAUUUUAAAAGUGGAAUAAAUAUGUGAUAAUAUUAGAAAGACCUUUAAUAUAUGCUUUAAAAAUUAUUUUGUCUCCCGUAUAUUAAUUUGUGCAUAUAUGAUUAUUUGAAAAAUUUAGUACUUUCUUCGUUUAAUUUUUUUCUUGUUUUUCUUUUAAUUUGUUCUAUAAAAAGUGCUUAAAAUCACAAUGUAAUAAUUAAAGAUAUUAAAAAAAUAUAAUUAAAAAUCAUAUAAGGAAUUUAAUUAACUCUUUAAUUUCAUAUUGAAACAAAAGAAAUAACAUAUAUUGUUUGAAAAUAACAUAAAAAGUACUAAUAAAUUAAAGUAAAAUAACAACUAAAAAUAUUUAAAAAUCAAAUAAGAAAUUUCGUUGACUUUCCUAAAAUUACCUAUGUCACAUAAAAUGAAACAAAAAGAGUAACAUGUAUUAUUUGAAAAUGAUAUAAAAAGUGCUAUAAAUCACAAUAAAUUAACAACUUCAAAAUAUUUUUAAUAAAAACAUAUAUAAAAAAUUAUGUUCAUACUCUAAAUUUCAUGUGUCACGUGAAUUAAAAUGAAGAACAAAUAUAUAUUGGAUCCGCGCUGGAACGGGGCCUAAUAGCAAGCUCGUGUUGGUCAACAUGCUUGCUUGUCCACAUAGGGGCUAUUUAGGUAUUUCAAUAUUAAUAGCUUUAUGAUUGUUGUACCAAGUGAAUGAUAUUAAUGUACCUUUCCGCUUUUGGACCAAAAAACCAACUAAUAUUUUCUUAAUUCCUUACCUAUCCCUCCAUAAGAUGAAUGCACUCCCUGACUCGUGGGCCCAUUUGCAGCCUUUUAAUACAUCUGCCUAAUUUUUCUAUUUAUUUCUAAACAUAAAUCUAUACUCUAAUGAAGGUUUUUUUUUUUUUUAUUAUUGUUUCUUUUGUUAUAAUCCAUAUUACCAAAACAUAAGAAUGACUUUAUUCAAGUUUCUUUAACAUGAUUUCAUUUACAAGUGGGAACUUUUUGCAAGGCAAUAAAAGGACAUUAUAGUUCAUUCACAUUUGCAAUUUUUUUUAGUGAUGACAAAAUCAAAAUUUAUCUCUUAGUUUUAGAUUGAACAAAAAAAGGUUUUAAAGUGAUCAAAAAUCAUUACACUUUUAAAAUCAAAAUCUUUUGUUUUUAGAGUGAAAAAAUAAAUUUCAAAAUUCAAAUUUAUUUAAUCAUAAAUAUAAAUUGAAGUUAUUUUUUAAUGGUAAGUGAACAAUGUUACGUAUUUAUAUUUGUUCAAAUUUAGUUGUUGUUCUUUCUAUUUUAAUUUAUCAUAUAUUAAAAGAUUAUGCUUAAGAUACUAUAAAUUAUUAUAAUUAGCAACUUUAAAUAUUUUAUUAUAAAUUUGAAAACUACGUAAAAUACACUAUAAGUCACAAUAAAUAAAAUGCUACACACCUUAAAAUACUUUUUUUUAAAAGAAAAUCUUUAAUUCACUCUUACAAUUCUAUUAGUUCCACAUUAAAUUGAAUAGUUGGAACAACAUUUAUUAUUGAAAGUUACGUAAAUAAUACUUUAAAUCACAAUACUUAACAGCUGAAAAUACUUUAAAAUCAUAUAAGAAAUUUGAUUGACUCUCCUAAUCCAUACAUGUGACAUAAAUUGGAACAGAAGAAGUAACAUAUACACUACUAGAAAAGGGUGAAUUACAUGGGAAUUUUCCUAUGAAUUAUAUAGGAAAAUCUGCAGGUAAUUUAGUUACCUAGGAAUUUUCCUACAAAACAAAAUCAGAUGAAAAUACCUUCGUAGAUAAUUAUUACGUGCCGAUUUAAAUUUCCCUAAGUAAAUUACAUGGGAAUUUUGAAUUCGCAUGAAAUCACUUACAAAUAUUUCCGCAAGAAACAUGAAAAAAUCGUCUAAAAAAAUUGGUAGAAAUUCAUAAUAAUGUAAUUCUUUUUUUUAAUAUGCAACUUUUAUUCAGUUACAAUCAGUGAAUUACUCCUCCCUUAGCAUGAAGAUCAAAUAAUUACCCUUAUAGCCGAAUUCAAACUGUUUCUGUUACCUAUGAGUUGUAAGGGAUCAAGGAACUGCUCUGCAGUCGAUGUGGUACUUGUACAUGGACUAAAUGAUUUUAGUCAACUGCCUUAUUUUUCAACUUUUUUCUCUUUUACUAAUUUUUUUAUUUCAUUGGUUGAGAUGAUGAUCAGUAUUCAUUAAUAAAUAAGAUUUUCCUAAUUCACAAUUGAAUUAUAUAUUCCAACUACAAGCAAGUGGAUUAAAAUAAUUAUACGAACUUUAUUCUUGAGGAAUUUUAAGCUAUUUUUCAAUAAUUUCAUUGAUUUACCUUCAAUAACAUAUCAAAUUAUUUCUUGUCUGAGAAAUGCCUUAGUUAAACAGAUUUUAGAUGGUUAAGUAAUUGGUAAUAAUUGCUCCUCCAAUUCUAAUAACAAAUACAAGAUCUAAAAGAGUGAAAGACUUAUUAUCACUAUUUAUUAAUGUAACUUAUAAUCUGUUAGUGAUAGACUUUUAGCAUAUGAUUUAUAAGCCAAAAAUCAAAUGUUAGAAUGUCUAACUCGUGACUUUGACUUAUUUUUAUUAGUUUAACUUAAAAAUAAAUACUUAAAAUCACUUUAAUCCUAUUCAAACACUAUAAAAGUACUUUAAAAUUAUUUUGAUUGAAAAACACCUAAAAUAAUCCAUAAUUAAAAUUUCAAUAACAAAUCCUCAAGUAAUAUUCUGUGUCAUAAAAUCUUCAUGUAGAGCCUAAAACAAAAAUUCAAAGCUAAAAUCAUAACAAUAAAAUUCCCAUGUAAUUUUCUGUUUAAUAAAUAUGAAGAAAUAACUCUCAUGUGAUUCCCUAGGUAAUUAAAUUCAUGAAUAAAUUCCCAAGAAAAAAAUUGAUCAACAAAAUACUUAGGUAAUAAAUUGUUUAGGUAAAUUCCCAAAAACUAAUUCACACCUUAAAUUACGAUAACAAAAUCCCCAAGUAAUUCUCUAAAUAAUAAAAUUGACAAGUAAAUUCCCAUGAAAUAAUCCCCAAGUAAAAUCACAUCAAUAAAAUCCCCAAGUAAUUACCUAUAUAAUGAAUCUGCAAGUAUCAUUAAUUGGGGAAUUUCAUGUGAAUUCAUAAUGGAAACAUAUUUUCAUAUUUUUAAUCACUUAGCUAUGAAAUUAUCUACGAAAAUGUUACAUGGGGAUUAUUUUUCUCAAAUAAUUUCUCAAAAAACUAUCAGGAAAAAUCCCCAGGUAAUUUGAGCUUUUCUAGUAGUGACAUUAUUCAAAAAUGACGUAAAAAAAAUUAUAAUCGCAACAAAUUAACAACUUAAUUUUUUUUUCAAAAAAAAAAACAAAUACAAAAAAAUUAAUCGACUCUCCAAAUUCCAUUUGUAUCACAUAAAUUGAAACAAAGAAAUACUCCCUUCGUCCCAAUUUAUGUGGUACUUUUUAGAUUUCGAGAUUCAAACAAGUUUAUCUUUGACCGUAAAUUUAUCAUAUAUCUUUUAAUUAUUUCAAAUCGUCAAUUGUUUUGACUUAAAAAAUAUAAAUUUAAUUUCAAAAAAAAUUCUGGUCAAAUUUAAAGUGUUUGGUUCUCAAAAAAUGAAAGUGUCACAUAAAUUGUACACAAGAAGUAACAUAUAUUGGGCCCGCCGCAGACUCCUAAUAUCUAGUCAAAUAAUAAGUGUUUUGACGAAUAAAUUUAUGUCGGACAUAGAAAAUAUGGAGAGGAAAAGUAUAUUGAAUAAUAGUAUUUGUUUUAUUUAUAUCUAUAAUGAAUUAAGUGCAUAAUAGUAUUUGCAAAAUGUUUUAGAUACUGAUUUAGAAGAGUGUGUAUAUUGAAUUUUGUUUUUUCUCAUUGAUAAGGACAUAAGACAAACUACAACAAAUGAGAAACAAAGACUCACCAAACAAAAAAAAUGAAGUGAGCAAACAACUCAUAAUAUAUGAGAUACAAUAUAAUAUAUAAAAUUAGUCCUCUACAUAUACUUUCACAUCAAUCAGCAAGGUAACUGCUCCAACUCCUUUUUACUAUGCUCACGUAUCUAUAAAAACACAACACGAUGCAAAAGCUUAAAGCCAAAACUCUAACUAAUAACUCUCCAUUCAGAACAUAAGCAAGAAUCAGCAUUACUCAUGAUCUCAACAAUAAGUCUUUUCCUCCAACAUCAUAAGCUGCAUGCAUGAAGUGUGCAAUGGUAUAAAAAUAUGUGGUGAAGCCUACCACUAGAUGGAGAUACACAUAAUUUAACUCCAAAAGGUGAUGCAAGCUAGGCUGCCAACAUUAUUAUAGGAAUGAGCUCGAUCAUAAAUUUUGCCUUGACACCAAUUAAUUAAACGAAAAGGCAUGUCGCAAAACCAAUAAAUAAUAGAGUACCAUAGCCCGUGCAAAACGAAGGGAACGUUACUAUAGAGAAAAUUAGGAUGAAUUGUGUUAGCUUUGACUCUCCUUCCUCUUCCUUGAGUUUUUGUAAUAAAAUUUAUAUGGUUUCAAUUCUUUCACUAUUUACAUAUAUAUAUUUUAGUGCUUAUGUUAACUUGAGCGAAAAUUUUAACCUUUCAAUCAAGUGCUAUUCCUAUGAUAUUUUUGUCCGAUGAAGUUAUGUAAUAGAACAAUUGAAGGAACAAUUUGUUUUAGCGUCAUUAGUGCUUUUUAAAAAUAUUACACAUAUAAUUUUUUAUUAAUAGACAUGAAACACAUAUGCAAAAUACAUACACUUUAACUAGUUAUAUAUAAGGGCACCAACUUCAUCCGUGAAAAUUUGGUGGGUUUUCCAUCAAAGAAAUUGGUUGGCUAUUAUAUUAUAUAUGUAAUAUGUUUCACCAUUAAAAGACACAUCAAGUGUAAGACAAAUUAAAAAGUAUUGGUGAUUUUAUUUUAUUUUUGGAGAAAUUAUUUGGUUAGACAAACAUAUAUUAGUUAAUUAGUCAUCAUAGUUAUACUUUUAACUAUCAUUCACGAUCAAAAUUCAGUAAUGAUUACGUGAAUUGGAGUUUGGAGUUUGUAUUAUUUCCACGUUUGAAUAAUAUAAUUUGUCUAACUUUUGUAUAAUAUAAUCUGUAUAUAUCUGAUUAAAGUUUAGAUGUUUGUGUUUGUAUUAAUUCGAUAUUUCAAGUUUAUAUAAAAAUAGUUCAAUUAUAUAAACGUACUCGCAAAUUAUAUAAACGAGACAACUUAAACUAUUGUAAUAACCCGUAAAUAUACAAAUUAUAAUUAUGAAGCACAAUUAAGUUUAUUAAAGUAACUAUUUGAGAAAAUUCCUCUUUAUCUUAUCAAUAGCAGUGACAGAAGAAAAACUUUAAAUAAUUAUUAGAGUUCGCAUGACAAUAAACAAAUCACAUCAAAUCUAAUGUACUGAACUUUUUUAAAAAGAUGGCUUAGUUGAUUUAACUUGGGACUUUCAUUACAUAAAUCUCAAUUUCAAAACCCUUGCCCGCAACCAGGGGUGAAUUUAGAGGCAAAAAUGUCGACCACGUGAAUUCGUAAUAUUUUAUGUAUAUUUUUUUAAAAAUUAAAAUAAUAUUGUAACUUGGCGCACAUGCCAUCAGAAGUGUAAAUGGUACUCUUGAUUGAAUAUUGAAUAAGAACCUUGUAAAUUAAGAAUCAAUUUUCACUAGAAUACAAUUUUUUUUAGUGAUGUACCCAUAUUUUAAAAAUUGUAAAUUUGUCUCUGUAUGUGAAAUAAGGAGGUUAAUUUUCUGGGUCGAGCUUGUUUCACAAAAUUUGCCUUGUAUGAUUUACCCUUUAUGUGUAGUUUGUGAACCAUUGCACAUGACCGAAAUUUAAAUUUGAGUUUCCUUGUCAUAAUAAAUAAAUAAAUUAAUCCAAAGUUGCAUGGUGUACAUAUAUAUUUUAAGUUACUCUCAUGGUGAGGGUGGUUCGACCACCGGAUCGACACCAUUUCUUGAAAAAAUAAAUAAAUCAAAAUACACAUUAACAACUCGAGAUAAUCUCUAAAAACUUAGUAUUAAAAAAAGGAUAAAUUUCAAAUCGUAUUUUCUAAAUUACUGUAACAUACAACACUAUAUUUUUCAUUUAUUUUUUGUUGCAAUCUUGUAAUUUUCUUUGACAGAAAAAAUAAUUAAGAAUCUAUAAUUUUUGUUCAAUUAAAUAAUAAGUGUUUUGACGAAUAAAUUUAUGUCGGACAUAAAAAAUAUGAAGAGGAAAAUUAUAUUGCAUAAUAGUAAUUGUUUUUUUUUUAUAAUGAAUUGCAUAAUAGUAUUUGUAAAAUGUUUUAGAUACUGAUUUAGAAGUGUGUAUAUAUAAUGUAUUUUGUUUUUUCUCAUUGACAAACUAGAACAAAUGAGAAUUAAAGACUCACCAAAUGACAAAAAUGAAGUGUUUUACUAUGCUCAAAUACUUCAGAGCAGAACACAUCAUGUAUCUAUAAAAACACAACACAACGUAAAAGCUCAAAGCCAAUGUGUUUUAAAAGGAUGAUAAUGAGAACACAAUAUACAACACUUAAAAGGUUUCAAUUCAACUAAAACUAAUACUUGAAAUCUUAUUUGCAAUUAGCAGAGCGAAAUUCCAUCCGUCAUGAACUUUAAAUGAAACAUUUUUUUUCUAUUCUAAAAACAACAAAGAGGAAAAGAGAGUACAUUUUGUAAAAUAAGGGUAAAUAAUUUUGUAUUAUUGGUACAUUUUGUAAUUAUUAACACAAAAUAUACAUGCAACAUACAUAUUGAAGGAACACUUUAUUUUAGCGUCAACAGUACUUUUUAAUAAUUAAUAUUACACAUAUGAUUUUAUUAAUAGACAUGAAACACACAUACAAAAUACGUACACUUAAAUAGUUAUAUAUAAGGACACCAACUUCAUCUGUGAAAGUUUGGACGUGGUUUUUCCAUCAAACAAAUUGGUUGGCUAUUAUAUUAUAUAUGUAAUAUGUUUCACCAAUAAAAGACACAUCAAGUGUAAGACAAAAAAGUAUUGGUGAUUUUGUUUUAUUUUUGGGAAAAUUAUAUAUGGUUAACAAAAUAUACUAUUAGUCAUCAGUGAAUAUAUUUAGAUAUUUAGCUUUUUUUAUUUUUUUGGUAAAUGUCUUGGUGUUAGUAUAUGUACAUCAUUCAUGUACAAACUUGUUUAAUAAAAUUUAUUAUACCAUAAUAUAAUUUUUUUUUUAUUUUUUUACAAUAUUAACUAAAAAGAUUAUAUUAUCGAUAUAUGAAUUAGUCUGCAGAAAUAAUUAUUAGGGUAUGCGAACAUUAUUUUUUAUGAUUUUAUGUAUAUCGGUAUUUCAUAUAAUGAAAUAUAAAUUUGUACUGUUUUUUACAAAAGAAUUGAAACCGAAUUGGAGAGAGAGAAAAAUUGCAAGAAUAAUUGUAUCAAAUAAGGAAAGUGUUUAAUGAUAGGAUUCCUAGUAAUUAGACAAUAAAUUCUCUCCUAAAAAAUUAACACUUGAAUUCAAAAAAUCAACAAAAAAAAGAGAGAAAGAAACUUAAAUUCUCAAAAAAGGAUCUUUAAAUAAAGAAUAAUAUUCAAUUAUAAUUGUUAUUGAGAAUAUCAAAGUAAAUAUAGUAAAUUAUGAGUCCCACCAUAUUAGCACACUCACCCAAAAAAAUAGCAAUUAAAAAAUGCGUAUUAUUUUCAAGGUAUUAUUGUUAAAACGUUGAUUUUGAUUAUGGUAUAAAAUUAACUUUCGAUAUAAAAAGGUUUGUGCCUUUAUAAAAAUUUGUAUAAAAUGGUACAUAUUAAGAUAUUUUGUUGGAUUAAAAUAUGAUAUAAUACUCUUGCUAAACUGGUAGGCUGAACACCAACUUCAAACCAUAAACAUUUAUGUCAUAUAAUAUACCAUCUGUUAAUUAUUUUAUAAGUAUAUAUAUAUCUAAUUAAUAAUCUUAUAACACAACAACACCAACAUUUUAUCAAUAUCACCUUUCAGUUCCAACAAUGAAAUGAAGAACACCACAUUUUGAGAAAUAUUAAUUUUCAGAAUCUUUAAGGAUUAAAAAUUAAGUAAAAAUAUAAAAAAAAAAUCAUCAAAUUUAUCCAAUUGUAUAAAUAUAAAAUUUUCUCCUUAUCCUUCCUUUUAAACAAAUUAUGGGUAACAAAAAUAUACUUUUCAUUACCAAUGGUAAGAUUUUUUUUUCCAUAUUCACUCACCGAAGAUAAAAUGAAUGCUUUCAACUCGAAACUAAUUGAUCUCAAACGAGUGUUGUUAAUACUUUAUUUAUUAUCGUACAGGUCAAAGGAAACAUAUAAUUUUAUCUCAAAUUAUAGGCAAUUUUGAAAAAAAAAAGGUUUGAUGAUUAACCAAAAUUCUUAAUGAGAAAAGAUGUAAACUUUUAAGGAGUAUAAUCCAUAGGAAACACACAAUUUUCUUUAUUUUCUUAUUAGAGAUGAUUUUGAAAAAAAUAACUAAGAAAGAAACAAAUCAAACCCAAUGCCGAAAAAAAAUGAAUGAAUAACUUCUUGCUCCUAGAAACUAACAAUGAAAUUGAUAAAACUAAAUUAAUGAUUUUACUUUAAUUUCUUGAAAAGGAAUAAGAGAGAGAAAAUAUCUUAAAUAUAGAAACGUAUUCAAUAAUAGUUAUAAUUGAAAAUCUAAAAAAUAUACAACAUAAAUUAUGGGUCCCACACACUAACCCAUGAAAAUAGCUAGGAAAAAUAUGUAGAAACGUGUAGUAUUUAAUACACUAUCAUAUUUGUAAUUAAAAACUUAAUGUUGUGAUAAAUAAAAAUGAAUAUGUUAAUAUAAUGUAAUUUAAAGUCUUAAACACAAUAUUCUAGUAUUUUUUCUUAAAUAAAUAAUUAAAUAAUAAUAAUAUAUCCCCUGAAAAUAUUAUCUCUAUUAAAAUUGAAAGCUUUGGAUGAAUUAACAAAGCAAAGUGAACAAAUUGGUUCGUCAUAUCUCAAUGUAGUUAACUUUAUGAAAAGACAAAAAUGGUGAUUGAUUGCAAUAGAAAAUAAUUAGGGAUGGGGCUUAGAAUAUUUUAUCAAAAUGUGAAAAAGUGGACAAAUGAGGCAAAAGUAAGGUGGCUGAUUUACCAAAAUUUAGGGAUUUGACUCAUUUUCAUUAUAACUCAUCUCCAUUUUCUUAAUUACAUAUUUAAAUGAAUGACACGGUUUAUAUUUAAAAUUUAAAGGAUAAAAUUUUAUUUUAUUUUAUUUAACAAGUUUUUUAAUCAUAAUUAAAAAAACAAGUUAGGAAAAACUCACUAACUUUUGUGAGAGAAAUUUUGUUUCACUAAUCUCCUCAUUAAUAAAAUGGACAGUUUUUUUACGCUUGUAUAUGCUUUCAAGUUUUUGGAUAUAAUAUCGAAGCUAAAAUUUUCUCGUGAGGAUUCAAAAUAUGAAGAAAAUCAUAUAUAGGGAAUAAUAUAAAACAAUUUAAAGAGUAAACAACUCAUAAUUUAUGAGAUACUAUAAUUUAUGUGCAUACCUUGUACCCAAACACAAAGAUUAGCUCAAAUUUUAUCCCAAAACUCGAAUAAGUUUUAUAUAGAGAGGUUAUUGGGUAAAUACAAUGUCCCUUGUUACUAUUUUAAUUCGGAUCUUUUUAAUUAUAGUACUAUAUAGUUAUUGUCUAUUAAAAUUAAAUACUGAGUAAUUAUUUAAGGAAACAUUAUAAAAUAAGGAGGCUCAUUACCAAAUUUUAGGGAUUUGACUCAUCUUUAUUACAUAUCCUUUCUAUUUGCUCAAUUACAUAUAUUUAAAUGAAUGAUACAUGUUAUUUAAAAUUUAAAGAAUUUGAUUUAAUUUUAUUUAUUAAGCUUUUUAAUCAUAAUUAAAGGAUAAAUUAGGAAAAACUCACCAGGUAAAGAGAGAUCUCUUUCACUAAUCUCCUCAUUAAUAUCAUUAUUUUAAUUAUGCUUUCUUAUUUCUUUUUGAUAUACUAAUUGAUUUAAUUUUGAUUUUAUUUAAAAAUUUAAUCAAAUGAAAUCAUAAAUAUCUUUACAUAAAAAAUUCAAAAAUACACAUUAAUAACUCCAGAUACUCUCUAAAACGUUCCAUUAUUAGGGACCCUUUGGCGCACAGGUCAGGUGUUAAACUUCAAAAUUGAGAAAUUUUCAGCAAAAAUGGCUCCAAAAGUUCUCAUGGUAAGAGUAAUUAUCACCCCUUUGCUUAAUUUGUACUCAUAAAUUCAUCAAAAGCUCAAAAAAAUAAUUUUUGUGGUUCGUUAAUGGUUAUUGAUUAAGUAUUUGGGGAAUUUGCAGGUUGCAGAGAAGCCUAGCAUUGCUUUAUCGAUUGCCUCAGUACUAUCUGGUGCUCACGUAUGAUUCUUUCUUUCUGGGUCUUCAAAAUCUUGCUUUUUUUCUUCUUCUGGUUCAGUCUGUUUCUGAUGUGAAUUUUUAUUUGUAAAGAACUGUUUUUUAUCACUUCUCAUAUGCUUGUAAGUUUUUGGAUAUAGUGUCUUAGCUAGGAUUUUCACUAAGGGGUUCAAAAUAUGAAGAAAAUGAAAGAGGGUUCAGUGUAAUUUUUUGUCCUCGGCCCUAUCUGGCUCCGCCCUUAGUUGGAUAGUCAUAGUUGUUAAUAUGCUGAAUGUGGGAUAGUUAGUUUGAAAGAAAGGAAAUACAUGACUAGCUAUGCAAGGAAGAAUUUUUUUGAAAAGGUAUUUUUUUUUUUUUUGAAAAGAUGCAAGGAAGAAAUUUUAGGGGUAGUUUAGUUUGCAAACUAGUUAUACCAGGAUUAUAAUGCGGGUUAUAUAGUAUGGGGAUUGUUAAUGAUGGAAUUACUUAAUGGAUAUAUGUUUUUGAGUAGAUAUUUUGUUCAUUGGAUUAAAAAUAGGAUCUACAGAGUAUAAUAUAAAACAAUUUAAAGUUGGUCUUUUUAAAGAACUACGGAGAAAGGUGUUUAUGUCAUUUGUUUGUUUUAUCCGAGAUUGGUAUCCCAUAUUGAAUGCAGUGUAAGUAUAAUACCGAACUUGAGGUGUAGUUGUUUCCCGGAUGCUUAUAAAGGAAAAAAAAAUUCCAACCAAUCGACACUCAUUGUUUAGUUUUUAGUUUUAAAUUUGAUUCAAUUUAAGACCGACUGGAAGACUAUACAUUUUGAUUGAUUAUUUCUUUGAAGUGAAAGAUAACAUUUUAAGAGGAAGCUACUGCUAGAUUUUUGCCAGUCUUUUCCUCUGGGUUUUUGAAUAUAUGCUAGAAGAGAGGCUUUAGUAUAUCAAUGGUAAGGUGUAUAUUUUCUGAAAUUUCAGAUUCGAUAAAUUAUUGAGAAUUUUUUCGGUUGGGGGGGGGGGGGGGGUUUUGUGGGGGGGGGANNNNNNNNNNNNNNNNNNNNNNNNNNNNNNNNNNNNNNNNNNNNNNNNNNNNNNNNNNNNNNNNNNNNNNNNNNNNNNNNNNNNNNNNNNNNNNNNNNNNNNNNNNNNNNNNNNNNNNNNNNNNNNNNNNNNNNNNNNNNNNNNNNNNNNNNNNNNNNNNNNNNNNNNNNNNNNNNNNNNNNNNNNNNNNNNNNNNNNNNNNNNNNNNNNNNNNNNNNNNNNNNNNNNNNNNNNNNNNNNNNNNNNNNNNNNNNNNNNNNNNNNNNNNNNNNNNNNNNNNNNNNNNNNNNNNNNNNNNNNNNNNNNNNNNNNNNNNNNNNNNNNNNNNNNNNNNNNNNNNNNNNNNNNNNNNNNNNNNNNNNNNNNNNNNNNNNNNNNNNNNNNNNNNNNNNNNNNNNNNNNNNNNNNUUGUGUGGGUUUUGGGUUUGGGGGGGUGGGGGGGAUUGGUUGUAAGUGGAAUAGUCAUUAUUCUUGCUAUCCAAAGGUUUAAGAAGAGUUAGGGGAACACUUGUGAGGAGAAGAAGAAAGAGAGAACAGGGAAAGAGGGUGUUUGCAGCAUUGGGUUAAAAGUUUCAAAAUGAAAUGAUUUGAAAAUUGAAUUUAAUGGUUUCCUCAGGUAUCAAAUACAAUGCUUAUUAGAGAAAGACUAAUCAUGAUUAGAGAAAGAAUUGGUAAUGGUGCACGGCUCACAGUCUACUUUGACAACCAAAACUAAUGCAGUUGCUGGAGUUGUGGCAGGAGUCAUGCUGAGUAGCUAAUAGAUUAUAGUUUCUUAAAAUGCUUUUUGGAGUAUCAACAACUUUGAAUUGUCUAGUGUGAUUGAGCUCUAUUUUAAUGCACGAAGCAGGUUUAUUUUCUGCGCUCUCUUGUAAUGGUUACAGCUUUCAGUUCACUAGAUUCCUCCCUUAUUUUCAUGUCGUUAUUCUCUUUGGGAAGCACCGAUUUGGGGGAUAUGCUUCUUGAGAUUUUUGUACUUCAUGUAAAUGUGUUGAACAGUACCUUUUAGGUAAUUGUUUGAUCUACUAGUUGGUUAUCCUCAGUGCCUUUGAUGGGCUCUUAACACUCUCAAAAUAGAAGCAUCUUUAAAAUCUUCUAGCUUUACACCAGCAGCUUUAUUAUCUUGCUACUUUAUUUCAUAGACUUUGAGUGUUCAUGCAAUUUUGUUAUAUAUUUGCCCCAGGUGUCAACACGAAGAGGUAGUACAGAAGUCCAUGAGUUCGAUGCGAUGUUUCUUGGAUCACGUGCACAUUAUAAAGUGACUUCAGUGAUUGGUCAUGUUUUCAGGUUUCCUGUUAUCCCAGAUUAUAACAAGCAUUAAUUUUGACGUGUUCUUUGGUUCAGUUAGUUCCUGUGGUUAAAUAUGUUUGUUCAAUCAACAUCUAUAUUAUUAUGUUCUCCAUCAAUGUUUUGGUGACUUCGUUUCUAUUUCUCUAGUUUGAUCUGUGUUCUCUUCAUUCCCUUUGAGCUCCUGCUCCAACUCAAAAUAUGUAUGAGGCUGUUUUUUGAUGGGGCAAAAAUUAAAUUGGCAAUUGACUUUGUGGUCAAUUUAGUCGGAAUGAAAGCCUGUAAGGCUUUUGAGAUAGGUGGAAUGUAAAACUGAUGAAUCCUUUUGAAAAUUGAAUCCGUUAGGAUGUGCUAUCCUAUGCAUGAGCUGAUGUCUAAGGAUAGCAAAUGCUUAGUUAUUUCUUUUCUUGAUGCCACUCCCAAUUGCCUCCUCAGUAGGAGUUAAAUAGAAAUAUAGACCCAUGAAGAACAGAGUGCUAGCAAUUCGUCCGUUUGACUAUAUAUUGCGCAGCCUGGUCGAUAUUAUGUUGCCUGUGGCUUACUUUCUUACUUACAGUUGUGUGAGCUGUAAUAAUCCAUGUGUAACAUGUUGAUUUUUCUAAAUGUCAAUAAGAAAUCUAUUUAGCAUUUGGAAUUACACCAAAAGACGAAGUACACAUGACUUACUAAAGAAAAGGAACCAUGUGGAGCCUUAUCCUAGGCUUCAUCCAAGUGAGAUUCUUUCGUGUUCUGGCUUUAUCUGAGGUGGGAGUGAGAUUACUUCCAUCUUUUUCUUUUGAAAAGUUAAAUUACUUUGUUAUCUUUGAAUACUGCAAACCUUUCCUUUAGUUUGUUUCCCCAUAAAUCAGUAAGAUCUUUAUUGAGGUAUAUGUUUGAAAACCUUUUUUGGUCCUUGAUGUUGUGAUAUAGUAAGAAUAUUGCUUGAGCUUCCAGCGAUUGCUUUCUUUAUACUUAAUCCCAUAACUUAUUGGUUUGUUCUGGUAUACAAUCUGAAUUUUCCGUGUCUGAUAAUCUAGCGUAGAUUUUCCAGCAGCUUUUCAAGAUUGGACAACUACAAAUCCUUCAGAUCUUUUCCAGGCACCGAUACUUAAGAAGGAAACAAACCCCAAGGUAAUAUUUCUCCUUGUACCUGUUUACUAAAGUUACCAGAGAUUUUUCCAUUUGAAUAGCUUUUAUCGUACUUUUGGCUAAGACCAUCUUUAUGCAGCUGGGUUGCAUUUCGUUUCAAGCAUAUAAGCCGCAUCUUAUACUUUUUAGCUAUCUACUUUUGUUUAGAUCACAGAUAUUACAAUGAUCUAUAUAUUUAUUUGUUCUGUUGUUUCAAUAGCAAAUUCUGACUGACCUUCGUAUACAAGGCUCAUAUUUGUAGGCAUCUAAGCCAGGAAGCUCGUGGUUGUACACAUUUGGUGCUAUGGCUGGACUGUGAUCGUGAAGGAGAAAAUAUAAGCUUUGAAGGUACUUUUUGAUUGUGACAUUAUUAUUUCAUGCAGGCAAAGACUUGUUACAAUGGUCUUAGAUGAAUAGGCUUGGAUAAAUGUGUCAAGAGCUCCAUGCCACAUGGAGAGCAUUUAAUGGUUUGGUGUUGGUUUCAAGUACUUUAGAUUUUUUGUUGAUAUGGUAAGAAUAAGAGAAGUUAAAAACCAUGAUAAUAAAAUUCUGUUUUUUGGUGGUGGUUUUUAAGUAGUACCUUAGAAUCAGAGUUCUUGUAACUUCUUUACUAUCGAAGGUUAAAGGGGUGGGAGAACAAUGGAUGAUCAAUCUAAAGAAAUUUUGGAAUUUUAGAUUUUCUGUUUGGAUUGAAGAAAUCAUAAGACAGUAGGAAAAAGUACAGAAGCUCAAGGGAUCAUGCGUGAUCCCGUUGACGUCACUCUUGUGAAAUGACAUGUCAUUUUUAGUGGUUGAUUUCACUGUUUUGGAAGCAUCAACAUGUGAUUUAUAAAGCUCACACCUAUUUCAGAAUAUGUCUUUUCUACAAAUCAAUGAAUCUAUUGAUUUGAGAUCUGAACCUAGGCUUUUGAAUCAAACUAUCCCAAAGUGAAAAAAAAAUAAAAGAUUUAUACCCUGAAUUGACAGAUAAAAGGAGCUAACAUGAGGCCCUGAAAGGGUCAAAACAAAUUCAGGAUUCAAUCAGCACAUAAAACCACCAAAUAUUCUACAAUGUGUAUAUGUGUAUAUAUGUCUAUUUAUAGACAAAUUGAUGAACUGCACCAACAUCACUUGAUAGAACUUCAAAUCGCCCACUUUUUGAACCUUUAUUUGGUUGCUUUUGUUCUGCUUUUUGGAAUAUUUCUUGGUCAUAAUUCUUUAUUCUUGUUUUAUCUUAUUGGUUCAGUUAUAGAGUGCACUGGAUUUCACACAAGCGAUGGUAGAAGAAUUUACCGUGCUCGAUUCUCUUCUGUUACUGAAAAAGAUAUUCUGAAGGCAAUGAAUAACCUAGUUGAACCCAACAGAGAUGAAGCAUUGUCUGUAGAUGCACGCCAAGAGAUUGAUUUGAAAGUUGGAGUUUCAUUUACACGUUUCCAGACUAGUUAUUUCAAUGGGAAAUAUGGCAAUCUUGAUGCAAGGGUUAUCUCGUUGGUUCUCUCCACUCUUUUCCGUUUGCCCAUCACACAAUACCUUUUUUUUUUCCUGAACUUCUUAUGUGUCAUUUGGAGGAAUUGCCUAACAAUAAUGACAUUCAUAAAUUCUCUUCCUAUCGUCAUAGCUGCUGCUGCUUCUACUCUGUGCUGAUUGUGCUGUCUUGAACGUGUUAUGUCCUUCCAGACCUUGUUCUGGCGGAGUUUAAUUUCAAAUGACAUGCUUUCUGCCAUGUGUCACAGAAGAGCUCCCACAUCAUAGUUUUUUGGUUUAUUUGUUGAUUGUUUGGAAAAGCAUGUUUGUCUGGCUUUUGUAUUUUUCUUCUUUGUUUCCUGCUGUUGUUUGCACUCUCUGUGUAGUCUUCAAUUGUACUUGAAUCAUGUCUAAUGGUAGAUACAUUCUAUUUAAAAGAAACCUUUGUUUGUAUGAGUUAUGACUUGCUAUUAUAUAGCCACAAGUCUCUGUGAGUUUCACCUUUCGUAAUAAUAUCAACCAUCAAGAAAUAAUCGCUUUUACAUGUCAAUUACUUCAUGUUACUCCUUUCUUCUACAAAUUACUCGUUACCAUUAUAUUAUCAAAAUUAUCACAAGUCUAAAUGGAACACACUCCUACUUAUAAUUUCAGCUAUGGGCCAUGUCAAACUCCUACUCUUGGGUUCUGUGUGGAUCGUUACCUGCAAAUCACUAUGUUCAAGCCAGAAAAGUUUUGGAUGCUGCAUCCGUACAUUAUGUACAAGGGGUAUGAACUCAAGUUAGAAUGGGAACGUAGCAGGUUGUUUGAUGCUGAUGUGAGUUCCUCCUAGUUUGACCUUUCAAGAGGUUUUGUCCCAAAAUAUCGAGUUCAUGCCUCUGUUGCUAAUAGCUUUUUAAUUGAUAGGUUUCUGCAAUGUUUCGGAACAGAAUAAUAGAGGAUGGGAUUAUGAAAGUUGUUCGUGUAUCUGAAAAACUGGAAUCCAAAGCUCGUCCUUCUGGUCUAAACACAGUAAAUCUUCUGAAGGUUGGUUAUAUAGGCUUGCUACCUAUUUUUAUUAUUGAAGUAUUUUAUUCUAUGCUGCUCGGAUCUUUCCAAAAGUCAUGCAUUUUUGAAGGAUCCGACAUGGGUGUGGAGGCAUCAUUAAUACACACUAUUAACAAGGUAGGAGGCGUUUACAUGAUUCCACACUGGUUAUAGCUGUUUUAACUUUUCUGAAAGUGAAGUGCGUGUGGUAACUUUUAUUUGUUGUUCCAUCCACAUUUGGCACCUGCCACGUGUUAUCUCACCCGCUAUCAUUUGCUACAUUGUGGCUUACUGUGACCAAAGAGAUUCUUUUAUAGAUUUUGUGAUUCCAUAUUUGUUAAAAUACUAGAAAUAAAAUUGCACAAAGAACCCAAUGUGGCAAUGGUGUGGAUUGUAAGUGCCCACUGCCCAUAUUUAAUGUUUUUAUGAGUGUUGACCUGUCAAAACUCAUAUCUUAAGUAGCAUCUUGAUCACUUCCUGCUAAUUAAUCAUCUAUGCAUUACUAACAAGGAAAUAUUAAUUGUCUAUACAUUUGAAGUUUGUCUACAUCUGUAACUUAAAAGGCUUGUCUGAUUAACAUGCAACUCCCAGGUGAAAGUAGAAAUUUUUUCUUUUAACACAAUUCUAGAGCAUGUGUCAUCUUAAACUGUUUCUGCCUGGAGUCAUUGUUCGUGAUGUUGCCUUCUUCUCUGCUUUAGACUUUCAAGUAACUAGAUGCCCUUUAUGUGUUGAAGAAAUGAAGUUCCAUCUUUUGUAUUUUCAUGUAUAUGGAUCAAUAUUUUGUUAUCUUUCUAAGACCUCGUACUCAGAAGUCCAUAGAUCUGAACCCUUGAGACUUUACAUGUUUCUUUAAUGAUUUAAAUGUAUUUUCCUUCCACUUACUUUGGAUCAAAUCUUCUGGUUCUGAUUUUCAAAAUUUUCAGGUAGCAUCAAGUGCACUGGGCUUUGGUCCCCAGUUAACUAUGCAGUUGGCUGAGCGUCUGUAUACUCAAGGUUUUAUCAGGUUUUCCUCUGUUCUUUGACUAUAGUGUUCUUCUCUCACAUAUCCGCACUUCUGUCUUUAAUAUUUUCACUCAAUUUUCUUGCUUGAGAAAGUUUUAAAAACUUGUACUAUUUUUUUUCUUCUGAAUACUAGAAAAUAUACAUAUGAGAUUGCUUGCUCAGUAAACUUCACUUAUGUUGUAUUAGUACUGUGUGAUUGAGUUCCGUAAUGCACUAAUGUCAGUUUAAAGUUCAACACUGCACUAAAAGUAUAUAGUAUCUUUGCUGCAUCAUAAGUGUACCUAUGGAACUGAUGAAAAUAGCUAUGUUCUCAUCUUAGUUCUCAUCUUAGUAUUAUUCUUAUUGUUUCCCUUAUUUUUAGAUUUCUAUCGCUACCUGUUGUUUCUUUAGCCUCGGUAUCUUAUUAUCUUGUUUUUGUUUCUGCUUGUUGCUCCUACCUUUUUUUCACACUGUUCAUUCGGUUGAGGGUCUGUUGGAUACAACCUCUCUACCUUCUCAAAGGUUAGGCUAAGGUUAGAAUGAUGUUUGAUUGGUAAGAUAAAAUUCAUUAGAACUCACCAAGGGAUGCAAUCCUUUGUAGAGAGAAUUAAAAAUUAACAAUCAGACAGAUACACUGAUUUUAUACGAUCAAAAGCUUUAUCUAUAAAAAAAUUAACUUGCAUUUUUAUGAAUUGUAUGCUAAAAAAGGAUCACAUUGAACAAGUAUGACAAGCACGUUUGGAUGAAAGGACACCUUAUUUUGUUUUAGGCCAUAGUGAAGGUAAUGGAUAGACUUCUUAAAAGAGAGCCAAGGAUUUUGAGAUUCCAAGUUGGGGAGUGCUCAUUUAUGUUUAAUUUUUACAACAAAAUUGUUCAAAUUCUUAAUUGGAAAUUCAAAUUUUCAAUUUCCUUUCAGUGAAUUCUUGUAGGACUUUGCAUGUAGUUCAUGUAUGAGUUUGCCAUUAUGAAAAAUUGUACUUCCUGAAACUUCCAAUGCAUUUUACAGAUCAUCCCUUUUCUUUUUGGCUUAUUUUUUCUUUUCCGUUCCUUCAGCUAUCCACGUACAGAAAGCACAGCAUAUCCUUCUUCUUUUGACUUCAAAGGAACACUAGGGGCGUUGGUGCAUAAUCCUGUAUUUGGUGCUUAUGCGCAAAAGCUUUUAACUGAAAGUUAUAAUAAGCCACGGGCAGGAACUGAUGCAGGCGAUCAUCCUCCAAUAACUCCGAUGCGUUCUGCUAGUGAGGAUAGUUUGGGGAAUGAUGCAUGGAAACUGUACCAGUACAUCUGCCAGCAUUUUUUGGGAACUCUCUCUCCAGAUUGCAAAUAUAGAAGGUUGAGCUUUAUUUCUUGAUUAACGUCUUAGUAACUCCUCUUGCUUUGAGCUUAUUUACAUAUCUUUUAAACUAACCAACAACUUGGAUAACUCUAAUACUGAUUUCUUCCUAGAACAUGUCAAACAGCUCUUUUAUGUAUUCAUAUUAUAGAUCCAAUUCAGAUCCUGCUUUUAGUGCUUUUUCUUUUCUUGUAACUAGCACAGUACGUGCCAAGUAUAGAGGACUGUAACAAGUUCAAAUCUUGGCACUAUUAAUCUACUUGUCUUUCAAGAUUCUUAGUUUCUGGCUGAGAAGUUUAAGUCAUGUAAAUUGGGUAUUUUCUCAGGAUAAAAGUUGAAUUUGAAAGUGGUGGAGAGCAAUUUCAGUGCGUUGGGCAGCUUGCCACAGUCAAAGGAUUCACCUCUAUUAUGCCAUGGCUGGCUAUUAGUGAGAAGAAUCUUCCUGAGUUUGCUGUAGGAGAGAAAAUCGAGAUUUCUAAGGCUGAACUAGAUGAGGUAUCACAUGAUCUGUUCAAUUGAACUUCUCAUUUGUUGUUCAGCUCUGGAGUAAAGUGAUAGUCUUUGCACUUCAGUAGUAUUUAUUGGUCCUAAAUCAAAAGAAUUAAUUUAUUAUUAUUUUUUUUUUCUUUUGAUUUAGGGUAGCCACUACGCCUCAAUUUCAAGUUAGUUGGGGUCGGCUACAUGAAUCCUCAGUAUCCAUCAUUUUACCUGACACUUUUGUUCUUUCUUUUGCUAUGAAAUGACUUGAAACACUUGCAGCUUACCGAGUACAUGACCCUAUAUAGAAACAUAUGGAGGUCGAGGAUUAGGGUAGAAGAUUAGUAGAUAGUCAUAUGCAGCCUAGUUUCCUUUAUCAGUGGUAUCUGUACUUUUUUUUCUCUUACUUUCUUAUACUUCAAUUUCAUUAUUGCCUGAUGCCUCCUUUGCUUCGUUUAUCGUAUUAUUUGUUGGUGCUACUGGUAUUCUAAAUUCAUUACUAUUCGCAGAAGUCUUUUUACUUGGUUUUUCUUUGAAAUUUGUAGGGGAACACUUCGCCUCCGGAUUAUCUCACCGAAAGUGAGCUGAUCUCUUUGAUGGAGAAACAUGGUAUUGGAACAGAUGCGUCAAUCUCUGUGCAUAUUAACAACAUAUGCGAACGCAAUUAUGUCCAGGUUUUGCUAUAUGCAUUGAUUUCCAAUUCUAGCUGCUGUAGACUGUCCUCUCUAUUGCUUUCUGUUAUGGUUCUUUUGACGUGAAACAAUCUUCUACUAGAAAUUAGACUUCUGAGUUUGGCUGAGUCAAAUUGCAGGUACAAGCUGGGCGGCGAUUGGCUCCAACUCCCCUGGGUAUCAGCUUGAUAAGAGGGUAUCAAUGCAUAGAUUCUGAUCUCUGUUUGCCUGACAUACGAAGUUUCAUUGAGCAUCAGAUCACUUUGGUAGCUAAAGGUCAAGCAGAUCAUUCAAUGGUUGUGCAGCAUGUACUAGAACAAUUCAGAAGGAAGUUCAGUUAUUUUGUUAAGCAGGUAUAAGAUAUUAAGCUCUUAAGGAAGUUCAGAAGUGAUGGUUGAUGGCGCUUUGCUGCUUUCUUUUUUUCCAAAUUAGAAACAAGCCGAUGUUCACAAAUAGACAACUGAUGAUGCUUUUUUUCUUAACUGAAUCUGUAACAUGCUGAUGCUCACUGAUAAAAACUUUAAUGAGCUUCCAAAUACAAUCUCUUAAGAACUAGUCAUGCAAACAUCACCUUGCAGUUGUGGAUCUGCCCUGCUGGUUUCCGUUACUGUUUUUCCUGAAAAGUUACUGGACAUAAAAUAGUAUCAGACUGAUCCUUAGAGAUGAGUAUUUUUGGUAUAAGAAACAACUACAACAACAUACCCAGUGUACUCCCUCAAAGUAGGAUCUGGAGAGGGUAGAGUGUACGGAGACCUUACCCUACAUCAGAUAGAUCCUCGGCUCAAGGGAAAAGUCCAAAGCAGCCUGAAAAAGUAAAACGUUAUAGUCUAAACAAAAAUUCGGGAUAAAUUACUGCUAUUGACACUAGAACCUAGCUUAGAAUUGAGGGUAAAAAAGUUCUGAAGCAUGUUCUGCACUUUAUCCCACUUUUCUCUCAUUUUUGGCCCAUAAAUUCUUUAACUUGUAUUAUCUAAUGCUAAUUAUUCACUGAAUCUCGUGUCUGGCAUGUAGAUUGAUAACAUGGACGCAUUAUUUGAAGCCCAAUUUUCUCCACUCUCCGACUCUGGACGUCUCCUUAGUAAAUGUGGCAAAUGCUUGCGAUAUAUGAAAUACAUAUCUACUCAACCAGCUCGACUGUACUGUGGUACCUGUGAGGAAGUCUAUUACGUACCUCAGAAGGGUACAGUCAAGGUAAGUGUUUUACUGUUAUAAAGUUACUUCCGACCCUUAUGAAUUAGAACGGAGAGAACUACUAUAUAUGCCCUUUUAUGUUGCAGCUUGAGAAGUUGGUAGUUUCUCUUUCGAUUAGCACCUUAUUGUAUGAUCUCACCCAAAUUCUCCGACUAAACGUUGAACUUCUUUUACUUUUUUUCAGCUAUACAAGGAGCUUACUUGCCCCCUUGAUAAUUUCGAGCUGUUACUAUGUAGCAUGCCCGGUCCAGAAGGCAAGUCGUUCCCUCUCUGUCCUUAUUGCUUCAACUGUCCCCCUUUUGAAGGCAUUGAUACAUUUUUUGGCGCUCCUAAAACUGGUGAUUCAACCAAGCUGGGAAAGGGAGUUGGAAUGCCUUGCUUCCUCUGUCCUCACACCACAUGUCCACAUUCUGUGAUCGCACAAGGCGUUUGUGCCUGCCCAGAAUGCAGUGGUACACUUGUUCUUGAUCCUGUCAGCGCUCCAAAAUGGAGGCUCUACUGCAACAUGUGCAAUUGUCUUGUUUCCUUGCCCGAAGGAGCUCAUCGGAUUUCUACAACUCAAGAUAAGUGUCCUGAAUGUGAUUCAACUAUCAUAGAAGUCGAUUUCAACAAGAAAACAACCCCCUUAAAAGAUGGAGCUACACUCCAUAAGGGAUGUAUUCUUUGCGACGAGCUGCUGCAUUCACUUGUGGAAAUGAAACAUGGAAGAUCAUUUUCUAGACAUGGCAGGAGAGGACGAGGUAGAGGAAGAGGAAGAGGAAGAGGACGGGGCAGCACCAAACAACAAGACCCAAAAAUGAGUUUCCGAGAUUUCUGAAGUGUUGUUCGAUCUUACUAGAAAUGUGCCUUAUGAUUUAGAUUUUCUCAUAAAAUUUGUUAAUUGGAGAUCAUUUUGUUGAGCCGACACGUUACUUAUUUGGGACUGAGACGCAGUUGUUGUUGGAGGUCAUUUUGUAGAACUAGGAGCAUACAUAUGCUGGUUUAUUUAGAGAAAAGAAAUAAAAUAUUGACAGUUGCACUUCUAAAUCUAUUUUAGUGAAUAUUCUAUCAACAAUGGAAUAUUAACACCCUAAAAUUUCCAUAAAUCUAUCUGAUUAUGAUCUUAUUUCAAGCUCUAUAUAUUCUAUAACAAACAAUAUAUCAUCAAGAUUUAUAUUGGCAUAAAUAUGAGUUCUUUAUUCUUAAUCAGAUGUUUCAGAUUUCGAGCAUAUUAGUUUCUUAACCAGAUGUUUCAGGUUUCGAGCAUAUUAGUGGGUAUGAAAGAAAACAUGUGAGUGGGAGAGCGCUUCUCUUAUUAAUGGGUCUUAUACUACACAAUCCAAAUUAAUUGAGGCCUUAAUGUAGAUAUCGAUCAGUGAUUUUUAUAUAAAAAAAUUAAAUACAACAAACAAGUUGACUAUUUUCUUUCUUUCUCAAUUCCAUUUUCUUUGGAAGGAUAUUGAGGUGGGGGUGGGUAGAUGGGGGACCUGUUAUUGUGGUCCAAUUUUGAGACAAGAAAUUAUGUUACGUUACAUAGCAUGGGAAUCUUAUUAUUAUGUCAACAAUUGGAAAAAAAGAAAAAAGUUAUUGGGUGAAGAGAAAUGAUAAUAUUAAAUACCUAAAUACAUAAAAAGAAUAAUAAAAAGGGAUAGUAAUAUAAAAUAGCAUGUCAAAAUGUAACUCAUAACUAAAAAAUCCAAUUUUAAAACCACAACACUUGCUUUCAUUUCUUAAAGCAAGAAAAAAAGACAAAAGGAAAAAAGAAUCUAAUCAUGUCACCUCAUACAAAGGACCCUACUCUACCUUAUGAAUAUACCAGUUUCGUUGUUUAUCUCAAAUUAAUAAAUGUAUAUCAAGUAUUUAUAUAUACACUUUUGACACUUAACGAUGGUUAAUUACUAUGCAUUCACACCUCGUUAAAUCACUCAACUAAUGUAAAUUUACAAGAUUUGAUAUAAACAUCAAAUACGAAUACAUAUUUACAAGUGUCACACUCCAAAAGCCCAUUUGCUACUACAUAUAAGGCUACAAAAUGCCUUUAUGUCUUGUUGCUAUACUCCUUAACUUAUUCCACCCCAACAUUAUAUCUCUCACUAGUAGUAGUUGGUGACCACUAGUUCUCAUUUUUUCCCAAAUAAGAUUGAAAUUUCAACAAUUUCAAGAUUCCAAGUAUUUCAAGAACAUUAGACAUGGGAUUGUGUGAAUCAUGUUGUGUUAUAGUCCUAUGUUUUAUGUUCUUACUUUUGAAUCCUCAAUUUUCAUAUUCCAUGUCAUGUACAACACAAAAGUUCACCAACAACAAAUUGUAUCAACAUUGCAAUGACUUGCCACAUUUGAAUUGUUACAUUCAUUGGACUUACAAUCCAAAAAUUUCUUCUUUAAAUUUAGCCUUUGUAGCUACUCCUACUAAGCCUGAUGGAUGGAUUUCUUGGGGAAUCAAUCCAAUUGGGACAGGAAUGGUUGGUACACAAUCGUUGAUCGCGUUUAAAAAUCUCAACGAUACUAUAGUUGUGAAAACCUUCAAGUUGAACUCAUAUAAGUCUAUCGUGCAAGGGGAACUUGAGUAUCGCGUUUCGAAUAUGGAAGCAAUGUAUAGUAAUGAGAUGAUGGUAAUUUUUGCUAGUGUAGAAUUACCUAAAGGAAUGAGAGAGUUGAAUCAAGUAUGGCAAGUUGGAAGUUUAGUGUUAAAUGGGAAAUUUCCAGGAAUUCAUGAUUUUCAACUUGAGAAUUUGAAUUCAAAAGGAAAACUUGAUUUGAUGAAAGGAAAAAAUGUUAAUAAUGGUCUUGAGGAUUCUAUGGCCAAGAAUAGAAAUGUAAGUUUUUCAAUUAAUACCACUAUUUUAAAAUAAUAGUGGUUUCAGAUCAGUUUACGUUGCACCUUAACUAUAUUGUCAGAUAUACAUGUUACUUCUCAUCAGCAAGGUAUCAAAUAACUUUUUUCCUAAAAAAAUGUUUUAACAAAUGAGAAGAAAUCAUCUUGUCAGAUUUGUCUUAAUUGCUAGAAUUUGAGCUAUAUGGUCUCCAAUGAUUUUCAUUCCACUUCAACGAUCUAUUUCAAUUUUUUUAUAACGAUGAUGUCCAGAUCAAUUUAUGUGUUACAUCACUUAUUUCAUUUAUCAAAUAUUAAGUAACUUUGUGAAAAAUCUCAUUUUAUUUGUAUUGGAAUUUGAACUCUGAUCUCUGAUGACAAUUAUCCCACUUCAACAAUCACUAAUUCAUUUGAUGCAAAGAAAUACCUAUUUCAUUUUUUAAUUUUUUUUUUCUAAUAUUUGAUUUUUGGUGGAACAGAUUCAUGGAAUUUUAAAUGUUGUGAGUUGGGGAAUUUUAUUUCCAAUUGGAAUUAUGAUUGCAAGGUAUCUAAGAACAUUUGUGGAUCCAAUAUGGUUUUAUGUUCAUGUGACUUGUCAAAUAUCAUCUUAUAUUAUUGGAGUUUCUGGUUGGGCAACUGGUCUAAAACUUGGAAGCCAAUCCAAAGGAAUUAUGUACAAUUCCCAUAGAGAUUUUGGUAUUGCCUUGUUUUGUCUUGCAACUCUACAGGUAUAUUCCUAAAUCCCAAAUUUUUUUUUGGAGUUUAAGUUAUAUGCAUCGUCAGUAAAGAUUUUUUUUUACACCAGGUCACUCAAAAGAUAUAUCUACAGGUAAUUAAGACUACAUAAAAAGUGAACAAAUAUAUCAUAAUCUUAAAAGUAAGUUGCUAAGGUGGUAAAUACCAUAUACCAUUAUGGGUUCAAGUCACAAGGGAGCAAAAAAAAAGGUCAGAGUUGCUAUGUAGUUAAAGAAAGAAAGAGGCAAAUCACUAUGAUAUAUACAACAGGUAAAGAUGACCUGAUAGUGUAAGAAAAUUAUAAAUUAACGGUGUAUAUAGCCAACUAUUACACUAACACCAAGACAAGGUAAUUAUGCUCGUCAACGUCUAAAUAAAUGAGAAAAAAUCAUCUAGCUCUGUUAUCUUUAUUGGAUUCAUAUAUAAUCAUGAUCUUACAUACUUUUCGUUCACUUUAUUGAUUGCUAGGUCAUAUAUCGUCAUGUGCUUGAUGUUUGUAUUCUACAAAAUUGAUGCCAACUUUUUUUUCCAAAAUUAUGACAAUGUAGGUAUUUGCACUAUUUCUGAGGCCAAAGAAGGAACACAAAUACAGAUUUUAUUGGAAUAUGUAUCAUCAUGGAGUUGGAUAUGGUGUACUUGUUCUAGGCAUCAUUAAUGUGUUUAAAGGUCUUGAAAUAUUGCAACCAGGAAGCAAAUGGAAAUUGGCUUAUAUUAUUUUCCUAUCAAUUAUUGGAGGAAUUGCUCUUAUUUUAGAAGCAAUUACUUGGACAAUUGUUCUUAAAAAGAAGCCUGGAAAAUCAAAUAUUAACAAACUUUAUGAUGGACAAAAUGGAAGACAACAACCUCUCACUUGAUUUUUUUUUUUUUCAUAUAUAUAUUUGUUUUUUCUAUGGUUGGGUUGGGUUCUAUUUUACUUUAUUUUAUUUUUUUGGUUGGGACUGAAUUUAUUUUAAUAUUUUCUUCUUGUGUAGAAUCCGUACUCUUAUGAGAGUAUUGUUGUUGUAUUGGUUCAUUUUAAUAUUCAUAUAGUAAGAAAUAUAAAUAUUGUUGCUUUUCAAACAACAAAUUAUUUUUUUGUCCUUACAAGAUAAUUACGUAUUUAUUGAAGUGUUGUCUAACAUUCUUGGCUAUCAAAUGCAUUACAUGCAGGUUCUUAUUAUUCUACGCCUAAAAAAUACUAACGAACUUCGAAUCACGAAAAUUUAAAAUCGUGACCGAUAAAUAAAUCUGAAAACAAAUAUUCCACCACAACCCCAUGAUAAUUGCCUAAACCUUUUAGCAUUUUAGUUUAGUCUUCUAUUCUUGAUGUACAACUUUAACGUAUGACAAAAUGAAUAAAUUAUGGACAAUAAUUACAACUUCAAUUUUUUUUAAAAGUAAAGUAAGUGUUAGGUUAAAAUAAAGUCUAUUUUAACCUAACAAGAAAGCUAUGUGUACUCAUGAGAAUUAUGGUUUUAAUUACUUUUUACUUCCUUGAUAGUAGGAGACAAUGUUUAUUUGAUAGUAAGAACCUUAAUUAAAUAGAAAUUAUUAGGUAUAAUUAAAGUAAAAGAAAUAAUUAUUGUCCUUUGCAUGCUUAACAAGCAAUGAUUUCAGAAGCAUUAGUAAUAGUAAUAGGCAAACAAUGCAUAUUCAAUUAUAGGCGGAGCCAAAAAUUAAAAUUUAUAAAUUCGAAAUUCUAAUUCUCUAAAUACAAAAAUUUAAACUAAAGUUACGUAUUAAAUUCAAUUGAACAUACAACUUAACUUAGACUUUGAAGAAGUGUAAUUUUUGGAUCAAAUUUCCAAAACGAAAAAAUAUUUUAUAGCCAAACAACAAAAAGGCCAAUUUUAUUUAUUGACGAAUUAACAAUAGGUUAUCAUAUGCUACAAAAGGAGUGUUACACUAAAAUAAUUUUCAUUUAGAAAAAGUGUAAUGCAGAAAGAUUUGGUCACGACAAAAUAUUUGUGGACCCAUCCAUUAUUAGCAACAUAAAUAUAUACUACAAGAUAUCACAAGGUUAAUAAGUGAAAUUAAUUAACUUAAUUAUUCGAAUCAUUCCAAAUUAAAGUGGAAUUAGUGACCACUUGUUAAUGUUAAAAGUACUUUUCCUAACUAUAGAUAUACUAGUCACGGGAAAUAUUUUAGAUUAAAACAAGUAAUUACAAAUUAAGCUAUGAGUUUAAUUAGCACAAACACUAAAUGUUAGUUGUAACGGCUCAGAUCUAACUAUCAAUGUAUUGUUCGCUUUGAUAUAACUUUUUGUAAUUUCACAAUUAUGUCCUUUUGGGCUUUAACUCAAAAGACACAAAUUCAUUUGAAUUCUUGAAUCCGUCUUAUGGUCCUUAAUUUCCCUCUUUGUGUUAGGCAAGUUGAAAAAACCAAUAAGAUUUUUCAUCAAUCAAUUUGAUUUAUAUACUUCAUUCAAAUUAUCGUUAGUUUUAGAUGAAUUGAAUUUGACGAAUUCAAAUAAACUAAAUUAAUAAAUAAAUAAAUUAUUAAUCUCUCGUGACUAUAGUUAAACUUGACACCUAUCUACAUACAACAAAUUAUAAAUGGGACCCAAUUUGCUUAAUGAUUUAAUGGAACUCAUAAUUAUGUGUAGGUAAAGGACCCAAUAGCUUAAUGAUUAAUCUUUUGUUUUUUUCUCUUUGGUCUUUUGUUAGUAAAAGCAUUAAUUUGAAAAAGGAUGGCUUUGGUUUUAUAAUUUAUAUUAUGUUUUCUUGUGUGCAUGACUCAUUUGCAUUUUUGCCCCUCAUCUGUGUUGGUUUUUAAUUUUUAUCUUUCAUAAUAAAUAUUUUUUUUUGUGAAAUGUAAGUUUAUAUUUUGUAUAAUAAUAUCCCAUAAAUUAUAUAUAAGCAUAGCUUCAGUUUAAAAGAAAAUGUCCCACUAGAUAUAAGUUCGAUUGUUAAAUGAUAAAAAUUAAUGAUCAAAUCAUUUAAAGGGAAAGGUACAAUUUCAUGUUGUAGCUUUAUGAAGUCAAAUAUUGGUUGAUAAAAUGAACUUAACUGCACAAUUCAGACAUGUAAACAACUUUCAAAUAAAAUACUUGAGAUACAUGUAGUCUGCUAGCAUUAAAUAUGUGUCCCCAUAAAAAAUAUUUCCUAGUACCUGAUGUUUACAUCGAAUCAAACAAUUUAUCGUUUAAGAGUAGUAAAACUUAAAAGUGAGAAUACAUAUGCUUAAACAGAGUUAAGAGAGAUUUAUACAAUUCACUGUGUUAGUGAAUUGAAUAACUACUGAAAAAUCUCUUAAUCUUGAGCCAACAAUAACAAAAUGUAUAACCAGUUAAGACAUGGUUCAUCUUGAGCAACAAUUGCUCCAAGAUCGUUUCGAUCCUUCUCCGUCAUCUUUUACGAGGUUUACCCUGUUAAUAGAUAACUCCGCCUUGUAGGAAUCCGAAUUCAAGACCUUUCGGCUGACAUUGCUAUAGAUUUCACGGAUAACAAUCUCGAAAGCCUUAUUAACGUUUGUAGAAUCUAACGCGGAUGUCUCCAUGAAGAACAAUCCUUCUGCUUCUGCAAGCUUCGCGCCUUCUUCAAUACUAACGUCUCUAAUGUUGUCCAAAUCACAUUUGUUUCCUACCAGCAUCUUCGCGACUGUUGUAUCACAAUGAGCUGCAGGGUUCAUCAGAUUCAAAAAGUUUAGUAAUUCUGCUGCCUCAGACACAUACAUUAUUAUGUGAAAUAGAAAACGAAAAUCACGAGACAGAAAGUUUCAACCGAAGUAGAUAAUGGAAAAUUCACUUGUUAGUUAGUAAUGACUACAUUCCCUUAUAUAUACAGUUCGUGACAUCUUCAAUCGCACAUCAAAUUAAUCACAAAUUAAAAGUAGAGGAGUAAGCAUAUGGACAAUCAUAGUUUCUAAUUGUACCAGCUGAGUAUGUCUACCCGAACCGAUAGCAAAUUAACUUCUCUUUCUAAAUGUCUCUUUAUGGAUUAGAUUAAAUUCAUAAUGAAACUUCAAUCUCCCUAAUAUCUUCUUUUUACUUGCACAGCAGCACACUACAAAUAAGUUGCUAGCACUUUCCUACUAGAAUCAAAGAAACGGUUAAUUUGGACAGUCUGAAGUACACGUUUCAACACAUUUGAGAAAGACCGUCCAUCUUUAGCUACGUGCAUUCGGGCUCAAUACUGAUAUCCAUAUCCCUUUUACUUCUUAUUCUACCAAAAGGUCCCAAGAAUUUCGCCACAUGUUCAAGUGAAGAUGCAUAUCUAAGACAAUUAACUAGCAAAACCAUCAGUUCAAAUGUUCAAUGCAUAAUCACCAAAUAUGCAAGCGAUUAGACAUUUUCCAUCAGGUGAAAUAAAGAACAGGCUAUUUUUACCCCAAAAUUCGAAAAAAAUGAACAUCUACAUGUAUCCAGGGAACAAAAAUUGGAGAGUAACAGGCAAAUAAAACAUACACUACUAAAGCACCAAAUGUUAUGCCCAUAUUAGAACUUAUGGAUCAACGAUAGUUGUGACAGAAUAAUUUGCAGUGGAGUUCUUAAAUUAGGUGAGCAACAAUUCUAGCCUCAUCUAACAUGACACAAAAUAUGCUUGAAAACUAGAUCCUAGUUGCUCGGAGAUGAAGACCCUCAUGAAAUUCUAGGUAUUUACCAAGUGAACAUUGACUAAUUACAGAACAAAAAACAAUCUUUCACAUGAAAACCCAAUAUUAAGAAAAUUCAUAAUAAGUAGAAUAGACACACAUUUGCAUUUUCACCCGUCUCAUUUCCAAAAGGUACAAUUGAAUACCACAUGCUCAAUCGAAGUCAAAUUUCUCUAUAACGACGUCGUUUGGUCGGAUAUAUUUUGGCUGCUAUAGUGAGAUGUUGUUAUAGUCUUCUAGUUAUAGAGAACAUAUAAUAUAACAUACUAUGAAAUCAGAUCUAUAGAAAGCUUGGCCAUUUCGGCAAAGUAUUAUUACAGAGGUUGACUAUUAUAGAGAAUUAGAGAUGUCAAUAUCAAUGAUCAAAACUAGAAGCAAAUUCAUUUAUCGUAAUCCCUUAACAAAAAUAUUAUGUAUUUUCACCGAUCUGUUACAUUUCCAAGUCUCUUAUUUCCCAUGUAUAGCAGCAAUGUAAAACUUUAGAACGAAAAAUGAAAGCAGCUUUUUUACCAUGUGAUACUGCUAAAUUCUGUUAUUAACAAAAUAUGACACAAAAAAAUUCUUUCUGUUUUCGCCCACUGAUUCUUCUAUAUACACAAAAAAUUCCUUGUUUAAGCCCACUGGUUCUUCUAUAUACACACAAAUACAAAAAAAUUCUUCCUGUUUUUGCCCACUGGUUCUUCUCUAUACACAAAAAAAAUAAAAUAUUCCUCCCGUUUUCCAGAUGACGCAGAAGAAAGACAGCGGUUCUCUCAGAUGAGGUGCGAUAUAGGGGUGUGAGGAAGAUGUCAUGGGAAAAGUGCACGGCUGAGAUCAGAGAUCCAGUCAGAGGAGAAGCCACUAGCUUGGAACCUUUGAUACACUAGAGAAAGCAGCAAGGGCUUACGAUGCGGUGGCAAGGUUGUUUUGAGGCUAGAAGGCCGUCCCUAAUUUUCCUGAGGAUAACCACCAUAACACCAAAGAUUUUCUCAGAUUUGAGAGGAUAUGAUUGGAAUAACUAUUAUUAUCACUGACAUUCUUAAGAUUAAGCUUCUUGAGAAACUCGUUGGUAUUUUGGAGGUUAUCCUCGGGAAAUUAGUUGAUGACCUUGUAGCCAUGAAACAGCCUCACCUCCGCAUCGUAAGCCUUAGCAGCUUUCUCUGGCAUAUCGAAAGUCUCAAGCCAGCGGAUACACCUCUGGCUGGGAUCUCUGAUCUCAGCCGUGUACUUUCACCAUAACGUCUUCCUCACCCUCUAUAACGCACCUCAUCUCAAAAGGACCACCGCUUUUCUUCCACAUCAGCUGCAAUGGAAGGAUUUUUUUGUAUUUUUGUGUGUAUAGAAGAAUCAGUGAGCAAAAACAGAAGAAGGAGGGUGGUUUAUAUAGCUGCCUCUCAAGGGGAAUUUGUGUGGUCCACUUAAUUACAUGAAAAUAUAGUAGAUUCUUUUAAAUCCUGAAAAUGACUUACAUUCCAACAUCAAUAUUUAUUAGAUUAGAUAUACAUAUUAAAGUAAGAUUUUUUUUAUUUAUGUUACAGAAUCUGAAUAAUAAUGUAAAUAGAUAACAUAAGAUUUAUUUAUUUAUGUUACAGAAUCUGAACAAUAAUGUAUAUAGAUAAUAUAAGAUUUUUAAUUUAUGUAACAGAAUCUGAUAAAUAGUAAUGUAUAUAGAUAAUAUAGCUGAUUUUUAGGAAUUUGAAUAUUUAGUUACCAUAAUCUUAUUCUCUUCAUGUAUUUAUAUCAUUAUACUCUUUAAGUAAUAUACAAGUUAUUCUUCAUACCUUAUGAAUUGCAUGGUAUAAGAGCCAGGUCAAUCCCCGUUUGGGCUCCUAGUCCAUAAUCUAGUUCGGUCUGGGCGUGAAUGGGUGUUAAGAGUGGAUAAAAUCCAACAUUGGUUGGGGAAUGGAUUGGCGGACAAUUUACAUGGACUUGGCAAUCUUUACAAUUUACUUACCAAACAUUAGAGUAAUAAAUUAAGUUAUUUUCUUAAAAAAAUGUUUUCUUUACUAUAUCAAAGACACUCUUAGUUAGUUAGCGGCAUAUUCAACGUUUUACUUUGAGACGUGGGAAAUGGUACAUACACAUUUGUACCUUCCAUUACCUGACUGUUGUUAUCUAACUGCAUGCCCUAUUGUCUUCUUCUAUUUUACAACUAUACAGUGGUACGUUACUAACGCUCUCCUCCCAGAGUUGAGAUACAAUUAAUUUGACAUGUCAUCUAUGCAUGUUAGCAAUUGACAAAUAUACAACACUGCUGAAACAAUUUUAACCCUUAAUGAUAGCAGUUCAGGUGAACCAAUCUGAAAUAUAAGGAUUAUUCCUAUCUUUUUGUAACUUGUGCGUUUUCCAAUACAUUUUGAAAAGAAAAAAAAGAUCUUGCAAUCUAAAAUUUGGUGAAUUCGGGAUCACCAUUGAGAUCAUAUCAGUUUUACUUCUUCCAUAAAGUUCAAAGAGCUUUGACACACGUGUGCAGAUGAAAUGCAGAUCUAGUACAUUGAACUACCAAUGCUAUAGAAUGUAUAGUUAGCAUGAGUAGCUAAGCACUCGAUAAUUUCAGCCAGACGAAAGAAGAACAUGUUCCAUUGAAUACAAAAAUAAUGAACAAGUAAGACAUACUAGUAAAACGCCAGUUUCACCAGAAUUUAUGGAUCCACAACAAUUGUAGAACGAUUUCUCAUAGAGUUCAUAAAUUAGGUGAGCAACAAUUCUAGCCCUCAUCUAACAAAAUGGACAUGACACCAACAUAUGCUCGAAACCCAGAUCCUAGCUGCGCAGAAAUGAAGACCUUGCUAAAAAUAUGAUAUUUUGAAAGACACCAUAGCAAAUGAUAUAAUUAAACACAGCGUUUCUCAUGGAAUCCCUUUACUAAGAACAUCCAAAAAUAGCAGAAUCAGACCUACAUUUUACUAUCACUCCAGUCUCAUUUCCAGUCUAAAAGGUACACCUAAGUCCCCCAUUUCCAAAUAGAUGCCACUAUCAAUCAAAACAACAAGCAAUAAGCAAAUCCAUUUAUCAUAAUCAUUUGAAAAAAGAACUAAGUAUGUUUUAUUUUACCAUGGGAUACUUCUAAAUUCUGUUAUUUUAUUAUAUUUUUUAUCUAAGGACUCCGAGAUCUUGUCAUAUAAAGAAAAUUUCACACAGGCACAUGCCCAACUUUCCCUUCAUAAACACAAAGACAAAGAUCACAACCAAAAAGAAAAAUCAAUUUUUUACAAAGUACAGCUGAUUUACUUGGGUCUGAGACUUAUCAGCUAAGAACAGACCAAAAGAACACAUACCCAAGAUACUCUUUUACAGGGAGAACAUAGGUAGUUACUUCAAUUCUAUUUUACAGGACACUUUUUUCAAUCCAAAGAUAGAAACUUUUCAUAAUUAGAAGCUACCUAAAUUUAAUUAACAACAUAUUCUUUAAGUAACAUGACAAAGACCACAAGAUUAUAAGAAUCUUUUUUAUGUAUCAAAAAGUUGCUAUCUUUCCUAGCAUCCAAGGGUAUGACCUAGUACUCAAUGAACUAGAUUGAGAAUCAUGAGGUCUCAUGUUCAAAUUCCAGCAAAAGAAAAAAUACUACGCGAUUUCUUUUCAUUUGUUCAAGCCUCUGUGUAUAGUACAGAGAACCCGGUACUUGAGUUAGUUAGAGGUAGCGAGUACCUAGAAGAGUCAAUGAGGUGCAUAACAAGCUAGCAUGGACAUCACGGUUAUAAAAAAAAAAUUCUAUCUUUUAAGGCUAUGGCCUAGUGCUCGAUGAACUUGUACAUACAACAUACCCGGUGCAAUCCCACAAGUGAUGUCAGGAAGUGUUCAAUGAACUAGAUUGAGAAAUAAUAGGUGAUUUCUUCUUAUGCCUCGGAGGACAAAGUCACCCGAUAACUAUGCUAUGUUGUUGGGAGAUAGCAGAUACCUAGAAGAGUUAAUCGAGGUGCAUAACAAGCUAGCGUUAACAUCAAGGUUAUAAAAAAAGUUUCUGUGAUUUCUUCUCAUGUCUCAGCGGACAUAGUUACCUAAUAGCUAUGCUAUGUUGUCGGGAGGUAGCAGAUACCUAGAAAGAGUUAAUCGAGGUGCAUAACAAGCUAGCAUGAACAUGACCGUUAUAGAAAAAAAGUUACUAUCUUUCCUAGCACUUAAUGAUAAAACCUAGUGCUCAAUGAACUAGUAGAUAGAAUACACACCAUAUCCGGUGUAAUCCCACACAUGAGGUCUGCAAGUGCUCAAUGAACUAGAUUGAUAAGUAAUAGGUGAUUUCUUCUCAUGCCUCAGCAGACAAAGUUACCCUAUAGCUACACUAUGCUGAUAGAAGUAGCACAUAUCUUGUGAAAUUAAUCGAGAAGCACAAGCAAACUAACUCAAACACCACGGUUAUAAAAAGAGUGAAGGGUCAAAAACACACCUAAAGUAUCCCGAUUGUUUGAAUUUCUUACCUGAACUAAACACACCUCAACUAUCCGUUAUCCCCUUUUACUACCUAAACCAUAGUGAUGUUUGUGUUUUGAUAAACAGUCAAUGAUAGAACAGCUAAAAAACUAGCAAAAAGUUUCAAUCUUUCUUAUAAAAAUGAAAAGAGGGGGUGGGGUGUAUGAGAAAUAACUUACUAUUGAGCUCAUCAAGCCACCUAGUAACACUUUCAAAAGUACUCCUCCGACUUAUAUCAUACACAAGGAGUGCACCAAAAGCACCACGAUAAUAAGCAGAAGUAACAGCUCUAAACCUUUCUUGUCCAGCAGUAUCCCAAAUCUGAGCUUUAACUUCUUUCCCAUUAAUUUCAAGAACUUGGGUCUGAAAUUCAACUCCAAUAGUAGCUUUAGAAUGCAAAUUAAACUCAUCCCUUGCAUAUCUUGACAACAAAUUUGAUUUCCCAACUGCUGAAUCCCCUAUUAUUACAAUCUUGAAAAGAUACUCUUCAACAUCAUCAUCUGAUGAAUCCAUUUCAGGUCAAACUUUUUUUUAGUAGAUUUUUUUUGUUUUUUUGGGGAUGUUGGAGAAAAUGGAAGAUGGGUUGUGGGAGAAAAUUGGAAAAAAGGAGAAUGAUAAUGAGUGGACAUGGGUUAUGGCAUGUGUUGUAGCAAUAAAUUUUAUGACAUUGUGCCAGGAAAUGCGCCACUUUUUCCUCCUUUCUAUGUUUUCCUUUUACAUUGAAUUGGGUUUGAUUUCACCGACAAAAUUAUUAUUCUUCCUUUGAUUUUAUAUUCAUACCUCAACAACAAUAUACAUUUGAUUGUUUCGAUAAAUGUGAUCAAAAGAGGGUAGAGUAUAUGUUAUUUUAUUUUUAUGUGAGGAGGUGGAUAGAGAAGAUGUUAAUAGACUUUCGACUCAAGAAAAACUAAUCUAAAAAAAGCAUGACAAACAAAUUUAGGAGGGAAAAGAGUAACUACAUAAAAUAGUGUAAUAAUCGAAGUUCAUGAGAUAUAGUAAUGAAAAUCAAAGGAUAAGAUUCUACGGGAAAAAUACUAUAAUUGGUAGUAAAGAAUGAUAACCAAGACAACAUUUUACUUCCUACAAUCCUUCUAUAGCUUGUGUCCUUCACAACCUUUUAUUUAAGGUUAGGUUCUUGAUAAGUUCUAUAAUUGUGUCAUGAGCUAACUAAUCAUCAUUUUGAAUCCAAGGCUUCUUCAUUCUACUUUUAUUUCUCCUGAAAUCCUUCAUAGUCAACCUCUCAUAUUUUCAUAUUGAGUGUUAGUGGCAUCUCAUCUUGAAAUGCUUGAACCAUCAUAAUUUUACUUUCCGCAUCGUGUCCUUUAUUGAUAUGAAUUCUAUUGCCUCAUAUAUCUUUAUUUCUAAUUUUAACUUUAUUUGUGUACCAUGCACAUUCAUCUAAUAUCUUUAUUUCUUCCACUUUCACAUUCUAAACAUGAAAGUUUUAAAUUGUUAUUUAUUUAUUUAAAAGAUAAAGUUUUUCUUCAAGAUUGUGCCAUAAAUAAGCCAUAUGAAUUUAUGGGAGGUUUAUCAGGAUAUAGAGUUUUAAGAAAUGAAAUGAUUUAAACUUUCCACACAAUCACGGUUCUUGUCAAUAAUUUUCAUUGUUUUGUUGGUGUGAUAAUAAUAAUAAUAAUUUCAAAAUAUAACGUGAGAAUAUAUUUUUUAUAAUUUUUCGUGUAAAUUAAUAAGGUUAAUCUUGAAUGCUAGUAAAUAAAAUAAUUAUAGAAAUUAUAACAGCAUAAUUAUGUUGCUACAUUUAUACCGGAGUAUAUAAACAAUCAACAGUACCCUUGGUUCAAUUUGUGUGUCAUGCGAGUUCUUUCUUAAAAAAAAAACAUCAUACUUCAAUAUAUAGAGCCAAUUAAUUUAUAUUUUCUUAUGGUUAAUAAUGACCAUAUAGAUAUAUGGUUAUUUUAGUCUUUUCUCAAUUUUUGUGUUCAGUUAAAAUCUUAUCAUAUCAUUUGAGAUGAAGAAAACAAUACAACAUAAAAAUAAAAUAGCCUUACAAAAUACACUCGAUUUAUACAAAAGACAAGAUUGUAUUUGUGCCUUACUUUCUAAUUCUUAAAGAACUACCGCAUGAAUGUCGUAAAGGUAAAAAAAAAAAAAAAAGUAAUUUUUCAAGCAGUUUCAGUUUGUAAGAACAAAAUUCUUAAUAAGAAAAAGUGAAGGUCGAAAAUUAAGCUAGAUAAUUAAUAAGUAGUCGUAUGUUACCAUAUUUUCUGUGAGCGAGAGAUAGCCUUAUCUACCUUUCUCCUUGUAUUAUUUAGUAAUCGCAUUAUUCCUUUUUUCAUGUAUACCAUUACAUAUUAUUCACUUACUUUAUAUCUUAUUAUUUGACAUUUGUCAUAUUUCUUUGAUAUCAUGCUUCGAGUUCCUUCCGUAUAUUAUCCUCUUUCAACCUCACUUAUACAUGAUUUUCAAAAAAAAAUUCCUUUAACGUCUCACUCACUUAAUAGUUAAUAUUUAAUGUUUGUAUUGAAGCUCCGACUUAUACAUGAAAUUACACUAAUAUGUUUGUAUAGAGCAUAUAGUUGGACAUUUUUCAACAAGUGAUUGGUAAUAAAUUAUCCAAAAGAUAGAUUAUGGGCCCACAAAUGGGACCUACAGGAUGACACAUGGAUGAUCCAAAACAUCUCAUAGCAAAUGUGUUCUUCUUCUUCACACGUCAGUUCAUACCCAAAUCCACACAACCCAAAAUUCCAAAAACCAUGAAAAAAGCUUCCAAUUUGCAAAACUAACUCCACCCCAUUUCUCAAAAUUCAAUCUUUUUUCACUAUCUGCCCAAUUCUUGAUUCUUAGAUCAGUACUGAUAAUGUCUGUUGCAGCAAUGGGCAUAGUUUCAGGAGGCAAUGGGUUUCUUUCACAGUUUUUUACAAGUGAUUCAGCUGCUUCUACUCAUCAGUUUUGUUGUUUUUCAGUGAAUUCAAGCCCAUUGCAUAUGAAUUUUUCAAGGAGUGGUUGUUUGGUGAAAAGGGGUUCUUUGUUAAGCCCUAGAGUUUCAGUUUCUACUACUGGUAAUGCUAAGAUUGAUGGAGUUGAUGAUCAGUUAUCUUUAUCACCUGAUGAGAUCAAACCAGCUCGGGUGAGACCCUUUAUUCGUUUUUGCAAAGUUGAAACUUGAAAAUUUGAGUUUUUGAAGUUAUGAUUUUUGGAAUUUGAAGUUGUGUUUGAACGUGCAUUUUACUUGGGAAAAAGUUUGAAAUCAAGUUUUGUGAUGGAAGUCCCAAGAAUCUUGAAAAUAUUUGAAGAUCAGAUUUUUUAUAUGAUCAAAUUUCAUGGUCAAACAGAUAUUUGACUAUAUUUUUUUUAAAAGCUAUUCCCAAAAUCUAUGGCCAAACGCUAGCUUAAGUCUUUGUAGAGUUCCCACAUUGCUUGUGGCAUGGGUGUUUGGUCUCGAAUAUAUGAUCUUGGGCAACUCUCGAUCUAGUUUUUAGGAUUAAGUUAAACCCAAGGUGCAUUCUUAUCAUGGUAUUUGACAUUAGGUGGUUAAUUUUUUAAAAGGACAGUCAUUGAUAAAUGCAAUUGUUUUCUCCACUAUGAUGCUCUCAUGAGUGACACCCUUUCAUCAUCUGAGUGGGUGGUUAAUCACGGUUUACUUUGUUAAUACAUACAUCUAAUGAAUCAAAAGAAUGCAGAAGAGUCAUAUACAUAGCUGAAUGGAGAAAAUAGAUUGACUUGGACCGCGAUUGAAUUAGCCGAGUUAGAAUUGAGAGGUCUUGGAGUUAACUAGUUAAAAGUCCCAGCAUGUUGAAUCUAAGGACUUAUUAAAAAAAAUCAUGGUUCAGACAAAGCUUUGUUGGUUAUGCAGUAGAUAUAUCCAAGUAAUGUUGUUUAGGAGACCUGAUUAUGGCCGCAGUACCAUAUUACCUAAGCAAAUAUGUCUUUGGCAAAUAAAAUUCAGCUAGAUUUAAUGAGAUCCCGAUAUAUGUCAUGUAUCUUGGAGUUUUGAGCUGCAAGAUGAUUGGCCUCCGCAUUGGUGAUGAAUAUAUUCAAAAGAUUUUACUAACUGUAUUUCUUUUCAUAUUGCUGACUGACUUGAUUCAGUACUAUAAUCUAUACAUUACCUUGUUCUAUACUUCCCUUUAUAUUAUUGUGGUUUGAAGCGUAUGUAAUAUAGUACUCCUUUACUACAAAGAAUUAGAAGUCUGCUGAUUGGAAAGCAGCAAGGACAUACAGUGAGAGGGGACUGAUAUUUGAGGGCAAGGUUGAAGGCUUCAAUGGUGGUGGUUUGCUGAUUCGAUUUUAUUCUCUCGUGGGUUUUCUGCCCUUCCCACAGAUGAGCCCUUAUCACUCUUGUAAAGGUACUAAGUUCGCCUUUACAGCUUAUUUUUCAUUUCGAAUCACCAUUUUGUGCUGAUCCUUGAUAUUUCUAAGCUUCAUAGGUUGAUUAAUGUAUCAUAUGUUUCCACAUAGAAGUUAUGGUGAUAUAUGCAUACUUACCGAGGUUUUGUCUGUCAUUCUUGUUACCCUUAUUUUCUGUAGAACCACAAAAGACAAUUCAAGAGAUUGCGAGGGACUUGACCGGUUCUGUCCUCUCUGUGAAGGUACUGAUCCUCAUCACUUCUUCUAUUUUUAAACUUUUUCUCAUCUAAAGUACGAACAUUCCCCUAUCAUUAUAGAAUAAGAUGCCACAUUAUAAUAUCUAGUGCUUAUGGGUUGCAGAAUGUUGUAAAGUUUCAAGCAAAGUAAAAUUACAUUUUUGUAGAUCUCAUAUGAUAUAGCUACUUCUAACUUGAAGAGCAGUCACAAGUUCUCUCAUCAUUUAAAAGAAAACGUAUCCCAUCUUUACAGUUAAACUUAAUGCACAAAUUUUUUUGCCCACUAACCAACUUCGAUUUCAAUUACCAAUUUCUUCCCCCCAAUAGAUCUUAGAUGUUUAGUGUUACUGGAGUUAAUUGUGUUCUUCCUCUACUUUCCUUUAUGAUUCCAACAUCAGUUAACCUUCGAGGCUACUGUCAGGUAAUCCAAGCUGAUGAGGACAGACGACGAUUGAUAUUCUCUGAAAAGGAAGCUAGCUGGUUGAAGUUUUCUAAUAAAAUAAAUGUAGGUGAUACUUAUCAAGCAAAGGUCGGUUCAGUUGAGGAUUAUGGUGCUUUUGUUCAUCUGCGUUUCCCAGAUGGUACUUUCUUAAGAGACAGACUUGCCUGUUGGGUCGUGUUUUAAGCCUGACUACUCGGGUUACUCAUUUCAAUCUUUGUGUCAACUAGUUUCUAUUUUACCAUGUGAUGCAGGAUCUUAUCACCUCACUGGGCUUGUCCAUGUCUCAGAAGUGUCUUGGGAUUUAGUUCAUGAUGUCAGAGACAUCCUCACAGAAGGAGACGAUGUGAGGGUUAAAAUCAUAAAUAUUGACAGGUAAUUUUCAAAUAAUCGUGCUUAUAUGGACGUGUCUACUAAUACCGUUAGCAGACAUUUUCUUUAAAGUUCAAACAGAUCACCUGUUGGCUUAGGAAGAUGGAUGGCCAUUUUUAUCAUGCAUAUAGAUAACUUCUUAGCCACAAGGCAGUGAUUGCUUUAUUUCUUUAUUUUUAUAUUUUCACUGGUCACUUCCCAUAAUCAGUGAACACAUUACAGGGAAAAAUCUAGGAUUACCUUGUCAAUUAAACAAUUGGAGGAAGACCCUCUGCUGGAAACUCUGGAUAAAGUAAUUCAUAAGGUGAGCUAUGCAAAUGAUCCAUUUCCUCGUUUGCCUCCUUCAUGAAACCUAAAUUUUGCUUAAGCUGCAUAAUACUGUUACUGACAAAUGCGACACUUUGAAGGAUGCAUCCGUCCAUACUAAUUCCUUGGAUUCGAAUGGCAGCUCGAUUAUUGAGCCUCUUCCUGGGCUUGAAACAAUAAUCGAGGAACUACUACAAGAAGACGGGUAUGAUUGAAGUUUAAUUUUUGACAUGAAGUAAGAUUUUAUUAGACCUAAUGAUUGCAGUCUUUCAUUAUGCUAUUAUGUUUACGGGACAAUUGUAUGUACCAUUAUCUACACAAAUACAUGGAAAUGUUUUGGUUAAUUCACAUGAUUAUUGAAGCAUACCUAAUAAGUUCUGUUCUUUUGUUCAAUAGCAUAUACGAUAUAAUAAUCAGUCGACAAGGAUUUGAGAAACGAGUCGUUUCACAGGACUUACAGCUUUGGUUGUCGAAUGUAAGUUGUGUCAAACAUAAACCAUAUAUGAUUGACAGUAUUCAUGCACAAUAGAUUUCCAAUCUUUUCUGUUAUGUCAUCUAAUAGGCACCAGCUACUGGGGAUCAGUUUACUCUACUUGCUCGGGCUGGAAGACAGGUAUCAUCUUUUACCUAGUACGUUCCCCUUUCUGCAAUGUCCCACACUCUUGCGAAUCUGAAACGAUUGUUAAUGAUCAGGUGCAAGAAAUACAACUCACAACAUCGCUUGAUCAAGAAGGAAUAAAAAGGGCUCUACAACGAGUCCUAGAACGUGUACCAUGAGUCAAAAUACACGUACAACCCCAAUCUAAAGUUUAUGGAGAAGUUCAGAUGGAUCGUUAUUUCAAGUUGUGCAGGCAUUGUACAGAACACUACAACUACUUCAAAAAAAUGUAUAAAGAAGCAUGUUUAGAAACACAUUUCUUAAGAUAUAGUUCCCAGAAGCUAAAAGACAUAUGAGCUGCACCCAGCGAAUCGUCUUAAUAGACAUGAUAACAUGAACUCAAUCAAUUUCUUGGUACAUUGCUACCCAUGUUAAACUUGAUCAGUUAUUUUUUCGCGUUUCUCCUUCUCUGUUUCCAGAAUUUGCAACUGCCUUCUUGUUAAAUUUGCUCAAGGUUGAGGUCCUCUUAUUAUGCAAGUAGUAUAGAUAUUGAUAUUGAUUUUGACUAACUAUACUUUUUAUUACUAUCAAACAUGAGCACUGUACAUGAGCUGCUAAGUUCAUACAGCAUACAAGAAAACAUAAACAAGUUGUUCACUUGUUUUACUCUUUCCAUUUUCUACGCGUCCAAUUACCGCUCUGAACUAGCCGGGAAUGGACUUAUUACACCGUAUUUGCUGACAUGGUAUAGAGAGUGAUUACACUCUUACAACACCAUGAGAGACUGUAAAAAAGCACUCUCUUGGCCGAUUACUGGUAAAUGCCAGCCAUUCUAAGUUCCGGGGCUUGGUCAAUUAGGCCGAUUGGAUCUAACUGUAGCUUCGAGUUCGGGUGCAGUACAGGAAAGGAGGGAGAUAGCUAACCUCCUGCCAAGAUGCCAAGGUUGCUUGCUAACUCUCAAUGCAGCUUCAUCAAUAUCGAUUCCACAAAUAUCUGAAAGUCUGACAAAGAUGAAGAGAAAUUCAGUUGUCAGCAAAAUCUUGAAUAACCCAAAGAACACAUUGAGAUUUCAGAUUUUUAAGAGGCACACUUAUAUAAGAUCAUAUAUUAACAAUCUGGAACUCUUCCUUUUCUCUACAUUACAAUCUAUUGUUUUAAAACAACCACUAAUGUGUGCAUUAGGGUAGACCGUCUACAUCACACCCUUGGGAUGCAACCCUUUCUCAGACCCUGCUAAUGCAAGAUGAUUUGUGCACUGGGCUAUCCCUUUUAUUGUUUUGUUAUCUAUUGUUUUAUAACUACUUCUAAUGUUUCUCAUUCACAGAAAAUGCAAACGAAGCCACAAAUAUAGAGAUGCAGAAGACCAUUAAAGCUGCAAACCAGGCAAAACUGCUAUAUUAUUAUUAUUCCCUAUAAGAGCUACCACUGUUGUCUGUAAUAUACAUAUUGAGAUGCCACCAUCUAAGAAAAGCAUUCUCCAAACAAAUCUAUCGAACUUAAAUCCAAAGACCGAAAUAAAAGUUGCAACCACGUUGAUCAACAGUAACAUAAUCAACUCCUCCAAUAUUCUUUUUAGCAAUUGUGUAGCCUCCUUUUACCUCUCCCAUAUUGAUCAACCAACUAGGAGUGUCCGGAGGGAGUACGGACAAAAGAUGGAUGACUAGUACUAAUCUUGUCAGUUCCAUAGUGCACUACAAAUAAGCAUGCCACAGUCUGGCCAUUGGCAGCAGCACUAGUGACGGCACUGAAAUAGGUAGUAGUGUCAAAUAGGCGGGUAAGGGUCAUCAGCUAACUGUUUUCAGCCCAUUUUGACCCGCUCAAAUUCAGGUAACCUGUUUAUUUGACAACCCUAGUAAACCUACUGUUUUUGCUUUUUGUAGUAAUACUGAGGGACUGACUCCAGUAUGCGCGUUAUGUUCUCAAAAUUAAGUAUCUUCAGUUUCAAUAUUUGAUGUGAAAAUUUUGACUCCUCCCUAAAGAUCAUUUCGAAGAAAAUUGGAAGAUAUAUAUGUUCCACUUAAACUUGGAACUGAAUGAUAGAUAUGACAAAAAUAUAUAGGCCUUACAUAUUCCAAGUUCUUUAGACCACAGAGCUAAAUACUUUGGAAACAAGAACAGCGGAUUUAUAUUCGGUGCUAAUUCAGAACAUAGACGAUGUGGACGAGCCUGAGCAGGUUGAUCUCAUGAUGUUAGGCAGUAUUAUACAGGAACCAAAUGUGUCACAUAGCCAGCGUACAAGAAAUUCCACAAAAAAUUAUAAAAUUAAAGGGAUUGUAGAAAAAUUGCAUGCUGCUGCAACAUGAAAUUCUGUAACAAAUGAAAACUGAAAAGCAUAUGAAUAAGGAUGAGAAAUGUACCUCGGAAAAGGAUCUUCCAAAAGAAUGCUACAUAGAUGUAUGUUCGGGUAGAAAUUAGAGGAAGAAUCCAGAUUUCAAGCCAGCGAAUCCAUAUAUGACUUAAUGUUCAUAAUAUCUACUCUGGACUUUGGAUUAUUUUGUGGUUUGAAAAGCUUCCACAUCCCCACUGGAUGUUGACUUCUUGCUUCGGUAUCUCUUGAAAAUCUUCCAUACAUUGAUUCACACUCUGGAUAAGGCUUUACAUAUAGAUUAUAAAAUUUCAUUCUACUAGGUUUAAUCAACUCUCUCAACCCCACCUCAUCACCAAGUCCUCCUAUUGAUCUUAAAUGGUCAAUUACCUUGAAUCUUGGUAGAAUAUGUUUCUCGAAAUUCACCCCAAGGUACUCAGGAACUUCAACAAGACACUGAAUAUCAACUUUCAUCACGUGCAACAAAAACUCAAUCUUCCUCUCAACAUCAUCUAAGUUAUAAAGUAUCACUCUCGGCUCUUUCCAUAACACAGAAUAAGCAUCCCUUAAGGUUAUCCCGUGAUUGCGUAAGCAAUCAACCCUUAGUUUCACCUCAUAUCCAGCCUUAAAAGCCCCAUCAUGAAAAAUAUCCUUCUUAAUAGCUUCCCUACAUUUCAAACUCUUAAGCAGCUCCAAACACCGCGGUAACUCCCCAACCUCCAAUGCAAGAAUUCUAGGAUCUCUCAGAAGCUGUUUCUUAACCACCUCCAUGUUAAAACCCAGAACUCUAAAUUCAUCAAGCAAUCGUUUAAACUUAUUUUGAAUCCCAUAGACCAAAACAGCUGGAUAGACACGGAGAAUGUGAUCAAAUUCAACAUUGCCAAUCCCAAAGGCAUCAACGACGAAUUCAAAACUGUCACGAACCUUGUCUGCACACAUCGUAGUUACCAUGGGAUGCGUCUCCAAAACCUUAUUUAGAGUAAUAUCACUAACUCCUAAAUCCUUCAGACAUUUCAAAGACCCCAAAACACAAUCAUAAUCUAGUUCAAACUUCAGUGAGACCUCCAGAAUGUUCCGAAUAGCCAAGGACGAUAAAUUGGACCCUUUUUCUAAUCCUCGGAUGCCUCCUUCCCAUUUCUUUAUAGCAUCAUAUUCUAGAACCCUGGGACAACUACUUAUCAUGGACACAAGGAAUUCUUGAGAUGGUUUCAAGGAUAAUAGAAUCUUAAGGGAAUUUUCAAUUUUGGCAGGGUCUAGAUUUAGUAAACGACGAUUCUUCUCGAGAAAAUUGGUAAGUUCUAGAGCUGGAAAACCAUAUUUUUUCAGAAGACUUGACACUGCAAUGAGAUUUCUUUGGGGGGAUUUUUCUUGGAAUUGUAGAGGAUAUGGAACUUGAGAUUUUCUUUUUACAGCUGUUGUGUUAGUGCAAAAACAGCGGAGACUUGGAUUUGGAAUUAGAGUAGAGGGAUUAGAAAAUGACAUGAAAAAGAAUCUGACACUCCUACUGGUCAUGGUUUCAGCUGGUUAGUAAGUUUUAAAAGGUGUCUGAUCAACUAUCCGCAUUCAAACAUUGCAUUGAUGGCCUGAUGGACAACCCUCAAAAUCUGAAAAAUUUGAUUAAACACAUUAGUAUGACUAUGGUGCUAGUAAACUUCGUAAAGAAACAAUAAACAGUCUCUCUGUGUGAGAAAAUAUAAACUGCACAUUUAGCUACCCUGGAACACGUUUAAAUUGUAUCUUUCCGCCCAGUUCUGCAGUUUAGUCACAUAUCGGCUCAACACCACCCACAACUAGGAAUAGACAAUAUUGCACUCAACUCGCAUGUAAGAAUUGAAUAAGUCAAAAUAUUCAAUACUGUUAUCUUGAACGGCUUACUACCUCUUUAAUUAGUGGUAAAUAAGUGAAAAGGUUUCUUCUUUUCUUUUUCCUUUUCUCUCGCAUAUAAACAUAUCUCGACUACAACUUACAUUAAGGGGUGUCAAAUUAACGGGGUUGAGCUGAAACUCUGUCAGUUAAAUGGGCUAAAUCAACAAAUGGGCUAGUCGUAACCCGAAAAGUUCCUCUUAGCAGAUUAGUACUAGGUAACAUCAGAUAAGCACAACACAACAUUAGAUGAGUACCACACACAAAAGAUACUUCCAGUAAAACACGACAAUACGACCACAGAAUAACCAAAUUAGUUCAGAUUACACUAGCUUUCAGUCGAGCAUUUUCAGAUUCUAUUUGCAAUAUGUAACAAUCAUAUAACCUAUAGAUAACCUAUAGAUAAACUAGCAGAAUAACCUUCAGAAAGCUAAACCCACUAAAAUAUACAACGGGAAGGAAAUUAAAGGACUAAAAUACAGGACCCAUUGCCACAAAAGUUUGAAUCCUUACAAAUUCAAGUGACUCAGCAGAACUUCAGAAAGCUAAAUCCACAAAAAUCAAUAAAGCUAAGGAAGAUAAAGAAACAAAUUACAAGACCCAUUGCCACAAAGUUUGAUUCUUUAGUAAUUCAAGUGACUCAGCAUAACCUUCAGAAAGCUAAAUGCACAAAAAUCAACAAGGGGAAAGAAAACCAAGAGAUAAAUUACAAAACCCAUUGCCACAGAGUUCGAAUCUUUACUAAUUCAAGUGACUCAGCAUAACCUCAAGAAAGCUAAAUCCACAAAAAUCAACAAGGGGCAGAAAAAUCAAGAAACAAAGUGUAAUACCCAUUGCCAAAAAGUUUGAAUCUUUACAAAUUCAAGUAAUUCAGCAUAACCUCAAGAAAUCUAAUUCCACAAAAACCAACAAGGGGAGGAAACUAAAGACAUAAAUUGCAAGACCAUUGCCACAAAGUUUGAGUCUUUACUAUCUCAAGUGACUUAAAACAAGUUGCUAAAACCAUGACACAAAGGUUUUGAGGAUUGUUUAUAAGAAUUACCUGAAAUCAGAAGAAUUUUAAGAGAAUGGCGAUUACACUGUUAGGGCUUUUUACCAUUGGAGAGUACCAUGAACCUUUGAACGCAUUUUGAGGCAUAAAACGCAGAAGGAACACUGUUGGGGCUUUUUACCUGGACUUCUUUUUCUAAAGGUUUGAUUAAGGCAUAAAACGUAUUUUGUCAAAUUAUGAACAAAUAUUUAGAUUGUUAAAGUUCCAUAACUAAAAGUAUUACUUUAACUUGAAUGUUAAAUCACUAUAUUAUUUAUAACUUAAAACACUCAAUUAUAUCUAUUUGAAUAGCAUAGUUCCUUGAAGAGCUGGGCCUUUAUCGAAAGAUUUUGAUUUUUUUGAUGAGUUGUGAUUUUUUUGGAGGAUCGUGAUUUUUUAAAUAAGACACAAUAAACACACGUUCUUGCAUUUUAAAAUUCUUGUAUAAUUUACGAUUGUUGAGUGAGUUUAAAGUAUAAUGGAAUUUGCCCCUUUUACUCCCCUUCCCCUAGUGGCUCGAUUUCAUAAUUUUCGAGUUGAAAGGCAGGAGUGCUUCAACUCCCUCUUGUCUCCUAUUGUUGAGUGAGUUCGAAUUCUAGCAAAAAAUUAUUGAUGCUUUAUCUCAUAUAAAAACUUAACAAGAAGAAUUAUUUAAAUAUCCUUUUUAAAAACCUAAUCACCCUUUAAAUAUAUAUAUAAUGGUCUAUUAUCUUUUUGGUUUUUUAAGGAUUUGAGACUUGCAUUAUGUGAGAAAGUAUAUCUUGUAUAAGGAAACACUAGGUGAGCUGUGAUUCAUUAUUAUGUAUCUCAUAAAAUUAAAAUAAGUAAAAGAUAUCAUAUGUAUCUUAUUAAAAUUUUAUUUUAUCAUUUUUAUAAGUUUAGACGAUAUCUAAUAAUCUUGACCUCGAUAAAAAAGUCAUCACAUGACAAUCAAUAUUAAAUUGUUCACAAAAGUUUUCACUUGUAAUUAUUUAUUUAAAACGUCAUUUUAAUAAAUUAAUUCGACAUACACAUAUACAACACACGUGUUGAGAGACUAGUAGCUCGACAUCCUUAACCCAAAUUUGAUAUUCAAAAAAGUAAGUGGUCCUACAAAAAAGUAUUGGAGGGGUCAGUUUAAUUCUCCAAGAAAUCUCCUUUUAGCAUUGGAUUUUUAAUCAAACACUUCCUAAAGAGAUUUUGACACACGUUUUGUAGGAUUUAUUUUACCUCUUCGUAGGAGCUCUCACAAUCUUCGGGUUGAAAGUGAUGAAUAUUUAUUAUUCGAGUAACUUUCUUGAGUCUGUUUUGUAGGAUGAGGUAUGCCAAGUGCCACAAUUAAAAGUUUGAAAUUUGAGCGUGAAUUCGGACUUAUACACUUAUUUGAAAAUCAUUAAAAGACGUUUAAAAAAUCAAUUGACUCUUGAAAUUUUAACCGUAUCAUAUAAAUUAGGCCGAGGAGAGUAUUUUGCAUGUAUGUAGGGUAGGGUUGGUACAUAGUGCAACUUUGUCCACUGUGUUGUUUUUUUGUUUUUUAUUUUUGUUUUAUAAACACAAAAAUGGGGUAUUUUUCAUUGUGCUUUACGAUUUCCGGUUAUUCUUGGUGAUUUUUUUGUUGUAUAAACUUUGUGGGAAAGCUUGUGAUUUUCCUUACUCCAAAUACUAAAAACAAAAACUCCAUUUAUGUAUCCUUGUUUUUUUCUUUAUUGGCAAAAACUACUCUAUUAUUUAGGCUUUUCAAGAAUUUUUUUUGCUUUUCAAGUUGAAAAUACUAGAUAAAACUAUUUUCUUAGACGAAUGUUUUGAGAUUUGCAUAUAAUAAUCUAUAGUUGUAUUGCAUUCGAUUUCUCAGUAUUUCAAAUCGUACAUUCUCUUAUUUUGGCUCGACUUGCCAACACACGAGUGAGUCAAGAAUCUGUCGAUUCCAUUGGUGAGAUUACACUUAGUAUGUCGUUAUUGUUGUCAAAACAUAUUUUUUUAAAAGGCCAUAGAGUCAUUACUAGCCUCACACAAUGCCAAUUUUGGCAUAUGCUUUAAGUGACACAAUGCCAAUUUUAGAUUUUCUCUAAAGUGAUGAAAACCUUCCACAAAACAACAGAAGCGGUCCAACCUAUUCAACUGCACAGUAUCUCACCAAAUCAACCCAUUCAGUCAGGCAAAUUGGUUUGCCACACACAAUUUGUUUCACAUAGAAACAAGUCACCCAUCUCUUUACAGUAACAAACAAAAUAAAUAACAGGAGGAAAAAUCAAGCAAGUAAGAAAACAUGUUAGUAGAGAGCUUUACUCGCACUCGAUGUUUACAUCAAUACUAUAGUGAUGACCAGGGGCGGAGCCACCUUGUUAGUAGAGAGUUAAAAUAAUUUUAUAUGUAUAUAUAGUAGAUGUCGAACCCUCUUUGGCUACUUCAUGUGUCUAUUUCUACAGAUUUUGAACCCCCUUAUUGAAAAUUCUGGCUCCGCCUCUAGUGAUGACAUACACAUUACUUAACCAUAGUACAUUUCUUUAAUUUAUAUGUGAGGUAUGAGUACAAAUAAUAACAUAUUCAGUGUAAUUUCACACAAUAGAAUCUGAAAAGAGUAGUAUCUAAGCAAACGUUACCUACCUCUACCUAAAAAGUGAUGUAAACAGAUUGUUUCAGAUUGACAAAUGAGGUAUGAGUUAAAUCAGAUAUGAACAUAACAUUCAGCCCACCACCCUAGAUGGUGUUCAUGCAAGACAACCACUGAGACUGUUCACCAAUUUACCAUUUCCAACAACAAUCUUUAGAACUACUAUUCUCUCCAUCUUCAUUUUCAUUUUAAUUUGUUUGUCUUAAUUUCUUUUCUAAUCCAUUUCAAAAAGAACUUCAUUGUUCUAACUUCUCACGUAACAUGUUCUUGACAACAAGAUUAAACCACAUUUUAAUACAUUCCUCAUAUUUUAGUUUAUGACCAUGCAUGUAGACUAUAAAAUCUUCUUUACUUCUUAAACACCUUACUAAAUCAAAAUCAUACAAACAAAUUGAAAUGGUGGAGUAUUAUACUACAUAAAUCUCAACACAUUUGUCUUGAGUUUCUACAGUAUUAACCAGUAGGCAAAGAGGAUAUGGAUAAAGCAAAAAACCAAACAAUCCAGAAAAAGGAAGAAAUUAGUUGACUUGAUACAUGUCUUCAAAUCAACACUAUAUGUCUGUACAUCCCCUUUUAGCACAAAAACUAUUAGAUGUCAUAGCAAGUCUAAGAAACUAUAAAUAGACCCUAUUAAAUCAAAGAAAAAUCAUUCACCAUCAUUAAUCACAACAUUUUCACUGGUGGAGGUGGUGGUUGUUGUUGUUGUACUUUUGCUCAAAAGAGUUAGCUUUUUUGAUGAACCUUUGCAAAGACUAACAGGGUAUUUAAUGGCAUUAAGCUCCAGUUUUCUGAGUACAGCAUUACCUAGAUCAAUGCCACAAAUAUCUGAUAGCCUGACAAGAUAAAGCAAUACAUCUGAUAGCUCUUCACCUAAAUGCUGCUUCUCUUUUUCUUCCCAAUCUGGUAGACCUUUUGGGACCUCACCUUUCCACUGAAAUAUUUCAGACAAUUCUCCCACUUCACCCACCUGGUAUUCAAAAUAAAGUUAGAAUCGACAGUAUGAAUCUUCAUUGACCAUAUAAAAACUCAUUUUAUGCCAAUAUUGUGCAAACACACUAUGUUGCUCGGACUCUCCAAAAUUGUUGUCACACGUGACACACUCUGGCCGACAUUUUUGAAGAGUCCGAGCAACAUCACACAUACAUAUACAAAGCAUUAGAAGUGUGAAUCAAAAUAAGCAAUACCACAAUCUACUUAAUCAUCACCAAGUUAUUUAUCCAAUAAUAUAUCUAUACAAUUGACACUAUAUGUUGUUUUUACACUACUAAGAGUAGUAUUAUUUACUCUCUCCGUCCACUUUUACUUUGCAUGCCCAUUAUAAAAUGAAGUUGAAUGAUAUGAGCCUUUUAUUAUAAUGUCCAUUUUUUAGUAUUAGUGCAAGUGUAGCACUAGUUUCCAUGUAAUGUCUGCAAAGCUAAAAUUACAUAAUGGGGAACAUAAAAUCAUAUGAAAUAUUAUUAGCACUAUGCCUUCUUUGGUGGGAAACAAAAGAAAGCUUUUUAAAUUGGGGUUUCCACAAAAUUGGAAAUCCAAAUACUCCACAAUGACCAAAAACUGGCAAACAUUUCUAGUUUCUAUGAAACAAACAGAGAACUCUUUGUUCCAUGGUUUUGUCUAAGGAAAACUAGAGUAGAUUAAUUGGAUUUUUACCUUUCAAAACUUCAACACUUUAACUACCACCUCAACUUGGUUUCAAGUGACAACUAAACACUCAAACUGAACUCGUCCAUAUUGUGUGUCAUGAACACUGGAUACAUAAAUUUUAGAGGUAUCUAGAUAAUCAUUUUGAAAUUGGGAGUGUUCAAACGACACAAUAAAGACGAGUUGAGGUAUCUAAACGUGCACUAUCAAUAUAAGAGUGCUUAUUCAACAACUGCAGCCAAGUUUGAGUGUAUGUGUAUAUCUUGCUAAUUCCACAGAAAAAACACAUUUAUCCUUUGAAAUCAACUAAGAGAUAAACAAAAGUAGCAAUCUUGAAAAACAAAACAAACAAACAAAAAUAAUCAAAACUAGCAUAAAGACUGAGCCAUUGAGCAGAAUAAUUAAAACACCAGCUUUUCCUAAAAAAAACAUCCAGAAAACACAACAAAAUCACCAAGAACAGCAGAAAAUCGUAAAACACAGAGAAAAAGACACCAUUUUUAUGGCUCAAAACAUGAUACACAACAAAACCCAUAAAUGUAGACAACAGAAAGAACCCACAGAAGACAAAGUUGCACUAUGUACCAACCCAAACCCCAACCCCACAUACUUGAAAACCAAAAAAGACUUCAUUUUUACAAAAGGGGUGUCAAAAAAACUUUACAAAAAAAUGUUUGAGAUUUAAAAAAAAGGGUAUAUACAAACCAUAGCUAAAAGGAGAUUUCUUGGAGUAUGAAACUGAUCCCACUCUCUUUCUUUAGCAAAAUCAGCCAUUUUUUUCUUUAGCUCUUCAAGACUCACAACCCCUUUUGCUCCUUCUUCUUCAUUCUCUGUUUUUCCCUUCAUCUUCUUCUUCUUCUGUGAUUUACAUAAAAUUUUGAAACUGCGCCGACUGUUUUUUUUCUUCUUAUUUGAGCUUUUUCUAAUGGUGGUUUUUCAGGUUUUUAAAAGGGGAAUUGAUGACCUAGAAACUGGUCAUUGCCGGUUUGCUGAAACUUAAAUUUUUUUCUAGGACCACUUUGCUUUAAUGGUUAAGGUUUUUAUUUCGGAACAACAUAAGUUGUGGUAAAGUGGUGGAAUUAUUCUACUCUUAUGUAAGGUCUCAAGAUUCGAGUCCACGGAGAAAAUUAUGUGAAUCUAAUCGGUAAUUGGGGAUUAAAUGUGGGCUCCAAACCACAAAAAAAAGUUUUCGUUUAGAGAUUUUCACACAAAUUUAAAUUAGUUGGAUCAUAAGAUAGAUAUUGAAAAUCAAAAAAAAAAAUAAGUUAUAAAGUAUUUUGGUACUUGAAUUAUACUAAUUUGUUUCAAUUAAACACAUUAUAAUAUUCUUGUUAUAAUUUGUUGCAGUUAAGUUAUCUGACUUAUAAAUCAUAGUUUCUUAGCAUAAAAUCAGCGUACUAAUUAACUUGUAUGACUUAUAAAUCAUAGAUUUUUAGCAUAAAAUCAGUCACUAAUUAACGUUUUAUAUUAGAAUACACUUGCUACAUUAAACUUUUAGGGUCGUUUGGUACAAAACUUAAUAGCGCAUGGAUUAGUAAUGCAGGGGUUAACAAUGCAGGGAUUAGUAAUGUAGAGAUUAGCAAUGCAGAGAUUAUUUGUUAUCCUGUGUUUGGUUCAUUGCUUCCUAUCUAAUCUAGUGUUUGUUUUAAAAUUCUAUAAAAAACUUUUUUCCAAUUAUAUUCUUGAAUUAUUAUGAAAUUUUUUAUUUCAUGUAAUUGGGUCAAGGUACAUAACUACCGACCAAUAUUAUUUUUUUGUGGCCUUCGAACUAGCUAGAAUAAGCACAAUUUUGUCUCCAUGUUUGCUAUUUUGUCACUUGAAUUAUUUGAAGAUAAAUAAGUAUCAUCUUAAUAAAUUUAUCUCACAAAACAUCAAUUUCCAUUUUUUUUAAAAAUAAAUAAUUUACUAUUAAAACAGAAAAAAUGAUAAAUAAUAGUAAAAUCGAGUAAACCGUCUACAUUUACACAUAAAAAUUGCAAAUUAUAAUUUUAAUAUGUAUACAGUUUUAUAAAUUAUUGAAAAUACGAAGUCAAUUUCAAUAAAAAUUACUGUAGAAUAGUUGUAUCUUUAUACCUUUAAUUCAACAAAAAGCACACUCUUAUUCUUUGACAUAUAUAUAUAGCAACAUAUGCCAACGAAUAUAUGUUGUUCUGCCAUCCUAUAAACGUAUACACACUCUUAUCUAUUCAUACGUUGAUACGGUAGGUCUCAAAUGUGUCUUCUAUAUAUUUAGUAGAUUAUGAAAGAAAAUAUAGAAAUGGUCGAUGCAUACAUUUAAGGUCUUUUAAGUGAGUUAAUACAAAUAUCAUACGGUGAUAUAUUUAUUUUUUCAAUUAGUAAAUAUUAAAUAAUUCAUAUUUCAAAUAUUGUAUGGACUUAUAUUGGAAUUUUUUUUUACUUGUAUUAGAUUUAUUUAGCAACAAAUAACUCUCUCUAAAUAAUAAAAUUUGUUAGCUAAUUUAUUUAAAUAAAUUUACUAGUACAAAUAUAAAAUAAAAAAUUAAAAAAAGGAUUAAAAGGAUUUGAGGAAUAUUUUUGUCUUUACAUAGACUAAUCCCAUGGUAUUAAAUCCUAUGCAUUGCUAAUACCUCCAAAUAGAAGGUAUUAGUUAUACAUCCUACAAUACCAUGUAAGGUGUAUAACUAAUCCAUAGAUUAUUAGUUAUACAUAAGCCCAAAAUUCCUACCAAAUAUAGUAUUAAAUAAUAUCAUACCUAAUCUAUGAAUUAGUUACAGCCAAAAUACCUAACACAUGGAUUAGAAUCCUGCGUGAAUAUAAAACAUCUAUAUAUAGCGAUGUCUUUUUUUCCCAGGUCAAAAUGCAUACAAACUAGGUGACUGUCACAUCAACUUUGUAGCUCAAGUGAUUAAGAAGAUCUCUCAAAUCCAUUUAGGAUUAUUCAAAGAUUAGGUUCUAGUCAUGAUUAUAUAAUAAAAUAUUACUAAAGAUCGAUUUAAUGUGUUACUUGUCAACUUUGAUAAUAGCACUAAUUAGUAUUAUUAUUGCAAUGUUUCACUUAUAUAAUGAGAUGAAUGUGUUUAUUGUUGUAAUGACUAUCAUUUAAAUGUAAAAAAAAAAAUAGCAUUGAAGAACUUCUGUUGUUAAAUAGUAUAAAUUAUGGCUAAUUUUAUUUGAUAAUGGAAUAUCAAAAAGUCUAUUAAUUAGAGGCUAUAUAGCAAUAAAUUAACAAUGAAUUUUGUGGCUAAUUCAUAUUUGUUUCGUUAUGAAAUUUUAAUGUUAAAAGUUUUAGUUUGCUCCCAUCUCACAAACACACGAUUUUGACUUUUAGCAAAAAUAAAAUAAAUAAAUUAGAACAUCAAACCUUUCUCCAACUCAUUCUUUUUUAAACAAAACGAAUAAGAACAUACAAACAAAUUAAUAAAAACAUAGUGUCAUAUAAAUUGUAUGAUUGGAAGAAAAAAAAUAGGCUUAUUCAUACACCUUAAAUAUUUGUUUUUGGCAUAUUAGAAAAGCUCAAACAUAAUAUUAAUUACAUGAGCGUCUUGAAUAAACAAAAUUAAAAAAAUAAUUCACACACACAAAAUAAAUAAAUUAAUACACUAUAGUAAAAAGUGCAAAACAAUUUAUAUGAAAAAAAUCAAUUUUUAUUUCAUGAUAAAUCAAAUCAAACAAUAUUCCUACGAAUAGAAAUUAAACUACUUGAAAGUUAAUAAAUCAAAUCAAACAAUAUUCCUACGAAUAGAAAUUAAACUACUUGAAAGUUAAUAAAUCAAAUCAAACAAUAUUUCUACGAAUAGAAAUUAAACUACUUGAAAAUUAAUAGAAACUAAAUCAUCAAUAAGAUAUUGAUCGAUCCAUCAAUAAUAUUCUUUAAUUCUUAGGUGGAGAUGGUUUUGGUGGAUGCAUGAAUGGCCAUGGAAACUUAGGAUGAAAACCACCAGAAGGCAUUGGAGGAUGAACAAAUGGCCAAUGUGGACGUGGAUGUGGACGUGGACGUAGCCAUGGACGUGGACGUAACCAUGGACGUGGACGUAGCCAUGGACGUGGAUGAUACCAUGGAUGCCAAUAAUCUAGUCCAAUAUUAUUUUGUGUAUUAGUAACACCACUUUCAUCAUUUGAUGAUGAAUCAAGUUUCUCACUUGCAUAACAUAAGUUAACAAAUAGAAAUAUGCAAACGAGAAAAGUAACUAGGCAAUUUUUCUUAGCCAUAGUUAAUAGUAAAGUUUUUUUUAUUUUAGAUGAAAUAUGAAUGUUGGUGUUGUGGGGAUUUUAUAGGGUUGUAAAGCAAGAGAUUUAAUUGGCUUAGGAGAGUUUUUAUGUUAAUCAUAAGUGAAGUUUGUGUACAAAUAGAAUUCCUAAUUAUAACAAUGAAUAUCAAUAGAGAUUUUUAAUUUUAAAUGAAACUAAAUAUUUGUUUGGGACGUGAAAUUGCAAGAAUAUUAAGAGUCAUAUAUAUACACGUAAAAAUAUUAUACUAAAGAGGAUAUAAUAAAACAUUAUAACUAUAAAGAAUUGCUUUCUCUUAUGUGUAAAUGUAAAUAAAUAAUGCCAACUUUGAUUUAUGUAUCAUAAAAACUUAGUAUUAAUGUUAAAAGAUAAAAUUUACCAUUAAAUUCCUUUUUUUUUAAUAGAAUAAUGUCAUUCUUAUAUAAAUAGACUAAUAAAAAAAUAGUGUCGCAUAAAUAAGAAUUUGUUGGCCUAUCGCUACGCUUUGAAGAUUUGUUUUUGGCAUGAUUUGGAGGAUACAAAAAAGUCAUAAAACAAUAACGACAACAAUAAUAGCAAUAUUAGGAGUAAUAAUUAUUUUAUUUUUUUAAAAAUAGCGUACAAAACUUAAUUCUCCCCUUUCACUUUCUAGAGAAAGACUAAUUUUGACGGGAAGGUUAGUGUUUAAUUUAUUGUCCUUUUGUUAUAAUGAUUUUUCUUGUUGUAUUGUUCGUUGGCUUUAGAUGUGUCUGGAUGCAGGUUUGCUCCAAAAAACCAACACUAAAAAUAAAAUGAAGUUGUUGAGUUUGAGGAUAGUAACAAAUUGUCUUUGGCAGACUCUCGGUUAAACGAGAAUAUUAUUGAGUUUGAGGAUAUAUCAAUGUAUACAGUCUUAAUCUUAUCUGUGAACGAGAUUGUUGAGUUUGAGUUACUCCUAUUUUGUGAAAAUAGAGAGAUUGUUAUGAUAGAAAAUCCGAUUCAAACAGCCAAGGGCCUACCAAUUCUAAAAGCCAAAGCAUAUAAAAACAUUAAAAUUUAAACUUAUUCCUAUGCCUUAAAAAAAGUACUUAAUUUUUAUUGCUAUUUUUAACUUUUCUCAAGGCAAUUUUAGAGAAAUUCAACAGUGAAACCCUACAAGCUACAACAAAAGAAGCAGCCAAACAUAUACCAAUAGUGUAUCUUACUAUAUCAAUAGGACUGCAAUUUGUUACACUAUACAAAGAGUACAUAACAUUUGAGGCAUACCAUCCAAGAUGGUACUCAUGCAAGACAACCACUCAACAGUCACAAGUAACAACCAAUUUCCCAAACUUCAGCUCCGUCUAUCUCAAUUUACGUGACGUUCUUUCCUUUAUAAUUUAUCUAAAAAGACACAUCACUACAAGAAAAUGGUGAAUUACAUAGGGAUUUUUUUGGGGAUUAGUAUGAAAAUUCGCAGGAAAAUUAUUUUCCUGCGAAUUUUCAUACUAAUCCCCAAGAAAAUCCCUAUGUAAUUCACAUUUUUCCUAUAGUGACAUUUUCAUUAGUAUAAACACAUGUACACUCUUAAUGAAGUGAUUUAUAGUAACAAAAAUAUUCAAGUUACCAUCUUUCUAGGCUAGUGCAAUUCCUGCUUUGGUCUAUAUUUUCCUUGAGUCAAGGGUUUAUCAGAACACUCUCUCUACCUCUAAGAUAAUAGUAAAGUUUGUGUAAAUUUUAUCCUCUCCAGACCUCAUUUUUGUGGAAUCACACUGAGUAUGUUAUUUCUGCUUCUAGAUCACAACUUUUAAAAAUCUUUUUUUUCUUAAUUUUUUUUUAUCAAAUCAAAUAGUGCCACGUAAAAUCAAAGAAUGAAGUAUUAUAUACUAGACAAAUCUCAACACAUUUGUGUGAAAUAGCAUUAACCAGUAGGCAAAAAGGGGGACAUGGAUAGGACAUAAACCAAAUAGUCCAGAAAAAGGCAGAAAGUGAUUGACUUGGUAAAUGUUACUACAUCAAAUCAACACUACAUCUACUUUAGCAUAAAAACUAGACAAAGAGGAAGGAAAAAGGCAAAGACAAUCAAUGAAGAUCAUGUACCAUCAUCAAUCACACCAUUUUCACAGUGAUAUUGGUUGAGGUAGUUGUUGUAAUUUUGUCCAAAAGAGUAAGCUUUUUAGAUGAACCUGUGCAAAUUUAAUGACAUUUACCUCUAGUUUUCUGAGUGCAGCAUUACCAAGAUCAAUGUCACAAAUAUCUGAUAGCCUGACAAUAUAAAGCAACACAUUUUUUUCUUAUGACCGAGGAUCAAUUUUUAUGCAUCUCGAUUAAUUCAAUAAAAUACCUACUACCUUUCACCAGCAGCAAGAACUAGAUAACUCUCUCCACCAUGACUGCAAAUAAAGCAUUUAUAUUUUUUUAUGAACGAUGAUGUCCAGAUAAGCUUAAAUACACCUCGACUAAUUAAACACAAUACCUACUAUAUAUUCCAUCAGCAACAAGAAUCAAAUAACUAUGUCCACAAAGACUACACAUAGAUAAAACGAUACAUUUUUUAAAAAUAAAUAUGAUAUCCGAAUCAGUUAUUGUGCACUUCGACUAAUUCGAUAAAAUACUUGCUACCUUCUAUUAACGACAAGUAUCAUAUAACUCUGUCCCAUAAAUAAAGCAAUACUACAUUUGAGAGUUGUUCACCUAAAUGCUGCUCUUCCCAAUUUGGUAGACCUCUUGGGACCUCACCUUUCCUCUGAAAUAUUUCAGACAACUCUCCCACUUCAACCACCUGGUAUUAAAACACAAACAUGCAUCAGAAUUCAGAAUGACCAAUACCAAAAUCUUUAUUAUUCAAAAACUAGUAUUUAAGAUUUAUUUUUUAUACAAUGAAAAUGUAUGAAAGUAAGUGAUUAUCUUGCUUUUCAUGUUACAAGUUGAUAUACCUACCUUAAUAAACUAACUCUACAUUGUCCAUCAGCGUAUAAAAGUUACAAUUCAUUUAGUACGUAUACGUGGGAUAAAAAGAAUAAUCAUGAGAUAAUAUUUGGAAGAUAAUCCUAUUGGAUAUCUUUGUUUAUCCGCUCCCGAGUUAUAGAAAAAAGACCCCUUAAAGUGUUGCAUUACAAUAACAUUAUGAGGGACAUAAAAUCAUAUAAAGAUUAUCAAGUACUACUCCAUAUGACUUGUUUGGUUACCAAAAAAAACUGAGGGAAAAAGAAAGAUUUUUUCUGGCUCUCAAGAUAAUUGAAAACCUCAACAAUGACAUGACCCAAAACCCACAUACAGUACAAUAUAAUUUUAGCAAACAAAAAAGAUGACUUUUUUCUUCAGACAGUAAUCAAAUUUGAUCUUUAUAGACUCCAACUUUCCCUCUUAUACAUUAGUAAGUCCACUGAAAAACACAAUUUUUCUUUCAAUCAAACUAAAUAUAUGCAAAAGUAAACAUCUAAACACAAAGGAAACUUUUUUUUUUUACUGCAUUUUCUUCAAAGUUCAUCCAAAAAACAAUAUCUCAAAAUAUAUGACUUACUUUCCUGUUUAGUCCGUCUAAAAAAGAACGAUACAUUUUCAUAUCAAGUAACAAUUUAACUUUAAAAUAUCCGUAUUUAUCUUUAAUGAAAUAAUUUAUAACCACACAAAUAUUUAUCACUUACUUUAGACUAUAAAUUUUGAAAGUCUUUCUUUCUUUCUUAAAUUUAGUGUCAAGUCAAACUAAAUCAUAUAAAAUAAGACAGAGAAAGUAAUAAUCAAUAAAUCACAAAGAACACAACAACAACAUACCUAGCAGUGGCGAAGCUAAGAAUUUUAUUAAGGAUGUCCAAAACUUUAUUAUAUAUCUCCCAGAAGUUGUUUUUGACAUAUAUGCUCAAUAUUAUUUUAUAUAUGCCCAAUAUAAUUUUUUGAUAAAUGGUGUUUGAAUAAUCACACAUGAGUCAAUGAAGCUAGGCCACCAAUUUAGUAUAAUCCUACAAAUAAAAUUUAAUUAAAAAAAAAUAUAGUAUACAAAACCUAAACAAUAUCAUAUAGAUCUAGACAUUGCAAAGACCAUAUAAGAAAAAAAAAAUGCUUAUAAACAAGAUGGGACAAAGCCCCAUCAAUUUGUACAACAGAAGAAAAAAUAAAAUAGAGAGACCAAAACACACAGAGAGGACCAACCCAACCCCACAUACUUGAAAAAGCUUUCUUUUUGGGGUAUUCAAAUGUUUCCUUUCUUUUCUAUAACUCUUCAAUUUUAUUUUUUCAUGUGACUUAUUUAAUUAAGAUUAUUUUUUUCUUCGUAUAUUUAAUAUAUUCUUAAUUUAUAAUCACCAAAUUCAUUUUUAUUUUUUUUGUCGAAUCAAAAUAGAAUUGAAAUUGGAAUGGGCGGAGUAUAUAAAGGAUAAUUUCACGAAUAAUUCGAUUAAAUCUAGAUUUAUUAUAAGAAAGUUUCCGAGGAAACUAUAAGGUAUAUAGUACUCCGUUUGACUAUAAUUCAUGUUAGCUCCUUCUAUUUGUUUUCUUUUUCUUUCCGCCGGUUGAGUUAUAAUUAUUAUUUAACUACAAUAAAUUCGGUUUGGCUUACACUUUGGGGCUAUUUGGUUGGAUAAACGAAUUAAGUGGAUUUUUUUCGAUAUAAAUUUAAAAUUAAAUCUAUCCCAUAUUUGAUUAAGAAUAUUAAUUAAAAUUAGCUCAUAGUGUAUAUUAGCAUUGGGACUUACAUACUAAUUCAAAUUUGCACAAAAUUACAAAUAUGAUGUGAUGUUCAGAAUUCGAAUGAACAUACUAAUUAAUAUUUGUACCAAGUUAUAAAAGCAAUCUCAUAUCCAUAAUUCAAAUGUAAAUACUAAUUCAAAUUUGUAGUUUCAAAAACAACUUCAUAUUCAAAAUUCGAACAUUACAUACUAAUUCAGAAUUACACAAAGUUACAAACUAGAUUUCAUAUCCAGAAUUCAAAUAAACAUACUAAUUCAAAUUAAUACAAAGUUACAAAAGCAAUUUCAUAUUGAGGAUUCGAAUUUUACAUAGUAAUUCAAAUGUGUACAAAGUUACAAAAACAAUUUCAUAUCCAGGAUUUGAACUUACAUACUAAUUCAAAUUUACACAAAGUUACAAAAACAAUUUCAUAUCCACCAUUCAAACGUUCCAUACUAAUUCAAAUUUGCACAAAUUUACAAAAAUGAUUCAUCCGAGAUUCAAAGUUUAAACAUACAUACUAAUUCAAAUUUGGCACAAAAUUAUAAAAGUUAAUUUCAUAACCAAGAUUUGAACAAACAAACAAAUUCAUUCAAAUUCACACAAAGUUACAUAAACAAUUUCAUAUCCAAGAUUCAAACGUACACACUAAUUCAAAUUUACAAAAACAAUUUCAUAUUCAUAAUUCGAACUUUCCUCACCUACUUCAUAUACAUAUACAAUGUCCACUUGCUUUAUUAUCUACAUAUUUUAUAUACAUCCAUUGUCUUUCUCCCAGCAUAGUAAUAAGCUUAAGCUGAAUCACAACAAUGGCGACGGAGGGGAAAAAUGUGGGAAGAAUGAAAUUGGGUUCAGAGGGAUUUGAAGUAUCUGCUCAAGGACUUGGUUGUAUGGGUAUGUCCGCUUUCUACGGGCCGCCCAAACCCGAACCCGAUAUGAUCCAACUCAUCCACCACGCCAUUAACUCCGGCGUCACUCUUCUCGAUACUUCCGAUGUAUAUGGGCCCCACACUAACGAGAUCCUCCUUGGCAAGGUAUCAAUCAAUUUGUUAAUUUUUUGAGUUUUAUGCAGCAGGAUUGUUGUACCUAAUGUUAAUUAUGUUGAACCUUGUGGUGUCUUGGAAUGAUGUGAUUGGUAGAGGCGUAUUUAGAAUUUUGAGAUGAUGGGUGCAUUAUUAUAAAAAGGUUGAUUUAUGAUAUAAAUUUAAUACCAAUUACCAAUUAGAGAAAUGUUAUCUAAUUUUAGAAAGAAAAAUAAAACAAGAUAAAUUUAAAAUUCAAAUUUCCAACUUGGCAGAGAGAGGUACACCCAGUCAUAAUUGCAUUAUGUGAUACUUCGAGUGUGGGUUCAGGAUUCACGUGAAUCCGGUGACCCCCCUAAAUACACCUUUGGUGAUUGGGUAUAUGGUUGAAAGUUGGAUUUGUUUUUUCUUCUGAAAGUUGAAGUUAUCUUUGGACAUUACAUUUCACUUAAUUUUGUUUUAGAGUUUUGCGAGUUAUAAGGUAGAAAAUCGAACCAUCGGUCAUUAGUUCUUUGUUUGACUAUAUUUCAUGGUGGCUCCUUCUAUUUGUUUCUUCCCACCGGUUGAAUUACAACAACAAUAAAUUUAGUGAAAUCUUAUUAUAUGGGGUUUGAAGAAGGUAAAGUGUAUAUAAAUUUUAUCAUUAUCUCGUGCAGGUAGAAAAAUUGUUUCUGAAAUAUUCACGGCUUAAGUACAUCAAACUCAAGUACAAGAAUAAAUUAACGAUGAAGAGACCAUAACAAUUAAUAAGAAAGCAAUGUAAAGUUUACACGAAAGAAAUAAUAAUAAUAACAAUAACAAAAUAAUAUGAUACAUAUGGCUAAAACUACAAGGAUAUGACUAGUGCUACACAACAAUCUACGCAAUGCAAGACACUACUCUAUCCCUACUAUUUUAUUAAUCCUAAUAUACCAUCUUCGCUCCUUCCUAUCUAGAGUCAGGUGCUCGAUAAUUUAAAGUUGCACCAUGUCUUGUCUAAUCACCCCUUCCAAUAUUUUUUUUAACCUACUUCUACCCCUCCACAUAACCAGCUACAACCAGCCUCUCACACCUCAUCAUUCGAACUUUAGCGUACCUCCUCUUCACAUGCCCAAAGUGACUAAUAAUCUUAUUGAAUGGAAAAAUGAAAAGUCAACGACUAGUAAAUGAUUAAUUUAAAUCGUCUUAUUCAAAUAACUACUCCAAUAAUUUAUCUAGUGUUUGUUGAAUUCAUAGUCACAAGGGUUCAUAAGGUCUUCUAGUUUAAAUAAAAAAUUUCUUAGCAAUAGAAAAAAUGAAGCACAUUAUGACUAGUGACGCGUGUGCUUACAUAUAAUAAAGUUACGUUUGUGCUUAUAUAUAGAAACACUUCUUCGAACUUUUAAGCUAAACCACAACAAUGGCGAAAGAGGGAAAAAAUGUGGGAAGAAUCAAAUUAGGUUCAGAAGGACUUGAAGUAUCUGUUCAAGGACUUGGUUGUAUGGGUAUGUCCGCUUAUUACGGGUCGCCCAAACCCGAACCCGAUAUGAUCCAACUCAUUCACCAUGCCGUUAACUCCGGCGUUACAUUUCUCGAUACUUCCAAUAGUUAUGGGCCACACACUAACGAAAUCCUCCUUGGCAAGGUACCAAUUUGUAAAUCAUAUAAAUUUUGAUUAAUAUUUUAAGAUUAUUUUUUUCAUUAUAUUGAUAUAAAAAAAUUUAUAAUUUAUAGUACUUUUCGUAUAAUUUUUAAAUAUCUAAUUUUUUAAUAUAAAAUAUCAAAUCGAUAUAACCUAAUUUAGCUUUGAGAAUUAGUUACUCUCUGUAAGUGCAACAUGACAACAUAAGAGGAACAAAAAAAGUAAUUCUUUGAGUUUUAUGUAGUAGGGUGGUUGUACCUAAUGUUAAAUAUGUUGUACCUUGUGGCGUCUUGGAAAUAUGAUGUGUGAUUUGGUUGGAACUUGAUAAAAAAAGAGAGGAGUUUUUGAAGUUGAUGUUAUGUUUGAACAUUGAAUUUCACUUGAAAAAAAUUGAAAUUUUGUGAGUUACAAAGUGAGAAUUGAAUCCUCAAUACUUCUUCCGUCUCAUUUUAUGUGAUAUCAUUUGACUUGACACAGUGUUUAAGAAAAAAAUGAAGACUUUUGAAAUUUGCGAUCUAAAACAAUUUUUAGAUAUUUCUGUGGUUGAAAAUUAUUUCAUUAAGGAUAAAGAGGGUAUUUUAAAGUUAAAUUAUUUCUGGUUAUAGUAAGGUGACAUUCUUUUUGGGACAGACUAAAAGAAAAGCGUGCCUUAUAAAAUGGGACGGAGGGAGUAACUACUUCGUUUGGCUAUACUUCAUGGUGGCUCCUUAUAUUUGUUUUUUUCCCGCCGGUUAUAUUACAACAACAAUAACAUAUUCAGUGAAUUCCACGGGGAAGUUAGAGUGUACAUAGACCUAAUUACUAUCUUGUGAAAGUAGAGAGUUGUUUCUGAAGACUCAAGUGCAUCAAACCUAGGUACAAGAAGAAGAAAACAAUGAAGAGAGCGUAACCAUUAAAAAGAAAGUAGUGUAAAGUCUACAAGAAAGAAACAUUAACAACAAUAAAAUAAUGUAACAAUCAAAACAAAAUAAACAACAUAUAUAUGACUAGAACUACAAAGGUAUGACUAGUACUACGCAACAAUCUAUGUAAAGCAAGACAAACAUUAUUCCUAUUAACCUUUUAUCCUAAUAAAUGACCUCUAUUCCUUACUAUCUAUACUCUAUAGUAAUAUCUUCAAUAAUAUGAAGUUUGUCAUGUCUUAUCUAAUUACUUUACCCUAAAUACUUUUUCAAUCUACUUCUUAUAUACCUCCACAUACCAUCUACAAUCAGCCUCUCUCACUUUCUUAUCUUGGCAUCAACUCACGUCCUAUUCCUAAAAUGACUAAUUAUCUUAUUAAAUGGAAAAAUGAAAAGUCAUAAACUAGUAUAUAAAAUUCCUUAGCAAUAGAGAAUGAAACACAUUAGUGACGCAUGUGCUUACAUAUAAUAAAUAAAACGCAUGUGCUUACAUAUUAUAAAUAAAGUAAUAUUAGUGCUUAUAUAUAGAAACACUUUUUCGAAUUUUUUAACUGAAUCACAACAAUGGCGAAAGAGGGAAAACAUAUGGGAAGAAUUAAAUUGGGUUCAGAUGGACUUGAAGUAUCUGUUCAAGGACUUGGUUGUCUGGGUAUGUCCGAUUUCUACGGGCCGCCUAAACCCGAACCCGAUAUGAUUGAACUAAUACACCAUGCCAUUAACUCUGGCAUAACAUUUUUCGAUACUUCUAAUAGUUAUGGGCCUUACACUAACGAAAUCCUCCUUGGCAAGGUAUCAAUUUGUUAAUUCUUGUAGGAUGGUUGUACCUAAUCGAACAUGAGUAAUAAGGUGAAAGUUUAGGUAGCUAGUUAACUCUAACUGAGCUACUAAAAUUCUAAUACAGGCUUUGAAGGGAGGAAUGAGGGAGCGAGUCGAGUUAGCAACAAAAUUUGGUAUACAUUUUGCAGAUGGAAAGAGAGAAGUACGUGGAGAGCCAGCCUAUGUAAGGGCAGCAUGCGAGGCUAGCUUAAAGCGACUUGAUGUUGACUGUAUAGACUUGUACUACCAGCACCGGAUUGAUACACGCGUGCCCAUUGAAGUAACGGUUGGUUUCUCUUUUCCACAACUCUGUAAAAUGGCUCAAUGCUGCAUAAAAAAUACACUAUCAGCGUGUUUUAUUAGUUUACAAUUCUUGUUUUACUAGGUUGGAGAACUUAAGAAGCUGGUUGAAGAGGGGAAAAUAAAAUAUAUAGGUCUAUCGGAGGCUUCAGCAUCAACAAUUAGAAGAGCACAUGCUGUUCAUCCAAUAACAGCAGUACAAUUAGAAUGGUCUCUAUGGUCGAGAGAUGUAGAGGAAGAAAUAAUCCCUACUUGCAGGUUUUUUCUUCUUUUUGUUUAUUUUUCGUGUUUGAGGUUUAUAGCAAUGUGAGAUCCUGAUAUGUUAACUGUUUAGAGAACUCGGAAUUGGGAUUGUAGCAUACAGUCCACUAGGACGGGGCUUUUUGUCAUCCGGUCCAAAGCUGGUUGAGGACUUGACAAAUGAAGAUUUUCGAAAGGUUUAGAUUAUAUUUAUCGUUUGUUUUGAGUUCCAACAUAUUCACAUUAUGUUUAAUUGCAGUGCAUUUGACUCGAAAUGAUCUCCAACUUUGCAGCAUCUACCGAGGUUUCAGGGCGAAAAUCUUGAGCAUAACAAAAAAUUUUACGAGAGGAUUUGUCAAAUGGCAGCUAAGAAGGGAUGCACCCCCUCUCAACUCGCGUUGGCCUGGGUGCAUCACCAAGGAAACGACGUGUGCCCCAUCCCGGGCACCACUAAGAUUGAAAACUUCAAUCAGAACAUUGGAGCUCUGUCCAUAAAGCUAACAUCAGAAGACAUGGCAGAGCUUGAAUCUAUUGCUUCAGCUAAUGCAGUCCAGGGUGAUAGGUACGGUUCGGUUGCGCCUACCUACAAAGACUCAGAAACUCCACCCCUUUCAGCAUGGAAGGCUAUAUAAAUGAUGAGUUGUUCUUGUGUUGUGCAGUGUAUGCAAUGAGAAAGUUUGUUUUUCUUUUUUUCUGUUUCAAAACUAUUAUGCCACUUGCUGAUGGUUCAAAUAAUAAAAUCAAUUCUCUGUUUGUGGACUUUUACCUAUGGAGUAAAAUAUUGAUACCGAUUGGGGUUUGUAUUAGUUAUUUGACCUAUCCGUAACCUAUUUCCUACCAAAUAUCGUAUAAGUUAUACCAAAAUUAAUAUAUGAAUAACUUAAAAAGUAUAUUAAGUUAGGCAAUCAACAUUUCAUAUCCACCAUACAAACAUAUAUAUUAAUUCAGAUUGUACAAAGUUACAAAAGCAAAUUAAUAUCCACGAUUGAAACAUAUACACUAAUUUCAAUUUGCACAACAUUAUAAAAAUGAUUUCAUGUUCAGUUGUCGACAUAUAUACUAAUUCAGAUUUGCAUCAAGUUACAAAAACGAUUUCACAUUUAGGAUUCAAAAGUACAUAUUAAUUCAAAUUUGCACAAAGUUACAAAAGCGAUCUUUUGUCCAAAAUUCGAACACACACUAAUUCCGAUUUGCACAAAGUUACAGAAACAAUUUCACAUGCAGAAUUCGAACAUACAUACUAGUUUAGAUUUACACAAAGUUACAAAAGCGAUUUCAUAUUCAUACUAAUUCAAACUUGCACAAAGUUACAAAAAUGAUUCCAUAUUCGAGAUUCAAAGUUCAAACGUACAUACUAAUUUAAAUUUGCACAAAAGUUAUAAAAGUUAUUUCAUAUACAAGAUUGGAACUAACAUACAUAUUCAAACUCACACAAAGUUACAUAAACGAUUUCAUAUCAAGGAUUUAAUCAUACAUACUAAUUUAAAUUUACACAAAUUUAUAAAAACAAUUUCAUAUCCAGGAUUCGAACUUUCCGAACGAAAGUACACACUCAGCCACAACUUUGGUGGUUUGUCAUUUGUCAAUACCUCAUCUAAUUAACAACCUCUCUAUAUAUACAAUACAAUAUCCACUUGCUCAAUUACGUGCAUAUUUGCAGAGUAAUAAGCUUAAGCUGAAUCACAACAAUGGCGGUAGAGGGAACAAAAGUGGGAAGAAUCAAAUUGGGUUCAGAGGGAUUAGAAGUAUCUGCUCAAGGACUUGGUUGUAUGGGUAUGUCCGCUUUUUACGGGCCGCCCAAACCCGAACCCGAUAUGAUCCAACUCAUCCACCACGCCAUUAACUCCGGCGUCACUUUUCUCGAUACUUCCGAUGUAUAUGGACCCCACACUAACGAGAUCCUCCUUGGCAAGGUAUCAAUUUGUUAAUUUCUUUGAGUUUUAUGCAAUAGGAUGUAUGUACCUAAUGUUAAAUAUGUUGUACAUUUUUUUUUCUUUUUGGUGAUUGGCUUUUCUUGUGCUUGAGCUGAACUGUUUUCUGGAUUUCUAUGCAUUUAUGCAUUGAUUUUAUUGUACCGUAUGCCUGUUCUGUUGUACCUUUUGGUUUUGGAGUUUUGGUGUUUGAGCUGGAAUAAUUGUAACAUAUGCAAAAUGUGCUGGUUCAUAAAGCUUAAAAGACUUGUACUUUUUGCACCCAUGGGUGUAGUCUAAUGGUCAAUGAAAUGAAUUGAGAACACGAGGUCUCAGGUUCAAUCGAGACACCAUGGUUAUCAAUAAUAUAGAAAGGACUCUACUCUUUGUUUUAGGUUGGGUAGGAGUUGGUGCUAUACUUUACAUGUUUUAAGUCUCUUGAGUUGGACCUUACCUAGAAAUGUAGUUCAUGGUUCUUCAAACCUUGUAUAUUUUCUGGGGUGCUAGCAUAAGCGAAUUCAAAAUUUGAACUUUAUGUCCCAUCUGUCCUAGCUUAGGUGCAUAGAGUUAUCUGAUACCUGUUGCUGGUGGGAGGUAGUAGGUAUCCUGUGGAAUUAGUCGAGGUAUGCGAAAGCUAGGCCGGACACCACGGUCACGAAACAAAAAAAAUUGAACUUUAUGGGUUCACACUCAAAUUUUAUCAUAUGCCAUCUAAUUUACUGGUUCAAAAUCUAUCAUUUAUACUAAUUUAUUGAGCUUUUUAACUCAUAUACAUGGUCUAAGCCAAAGCUAUUGGGUUCGGAACGAGUCGAUAGAUUCUUUACUAGAUCUGUCCUGGGUGUUGGGGGAUGGUUUCCGCUGGGUGCUUGGAAUUUGAAGGUUCCAAUAUAUGAAAUCAGUGCUACUAUGCAGAGUUUAUCCUUACUUGUUAUAGCUAGUUCCAACAAAUUCAUUCUAUGUGCUCAUAGUCUGAUUAUUUAGAUGCUAAAAUCUAUCGAGGUCAGGAUAAGGGCACAUGUAGCAAGAAUUGAAGUGAAAUGAUAGAAAUAACAAAAAACGGAAAGCUCAGAGACAGAGAGGAAGAGAGGGAGUUGUUUUAUUAUUGAUCCGCUGUCCAGUAAAAAAAAAAGCUUUCUUGUCGAUACGAAGUCAACCAAUUCUAAGAACAAGAAUACUAGUAAAUUAAAGAAAGAUCUUUUCGGAGUGUAAUGUAGUAGUUGCAGCGAGUAAUUGAUGAUUGAUGUCCUUGCUUGUAGGGCCGAGGCUCCUUUUACAGGGUAAAGAAGAGGGUCUCUAUGUAAUUCUUUUAUUCUUUUUUCAAAUGACGAGAGUCAUGGUCAGUUGCUAAGAGCGUGACUCUCGGUUCUUGGGUCAGUUGAGAGUCUCUUGGUCCUCAAGGUUAUAUGAUAAUCCAUGACCAUUGUAUUUAUGCAGGCUCUGAAGGGCGGGAUGAGGGAACGAGUUGAGUUAGCAACAAAAUUUGCUGUAAGUUUUGCAGAUGGAACAAUGCAAGUGCGCGGAGAGCCAGCCUAUGUAAGGGAAGCAUGCGAGGCUAGCUUAAAGCGACUUGAUGUUGACUGCAUAGACUUGUACUACCAGCACCGGAUUGAUACACGCGUGCCCAUUGAAGUAACGGUUGGUUCUCUAUUCCACAACUCUGUAAAAUGAAUGUUACGAACAUUUCCUAAUCCACGAUGGAGGAUAAAAUGAUUGACUUUUUUGGAUACAAUAUAUAUUUUACAAACACUAAAUGGCUUCAGUGCUGAUCAACAUCCACAAUCAUUUUGGAGUUGAUCUAGUGGUUGAAAGCCAGUCUCUGUAUAUGUUUAUAGUACAAUCGUCGCGAUUAUAAUCCAAAUGGCUUUUUACACAGACAAAAAAAGAAGAAGAAUUGAUCCUCCAGAGAUGGGAAGAUGCAAUAUGAAGUUGAGACAAAAUUAGAUGCAACUGCACUCUAAUUUAGACUUUUCCGACUUCUAGUUUACAUCUCUGAGCUUGAUGAACCAUUUAAAGAAUUUAAAAUGAGCAGCCGGUACCUCUGAUAUAAUGCAUGGGUAGCCUUUAGAGAGUAUUGGCAUAGACCAAUACAUUUCAGCUGCGCACCAAUUAAGUGGAGUGCUUAUAUUGUUUAAUUUUUUCGCAUCUUUGUUCAAAUGGUUAAUGAUCAUCAUUUUUCCCCCUUUGAAUAUCUUGUUUUACUAGGUUGGAGAACUUAAGAAGCUGGUUGAAGAGGGUAAAAUUAAAUAUAUAGGUCUAUCCGAGGCUUCAGCAUCAACAAUUAGAAGAGCACAUGUUGUUCAUCCAAUAACAGCGGUACAAUUAGAAUGGUCUCUAUGGUCGAGAGAUGUAGAGGAAGAAAUAGUCCCUACUUGCAGGUACUUUCUUCUUUCUGUUAAUUUUUCGUGUUUGGCUCUAUAGCAAUUCGAGCUCCUGAUGUACGCCUAUGUGUGAACUGUUUAGAGAACUUGGAAUCGGGAUUGUAGCAUACAGUCCACUAGGGCGUGGAUUUUUGUCAUCUGGACCAAAGCUUCUUGAGGACUGCUCAAAUGAAGAUUUCCGAAAGGUUAGCUUGUGUUUAUUGUUCGUCUUGGAGUUCCAGCAUAUUCAUAUCAUGUUUAAUUUCAGUGCGCAUUUGGGUUGUUAGUGUAAUAUGGGGCAUGGUUUGAUCUUCAAUUUUGCAGUAUCUACCGAGGUUCCAGGACAAGAAUCUUGAGCAUAACAAAAAACUGUAUGAGAGGAUUUGUGAAAUGGCAGCUAAGAAGGGAUGCACCCGUCUCAACUCGCGUUGGCCUGGGUACAUCACCAAGGAAACGACGUGUGUCCCAUCCCGGGCACCACUAAGAUUGAAAACUUCAAUCAGAACAUUGGAGCUCUGUCCAUAAAGCUAACAUCAGAAGACAUGGCAGAGCUUGAAUCCAUUGCUUCAGCUAAUGCAGUCCAGGGUGAUAGGUACGGUUCGGCUGCGGCUACCUACAAAGAUUCAGAAACUCCACCCCUUUCAGCAUGGAAGGCUACAUAAAUGAUGAGUUAUUCUUAUGUUGUGAAAAUGUAUCCAAUGAGAAACUUCAUUUUUUUUCUGUUUCAAAACUAUUGUGCUACUUGCUGUUGCUUCAAAUAAUAAAUUAUGUGUCCAAACAUAAUUUGAACUUGCAACUUGCAAUUUUUAAGUUUGAACAUAAGUGUGUUUACCAUCCGAUCAAUCCCUCUUAUCAAAUACAACUUGAUUCUUUUUUUUAAAAAUAAAUAAAUUGUUAUAAAAUAAUAUAUUGUGGAUGUCCACUACAUCAAGAAGUUACUCCAUAUUUUCCUCUCCAUUAUGAAGAUAACCAUAACCUCCAUAACCUCAACCUUUAUAACCAUUAUUCUUGUAACCUUUCACUUCCAUAACCUCCCCAUUAUAUUCAUGUUAAUGUCAUGUUUAUGACUAACCUUUUGUAUGCCUCUAUGUUACACUAUAAAUAGAGGCAUAAGGNNNNNNNNNNNNNNNNNNNNNNNNNNNNNNNNNNNNNNNNNNNNNNNNNNNNNNNNNNNNNNNNNNNNNNNNNNNNNNNNNNNNNNNNNNNNNNNNNNNNNNNNNNNNNNNNNNNNNNNNNNNNNNNNNNNNNNNNNNNNNNNNNNNNNNNNNNNNNNNNNNNNNNNNNNNNNNNNNNNNNNNNNNNNNNNNNNNNNNNNNNNNNNNNNNNNNNNNNNNNNNNNNNNNNNNNNNNNNNNNNNNNNNNNNNNNNNNNNNNNNNNNNNNNNNNNNNNNNNNNNNNNNNNNNNNNNNNNNNNNNNNNNNNNNNNNNNNNNNNNNNNNNNNNNNNNNNNNNNNNNNNNNNNNNNNNNNNNNNNNNNNNNNNNNNNNNNNNNNNNNNNNNNNNNNNNNNNNNNNNNNNNNNNNNNNNNNNNNNNNNNNNNNNNNNNNNNNNNNNNNNNNNNNNNNNNNNNNNNNNNNNNNNNNNNNNNNNNNNNNNNNNNNNNNNNNNNNNNNNNNNNNNNNNNNNNNNNNNNNNNNNNNNNNNNNNNNNNNNNNNNNNNNNNNNNNNNNNNNNNNNNNNNNNNNNNNNNNNNNNNNNNNNNNNNNNNNNNNNNNNNNNNNNNNNNNNNNNNNNNNNNNNNNNNNNNNNNNNNNNNNNNNNNNNNNNNNNNNNNNNNNNNNNNNNNNNNNNNNNNNNNNNNNNNNNNNNNNNNNNNNNNNNNNNNNNNNNNNNNNNNNNNNNNNNNNNNNNNNNNNNNNNNNNNNNNNNNNNNAGUGAUGUUGAGGUGAGUCACAUAAAUUUGAUAAUGCCAAAGCAUGACAAUGAGUUUCUGAUAAAAACUCAUGGAGCAUGUACAAAUGGUUAUGGUUCAUUUUUGAAGAGAAUGUGACUUGUGUUCGUAUGGGUAUGAACAUGUUCAUGUAUGGUUGGAUAAAUGUCACAUCUCACCUCUACGGGAGGUUUGAGANNNNNNNNNNNNNNNNNNNNNNNNNNNNNNNNNNNNNNNNNNNNNNNNNNNNNNNNNNNNNNNNNNNNNNNNNNNNNNNNNNNNNNNNNNNNNNNNNNNNNNNNNNNNNNNNNNNNNNNNNNNNNNNNNNNNNNNNNNNNNNNNNNNNNNNNNNNNNNNNNNNNNNNNNNNNNNNNNNNNNNNNNNNNNNNNNNNNNNNNNNNNNNNNNNNNNNNNNNNNNNNNNNNNNNNNNNNNNNNNNNNNNNNNNNNNNNNNNNNNNNNNNNNNNNNNNNNNNNNNNNNNNNNNNNNNNNNNNNNNNNNNNNNNNNNNNNNNNNNNNNNNNNNNNNNNNNNNNNNNNNNNNNNNNNNNNNNNNNNNNNNNNNNNNNNNNNNNNNNNNNNNNNNNNNNNNNNNNNNNNNNNNNNNNNNNNNNNNNNNNNNNNNNNNNNNNNNNNNNNNNNNNNNNNNNNNNNNNNNNNNNNNNNNNNNNNNNNNNNNNNNNNNNNNNNNNNNNNNNNNNNNNNNNNNNNNNNNNNNNNNNNNNNNNNNNNNNNNNNNNNNNNNNNNNNNNNNNNNNNNNNNNNNNNNNNNNNNNNNNNNNNNNNNNNNNNNNNNNNNNNNNNNNNNNNNNNNNNNNNNNNNNNNNNNNNNNNNNNNNNNNNNNNNNNNNNNNNNNNNNNNNNNNNNNNNNNNNNNNNNNNNNNNNNNNNNNNNNNNNNNNNNNNNNNNNNNNNNNNNNNNNNNNNNNNNNNNNNNNNNNNNNNNNNNNNNNNNNNNNNNNNNNNNNNNNNNNNNNNNNNNNNNNNNNNNNNNNNNNNNNNNNNNNNNNNNNNNNNNNNNNNNNNNNNNNNNNNNNNNNNNNNNNNNNNNNNNNNNNNNNNNNNNNNNNNNNNNNNNNNNNNNNNNNNNNNNNNNNNNNNNNNNNNNNNNNNNNNNNNNNNNNNNNNNNNNNNNNNNNNNNNNNNNNNNNNNNNNNNNNNNNNNNNNNNNNNNNNNNNNNNNNNNNNNNNNNNNNNNNNNNNNNNNNNNNNNNNNNNNNNNNNNNNNNNNNNNNNNNNNNNNNNNNNNNNNNNNNNNNNNNNNNNNNNNNNNNNNNNNNNNNNNNNNNNNNNNNNNNNNNNNNNNNNNNNNNNNNNNNNNNNNNNNNNNNNNNNNNNNNNNNNNNNNNNNNNNNNNNNNNNNNNNNNNNNNNNNNNNNNNNNNNNNNNNNNNNNNNNNNNNNNNNNNNNNNNNNNNNNNNNNNNNNNNNNNNNNNNNNNNNNNNNNNNNNNNNNNNNNNNNNNNNNNNNNNNNNNNNNNNNNNNNNNNNNNNNNNNNNNNNNNNNNNNNNNNNNNNNNNNNNNNNNNNNNNNNNNNNNNNNNNNNNNNNNNNNNNNNNNNNNNNNNNNNNNNNNNNNNNNNNNNNNNNNNNNNNNNNNNNNNNNNNNNNNNNNNNNNNNNNNNNNNNNNNNNNNNNNNNNNNNNNNNNNNNNNNNNNNNNNNNNNNNNNNNNNNNNNNNNNNNNNNNNNNNNNNNNNNNNNNNNNNNNNNNNNNNNNNNNNNNNNNNNNNNNNNNNNNNNNNNNNNNNNNNNNNNNNNNNNNNNNNNNNNNNNNNNNNNNNNNNNNNNNNNNNNNNNNNNNNNNNNNNNNNNNNNNNNNNNNNNNNNNNNNNNNNNNNNNNNNNNNNNNNNNNNNNNNNNNNNNNNNNNNNNNNNNNNNNNNNNNNNNNNNNNNNNNNNNNNNNNNNNNNNNNNNNNNNNNNNNNNNNNNNNNNNNNNNNNNNNNNNNNNNNNNNNNNNNNNNNNNNNNNNNNNNNNNNNNNNNNNNNNNNNNNNNNNNNNNNNNNNNNNNNNNNNNNNNNNNNNNNNNNNNNNNNNNNNNNNNNNNNNNNNNNNNNNNNNNNNNNNNNNNNNNNNNNNNNNNNNNNNNNNNNNNNNNNNNNNNNNNNNNNNNNNNNNNNNNNNNNNNNNNNNNNNNNNNNNNNNNNNNNNNNNNNNNNNNNNNNNNNNNNNNNNNNNNNNNNNNNNNNNNNNNNNNNNNNNNNNNNNNNNNNNNNNNNNNNNNNNNNNNNNNNNNNNNNNNNNNNNNNNNNNNNNNNNNNNNNNNNNNNNNNNNNNNNNNNNNNNNNNNNNNNNNNNNNNNNNNNNNNNNNNNNNNNNNNNNNNNNNNNNNNNNNNNNNNNNNNNNNNNNNNNNNNNNNNNNNAGAAAUAAUCUUUUUGAUCUCAUGAAAAUGAUUUAAAAUGUCAUGUAUUAGUGCAAUUGAUGCACUUACAGAUUGUUUGUUAUGCAAAUGCUAGAAGAUUAUUUGAUAUACAUAACGAAAGUUAAGUGGAAGGAUUUUCAUAUUAUCAUUCAAGUUAUGAAAAAAAAAAAACUAACAAAGCAAGUGACUCAACAUAUAGAAGAUGUGUGAUUUUCUUUCAAAAGAAAAGACGAGCUUCAAUAAAAUUGAAAUGAUCAAUCUCUGAGUCAGAAAUGAUUUGAUUAUGUAGAUGCAGAAUAUUUAUUUGAUCUGCAUAAAGCUCGAUCGCAAAUGGACUAUUAUUUACAUAUGGAGACACACCGAUAUCUUGGAAAUUCAAAGAAUCACAUUAGUAUCCACUUCUUCAAAUCAUGCAGAAAUAAUACUGAUCUAUGAAUAAAGUCGAAAGUGUGUUUGGUUGGAAUCAUGAUCUAUCAUAUUCAGAAAAUAUGUGAUUUUCUUUUGAAAAGGAUAUUCCAGCCACCAUAUACAAAAAUGAUAUAUAGUUCAAUUGAAGGGAGUAUACAAUCAAGGGAGAUCAGACAAAGUAUAUUUCACCAAAAAUAUUUUUCACACAUGAUCUUCAACAAAAUGGUGAGAUAGAUGUUCAAGACUUAUUCAAGUGAUAUCUUGUAAACUUAUUCACUAAGGAUUGCCAACAUCAAUAUUUGAGAAGUUGUGAUAUAAGAUUGGAAUGCAUCGUCUCCGAGAUAUCAAGUAAAGUUUUUAUCAGGGGGAGAAAAAUACGCGUUGUACUCUUUUCCUUAACCAUGGUUUUAUCCCAAUUGGGUUUCCUGGUAAGGUUUUUAACGAGGCAACAUUCAAAGCGUAUUAAAAGAUAUGUGUACUCUUUUUCCUUCACUAAGAUUUUUUCCCACGGGGUUUUUCCUAGUAAGGUUUUAACGAGGCAUAUUAUCUAUGGACAUCCAAGGGGGAGUGUUAUAAAAUAAUAUAUUGUGGAUGUCCACUACAUCAAGAAGUUACUCCAUAUUUCCUUUCCAUUAUGUAAGAUAACCAGUAACCUCCAUAACCUCAACCUUUUAUAAACCAUUAUUCUUGUAACCUUUCACUUCCAUAACCUCCCCAUUAUAUUCAUGUUAAUGUCAUGUUUAUGACUAACCUGUUGUAUGCCUCUAUGUUACACUAUAAAUAGAGGCAUAAGGAUUCAUAUUGUAGACACUUGAAGAUUUGGUGUACACUUGAAAGAAAGAAAGUUAUCUCAUAUUGUUCCUCUUGUCUUAUAUUCUUCUUGUCUUUAUCUUUAUAUUGUUCUUUUGUUCUUAAGUUUUACAACAUAAAUUAUAUUUUCAAAUGAUAUGAUAUAUAAAUACAUUCAAACUUAACCUUAAAUAGCAAGUAGAGGGCACAUAUAAACACAUGAAUCUGGUCUCAAAUGACAAUUUGGAUACCACGUAACAUGACACAUAAAUUUUAGAGGUAUUUAGAUGAUUAUUUUGUAAUUUGAAGUGUUUAAUUGACACGUGAAGAGAAUUAAAGGUAUUUAGAUGUGCAGCCGCCGCCCAUAAUUAUAAACCAGAGUCCUUCACAUUAAGCAGAGUGAAAUAGGCUAAAACCUCAACAAUGGCGACGGAAGGAACAAAAGUGGGAAGAAUGAAAUUGGGUUCAGAGGGAUUUGAAGUAUCUGCUCAAGGACUUGGUUGUAUGGGUAUGUCCGCUUUUUACGGGCCGCCCAAACCCGAACCCGAUAUGAUCCAACUCAUCCACCAUGCCAUUAACUCCGGCGUCACUCUUCUUGAUACCUCCGAUGUAUAUGGGCCUUACACCAACGAAAUCCUCAUUGGUAAUGUAUGAUAUUCAACUUCUUUCCCCCAAAUGCUUAAUUUUUUUUUUUAUGAAUUCAAAUCUCUGAGUUUAUUCAGUAGGAUGGUUGUACGUAAUGCUUUAAUUGUUGUACCUUUUUUUUUGUCAUGAAUUCAAAUCCUUAUCCUCUUAAAUGUCGUUCCAAGUGAAAACCAGACAAACAAAUUGAUACAGGGAUGAUCAUUUUUGGAAGGGACUAAUAAAGAGUGUCACAUGAAAUGAGACUGAGAGAGUAUUUAGUACUAAAUACUUGUGGUUGAAGUUACAGACGCAGAAUAUGAUUGUUCUCCGAGCUUAAAGUCUUGUACUUUUCCGUUUCGGGUUGGUGGUGGGAUUGGUAUGAGACUGUGAGGUACUAUUUCAUGUUUUCACCUGACAAUGUGCUACGUUGCAGAUGCAUAAACCUCGCGAGCUGUACCUUAACGAAGAAGAAGUAUUAUUCAUGAUUCUUUAAAUCUGUAUCCUCAUGCGUGAUUUCUACUUUUAGUAUUUGAGCUUACUUUAUUUUUUUCCGGCGAAUAGUCAUUAUUUUCUUGAUAUGAGGUAUACAGAAACAAAAGUGUCGUGAGCUUGUAUUUUCUUAUAAUAGUAAUGUCUAGAUUAGCUUCCACGUACCUUGCUUAUUCACUUUGUACUUGCUACCUUCCACUAGCACAAGUAUUGAGUAACUUUACACACCAAGGCUUAGACAGAUGAAACACUUUAUUUUUGUCUCCGCUGAGAUUUAAAUCGAACUUUCGAAAGUUUGCAUCGACUUCACCAACCAUAUACCACUCUUAAGCUUAUUCAUUCAUCGCAUGAGCAACUGAGAAAUUUUAACCAUUUUGCAAUAAUUGUUACUUGAAGUUCUGAUAGUUAUGUAUCUAUGUAGGCUUUGAAGGGAGGGAUGAGAGAACGAGCUGUAUUAGCAACAAAAUUUGGUAUUGUUUUAGGAGAUGAAAAGAAAGCAGAAGGAAAGAGAUAAGUGCAUGGAAAUCCAGCCUAUGUAAGGUCAGCGUGUGAGGCUAGUUUAAAGCGGCUUGAUGUUGACUGUAUAGACUUGUACUAUCAGCACCGAAUUGAUACACGUGUGCCCAUUGAAGUCACGGUUAGUUCUGUUUUUUCCAUUUAUGACUCUUUGAAGUUACUUGUUAUUUAUUUUGGAAAAUGAUGUAAUAUUUGAUCUUACUCGGAGGAUGACUACUGAGGAAGUAGUGUUGCUAAAAUCAAAUAAAAUAAUUACUGUAUAGUGGUUAUAUUAUAUCUACAAAUGCUCUUGACUGUAAUACGAACUUCUGGCUAGUAUUCGAGUACAUGUUUUACUUAAUAUCUCAAUGCAAUAUUUCAGAAUUGAUCUAGCAGCUGUUAGCCACUCUUUAUAUUGCUUAGACCAAAAUCAUUGCCCUUAUUGUCCAAAUCAGCAAAACAAUUCCCUGUCUUUCUGCUUUAAUAAAAAGGAAAGCAACAACAAAAGAAAUGAUCAUCCGGAGACAGGAAUCAAACAAUAGGAAGAUGAACGGAAAAAUAGAUGUAACUGCUCUCUUUUUCAGACUAUUGUCAACAUUUCUUAUUCCCUUGAGAUUCCUGUUUUACUAGGUUGGAGAACUUAAGAAGCUGGUCGAAGAAGGUAAAAUAAAAUAUAUAGGUCUAUCUGAGGCUUCAGCAUCAACAAUUAGAAGAGCACAUGCUGUUCAUCCAAUAACAGCAGUACAAUUAGAAUGGUCUCUAUGGUCGAGAGAUGUAGAGGAAGAAAUAAUCCCUACUUGCAGGUUUUUUCUUCUUUUUGUUUAUUUUUCGUGUUUGAGGUUUAUAGCAAUGUGAGAUCCUCUGAUCUGUUAACUGUUUAGAGAACUCGGAAUUGGGAUUGUGGCAUACAGUCCACUAGGACGGGGAUUUUUGUCUUCCGGUCCAAAGCUGCUUGAGAAUUUGUCAAAUGAAGACUACCGAAAGGUUUGCUUUGUUGUUUCGUAUUUCAAACAUAUUGCUAUCAUGUUUAAUUGCAUUGAUGUAUUUCUGUUGCGAGUAUAUUUACUUGUUUUAGGGAAGAAAGAGUUUCGAAUAAUAAGCUAUUUGACCCUUCAGGGUGGCCCAGUGGUUUGGGCUUGGGACUUCCAUGUUGGAGGUCUCAAGUUCGAAACCCCUUGCCAGCGAAAGCAAGGGGUUUGCCUUCUGGGUCGAGCUCGUCGCACCGGGCUUGCCUAGUGCGGGUUACCUCGCCUAUGUGGUUUGCGAGCUAUUGCAUAGGAGCGGGGGUUUUACCUUGUGCGCACCUAAAGGAUAGCGACUGCGGGUUUCCCUUGUCAUAAAAAAAUAAUAAUAAGCUAUUUGAUCUGGAUGAUAUUACUAGGGACAAAAGCUUUCAAUAGUUUGUAUCAGAAGUCAUGAAGUAUGAACUUUACAUUGUCCCUUAUAUAUUGCCAUUUGCUUAAUUGGUAUACAAUGCUCUCCUUCGUGAUGUUUAGUGUUACUAUUUGUUUUCCUCUAUUUUCUACGCGAUAUCGUGGGAUAGUUAAGUCAUGUCUUCAACCCAUGGGACUUAAAUUUGAUCCUCAAUUUUGCAGCAUCUGCCAAGGUUCCAGGCCGAGAAUCUUGAGCAUAACAAAAAACUGUAUGAGCGGAUUUGUCAAAUGGCAGCUAAGAAGGGAUGCACUCCCUCUCAACUAGCGUUGGCCUGGGUACAUCACCAAGGAAACGACGUGUGUCCCAUCCCUGGCACCACUAAGAUUGAAAACUUCAACCAGAACAUUGGAGCUCUGUCCGUAAAGUUAACAUCAGAAGACAUGGCAGAACUUGAAUCUAUUGCCUCAGCUAACGCAGUCCAGGGUGAUCGGUAUAUACCUGGUAUGAGUACUUUCAAAAAUUCAGAAACGCCGCCCCUUUCAGCAUGGAAGGCUACAUGAUGUUGCAGUUGCUUGAGUUGUUUUCGUGUUUGUGCAUAAUAUGCACUGAGAAAGUAUAUUUCUCUGUUUCAAAAUUCAAACUAUAGUGCCAUUUGCUUAUGGUUCAAAUAAUAAAUUUCAUGUUUAUGUUUGUACACUUUUACCUAUGGAGUAAAAUACUGAUAUUUAUUCCUCCACUGCCUUACAAAAUAUGUAUAAUUCAAUCUUUUUCCUUAAUUGGACAGAGUCGAGAAGUAUUUUUCAAAUCAUGAUAGUGUCCGGACAAGCUUACGUUCUUCAUUUAUUUUCACUCAUUUAGCUAGUUUAGCUAUAGACACUUUUUUAGCAAAAUUGCUGAAGUCCUGCGUUACGAUAUUAUCACAAAAGACAUCUAUAAAGUUACAUAAAUAAUUUUUCGAAACAAGCUUGAAAUAACAUAAUAUGAUGCAAUUUUUUGAAAAAAAGUUAUUAAUGGCAAUAAAAUACUCAUACAACCCCUAUGGUCCUCUUAUUAUCAAUAAUGACGUAUGUGCUUACAUAUUCUUUGUCACAAUCCAUAAUCAGUGUAUAAAAUAUUACUCCGAUCCCGCUCCUUUAAUAUUUAAUUAAAAAGUAUUCAUCUCUAUAAUUAAAGCUAUAUACAUUAUUAGUGUUAAAUUUUUGUACUAUCAAGUUAUAAAUACUAAGUAUAGAUUUAUAUAUGUCGUGUUAUUAGUAUUUAGACUUUAUAUUUAUAUAUAAAAAAAUAUUUAAAAUGUACAAUAAUCUAUUCAAGAUUAGUGUCAAGAAUUCAUAAUUACUUUUUUUUAACUCUCUGCAAAUUUAGUAAUUUAUUAUUAUUAUUAUUAUUAUUAUUAUUAUUAUUAUUAUUAUUAUUAUUAUUAUUAUUAUUAUUAUUAUUAUUAUUAUUAUUAUUAUUAUUAUUAUUAUUAUUAUUAUUAUUAUUAUUAUUAUUAUUAUUAUUAUUAUUAUUAUUAUUAUUAUUAUUAUUAUUAUUAUUAUUAUUAUUAUUAUUAUUAUUAUUAUUAUUAUUAUUAUUAUUAUUAUUAUUAUUAUUAUUAUUAUUAUUAUUAUUAUUAUUAUUAUUAUUAUUAUUAUUAUUAUUAUUAUUAUUAUUAUUAUUAUUAUUAUUAUUAUUAUUAUUAUUAUUAUUAUUAUUAUUAUUAUUAUUAUUAUUAUUAUUAUUAUUAUUAUUAUUAUUAUUAUUAUUAUUAUUAUUAUUAUUAUUAUUAUUAUUAUUAUUAUUAUUAUUAUUAUUAUUAUUAUUAUUAUUAUUAUUAUUAUUAUUAUUAUUAUUAUUAUUAUUAUUAUUAUUAUUAUUAUUAUUAUUAUUAUUAUUAUUAUUAUUAUUAUUAUUAUUAUUAUUAUUAUUAUUAUUAUUAUUAUUAUUAUUAUUAUUAUUAUUAUUAUUAUUAUUAUUAUUAUUAUUAUUAUUAUUAUUAUUGUAUUUGUAUUAAAAGAUUAAUUAUAUAUAUAUAUAAAUAUGUAAUUAUGAACCCAAUAAUCAUGACCAUUAUGCAUUGCACACUUUCACAAUGUUACAAAAUCAGAUCCAUCCGAACUUAUUACUUUCCAUGUAAAUCAUAUAUUUAUCUAUAAAUAUUCACUAAAAUAUACUUUAUUUCAUACUAAAGGGUCGUUUGGUAUGACAGAUUAAAAAAAUUAACUCUGAAAUAAUUUUUGAGUAUCCUUUAAACUCAUAAAAUUCAAAUUCCGAAUUAACUGCAUACGUAUGCCUUGUAAAGUUCAUCAUGAACGACAAUUAACACAACGAGCCGCCAGAUACAGUCCUUCCAUGUCAGCUAUAAAUAAAUCAUAAAUUUCUUCACUAUCUCUCAUAAUAAUAAUUUACUUAGCUAAAUGGAGAAAGAGGGAACAAAAAUGAGAAAAAUCAAAUUGGGCUCAGUUGGGCUUGAAGUAUCUGCUCAAGGUCUUGGUUGUAUGGGUAUGUCCGCUAAUUUUUAUGGGCUACCCAAACCCGAACCCGAAAUGAUCAAAGUGAUCCACCACGCCAUUAACUCCGGCGUCACCCUUCUUGAUACUGCCGAUAUCUAUGGACCUAACACUAAUGAAAUACUCAUCGGCAAGGUAAUAUUACUCUCUGCGCAUUUCAAUUUGUUUGUCUGGUUUUGAUUGGACACGGAGUUUAAGAAAGUAAAAAAAAGUUGAAUCUCGUGAUUUUAAACUAAAGAAUGUGUUUUAAAGUUAUAAAUUGAAACGGAGAGAACAAUUAAAUGUUUAUUUUUUCAUUUUUUAAAAUUUUUUGCACUAGUAUGGUUGUACCUAAUGCAUUAACUGUGGUACUUUUUGGUUUUGGGUUUUUGGUAGGAGUGUGGUUUGUUGCUUGCAAAUUACUGGUGUUUGAGCUGGAAUAAUUUAUUUUUUUACUUAUGCAAUAUAUGAUUGUUCUUAGUGCUUAAAGUCUUGUACUUUAUGUUUUGGGGUUGGUAUGAUAUAUCAUAUUUUGUUGUUUUCACCUGAUAAUUAGUGGUUGAUGGAUAUAUAUAUAUAGUGAACUUGUAUUUCCAAUGUACUCUAGAUUAUUUUUUUUCUAUUGACAAUCAGCUUCCGUGCACCUUGACUAUUUCACCUAGAUACCUGUUAUCUUCCACCAGCAUAGGUAUUUAGUAACUUUACUCACUAAGGCUUAGACAUAUGGAAAUAAACUACAUCGUAUUUUUGUCUCUGUUAAGAUUUGAACCGUAGCUUCCAAGGUUUGCAUCAACUUCGUGAACUAUUUAACAAUGCCCUUCGUCUCUGAUAAUUACGUAUCUAUGUAGGCUUUGAAGGGAGGGAUGAGAGAGCGAGUUGUGUUAGCAACAAAUUUUGGUGUUGUUUUAGCAUCAGAUGAUAAGAGAGCAGAGGGAAACAGAGAAGUGCAUGGUGAUCCAGCCUAUGUGAGGGCAGCGUGCGAGGCUAGCUUAAAGCGACUUGAUGUUGACUGCAUAGACUUGUACUAUCAGCACCGAAUUGAUACGCGUGUGCCCAUUGAAAUCACGGUUGGUCUUCUUUCUCUUCGAUUUAUAACUCUAUAAAAUGCAGGCUUUAAAAUGAUUAACAUUUCUUGUUCUUUUGAACUUUGUUUUACUAGAUUCGAGAACUUAAGAAACUGGUAGAAGAGGGUAAAAUAAAGCACAUAGGUUUAUCUGAGGCAUCAGCAUCAACAAUUAGAAGGGCGCAUGCAGUUCAUCCAAUAACAGCAGUCGAGUUAGAAUGGUCUCUGUGGUCGAGAGACGUGGAGGAAGAAAUAGUUCCUACCUGCAGGUAUAUUUACUUCUUUUCUGUUGUUUUUUCAUGUUAGUGUGCGGUCUAUAACAAUGUGAGAUCUUGAUGUUCAUCUGCUAGGGAACUUGGAAUUGGAAUUGUGGCUUACAGUCCACUAGGACGGGGCUUUUUGUCAUCAGGUCCGAAGCUGCUUGAAGAUAUGGAAAAUGAAGACUACCGAAAGGUUUGCUUUGUAUUCAUUGUUGUUUUGAGUUUCGAACUUAUUAGAUUUGCUUGUGUUUGUGUAUGGUUUUGGAUUUCAAACAUAUAGAUAUCAUGUUUCAUUGUUGUAUAUUUAUAUCGCGAGUAUAUUUCUGUCCUUAAAUGUAUAUAAGGAGCAUGGUAGUUAGUUAAUGCAUACAUAUUGCCUUUUGACCUUGUUGAUUGAGAAUCGUAUUUGUGGCUACUGAUAUUGAAUGAACUUUACAUUUGUGCUACUCUGUAUCCGAUGUACUAAAGUCGAAAAAUACAUGUUUGACUCAAAUAGAUGUUCAAUUUUUGCAGCAUCUACCAAGGUUCCAGGCUGAGAAUCUUGAGCAGAACAAAAUCUUGUACGAGCGGAUUUGUGAAAUGGCUGCAAAGAAGGGAUGUACCCCUUCUCAACUGGCGUUGGCCUGGGUACAUCACCAAGGAAACGACGUGUGUCCCAUCCCAGGCACCACUAAGAUUGAAAAUUUCAACCAGAACAUUGAAGCUCUGUCCAUAAAAUUAACAUCAGAAGAUAUGGAAGAGCUUGAAUCCAUUGCUUCAGCUAAUGCAGUCCAGGGUGAUCGGUAUAUUCCUGGUAUGAGUACUCAUAAGAAUUCAGAAACUCCGCCCCUUUCAUCGUGGAAGGCUACAGAAUGAUGCAAUCGCGUAACUAGUGUCUCAGAGUAUGUAAUUAGUGUGUGUGUGUGUUAAGUUGAGGUAAGUUUUUUUCUGUAUUUUGCGCGCUGUAAUAGAGAGUAUAUUUUUCGAUUUCAGUCUAUCGUGCUACUUACGAUGUUAUAAUGGUAUAAACAAUAAACUUGUGACUCUCUUUUACAAUUUUUUUGAAAUGAUUCUAUUUGGUGUUGGCCGAAGAACAUGCCCUGGAUUUCCAUUGGCAUUGAAAUUGAUGCCAGUAAUGUUGGAAACUUGUGGCAUGCAUUGAGCCAAAAUACUUAGACAUGGAGGAGAAAUUUGGUGCCAUCUUAGCCAAAGCUCAUCCUUUGAAAACUAUCUCAUCGAUCUCCUCUUUGAUAUUGCUCGAUCGAUAAAUAUUUAUCUAAUAUCGAUUUUCUAAUUAUAUCACUUUACAUAAUUACCAGCCACCAUCAUCAAUAACCUUUUGUCAUAUAUAAUAAAUCGAAAUCAUAACUCAAAGGUGUUUGCAACAUGUUCAUACCUUAUUUGAAAUAAAAUGGUUUCAUAUUCUUGAUUGAUCGAUUAUUUUUCUCUCCAUAUGUAUAUCUAUUUCCAAUUUCGAAUGGUCACAAAAGUAGCAUAUUCUAAAUUGAGUGACCAUUCGAAAUAUUAUCAUCAAUUUUUUAAAAGUAAAAUUUCGCGACAUAUUUAUAAAAGAAAUGUUAUGCAAGUAUAUAAUUACUUUCACAGUGUUACCAAAUAGGAAAGAUGCGAUACUAAUACUUGUUAUUUGAAUUAUUCUCAAACUUCUUUAUCUCUAUAGAUUAAAAAUUAUUAUGUAUCAUUCAAUUAUUCAAAAAUUAUGAGGGUCAACAAUCUUAACUAAAGAUUUUAACACAUAAUUUGUGUAAGGUAUGUUAGGCGAGCCUCGAGUGUUGUGCGUUGGAUGUGGUUAGGGCGUACAGUCGGACGUUUAGGGCGUAAGUCUUACAGAACUAAGCCCCACACUUGAGUCUCGAGGCGUUUUGCUAAAGUCCCACCCUAGGGCGAUCCCCAAGGCAAGUCCCAACAGAGUUUUUUAAAACACUGAUUAUCACAUUCCACUUCCCCCCCCUCCCCCCGCCAAACUACCCUUAUCUACACUAAAACAUAAACUACCCUUAUCUACACUACAACAUAGUUAUUCCCCCUCCCCCCCUAAGACCAAAAGUUCCUUAAAAGAAACACAUCUCUCUCUUUUGUAUCACUCUCAUCAUGGUGUGUGUAAUAAAUUCUCUCUUUUAUUUUAAAAAAUAGUCACAUUGACAAAAAUUAAAUAAAAGAGAGAAUGUAUUACACACUAUGAUGAGAGUGCUACAAAAGAGAGAGAUGUGUUUCUCAAACUAAAAACUGAUAGUUUAGGUAUGAAAUUCACACUCUCAAUAGUUUAGAUAUGAAACUCAAAAAAAGGGAUAAUUUAGGUGUGUUUUUUACACUCAUCUCUAUUUGAAAUAAAAUGGUUUUAUGUUCUUGAUUGAUUGAUUAUUUCUCUCCUUACGUAUUUCUUUUUCAAAUUUUGUUUGGUCACAAAAAAAUGAAUCGUUAAUUUUCCUCCUAAAAAAGAGAUAAGAAUAAUUUAAUCAAAUUAAAUACUCUUUAAUGAUUAAAAUAUUCCGAUAGUUUUAUUACUUAAUUUGAUUACUCAUAAUACAUUGAACGGAGAUAUUGUGAACAACUUUGACACAAUUUAAUUAAUCUAAGAGUAAAGUGAUGAACUAUCAAGUCUUUUGGAUAGAUUUGAAGAGAAAGAUACAAGCCUCAACUUCACCAAAUUAAUCUACUUGAGCCAUUCUUCUUUUUAAAUUAUUUCAAUUUGUAAAAGGAAGUUUGAGGAUGCAUGAUAACUCAACUGUCUUUUUGUUUUUUUUUUUUAACUUUUUAUCAUAUGUGAUAUUGACACAGAUCAUAGAAUUAUCUUAUUCUUUCAAGUUUUUCAAGAGUUAAACUAAAUAAACUUCGAUCAAUAAUUUAGAAUUAAUUAUGUUUUGAUCAUCAUAUUGAUCAUAUGAGAAGUAUCACAACUUAUAGUAUUUUACUUAUAAUUUUUGAAUUUCUAAAGUUUAAUUUUAAAAUAUUGAAAUGAUCUAAUCAAAUUUACUUCUCAAUUAGUUAUUUCACUAUCGAGAAACAAAACAUGACAAUUGUUCUGAGAUUGAAUGAGCAUGUGACUAUUUCAUGAAUAAAAAUAGUUAUUAUAGACCAAAAAGGUUCCACAAAAGUCAGGCCAUAGUAAUUACUCUACAAAUCCAUUUUUUUCACACUAUGCUAGUAAAUAAUAGUACCAAGAAAGUUUACUCACAAGUCACAAGUUAUUAUUCACAUUGCCUAUUAUUUUUGGAAUAUAUAUAAACUUCCUUACAUAUCAACAUAUAUUGUCAAUAGAGUGGGGGAGCUUUGCAUCAUGAAUUAUUAUAUACUUGUGUUGACAUCAAUUUUUGCUUUGAUUUUUCUCUAUACUCUAGCAAAAUUGUCCAGUAGGGGCACCAAAAAACUUCCACCAUGGCCAAUUAUUGGAAAUCUUCACUUGUUAGGUGCAAAACCCCAUGUAUCACUUGCCAAUCUUGCAAAAAAUUAUGGUCCAAUUAUGAGUUUAAAAAUAGGACAAAUAACAAUAGUGGUCAUUUCUUCAUCAAUCAUGGAAAAACAAGUCCUUAAAAAACAAGACUUAGCCUUUUCUACUAGAUUUAUUCCUAAUGUAGUUCAAACACAUUAGGAAUUCGCUUGUUUUUCGAAGAAAACAUUUUAGAUAGAAAAUAUUUUCCUUCAUACCAAAUCUAGUCUUUUUCUGACCUAAAGUUAGUCCUCUAAAGUCACUUGCAUUGGUUAAUGGACGAAAGUAAUUAAGAAACAAAAAUAAAUCAGAAUUAAUUCUUAGGCUUGAACAAAAAUCAAUAAUAAAUAUCACAUUUUUAAUGAAUAAUCAUGUACAAACUCAAUAUAAAUAGUUCUCGGUCUUUUUCUGACCUAAGAUUUUUUGUUUAACAAAGGCUCAUCCAUGUCAUUUAUUUGUUAACUAAAUGACAUAGAUGAGUCAAACUUUUAACGGAUGACAUAGAUGAACCUUUUGUCAAAGUUUGAUAAAAUAUUUGAGCCUUUACCCCUUGUAAAAAAUGAUUUAAUUAAUCAUGUGAGCGAAUCAUAAUUGACCACAUGUAAAAAAUGAUUUUGCAAAAUUGGAACUGCUUUUAGUUACCAAAAAAUAACAUGGAUGAACUUUUUCCCAAACAGAAAUGACAUAGAUCAACCAAACUUUUAAUGGAUUACAUAGAUGAACUUUUUCUCAAAGUUCAAUGACAUAUUUGAGAUUUUUUACCGAGUAAUAACAAUAAGAGACAAACGUGCCACACACGUUUCCAAAGACUAGUAUAUAAAAAGAUGUAUUGUCCAACUUCCUUACAUAUCAACUUUGUGAAUAGUACUAACAAAGUGGAAGGAAAAGAGUGGGAGAGGUUUGCAUCAUGAAUUAUUUUAUACUUGUGUUGGUAUCAAUUUUUGCUUUGAUUUUCCUCUAUAAUCUAGCAAAAUUGUCCACCAAAAAACUUCCACCAGGUCCAUCACCAUGGCCAAUUAUUGGAAAUAUUCACUUGUUAGGUGCAAAACCUCAUGUAUCACUAGCCAAUCUUGCAAAAAAAUAUGGUCCAAUUAUGAGUUUAAAGUUAGGACAAAUAACAACAGUGGUCAUUUCUUCAUCACCCAUUGCAAAACAAGUCCUUAAAACUCAAGAUCAAGCCUUUUCAUCUAGAUUUGUUCCUAAUGCUCUUCAAGCACACAACCAUUACAAAUUUUCUGUGGCAUGGCUUCCUGUUUGUCCUCAAUGGCGAAUGCUUCGCAGAAUAUUGAACACUAACCUCCUCUCUUCCAAUAGGGUUGAUGCAAAUCAACAUCUAAGGUCUCAAAAGGUGAAGGAAUUAAUUGCUUAUUGUGAAAAAUGUAGUCAACAAGGUGAAGCUGUGGAUGUAGGUCAAAUUGUUUUCAAGACUAAUCUCAAUUUAGUGUCAAACACCCUUUUCUCCAAGGAUUUGGUUCAUCUUUGUUCAGAUUUGAAGGUAGAGUUGAAUUAUAACAUGAUUGUUUAAGUAUAACGUAUUAGUUGAGUAGAAAUUAAUGUUUUUAAAAAUUUGAAGCUUGAGUUGACAGACGCGAUCUUGAGCAUCGUUGAUGUUGCUGGGAAGAUCAACCUAGUGGAUUUUUUCCCUAUACUUGAAAAGAUUGAUCCUCAAAGAAUGAGGUAUCGCACAAACAUCUAUUUUGGUAAGUUGAAUAAACUCUUUGGUGAUAUGACCAAUGAGCGGUUGGAAGAAAAGAAAACGAACCAAAGUGAAAAGAGUGAUAUUUUACAAGUGCUUCUCAACCACACUGCAGAAAAUCCCGAAGAGAUGGAUCAAAAUUAUGUGAAUUCCACGCUCCUGGUUCGUUCUCUUCUCUUCUCUUUUGAUGCAUGGUUAAGAAGACAUGAUGUGCUAGUUUGAAAUAAUAUUUUAAGUUUAUUUGAGAGAAUUACCAAAUUUACAGGACUUAUUUAUUAGUGGAAUCGAUACAAUUACAAGCACGUUAGAAUGGGCAAUGGCAGAAAUACUUAGACAACCAGAGAUUAUGAAGAAAGUCCAAGCUGAGAUUGCACAAGUCGUUGGAAAAGGAAAACCAAUAAUUUUUGACAGUGAUGGCAGACUCGCUUACUUGCAAUUUAUCAUCAAAGAAACAUUAAGACUUCACCCACCAGCUCCAUUCUUAAUCCCCCGCAGGGUGGACCAAGAUGUUGAAUUGUGUGUAAUAUUUUUUUUUAUAUAUAAAUGAUUUAUUCGAUUUCUUUUUCAAUUAUUAGUUUUAAAUAAGAUUUUAUUAAUUCAACGUUGAAAAAAUUAUUUUACUCGGGGUAUCAUUAUAUGAAUUGUUAACAUAGUUCUACAAGUAAUAAGUUGACAAAUUUCAAAUAAAUAUAAGAGUUAGAACCAUAGCUUUGAUGAAGUUGAUAAUUUGGUUACCCCACAUUUUACUAUGGUUGUUGUAAUGCUUGAAAAUCUAAGAAUAAGAAAUGGAAAAAGAAUUUACAAUUCAAUUUGUUCAACACUUUUCGACUAUUAAUUGAUAUUUUUGACAGAAAAUUACUCUAACUUAUCAACAAUUUAAAGAAGAGAAUGUAAAAGGAGUUAAAAAGAAAAUAAUGUGAGUAUUGGUAGAGAGAGAGUAAGAAAAUAAAAUAAUAUUUUCUUGAUUUCUUCUAUUUGAAUGGGGUUGAAGAGAAUAAAAUAAUAAUUUUAAAUAUAUACUUUUUAUCAUAAAUAAUUAAUGUUUUUCUUUAAAAAAUUAACACAUAAUUUAUUCUUUGGUAAAAAAUUUGAGGCCCCCUAAAAAUUGGGGGCCUAAGGCCAAUGCCUUAUUUUUGUAUACAUAGAGCCGGCCCUGGGGGUGACGUGAAAAAAAAAUUGAAAUAGUUUUUAAAAUUUGAAACAUUUUUCUAAAAAUAUUUUUUUUGUUUGGGGUGGCGGGGGUGGGGGGCUAGUUUGGUGGUAGGGAUAAAAUAUAUUUGAAAUUUUAAAAAUAAGUACUUUUAAAUUAUUAAUUUUUUUUUUGAAUGUGUAGGGUCGAGUACGGGAUAUGGGUAGGGUAAACAAAAAAAUUAAAGUAUGAAAUAAAGGUUUGGAAAUUGUUUUCCCUAAUUUUGAAAGAGAAGUCAUUUACCUUAAAUUUGAGUAAAAUGAAUUGAUUUGAAAAAUAUUUUCCAAACAUUUAAGUCAACCAAACAUGAAAAAAUUAGAAAACAUCCGUACAAACACACCCUAAAUGAAUCAUUAAUUUCUAUAAAAGGUCAAAAUGGGGGGUUAGGAUGUCAAAAUCACAUUCAACUCUACAUUUGAAUCCAAAAAAAGGGUCAUUCAUGUUGAUAUUAACUCCAAAAAAUCAAAUCAUUUGUAUCUACCGUUAAUUGAAAUAAAAAAUCAUAAACUGUUAUAUCAAUAUUGUAAUCAGAGUUGACAAAAUUAAUCCAUGAAAAUAUAAAUCAUUCAUAGACACCUUCUUGUCCUUAAUAUGUUAUAUAAAAUCAUAAUAAUUUUUUUUAAAAUAGUUUAAUUUGAUUCUAAAAUGAAUAAUUACCGCUCAAUUCCUUUAAACUAUCUAGUAUAUAGAUAAUAUACACGUUGUACUAAAUAUACAUAUUGAUACACAACAUAUUCAGAUGUUACAAUCAAGUUAUUGUUUUGAAAGCAAUUUGACCUACAAAGUGAAGAUUUCCCAUAAGUGGCCUUGGUGGAAGAUUUUUGCUUCCGCUUGUGAAUAUUUUUGCUAUAAUAUAAAGAAAAAUCAAAGCAAAAAUUGAUACAAACACAUUUUGUCAGUUAAAAUACAAGUCGUAUGUCAUGUACAUUUUAGUUUUAAUAAUAAAACAAAUAGGCAUGUGCCUAUUUAAGAUGUGUUUGUGGACACAAUGGAUUUUUGCUACAUAUAAUGCCAAACUUUUUAGAUUUUUGCUAUAUAAUGCCAAACUUUUUAGAAUUUAAUCUAAUCUUGGCUAAAUAUAUGCCAACAAUUCUUAGAACUAUAUGUAGAUAUCAAUAUCCCUAUCUUUGAAGAGAAUAGUCUAUUUUAAAAGCAGAAAAACUAGACCAUUAAUUAUGUCCAACUGAAUAUUAGCAAAAAGGUCUAUUUUAGGGUAAUCUUUAAAUUUCGUCAUUCACCAUUUUUGAAUAUUUGCUAAUUUUUCCCUUAUAUAUGUCUAUUAAUAAUAAUAAUAAUAAUAAUAAUAAUAAUAAUAAUAAUAAUAAUAAUAAUAAUAAUAAUAAUAAUAAUAAUAAUAAUAAUAAUAAUAAUAAUAAUAGUAAUAGUAGAAUACAUCUAUAAUUACACGUUAAUUAUUAAAAAUUAGAAGAUAAAAUAGUCUUUUCAAGAGUAAAUUUUAUUUCAAAAUGAUGAAAUUUUAAUGCGAAUAUUAAAUAUUACUCCAUGUCUUCUUCUACUCUUUGAUAUGACAAGGUCCAGGGAUGGAUCUACUAGCCUAAAAAAAUGACAGUAGCCUUAUGCCACCUAAUUUGAGGACCUAAUAUUUUUUAAAGAUAGAUUAUGAAUUUUUUUAAAAAAAUUGAAUUAUUUAGAAAAUAUAAAUUUUCAUAAAGGAGAAAAAGUUCAUUAGAAAUUUUGAUAAAUCUAAAAUAUUGCAUGUUGACACCCAAUUUUGACCCUCCCCAAUAUAAAUUAAUCAUCGAGCUUCCUAAAAUCUAAAACGAUUUGAAAUAAUUAGCUUCAUAAAAUUCAAAAUAAUUUUCAAGUCAUUUUAAGUAGUUUUGUCAUUUUUAUAAAUUUUAAAAUAAUAAAUAUGAUAUUUUAUAUAAUUAUGUGUCAAAUUAGUAUAUUUUAUAAAUAUUCGAAAAUUGUCUCAAAAUGAUUUUAGUCUUAUUUAAACAUUUGGCUUAAAUUAAUUAAUAACUUAUAUUUCGAGUUAAUUAGUUUAUAGUUAAGUUAAUUAUUAUAUAAUUAUGUGUCUAAUUAGUAUAUUUUAUAAAUAUUUGAAAAUCAUAUCAAGAUAUUUUUAUUUCUUUUUAGCUAAGUGUUUUACUAACUUAGUUUAAUUUAAAAUCAUAAUUACGAUUUUGAAUUAAUUAGUUCAUGUUUAAAUUAAUUAUAUUAUUAUCAAGUUAAUUAUUUUAUUUCGUUAAGAAUAAGAAGCUCGUAAAUUAAUUAUAUUAACCCGUCUUAUUUGACUUUUAGCCGAAUCUAUCUUAAUUAACCAAGAUUGGCUAUAUCCUUAAUUACAAAUUGGCUAUGGUUUAGACCUAUAUGGUCAAAAACUUAAAUCCAAUUCACACGUCCAACUUAAAAAGACCAAAGUUGGGCCAUUAAUCAAUUUACUGCAGCCCACCAAAUAACUCCCUGACCCGGCCCAUCUCUUUGUCCCAAAGGAAACCCAGAUGCUCAACUUUAGCAUCCAACUCCAUCAAUUCCCACAACCCAGUAGUUGUACGCAUCAAUACACGGUGCAAACGACGAGAAUAAACAACGAUCCAAACGGCAACAACGCGUGAGACACCACCCGACCCCUGUACGCGCUUCACUCUUCCUCACGCGACAAGAACGCACUCUCUAACGUUCACAAGGGACGUGGCGUCAAGUAGACGGAAAGCAGUACGCUGGGUCUCUCUUGUCGUCUUCUCCCGUGUCCCUCUCAAGCAGUACUGUCCCGGCAGCAAGCAGAAGCACGCGUUUUUCCCUUUCCUCUUUCGGAAUAGGGCGAAAAUUUCAGAGAAAGUAUGUCCUCCUUUAAUGGUGAAAGAAAUUUUGAAGUUUGAAUUUGAAUUUGGGCUCUUUUUGUCCGGAUUUGGAUCCAUUUUCCCCCCAUUUCCCGAAUCCCUCCUAUAUAUGGUCAACUGUUGAAAAGGAAUCGCGGGGGAUCUUUUUUUUAGUUGGAAGAAAUAUUAAAGAAAUUAGUUGAAAUUUGGGAAAAAGCACGAUGAACUGCUAGUUACAAAUAUUUACAUAUAAAAUUCGGGAAUAGGACUCAGGAACAAAGAGAGUGAGAGUUUAGGCGUUGCUCGAGUCUUUUGCUAGCUUCUUUGUCACCGGAAUCUCUCGGAGUCAUCGGAAAUCGCUGCUCUCCAAGCUCGUUCUCGUCCCAGCUCUGCUGCCCAGAAAUAGGUAAUACGUCCUUCCUUAUUUACGUUUUAUCUCAAUUUCAAGUGUUGCGCUGAAUCGGUUUCUGUUGGGUUUCCAUUUUGUUCCCCCCUUCUGGCAACUUUUAUGCUUUUGAUUCAAAAUCUAUUAGUUGGAAUGUGGGUGUUGAAGCUUUUUUUGCUGGCUUGAUUUCCGACUAAUCACCAAAUCAUUAACGUCUCACCUCAUCUAAAAACUCAAAUCGAGAUAUGUUUGUCUAGUCUUAACUUUUUGUGUUCGUUGGGAAUCACGUGUUCGCUUUGUUUUGAUUCUUAUGCCUAAUAUAUUCUUAAGCAUGAGUUCAUUUGACAUUAUAUUAUAUUGAUUGUUGAAUCCUUUGGCUCAAUUUUGUUUCUGUGAAACUAGUAAUAUCUUUAUUUCGUCUCGUUCGAACUUGUUUAAAGUUCAUUUGGUCCCAUCCGUAUGUCGUUAGGUGAUUUCCAUUUUUAUUUUAUUUUUUUAGUAGAGAAAAAAUAAAAUAAAAAUCAGCUUGUUUCAUGUUCUUAGUCCAUAAGACUUAUACGACUAGUCGCUUUAAUCAUUGAUAGAUAUAUAAUUUUAUUUCAUUUCUCUUUUACUAGCAUGACUUUCUCUUUAUAUAAGGUUACGUUAACCACUGAUUAUUUGUUUACCAUAAUGUGGGCUGCCCUUAUAGAUUUUAUUGUGAAAUAUAUGUAUGUGUCCGUAAGCGUCUCUAGUAUGGUAUUUUCUUCGGUUUAAUCAUGUGUUUGGUAUUGCUGCCCAAUCAUGCUAUUUCUUACGGACAUUAUUCAUGCUAGUUUAUGCUAUCAUUUAACAUGUUUGAUUUCAAUAAUGCUAUGUUUGAUCUGUUCAUAAUGUGGACUGCUUUUGUUGUGCCUUGUUUUACUCUUAUUUAGUUGUUGUAAGUUUUCAAAAUUAAGAAAGCUCCCUUCCCCUCAUCCCGCCUUAGUUCGUGACUAUACUCUUAGGGGUCGUUUGGUUUGAAAAUGAGUUAUGAUGGGAUAAGUUAUGUUGGGAUAAGUUAUGUUGGGAUUAGUUAUGAUGGGAUAAGUUGUGUUGGGAUUAUUUUUUAUUGAGUGUUUGGUUUGUUGUAUUCAAAAUAAUAAAUUUUAAGAACAAUUUAUUUGUUUACAAAAAUGCCCUUCAUUAAUGUAAAAAGUGAUAUAACAAAAGGGUUGAAAGAGACAUUUUUGUCAUUUACCUAUUUAUCCCGGGAUAAGUUAUCCCGGGAUUACUAUACCACCCUAGGUUAGGGAUAACUUAUCCCGGUACUAAUUAUUAAUCCCGGGAUAAGUUAUCCCGAACUUGCCAACCAAACACAAAUAAGCGGUACUAUAAUUUAAUCCCGGGACUAUUUGGUAUUAUCCCUCACACCAAACGACCCCUUAAUUCUUCAAGUGUACUACUUGUUUAUCUCCAUUAUGAAUUAAUUACUUGACAACGUGCUUGUUAGAAUUUGUGUUCCUAUUCUAAUUCUCUUUCUUCCAUCUAUUUGUAUGUAUGUUAAUCGUCGAGGGUCCGCUGGGACUUCUUGUUUGCAUUCCCUUCGCAUUUCGGGUUGGUGGAAACCCAAAAACUUCUUUAUCGAGUCAAGCUCAUCCAUCAUCCGAAUGGCUGCGAAACUGGCAUACAGGCGGAAGCCGAUGAAUGAAGGCUGGAAAUUAAAUUUUGCAGGUCUCAAAACGCCUCAAAGGGGCUGAUAUACCUGCUGUAUACACUCGUAUACAGCCGGAAAUAUAGUUUACAGGUUGCAAAAUAUGAGGAUACAAGUUUGAUGAUAAGACAUAAGUCGAUAGCUAUUGUUCAAGGAAAAACGCAGAAAUAUGGACCCCAAACACGGUCCAUAUACAGUGAUAUACGUAAAGGGUAUACGCAGAUUUUUUCCAAAAGCAAAACAGGCCCAAAGGCCUUAGACAAUUUCAGCAAAGUCCAAGAUGUGGGAAAUUUGGGCCAAAGGCCCAAAUUUGAUUAUUUCUUUUCCCUCCCUUAUUAUUUAUAUUGUGUUUGACUAAUUUUGUUUAUUUUAUGGUUUUAAUUUAAUUAAAUUCCCCAAGAUAGCCAUUUUUUUAUUAUUAUUUAUUUAUAUAUAUAUAUAUAUAUAUAUGUAAAUUAAAGUAUUUUUGUUUUAUACUUAGCUUUAAUUUUAUUUGUCUCGUCACUUAAGUUAUUUCCCCUUUUGAAAAUUCCUCUUUAGUUCAUUCCCCCUUAAAAUAAAUAAAGUGAUAAAAAUAAUAAUAGUAAUAAAUAAAUAGGUUAAAAUAAAUUAGUUUUCUUACUAAGUCAAUUUCAAAAAAAUAUAUAAAAUAAUAAUAAAAAAAUAUAGUUAAUAUAAAUUAGUUCUUUACUUAGUUAAAAUUUCAACAAUUAGUUAAAAUAAAUGAAUUCUUAUACUUAAGUUAAAUUUUAAAUUUAGUCAAAAUCAUUUUGGUCAAAUCGUCGGUCAACCGCGAGUUAGCGGGCAUUCCGAGGGCCUAACACCUUCUCGGAAUGUACAUUUGAAUUCGAACCCUCUUACUUUCAAUUGAUUUUAUCUGUUUAAAUCUUUUGAAAAAUCUUGUAUUUUUUCUUGAUUUUUUACUAAAAAUUAAGUGGUGACUCUGUUCUUUUGGAAAUUCGAUUUCUCUUAAACUAUAAGUUUAAUCGAUUUUUCGAAAACUAAGUCAUUUUUCCUUUUAUAAAUACUUUUAAAUAAAACAGAAAUAUCAAAAAAUACUAAACGAAUUAAUUAUAAAUAAAUUAUUUAAAAAAUAAUUAAAAAUUAUGAACUUCGUUCCAAUUUGGCGAUAGGCUACUAAUAUACUCCAUUAAGCCGCCUCUGACCAGUCAAUUACUUCAAAGUCAAUUUAUUAAGCCGCCUCUGACCAGUCAAUUACUUCAAAGUCAAUUUAAAUUUAGAGUGAUGGGUUUUUGUAUAUAAGGCUGGCCUACCCUUCUAUUUCAUCUCUAUCCUACCUUUUUUAAUUGGACCUAUUUUUGAUAUAAUAAAAUCCAUUUGAGAAUUUUUUUGUAAAAGAGAAUAUUAAUAAUUCCUUCAAUCCCAGUGUUCAUUAAAACGAAAAAAAAAUUAGAACAUAUGAUUUCUCAAGUUUCCCUAUUAAAGAAUCACUAUCAUUAAUCAUUUCCCUAAAUGUUCGUUGGAGCGACUCCAAUAAAAAUUGAUUGAUUUUUAGGAGCGAAAAAUUGAAAGAGAGAAAUCAUUUCAAUUAAGAUUUUCUUAAGGCAAUAUUUAUUUAAUUUUUUAGUUUGAGAAACACACUUCUCUCUUUUGUAACACUCUCAUCAUGGUGUGUAAUACACUCUCUCUUUUAUUUUUAAAAAAUAGUCACAUUGACAAAAAAUAUUUGUUUUAGCGCCUUUAUUUCAGUUAUCCAAUUCAAAAAUAACAAAAUCCUACCUCUCGUUGAUUUGCCUUUUCGGUAUUUAUGAUUCUAUGCGAAGAUAUAUUGUUUCUCCUUCUUUUUUCUUGAAUCAAUCCAAAGAUUCCGAUUGGCUAUUGCAUUGAAUUGAAAAAAAAAACACCUUUGUUGAGAAAUUUUAGCUCGCAAUUACGCUCUUUGGUUGAUACAAAUUUAUGUUAAAAAUAGUGAGCACCCAUAGCUGUAAAAUUUUUGAUCCGCCACUGUCUUAAGGAAGACAUAGAUUGAUGAAAUUUCUAUUUAACUUUUGCAAAACACUACUCUCAUUCGACAACAACUUCUUAAUACGUAUGCAAAUGUGAAAAGUUGGAGAUUACAAAGGUGAAAAAGAAUAUGAUAAACUCAAGACAAGAAAUAUUUUGAAAUCACGCUUGACAUUUAAAUUAUGAGUUAUGACAUAUUAAACAAAAGAAACUUUUAUCAAAUUGAAUACGUGAUAUAUUACAAGAAUUGCAUAAUUGAAGUUAUUGGUUUGAGCUUGUAUAUUUCUCUUCAAUUUUUGUGCAAUUUAUCACACACUUAUUAUAAUAUUUUCAAAUUUCUUGUACUUAAUUAGCAUGGGAUACACGAGCAAUAUACAUGUCCGAGUAUAUAAAUAUCGUUAUAACGACUCCACACAACUUAGCAUGGGACACACGUGCAACACACAUGCCCAGGACUAGUUAUAGUAAAAGUAGGAAGCACUAAAGUGCAAAGUUGGAUUACCAUUUUACCCCUACAUUAAAUUACUUUUUAAUAAAAAACUAAUUAAUUAUAUAUUAAAUGUUUCUAAAAAAAUCAAAUGACCAUUUUUCAUUCACUAAAUUAACACUAUUCUCUAAUAACUUAGCUUAGGAACUAAAUUAUUACGUAAACAUUAAUGUUUCAAAGCACAAAAAAUUAAUAACAGAGCUUCUUAGGAAUUUCAAAGGUUAUUUUGAAAUUUACAAGCAAUUUAAUAUGGUUCAUGUAUUAGCAAAAAGUCACGUUUUCAAGAAAAAUGUUAAUAUUCUCAUGCAUUUAUUUCAUGAUUUGCACUUAUCUAACUCUUGACUAUACACAUUCUCUUAUAAUUUUUGGAUUAUCCCUACAUUUUUAAUCUAUAAAUAUGAUAAAUAUUGGAGUAAAUAAUAUCAUAUGAUAUACAAGGAAUGAGCAAGCUAAGAUUUGGGAUAUCAUCUUCUUUAGGAAUGAACAGAGCAUUAUUCUUACUCUUUUUUUUUUUAAGAACAAAGAUGAAUGAUCUUCUGGAAGGAAACAUCAUCAGAUGUACAAAAUAUCAAUUAGAUAUGUUUUUUUUAGUACAUAGUUUUCCUUCUUUGAAUGUAAAAUAAAGGGCCAUGCAUCAAAAUAUAAGAUCAUGACAUUUUAAUUUACUAAUAUACUCGUGUGAUGUAAUUUGUAAAAAAAUAAUAAUUAUAAUUUAAUUGAUCUUUUUAACAAUUAAAUUAUUGUACUAUAUUAAUUGAUAAAUAAAAUUAUUUAAUUUGUUCUUAUGGUUUAAUCACUUAUAUAUGUUUAUUUUUUGUAAGAAGGGUGUAAAAUAGAAUAUAUAAAACUAAUUUUUUGUCAAUUUUUUUCUAAAGGGGUGUACAAGAUUGAAAUAGGAUAAAUAAUUUGAGAUGGAGAAAGUGACAUAUAAUUAAAUUAUUAGUAACUUCUUUAAUUUAUGGAAUAGAUAAUGAUAUAAAUGUUUAUCCUUAUUUUUUUUUUCCUUUUGUGUCAUUUUGAGAAAUGCAAAUUCAGUGUUUCAACUUUUGAUAUCGUUUCAUAUUUUUAGUUGUCGCUCUGUUGAUGCUAUGUUUCUGUAUUCUUAGCUCAUUUUUUCUGAAAAAAAAUAUAUUAAUUUGGUAGGAUUCAAUACUUGAUACGAUCCCUUAAUAAUCAAUAAAAUAAUAUUAAUUAUUAAUUGUAGCCUUCAUUUUAUUUUAAUUAACUCUAUGAAAUGACUAGCAAAUUCUUUUCAUCUUUCAUCUUUUCUCUGAACUUUGUCUUGCAGGUAAUUAACGUAUAUAUGAGAUAAGAAUAUACAUAUAUUUGUUUGUGUUUAUUAUUAUAGUAUUUUAAAUUACUAAAUAUUCUCAUCUUUUAUUUCAUUUGGAGAAGAGAUACUUUGCUGUCAUAUUUUAAUUUGUUAUUGGUAUUCAAGAAUAGAUUCUAAAUAUUUGAACUACUUUUUGUUUGAAAAUGAUCUAUAUUCAUGUAAUUUAAUUAUAAAACUAUUUUUUAUACAAUGAUAAUUUAAAACAAUUUAUGUCAAUUUAGAUAGGGUACGCAUGCAUCGUUUGGUGUGAUGGAUAAAAAGAAUUAAUCCCGGGAUAACUUUUUAGUGGUCUUUAAUUCAUUGUUUGGUUGCAAAGGUAAGGAUAACUUAUCCCAAGAUUAACAAUUAGUCCUGGGAUAAGUUAUCCCUCAUUGGGGGUGGUAUAGUAAUCCCAGGAUAAGCUAUCCUGGGAUAAGGUGUGUAAAUUAACAAAAAUAUCCCCUUAAACUCUCUUUUGUACACCACUUUUACAUUCAUACAUAUUAACAUAAUUUUUAACAAUAUUUAUAAUAACAUUCACAGCCUUAAUUAUUCAUUGUUUUUAUGAUAAAUAUAUUUUCUAUUAAAAAUUUACAUUUUAUAAAUACAAUUUUUAUUUAUUAAUAUAUUAUAAGUUGAAUUUAUUUACGUAAUUAUUAUGUUUAUUAUUAUUAUGUUCACUUCACUACUAAAUUACAUAUUUUUCAUUAAAUAGCUUAUUACUCACUUAAAAAUUAUAUUUUAUCUAUAAUUAAAAUGUAGAUUACAUUAAUAAUAAAUUUUCUUUUACUAUAAUAAACUUAUAAUGAAAGUUUUAUUUUUAAGCUAAAUAAGAUGAAAUUUUUAUUUUUAAACUGAAUAAGAUGAAAGUUUUAUUUUUAAGCUACAUAAGAUGAAAUUUAAGCUAAAUAAGAUGAACAUUUUAUUUUAAAGCUAAAUUAGAUGAAAGUUUAAUUUUUAAGUUAAAUAAAAUGAAAGUUUAAAUUUUUAAACAUACGGCACAAUCAUGGACUGCACACACAAAAAUAUUUUAGCUAAAUAAGAUGAAAAUUUUAUUUUUAAGAAUGAAUAACUAAAACUUGCAAAGAAAAUGUAAAAAAAUAACUAAAUAAGGGGAGGGUAUUUUUGUAAACAAACAACUUAUUCUUAAAAAAUUUACAAUGAAUGUUAGUUUGAAUAUGACAAACCAAACAAGCAAUAAAAAUUAAUCUCAGCAUAACUUAUCUCAGUAUAACUUAUCCUAUCAUAACUAAUCUCAGCAUAACUUAUAUUCAAACCAAACGACCCUUAAAUGUAUACGCAUGUGACGACUAAUGGAUAAAAGUAGCUAUUGUAGAUCAAAAAGGUUCCACUAAAGUUAGGCCUUAGUAAUCUCUUUUUCAAAAAUGUAGUUUUCCAUAUUACGUCAUCAACAGUAACGAUUAAUGGUAACAAUAGUUAAUUUCUCUGUUUUCUAUCCGUUAAUUCUUAUGAAUAAAAUUAUUGAUAAAACGUUACUUAUGGUAGCGUUUAUAUUAUUUUGGUUACUUUUUAAGAAUAUGUAUUACUUUUGUUCAUUUAUUUUAUAUUUAUAUUAUUUUGGUCAAACCUUCAAUAUUGACCUGCACAUUCAUUAUCACGCUAUGCUAGUAAAUAGCAGGACCAUCUGAUAUUAAUGGAUAACAGUAGUCAAAUACCAAGAAAGUCAAGCAAUCAUAAUUUUAUCCGAUCUAACAACAGUUGUCCACUAUAUUAUUUUAUAAUAUCUAUCAAUACUUGUUCACUUUAUAAAAUUAAUGGAUAAUUUUACACUUACUUUCUAAUUUAUCGUUAUCAUUAAUCAUAGUAAUUUCCCUAUUACAUUUCAAGACAUUGUAUUUAUUAUAUUUAAGGGUGAUAUAGUAAAAUCAUCCUUCUAUUUAUAGUUUCUUAAGAAAUGUGUAAAGUCAAUAGUGGACAAAUAUAGUUGAACUGAGGGAGUAUAUAUAUAUAGUUGAACAGAGGGAGUAUUAUAUAUAUAAAAUAAUAAUAAUAAUAAUAAUAAUAAUAAUAAUAAUAAUAAUAAUAAUAAUAAUAAUAAUAAUAAUAAUAAUAAUAAUAAUAAUAAUAAUAAUAAUAAUAAUAAUAAUAAUAAUAAUAAUAAUAAUAAUAAUAAUAAUAAUAAUAAUAAUAAUAAUAAUAAUAAUAAUAAUAAUAAUAAUAAUAAUAAUAAUAAUAAUAAUAAUAAUAAUAAUAAUAAUAAUAAUAAUAAUAAUAAUAAUAAUAAUAAUAAUAAUAAUAAUAAUAAUAAUAAUAAUAAUAAUAAUAAUAAUAAUAAUAAUAAUAAUAAUAAUAAUAAUAAUAAUAAUAAUAAUAAUAAUAAUAAUAAUAAUAAUAAUAAUAAUAAUAAUAAUAAUAAUAAUAAUAAUAAUAAUAAUAAUAAUAAUAAUAAUAAUAAUAAUAAUAAUAAUAAUAUUAUUAUUAAUAAUAAAUAUGAAAAGUUCCAAAGUACAAAGUUGGAAUACCAUUUUACUCUUUAAUCUAAAACUAUUUCUAUAAUAUUUUAUGUACUAAAAUGUAAAUUUAUAUUGCAAUAAAUAUUUAGACCAUAAAAUAUUUUAUAAUGAAUUGUUAGAUGAGAAACUAAAUUUGUAGUAGUCUUUUCAAUUUUUUGGAGUUACCUUUUUGCUUAAUACUUAUCGUGAAUAUACAAUAUGUAUUAUGCUUAGGAGUAAUAUGCUAGGUAAAGAAAUCAAAAGUUAAAUUAUUUAAAUACUUUAAUUAUAGUAUUAAAUGUGCUUGAGUGUUUCCCAUUCCAAUUUCCAAAGAUGAUCUGCAUCACUCAAUGAGAAUAGAGCAAUAAAAUGAUAUUUAUAUAUGUCUGUACCAAAAAAAAUCAUUUGCAUUAAAUUCUAUUUUGCUCAAACUUAAUUUUUUUUUCUCUGUUUUAUUGUUAUUUUUCUUUUAUUUAUCUGUUAUUUUAAAAAUCAAUGUCACUUUUAAGAUUAAGAAACACAUUUAUAUAUAUUUUUUUACUAUAUUUUCUUUAUUUCUCUAAGCUCAAAAGUCAUGUGUUUUAAACAAUAAAUACGGUAUUUAUUUGUUUUAAAUUUCAUGUGCAACCUUCUAUUAAUUACAAUAUCACUUGUGCUAUACGUUUUAACAAUUGAAGGGUACUCCCUCUAUUUUAUAUCAACGGAAUUUUUAGGCCUGUUUUCAUUAUUUAAAAUAAUUGAAUUGUUCAAAGUUCAAUAUGAAUGUUUGAAUUUUUUUCUAUAUUUGUCAUUUCCUUUUAAUGAAGUUGAUUUUUAGGAGAAAAAUUGCACUACUUACAAAGUUAUAUUUAUGAUUUCACAAAGAAAAAUAGUGAAAACUAUCACGUGGUCGAAUCAUAAUUGAUAACGUGUAAAAAGUAAUUUUGCAAAAUCGGAAUUGUUUUUAGUUAAAAAGAUAUGGCAGGGGAGAACCUUUUCUCAAACGGAAAUGACAUAGAUCAGCCAAACUUAUAAUGAAUCACAUAGAUGAGCCUUUUCUCAAAAUUGUUCAAAGACCACGAGUCGAUUGCAACUUCUACAGGCUGUACAAUGAUCCACAAUCCCUGAUAUAUUUGAGCCUUUUUUUUUUCAAAUAAUAAGAGAUAAAUGUGCCACACACAUUUUCAGAGACUAAUUUAUAUAUAUAUAUAUAUAUUUAUUUAUUUUUUAUUUUUUUAUUUUUUUUUUAUUUUUUAUUAUUACUAUUAUUUUUUUAAUUAUUAUUUAUUAUUAAUAUUGUUAUUAUUAUAAGUGAGAAUCUCAUAACCCCAAAGUUGGAUUACUAUUUUGCCCUUAUCUUACUCCUAAAAUAAAUUAAAUAUUUAUAUCUAUUUAAUCAAUUAAAUAUAAAGUAAUAGUUAUAUUUAAAUUCUUGCAUCAAACAAGAUCUUAAUGCAAUCAUAUAUUCAUGUACUAAAUGUGGGUAAUGAAGAGUCUAAUCACCUUCAAUUUUAAUUUAUAAAAUAAGUGGGGGUAAUGAAGAGUUUAUCAAAAGACACUCACACAACAUUAUUUAUAUUCCCUUUUUUCAUCCAAAUUUGUGAUUAUCUUGCAUUCUACAUUAGGUUAGUCUUCAUCAUUUGUAAAAUUUUUAUUACCAAUUUGAAAUUGUAAGAAUUUGUAUUGAUUCUUUUAUGUAUAACUUACAUAAAUCCCAUAGUGUAAAACCUAAAUUACCUUUUAUCCCUAUUAUUUUUCUAAUUGCACAAAUUCCAUAUUUUUAAGACAUUUCGGAUACAUAAUUAAGGAUCCGGAUACAAUAUUGUUGAUACAUUAUGUAUCAAUCUAUUGCACUUAUUAAGGAAAAAAAAAAGCUGAAAAAUCAUAUUAAGAUCUCAUAAUAUCCAUCUGUUGCACUAAUUAAGGGAAAAAUAAAACUGAAAAUCAAAUUAAGAUCCCAUAAAUUGCGCAAUUCCAUUCCAAAUUAUUGUCAAGAAUUUAAUCAUAUAGUGUAAUUAACCAAAAAAUUCAAAAAAUAAAUUUCUUCUUCUUGUUCAUCGUUCUCUCUGUUUCAUAAAAACUUUUGUCAAAAUUUUGGAUAAGCGAUGUGAGUUAUGAAGGAUACAAAAGUGAUGAAAUUGUUGUUGGACAAAUGAUUUCUUUUGUGAAUGUGAAUCUUCAAGUUAAUCGAAUAUCCUUUCGAUUUUGAUUCAAGAUUAUCGAAAAUUUUGAGAUUCAACAUUCUUCUCCCAGUUCAUUGAAGAUCCUUUCAAUUUUGAUUCAAAAUUAUCGAAAAUUUUGAGGAGAUACAUCAUGAAGAUCCUUUCAAUUUAAAUUAAUAAGUGUUGUAUUUCUGCUAGAUACAUUAAAUAAGAAAGUGUUUCCCAUAAGAUUUUAGGUUUGAGAUCGAUACAUUAUUGUUUGGUAAUUGUUAUGUAUCAUAUACAUUUAGUAUAAAUUCGAAUUUACGUAUCAUAACUAAAAAAUUAGUACAUGAUACAUUAUUAUUUAUGUCUCUUAUUUUGUUUGAGAAAUACUAUAAUUUAAAAUUAAAAAAUACAUUAUACAUGUAAUUGUUCAAAAUUAGCUUCCUUUUUGUGUGUGUGAUACAUAACACAUUUAUAUUGAACAGAUAUACACUAAUCGAAGAGUCAACAACAUUAGAGUUAUAUGUAUCAAUACCUUAAAUAUGAACAUGAUACAUUCAAUAAAACAAAGGUUAUUGUAGCAGUGAUGUAUCAGAUCAAUGAUAAGACUAACAAAGACUAAUUUAAGACUCAAAUUAAACGAGAUACUUUAAAAUUUUGAAUCUUUGAUAGUGAUGGUCGUGCAGUGACAAAUCCAACUUUUUUCUUCCUUUUUUUGGACGUUUUUAAACAGUAGAUACAUUAAAAGAAAAAUAAAUAUUUUUCAAGAAAAAUUUUCAACGACGAUAUGAUUAACUAAAAUUGCAAAGGUUCAAUAAGAUUUCAAUGGGGGCAGGGGCAUAUGUAAUUUUAUUAUUAUUUUUUAAGAUGAAAAAAAUAAAAAAUAAUAAUAAAAGAAAUCAGAAAUUGAAGUGAUAUAAAGAAAUCUGCCUCUUGAAUAAUUUGAAAUCAUUAAUUGGAAAUAGAAAAGCUUUGAAAUCAUUAAUUGGAAAUAGAAAAGAUUUGAAAUUCAAAAAUAGAUUAAUUGAUGUAAUUAUGGAGAGAUUUGUGGCGUGAAAAGAGGAAGGAAAAUCAUGGGUAUGAGAUUUCAAAUUAAUAUAUCUGGAAAAGGGGAUGAUGGGAGAAAAAGAAGCGAUUUUUGAUAUUUUCUGAAAUGGUAGGGAAAAUAAGAAAAUAUGAUAAUAAAUGGUGUGUAGUUAAGUAAUUUUUCCUUCAUUUAUUUGUAUUCUUUAAAAUUUCAUGCACAUUCAUCUUCUUUUUGUUGAGAAAUAGGUAAAUUAUCAUAGUUACAAGAUGAAUAUUCUCUAAUAUGAAGUUGUAAGUAAAUUUUUUAUUUUUCAUAUAUCCAUUUGUUUGAGUUUUUAAAUAUAACUUCGUAAUUGAUUACUUUAUUUUUGUAUUCAUCAUUUCUUCUAUCUUAAGGAUAUAAAUAUAAUGAAGCUAAUCCCAAUUUAUAUUUAUAAUGAAUUGUUUUGAGGGUAAGCAUGUUAAAUUUCACAGAAUAUUUUUACAACUAGACCUGUUAAAGAGUAAGUAUUUGAUAAACAUUUAUAGUUAUGUCAUCUUCGUUGUUUGAUAAUCAUUUAUCUUUUUAAAGCAACAUGUUUGUACUUUUUCAUUUUUAUAUGUAAUCUCAAAUGUUUAGAAAAUUCCUAUACUUAACUACGUACUAUAGAGAGGUACAAAAAUUAGUGCACAAAUUAAAAUAAAAUAAAAAUAAUGUAAAGUAAAAACUAGUGCAAAUGUUACAUUGAAUUUUAUUGUAUUAGAAUUCGUUUUUAAAUUUUUUAUAUAUAGAUCCUUUAAUAUGAGUUCAAGAAAUAUAGUGUAUUUGUAUUUUUAACAUGUCAUGCUUUCUUUUAUGUUUUUUUUUUUUUUUUUUGUAUUUUAGUUUUUUAUACAUAUGAAAUAUUUUGUCUAUAGGCAAUAGCAAGUUGCCUUCUAACAAAAUAUAAUUCAAUCAUGACAAUAUUUUUGUCAACAUAUUUUAAUGUGAUGUCUUUUAUUAUGGAUGUCAUGUCGUUAUUACUUUUCUUUCUUUUGAACUUGUAAUUUUUUCUAUAAAGUUGAUGUUACACCAUCUAGACAUUUUGUAUAUUUUUCUUUAUACAUAUCUUUUUUAUAGCCAAUUUCUUUUUUGAUUAUUAAAAUUUAAGUUUAGUAAUUAAAAUAUAUUAACUCCUCUAAUAUAAUAAAAGAUUUAUUUUUCAUGAAGCAUUAAAAAUAUCAAACCUCCAACAUCUAACACAAGAUUUUCAUGCUAUAUUUUGUGCAGAGUUAUAUUCUUAUGUCAAACUUACAUAUAAAAGGACUUUACUUUGAACUUAGCGAUAAAUUUAUGUAUGCUUCACUAUGAUAUAUUUACUUAUAUAAAUUUAUUUUUCUAAUGUCAAUUAGGAGACAAACGUGUAACGCACGUUCCCAGGACUAAUAUAUAAAUAGAUGUAUUGUCCAACUCCCUUACAUAUCAACUUUGUGACUAACAAAGUUGAAGGAAAAGAGUGGGAGAGCUUUGCAUCAUGAAUUAUUUUAUACUUGUGUUGGCAUCAAUUUUUGCUUUGAUUUUUGUAUAUAGUCUAGCAAAAUUAUCCAGCAAAAAACUUCCACCAGGGCCAUCACCAUGGCCAAUUAUUGGAAAUAUUCACUUGUUAGGUGCAAAUCCCCAUACAUCACUAGCCAAUCUUGCAAAAAUUUAUGGUCCAAUUAUGAGUUUAAAAUUAGGACAAAUAACAACAGUGGUCAUUUCUUCAUCAUCCAUGGCAAAACAAGUCCUCAAAAAUCAUGACUUAGCCUUUUCCACUAGAUUUAUCCCUGAUGCCCUUCAAGCACACAAUUAUAGCAAAUUCUCUGCUGUAUGGCUUCCUGUUUGUCCUCAAUGGCGAACACUUAGGAAAAUCAUGAACACCAAACUCCUCUCUACUAAUAGGCUUGAUGCAAAUCAACAUCUAAGAUCUCAAAAGGAGAAAGAAUUGAUUGAUUAUUGUGAAAAAUGUAGCCAACAAGGUGAAGCUGUGGAUGUAGGUCAACUUGUUUUCAAGACUAAUCUCAAUUUAGUGUCAAAUACCCUUUUCUCCAAGGAUUUGGUUGAUCUUUAUUCGGAUGCAAAGGUAGAAUUGAAUAACAUGAUUAAUGUUUAAGUAUAACGUAACCGUCUGAGAAAUUAAUUUUUUUAAAAUUUGAAGGUUGAGUUGAAGGACGCGAUCUUGAGCAUCAUUGAUGUUGCUGGGAUGAUCAACCUAGUGGAUUUUUUCCCUAUACUUGAAAAUGUUGAUCCUCAAAGAAUAAGGUAUCGCACAAACAUUCAUUUUGGUAAGUUGUAUAAACUCUUUGGUGAUAUGAUCAAUGAGCGGUUGGAAGAAAAGAAAACGAACCAGAGUGAAAAGAGUGAUAUUUUACAAGUUCUUCUCAACCACAGUGCAGAAAAUCCCCAAGAGAUGGAUAGAAAUUUUAUGAAUUCGACGCUCCUGGUUCGUUCUCUUCUCUUUUGAUGCAUGAUGUGCUACGUUGAAAUACUUUUUUUAAGUUAAUUUGACAGAAUUACAAAAUUUUACAGGACUUAUUUAUUGGUAGUAUUGAUACAAUUACAAACACGGUAGAAUGGGCAAUGGCAGAAAUACUUAGACAACCAGAGAUUAUGAAGAAAGUCCAAGCUGAGCUUGCACAAGUCGUUGGAAAAGGAAAACCAAUAGAAGAAGCUGAUGUAUCCAGACUCCCUUAUUUGCAAUUUAUCAUCAAAGAAACAUUAAGACUUCACCCACCAGCUCCAUUCUUAAUCCCCCGCAGGGUGGACCAAGAUGUUGAAUUGUGUGAUUAUAUCAUUCCAAAGGGUUCAAUAGUACUAGUCAAUGCGUGGGCUAUUGGCCGUGAUUCUUCUUUUUGGGAAGACACUUUAGUGUUUAAACCUGAGAGAUUCCAGAGUUUAGAAUUGAAUAUGCGUGGUAAAGAUUUUGAAUUGAUUCCAUUUGGUGCUGGCCGAAGAACAUGCCCUGGAUUUCCAUUGGCAUUGAGAUUGAUGCCAGUAAUAUUGGGCUCGAUGUUGAAUUCAUUCAAUUGGAAACUUGAGGCAUGCAUUGAGCCAAAAGACUUAGACAUGGAGGAGAAAUUUGGUGCCAUCAUAGCCAAAGCUCAUCCUUUGCGAGCUAUCCCAUCUCCUCUUUGAAAUUCCGCUCAGUUCAUAAUAAAUACUUAUCUAAUAUCGGUUUUCUUAUUAUGUCCACAAUCACCAACUACCACUCUAUUUAUCAUCAUUACUUUAUCCACAAUCACCACCCAUUACCAUCAGUGACGUAACCUUUUGCCAUAUAUUGAAAUCAUAACUCAAAGGUGUUUGCGACUUGUUCAUACCUUAUUUGAAAUAAAAUGGUUUCAUGUUCUUGAUUGAUUGAUUAUUUCUCUCCGUAUGUAUUUCUUUUUCAAAUUUUGUUUGGUCACAAAAAAUUGAAUGGUUAUUCUCCUCCGAACUCGUUUAAAAAGAGAUAAGAAUAAUUUAAUCAAAUUAAAUACUCUUUAAUGAUAAAAAUAUUCCGAUAAUUUUAUUACUUAAUUUGAUUGCUCAUAAUACAUUGAGCGGAGACAAAAGCAUGCAAUUUUUUUUAGGGCAAAUCACAUAAAUAUGCUAUAUUAAGAAAAUAUUUACCAUCUAUGACAAUAUAAUUUUUCUAACUUAAUAUAACAAUUUUUUGGAUUAAAAAAUUGUACUGCUUCGCCUCCUUCUCUAUCCUUUUUCUCUUCCUCAUCUUCUUCUUUUUAUUUUUCUUCUUUUCGUCUCUUUCUGUGUUAUUCUCUCUUCCUCCUCUUCUUUUUUUAUUCUUCUUCUUCUUUUAAAAUUUUCAUUUAAAUAAUUAUUCUCAAAUCAAUUUUUAUCCAUAUUUCACUAUUUUUAUCCAAAAACACGACGAGAAGAGAAAUAAAAAAAUAAUAUUUUUUUUAACAAUAUCAUAUUCUCAAACAAAAAUUUCAAAUCUCUAAAAUUACAACAACAAGAAUUCACCAUUGAUGGUCACUAUAAAACUUCAAAUUUUGAAUUCAUUUUAUGAAUCUUACGAACUAGAUUAGUUUGGAUAGGUUGAUCCUACAAAUAAUUGAAAAUGCAAUUUAAAGUUUAUAUCUCAAUUUUAAGAGGGUUCAGUUAAGUUUAUAAUUGAUUUUAGGAGAAAUAUAAGAUAGAAACUCAAAAAAGGUAAAGUUUAUGGAACUAUAUCGCAAUUGUAUUAAAGUUGAAUUAGAUAUGUUUUUAUAAUUGUAUUAAAAUCAUGAACAGUACAUUUAUAAUACAUAUUGCAAACUUUACUCUCUUCUUAGUGAUACCAACCAAAUGAUUUAGGUAACACACUUAAUAAUACAUUUAUAAUACAUGCACACUACAUUUUUAAUAUAUAUUGCAAACAUCACUCAUGUUCUUAGUGAUACAAACCAAAAUAAUUUAUAACACAUAUAUAUAAUACAUGUUUUAUUCAUGAAUAAUACAAGUUUAAUUUAGUCUAUAGAUUAUUGUCUUGUCUUUCGUUAGUUACAUUUUUCAUUUAUUCUUAAUUCUCUCUUCUAAUUCAACUUUAAUAUUGUGUAAUACACUUUUAAUGUAAAUUUAAUUCAUUUUGUAGUUUAUUAUUUGUUACUAUUAGAUUACUUGUUUAAUUCUUUUUUUUUUAUAUAAGUUUAAUUCACUUUGUAGAUCAUUGGCUGCUCUUUCAUUAGUUACAUUUUUUAUUCGUGCUUAAUUCUCUCUUCUAAUUCAAUUUUAAUAUUUGUGUAAUACACUUUUAAUACAAGCUAAUUCAUUUGUUGUUUAUUGGUUGAUUUGUUAUGAUUGAAUUACUUUAUUAUUUCAUUAUUGAUACAAGUUUAUUUAGUUUACAAAUCAAAUAAUGCUCUUUAGUUUGCUACAUUUUGCAUUCAUGUUUAAUUCGCUUCUAAUUCAACUUUAAUAUGUGUAUAAUACAUUUUUAAUUCUAACUUUAAUUCAUUCGGCAGUUUAUUAUGUUUCUUCAUUUGUUAUGAUUAGAUUACUUGUCUGCUCUUUCGUUUGCGAUUAGUUUGGAUAGGUUGUUCCUACAAAUAAUUGAAAAUAUCUUUUGGAGUUUAUAUCUCAAUUUAAAGAGUGUUUGAUAUUAGUUUGGAUAGGUUGUUCCUACAAAUAAUUGAAAAUAUCUUUUGGAGUUUAUAUCUCAAUUUUAAGAGGGUUUGGUUAAGUUUAGAAUUGAUUUUAGGAGAAAUACUAGAUUGAAGCACGAAAAGGAUGAAGUUUAUGGAACUAUAUCGGGUUUGUAUUAAAGUUGUAUUAGAUAUGUUUCAUAAUUGUAUUAAAAUUGUAUAAAAAUCAUGAACAAUACAUCCUACAUUUAUAAUACAUAUUGCAAAUUUCACUCCCUUUUUAAUGAUAUCAACUAAAACAAUUUAGGUAACACACUUAUAAUAUAUGCACAAUACAUCUUUAAUACAUAUUGCAAACAUCACUUACGUUCUUAGUGAUACAAAUCCAAAAUAAUUUAUAAGACACAUAUAAUACAUGUUUUAUCAUGAAUAAUACAAAUUUAAUUCAGUUUAUAGAUCGGUGUCUUGUCUUUCGUUACUUAUGUUUUUCAUUCAUUCUUAAUUUUCUCUUCUAAUUCAACUUUAAUAUUGUGUANNNNNNNNNNNNNNNNNNNNNNNNNNNNNNNNNNNNNNNNNNNNNNNNNNNNNNNNNNNNNNNNNNNNNNNNNNNNNNNNNNNNNNNNNNNNNNNNNNNNNNNNNNNNNNNNNNNNNNNNNNNNNNNNNNNNNNNNNNNNNNNNNNNNNNNNNNNNNNNNNNNNNNNNNNNNNNNNNNNNNNNNNNNNNNNNNNNNNNNNNNNNNNNNNNNNNNNNNNNNNNNNNNNNNNNNNNNNNNNNNNNNNNNNNNNNNNNNNNNNNNNNNNNNNNNNNNNNNNNNNNNNNNNNNNNNNNNNNNNNNNNNNNNNNNNNNNNNNNNNNNNNNNNNNNNNNNNNNNNNNNNNNNNNNNNNNNNNNNNNNNNNNNNNNNNNNNNNNNNNNNNNNNNNNNNNNNNNNNNNNNNNNNNNNNNNNNNNNNNNNNNNNNNNNNNNNNNNNNNNNNNNNNNNNNNNNNNNNNNNNNAAAAAAAAAGCAGCAAAAAGAAAAACAAAAGAGAAAGAACAACAUAAAGAAAAAAAAGGGAGAAAGAGCGAGAGAGAAAAGGGAGAAAGAGGCAAGAGAGAGACAAAUCUAAUAAAAUAUAUAGUAUUGUUAUAUAUUGCUAUAAAUGGUAAUAAUUAAAGAGUAUAUUUAAAAUAAGUAAUUAUUUUUUAAAAGGGAUCCACUCAAGUAAUUAGCCCUUUUUUUUCUCUAAAUCCAACACCUAAUAAAUAAACUAAACAAAAGAAUUAACAUUAACUAGCACCCAAUAAUUGAAUAUAUUAUGGGAAAAGGGUCUGAUUUACCCCUGAACUUUAUGAUUUGGAGCUGAUAUACCCUCCGUUUAAAAAGUGGCUCAUAUAUGCCCUUGCUGUUAUAGAAAUGGCUCAUAUAUGCCCUUUUACUUAACAGACCAAUAUUUAAUAAAUUAAAAUUUAUUUUUUUGUCUUAAUUUUAGAAAAUGCCAUGUGGCUUUUAAAAUACCCCACUCAAUAACUUUUCACCAUGCCCACCCAACCCAAUUGGAAACAAAAGCCCCGCUCAUUUAAAUAAAUCAAACCCAUUUUAUUUCAUUGUCUCCCCAAUUGGAAACAAAACCCCCAGCCAUUUAAAGUUUACAAUAGUAUUUUGAUCUAUUAGCUUACUAAAUUUUCUGAAGAAAUCGGUACCUCUUUUUUUAUUUUAUAAAUUGUUCAAUUUUUUUAAUCGUUCCAGAGAAAUUGGUGAACAAGCAAGCUUCUACUAAAACUGAUCUUCAAUGGCGAUAAAUUAUUUUAACCGUUCAAAUUGAACUGAAAUGCAUUGUUUUGUGUGUGUGAACUCGUCUAUCUUCCUCUGUCUUUCCUAUUCGUGGGUGUCAUGUGCCAUAGAUUUCACCUUUUAGUAAAAUUUUUAUUGUAAUAAAAAAUGACUUUUGCAGAAUAUUAGAGCCGCCAACAGUGAUGAUGCCUUCUACAAGUAUUGCCAAAACUCUAGCAAGGCCAACAUCUUACACUAUAAAAUUUUGAUGAAAAAACUGAAACUUCCCUCGUCAAUGGAGCUCAUGAUACUGCCAAGCUUGCUGGUCUUCUUGAGAUUUUCAUCAAGAAAUGGAAUGAAAUGGGUUUGAUUUAUUUAAAUGGGUGGGGGUUUUGUUUCUAAUUGGGUCGGGUGGGCAUGGGUAAAAGUUUUUGAAUGGGUAUUUAAAAGCCACGUGGCAUUUUCUCAAAUUAAAUACAAAAAAAUGAAUUUUUAAUUUUAUUAAAUAUUGAUCUGUUAAGUAAAAGGGCAUAUAUGAGCCAUUUCUGUAACAGCAAGGGCAUAUAUGAGCCACUUUUUAAACGGAGGGUAUAUCAGCUCCAAAUCAUAAAGUUCAGGGGUAAAUCAGGCCCUUUUCCCAUAUAUUAUUUUGUUGACUUGCUUUCAAUUUUCAUGUACCUAAACAAAAAAUAUUCAAUUUUUUUUGCUUCAAUUUUCAUGUACCCAAGAAUUAACCCGAAAUGAUCAAAGUGAUCCACCAUGCCAUUAACUCCGGCGUCACCCUUCUUGAUACUGCCGAUAUCUAUGGACCUAACUGAAAACUUUAUCUAAAACUCUAUUACUUCACUUAAUCUCCAUUGCAGCAACAUCAAUUGAUUAACAGAAAGUAAAAUUGAAGAAGAAAGUUUUAUUAAGGGGAAGAAGAAGAAAGCUCGAUUAGGAGAGCAGUUAUACAAUACAAUUGAUGAAUCUACAAUAAUUGAAAAUAUCUAGCUAAUGUGUGUAUUUAUACUGACUUGCUGUAACUAACUCUGACAGCUCAUUAACUAAUCAUCAACUAAAUAUCUAACUGACUACUCUGCUAAGUUUGAAUUAAGGGACAUCAAUACAGUUUGAUAAUUCUUUAACACUAACACUAAUGAAAUACUCAUCGGCAAGGUAAUAUUACUCUCCGCAUUUCAAUUUGUUUGUCUGGUUUUGAUUGAACAUGAAGUUUAAGAAAGUAAAAAAACGUUGAAUCUCGUGAUUUUAAACUAAAGAAUGUGUUUUAAAGUUAAAAAUUGAAAUGGAGAGAACAAUUAAAUGUUUAUUUUUUCAUUUUUUUUUAAAUUUUAUGCACUAGUAUGGUUGUAAGUAAUGCAUUAACUGUUGUACCUUUUGGUUUUGGGUUUUUGGUAAGUGUGUGGUUUGUUACUUGCUAAUUACUGGUGUUUGAGCUGGAAUAAUCUUUUUUUUUUUACUUGUGCAAUAUAUGAUUGUUCUUAGUGCUUAAAGUUUUGUACUUUACAUUUUGGGGUUGGUAUGAUGCAUUAUAUUUUGUUGUUUUCACCUGAUAAUCAUUGGUUGGUGGAUAUAUAUAUAUAUAUAUAUAUAUUGAACUUGUAUUUCCAAUGUACUCUAGAUGUAUUUUUUUCUAUUGACAAUAGUGUCUAGAUCAGCUUCCGUGCACCUUGACUAUUUUACCUUGAUACCUGUUAUCUUCCACCAGCAUAGGUAUCUAGUAACUUUACUCACUAAGACUUAGACAUAUGGAAAUAAGCUACAUCGUAUUUUUGUCUCCGUUAAGAUUUGAACCUUAGUUUCCAAGGUUUGCAUCAACUUCGUGAAGUAUUUAACAAUGCCUUUCGUCUCUGAUAAUUACGUAUCUAUGUAGGCUUUGAAGGGAGGGAUGAGAGAGCGAGUUGUGUUAGCAACAAAUUUUGGUGUUGUUUUAGCAUCAGAUGAUAAGAGAGCAGAGGGAAACAGAGAAGUGCAUGGUGAUCCAGCCUAUGUGAGGGCAGCGUGCGAGGCUAGCUUAAAGCGACUUGAUGUUGACUGCAUAGACUUGUACUAUCAGCACUGAAUUGAUACGCGUGUGCCCAUUGAAAUCACGGUUGGUCUUCUUUCUCUUCGAUUUAUAACUCUAUAAAAUGCAGUCAUUAAAAUGAUCAACAUUUCUUGUUCUUUUGAACUCUGUUUUACUAGAUUCAAGAACUUAAGAAACUGGUAGAAGAGGGUAAAAUAAAGCACAUAGGUUUAUCUGAAGCAUCAGGGUCAACAAUUAGAAGGGCGCAUGCAGUUCAUCCAAUAACAGCAGUCGAGUUAGAAUGGUUUCUGUGGCCGAGAGACGUGGAGGAAGAAUAGUUCCUACCUGCAGGUAUAUUUACUUCUUUUCUGUUGUUUUUUCAUGUUAGUUUGCGGUCUAUAACAAUGUGAGAUCUUGAUGUUAAUCUACUAGGGAACUUGGAAUUGGAAUUGUGGCGUAUAGUCCAUUAGGACGGGGCUUUUUGUCAUAAGGUCCGAAGCUGCUCGAGGAUACGGAAAAUGAAGGAUACCGGAAGGUAUGCUUUGUAUUCAUUGUUGUUUUGAAUUUCAAACAUAUUAGAUUUUCUUGUGGUUGUGUAUUUGAGUUUCAAACAUACAGAUAUCAUGUUUCAUUGUUGUGUAUUUAUAUCGCGAGUAUAUUUCUGUCCUUAAAUGUACAUACGGAGUAAAUGAGCACGAUAGUUAGAAUAUAGACAUAUUGCCUUUUGACCUUGUUGAUUGAAAAUCGUAUUUGUGGCUACUGAUAUUGAAUGAACUUAACAUUUGUGCUACUCUGUAUACGAUGCACUAAAGUCGAAAAAUACAUGUUUGACUCAAAUAGAUCUUCAAUUUUUUGCAGCAUCUACCAAGGUUCCAGGCUGAGAAUCUUGAGCAGAACAAAAUCUUGUACGAGCGGAUUUGUGAAAUGGCUGCAAAGAAGGGAUGCACCCCUUCUCAACUGGUGUUGGCCUGGGUACAUCACCAAGGAAACGACGUGUGUCCCAUCCCAGGCACCACUAAGAUUGAAAAUUUCAACCAGAACAUUGAAGCUUUGUCCAUAAAGUUAACAUCAGAAGAUAUGGAAGAGCUUGAAUCCAUUGCUUCAGCUAAUGCAGUCCAGGGUGAUCGGUAUAUUCCUGGUAUGAGUACUCAUAAGAAUUCAGAAACUCCGCCCCUUUCAUCGUGGAAGGCUACAGAAUGAUGCAAUCGCUUAACUAGUGUCUCAGAGUAUGUAAUUAGUGUGUGUGUGUGUGUUAAGUUGAGGUAAGUUUUUUCUGUAUUUUGCGCGCUGUAAUAGAGAGUAUAUUUUUCGAUUUCAGUCUAUCGUGCUACUUCGAUGUAUAAUGGUAUAAACAAUAAACUUGUGACUCUUUUACAAUUUUUUUGAAAUGAUUCUAUUUGGUGUUGGCCGAAGAACAUGCCCUGGAUUUCCAUUGGCAUUGAAAUUGAUGCCAGUAAUGUUGGAAACUUGAGGCAUGCAUUGAGCCAAAAUACUUAGACAUGGAGGAGAAGUUUGGUGCCAUCUUAGCCAAAGCUCAUCCUUUGAAAACUAUCUCAUCUCUUCUUUGAUAUUUUGCUCGAUCGAUAAAUAUUUAUCUAAUAUCGAUUUUCUAAUUAUAUCACUUAACAUAAUUACCCGCCACCACCAUCAAUAACCUUUUGUCAUAUAUAAUAAAUUGAAAUCAUAACUCAAAGGUGUUUGCAACAUGUUCAUACCUUAUUUGAAAUAAAAUGGUUUCAUAUUCUUGAUUGAUCGAUUAUUUUUCUCUCCAUAUGUAUAUCUAUUUCCAAUUUCGAAUGGUCACAAAAGUAGCAUAUUCUAAAUUGAGUUUUAAAAGCAAAAUUUCGCGACAUAUUUAUAAAACAAAUGUUACGCAAGUAUAUAAUUACUUUCACAGUGUUACCAAAUAGGAAAGAUGUGAUACUAAUACUUGUUAUUUGAAUUAUUCUCAAACUUCUUUAUCUCUAUAGAUUAAAAAUUAUUAUGUUAUCAUUCAAUUAUUCAAAAAUUAUGAGGGUCAACAAUCUUAACAAAAGAUUUUAACACAUAAUUUGUGUAAGGUAUGUUAGGCGAGCCUCGAGCGUUGUGCGUUGGAUGUGCUUAGGGCGUACAGUCGGACGUUUAGGGCGUAAGUCUUACAGAACUAAGCUCCACACUUGAGUCUCAAGGCGUUUUGCUAAAGUCCCACCCUAGGGCGAGUCCCAACAGAGUUUUUUAAAACACUGAUUAUCACAUUCCACUUCCCCCUCUCCCCCCGACUCUCUCUCUUAUUUUAAAAAAUAGUCACAUUGACAAAAAUUAAAUAAAAGAGAGAAUGUAUUACACACUAUGAUGAGAGUGCUACAAAAGAGAGAGAUGUGUUUCUCAAACUAAAAACUGAUAGUUUAGGUAUGAAAUUCACACUCUCAAUAGUUUAGAUAUGAAACUCAAAAAAAGGGAUAAUUUAGGUGUGUUUUUUACACUCAUCUCUAUUUGAAAUAAAAUGGUUUUAUGUUCUUGAUUGAUUGAUUAUUUCUCUCCUUACGUAUUUCUUUUUCAAAUUUUGUUUGGUCACAAAAAAAUGAAUCGUUAAUUUUCCUCCUAAAAAAGAGAUAAGAAUAAUUUAAUCAAAUUAAAUACUCUUUAAUGAUUAAAAUAUUCCGAUAGUUUUAUUACUUAAUUUGAUUACUCAUAAUACAUUGAACGGAGAUAUUGUGAACAACUUUGACACAAUUUAAUUAAUCUAAGAGUAAAGUGAUGAACUAUCAAGUCUUUUGGAUAGAUUUGAAGAGAAAGAUACAAGCCUCAACUUCACCAAAUUAAUCUACUUGAGCCAUUCUUCUUUUUAAAUUAUUUCAAUUUGUAAAAGGAAGUUUGAGGAUGCAUGAUAACUCAACUGUCUUUUUGUUUUUUUUUUAUAACUUUUUAUCAUAUGUGAUAUUGACACAGAUCAUAGAAUUAUCUUAUUCUUUCAAGUUUUUCAAGAGUUAAACUAAAUAAAUUUCGAUCAAUAAUUUAGAAUUAAUUAUGUUUUGAUCAUCAUAUUGAUCAUAUGAGAAGUAUCACAACUUAUAGUAUUUUACUUAUAAUUUUUGAAUUUCUAAAGUUUAAUUUUAAAAUAUUGAAAUGAUCUAAUCAAAUUUAGUUCUCAAUUAGUUAUUUCACUAUCGAGAAACAAAACAUGACAAUUGUUCUGAGAUUGAAUGAGCAUGUGACUAUUUCAUGAAUAAAAAUAGUUAUUAUAGACCAAAAAGGUUCCACAAAAGUCAGGCCAUAGUAAUUACUCUACAAAUCCAUUUUUUUCACACUAUGCUAGUAAAUAAUAGAACCAAGAAAGUUUACUCACAAGUUAUUAUUCACAUUGCCUAUUAUUUUUGGAAUAUAUAUAAACCUCCUUACAUAUCAACAUAUAUUGUCAGUAGAGUGGGGGAGCUUUGCAUCAUGAAUUAUUAUAUACUUGUGUUGACAUCAAUUUUUGCUUUGAUUUUUCUCUAUACUCUAGCAAAAUUGUCCAGUAGGGGCACCAAAAAACUUCCACCAUGGCCAAUUAUUGGAAAUCUUCACUUGUUAGGUGCAAAACCCCAUGUAUCACUUGCCAAUCUUGCAAAAAAUUAUGGUCCAAUUAUGAGUUUAAAAAUAGGACAAAUAACAAUAGUGGUCAUUUCUUCAUCAAUCAUGGAAAAACAAGUCCUUAAAAAACAAGACUUAGCCUUUUCUACUAGAUUUAUUCCUAAUGUAGUUCAAACACAUUAGGAAUUCGCUUGUUUUUCGAAGAAAACAUUUUAGAUAGAAAAUAUUUUCCUUCAUACCAAAUCUAGUCUUUUUCUGACCUAAAGUUAGUCCUCUAAAGUCACUUGCAUUGGUUAAUGGACGAAAGUAAUUAAGAAACAAAAAUAAAUCAGAAUUAAUUCUUAGGCUUGAGCAAAAAUCAAUAAUAAAUAUCAUAUUUUUAAUGAAUAAUCAUGUACAAACUCAAUAUAAAUAGUUCUUCGUCUUUUUCUGACCUAAGAUUUUUUGUUUAAAAAAGGCUCAUUCAUGUCAUUAUUUGUUAACUAAAUGACAUAGAUGAGUCAAACUUUUAACGGAUGACAUAGAUGAACCUUUUGUCAAAGUUUGAUAAAAUAUUUGAGCCUUUACCCCUUGUAAAAAAUGAUUUAAUUAAUCAUGUGAGCGAAUCAUAACUGACCACAUGUAAAAAAUGAUUUUGCACAAUUGGAACUGCUUUUAGUUACCAAAAAAUAGCAUGGAUGAACUUUUUCCCAAACAGAAAUGACAUAGCUCAACCAAACUUUUAAUGGAUUACAUAGAUGAACUUUUUCUCAAAGUUCAAUGACAUAUUUGAGAUUUUUUACCGAGUAAUAACAAUAAGAGACAAACGUGCCACACACGUUUCCAAAGACUAGUAUAUAAAAAGAUGUAUUGUCCAACUUCCUUACAUAUCAACUUUGUGAAUAGUACUAACAAAGUGGAAGGAAAAGAGUGGGAGAGGUUUGCAUCAUGAAUUAUUUUAUACUUGUGUUGGUAUCAAUUUUUGCUUUGAUUUUCCUCUAUAAUCUAGCAAAAUUGUCCACCAAAAAACUUCCACCAGGUCCAUCACCAUGGCCAAUUAUUGGAAAUAUUCACUUGUUAGGUGCAAAACCUCAUGUAUCACUAGCCAAUCUUGCAAAAAAAUAUGGUCCAAUUAUGAGUUUAAAGUUAGGACAAAUAACAACAGUGGUCAUUUCUUCAUCACCCAUUGCAAAACAAGUCCUUAAAACUCAAGAUCAAGCAUUUUCAUCUAGAUCUGUUCCUAAUGCUCUUCAAGCACACAACCAUUACAAAUUUUCUGUGGCAUGGCUUCCUGUUUGUCCUCAAUGGCGAAUGCUUCGCAGAAUAUUGAACACUAACCUCCUCUCUUCCAAUAGGGUUGAUGCAAAUCAACAUCUAAGGUCUCAAAAGGUGAAGGAAUUAAUUGCUUAUUGUGAAAAAUGUAGUCAACAAGGUGAAGCUGUGGAUGUAGGUCAAAUUGUUUUCAAGACUAAUCUCAAUUUAGUGUCAAACACCCUUUUCUCCAAGGAUUUGGUUGAUCUUUGUUCAGAUUUGAAGGUAGAAUUGAAUUAUAACAUGAUUGUUUAAAGUAUAACGUAUUAGUUGAGUAGAAAUUAAUGUUUUUAAAAAUUUGAAGCUUGAGUUGACAGACGCGAUCUUGAGCAUCGUUGAUGUUGCUGGGAAGAUCAACCUAGUGGAUUUUUUCCCUAUACUUGAAAAGAUUGAUCCUCAAAGAAUGAGGUAUCGCACAAACAUCUAUUUUGGUAAGUUGAAUAAACUCUUUGGUGAUAUGACCAAUGAGCGAUUGGAAGAAAAGAAAACGAACCAAAGUGAAAAGAGUGAUAUUUUACAAGUGCUUCUCAACUACAGUAUAGAAAAUCCCCAAGAGAUGGAUCAAAAUUAUGUGAAUUCCACGCUCCUGGUUCGUUCUCUUCUCUUCUCUUUUGAUACAUGGUUAAGAAGAAAUGAUGUGCUAGUUUGAAAUACUUUUUUAAGUUUAUUUGAGAGAAUUACCAAAUUUAAUUUACAGGACUUAUUUGUUGGUGGAAUCGAUACAAUUACAAGCACGUUAGAAUGGGCAAUGGCAGAAAUACUUAGACAACCAGAGAUUAUGAAGAAAGUCCAAGCUGAGCUUGCACAAGUCGUUGGAAAAGGAAAACCAAUAGAAGAGGCUGAUGUAUCCAGACUCGCUUACUUGCAAUUUAUCAUCAAAGAAACAUUAAGACUUCACCCACCAGCUCCAUUCUUAAUCCCCCGCAGGGUGGACCAAGAUGUUGAAUUGUGUGAUUAUAUCAUUCCAAAGGGUUCACUAGUACUAGUCAAUGCGUGGGCAAUUGGUCGUGAUUCUUCUUUUUGGGAAGACGCUUUAGUGUUCAAACCUGAGAGAUUUCGGAGUUUAGAAUUGGAUAUGCGUGGAAAAGAUUUUGAAUUGAUUCCAUUUGGUGCUGGCAGAAGAACAUGCCCUGGAUUUCCAUUGGCAUUGAGAUUGAUGCCAGCAAUAUUGGGCUCGAUGUUGAAUUCAUUCAAUUGGAAACUUGAGGCAUGCAUUGAGCCAAAAGACUUAGACAUGGAGGAGAAAUUUGGUGUCGUCUUAGUCAAAGCCCAUCCUUUGCGAGCUAUCCCAUCUCCUCUUUGAAAUUGCGCACACUUCAUAAUAAAUACUUAUCUAGUAUCGGUUUUCUUAUUAUGUCCACAAUCACCAAUUACCACUCUAUGCACCAUCACUUUAUCCACAAUCACCACCCACUACCAUCAAUGACGUAACCUUUUGCCAUAUAUAAUAAUAUAUUGAAAUCAUAAUUACUCAAAGGUGUUUACGACUUGUUCAUAUAUACCUUAUUUGAAAUAAAAUGUUUUCAUUUCUUGAUUGAUUGAUUGAUUAUUUCUCUCCGUAAGUAUUUUUUUUUUCAAAUUUUGUUUGGUCACAAAAAAUUGAAUGGUUAUUCUCCUCCGAACUCGUUUAAAAAAGAGAUAAGAAUAAUUUAAUCAAAUUAAAUACUCUUUAAUGAUAAAAAUAUUCCGAUAAUUUUAUUACUUAAUUUGAUUACUCAUAAUACAUUGAGCGGAGACAAAAGCAUGCAAUUUUUUUUUCUAAAUCCAACACCUAAUAAAUAAACUAAACAAAAGAAUUAACAUUAACUAGCACCCAAUAAUUGAAUAUAUUAUUUUGUUGACUUGCUUUCAAUUUUCGUGUAAAUGUCGGGCUAAUAGCUUUACUUAUUUGACUUUUAUCGAAUGGAAAAGUCAGUUUUUAAAUAUAGUAGUAAUAUGGUCAAUAUUGCUAAGAACGCAAGAGUGUGAUUUAACGAUCAAUAAUUAAAGUUGAUAAAAUAGUAGAACAUCAUAUUCAAAUUACAACUAGACAAAAAACUUAUUAACAAUUUCUUGCUAUUUAUUUGAGCUUCGGUGGACAAACUUAUUCUAUUCUUAUACGGGUGAAAGAUAACAUAUUAUAUUGGUGUUUUUUAUCAAGACAAACAAAAACUAAGCCAAAAUUUUGAGUUUAUAGGUUUUGAAUUCUGAAAAAGAUGAUUUACUUAUUUCCUAAUAAAUUGUUUAUACAUAUUAGAUGAAUUUUCUUAAAACAUAAAUACAAGGUGUUAGAUCAAAUCUACAGAAUUCUGCUAACUCGUAAGUGAAACUCUAACUCCGCCUCUUGGCCCCUGCACACAAAUAUCUAUGUCAUGUUACCACAAAUUCAACUAUCACUCUUUUAAUUUCUUAAACUUUCUGUCUAGUCAAACCAAUCCAAUUUAAAUUCUAAAUCCGUGUCCCUCAACUCCAUAUAUAUAUACCUCAACAUCUUCAUCCUAGUCACACAUACAACUCUGUUUCUCUGUUUUUUUCCCUCUUUCAUUCAUCAAUGGCUGCAGAAGGAAUUAAAAAAGUGCCAAGAAUGAAGAUGGGCUCACAAGGCCUUGAAGUAUCAGCUCAAGGGCUGGGCUGUAUGGGUAUGUCUGCAUUUUAUGGGCCCCCAAAACCUGAUGAUGAAAUGAUCAAACUUAUUCACCAUUCCAUUAAUUCUGGUAUCACUUUUCUUGAUACUUCAGAUAUAUAUGGGCCUUACACAAAUGAAAUUCUCAUAGGGAAGGUAUGUUACCGUACGAAUUUAGUCAGUUCCUAAAAGAAUGAGUCUGAAUAUGCCAUAACAUUUGUGUGCUCAUUAAAGGUAAAAUGAGAUGUUCGCGUAAAAUAAUUUCCAAACUCAGAAAGAUGCCAAUUUAUUUUUAAGUAUGAACAAAUGAGAAAAUAGUGUCAUUCUUUUUUAAAUCGAGGGAGUGUAUAUAAGGGAUCUUACACAUAUCGGUAGUUUUUAUCUUAGAAAACAACCUCUCUUUGUUAUUCCAAUUUUCUUCAACAAAGAAAGUGACUUCUGAGAUAAUAAUAAUUAGUUGAGUCAAAGAAAGUGACUUCCGAGAUAAUAAUAAUUAGUUGAGUGACCAUUUGAGAUAUCAUUGUAAAUUCAGACUUAUAAUCAUACUGUUUACUAAAGUACAUGAUUUGAGAGUUGUAAAGAUCAUUGUAAUCAACGUGAACAUAAUAUCUGUCUUUAAUUUGUUUCAUAAACUUGUUGAUUAACGUUAAUUGUAUAAUCGCGAUAGGCUUUGAAGGGAGAGACGAGAGAACGAGUUGAGUUGGCAACAAAGUUUGGAAUUAAUGCUUCUGCAGAUGGAAAAAUAGAAAUAAUUGGAGAUCCCUGCUAUGUUAGAGCUUCAUGUGAAGCCAGCUUAAAGCGACUUGAUGUUAACUGCAUCGAUUUAUACUAUCAACAUCGGAUCGAUACACGUGUGCCAAUUGAAAUCACAGUAAGUUAUAUACAUCAUCAGUAUAAGUUACGAUAACAAGUUUGUUAGUACUCUAUCUUUAUCAGGUUACCAAUAAAAAAUUUCAAUAUUUAUUGGUCAUGUUGUGAAGAGCUAUGUUGCUCGGACUCUCCAAAAAUGCAUAGGUUUUGGAGUAUCUGACAAACACUAGGCAUUAUUUUUGAAGAGUCCGAGCAACUUAGAUGAAUAGAGGACGAAAAUCCUGUUUUUCGUCCCCUGUUAUGAAGCAAUGAAUCUGAGUUUUCAUGGAUCAAACUUGUUGUUCGCGAUGUAUUAAUUAUCCUUUUAUAAUUUGCUUUUUGUUUUCAAGAUGGGAGAACUUAAGAAGCUAGUCGAAGAGGGUAAAAUAAGAUACAUAGGUCUCUCUGAGGCUUCAGGCUCGACGAUCAGGAGAGCACACGAAGUUCAUCCAAUAACAGCAGUACAGUUAGAAUGGUCCCUAUGGUCGAGAGAUGUAGAGGAAGAAAUAAUUCCUAUUUGCAGGUUUAUAACAUUCAUCCAUUUAAUAUUCGUUUAACGUCUAAAAGCAUAGUUUUUAAGUCCUUAAUACAACAUUAAUCGUCAUGACUAAAAUUGAUUUUUUUAGGGAGCUUGGAAUUGGAAUUGUAGCAUAUAGUCCCUUAGGUAAAGGGUUUUUGUCAUCAGGUCCAAAGCUGCUCGAGGAUCUGUCAAAUGAAGACUUUCGGAAGGUUUGCACUAUUUGUUGAACUGCGCGAUCAUUUCAUCUAAAAUUUGGAUUUAGAUUGUUAUAAAAAAUGAUCUUGUAUAAAUACUGUAUAUUGAUUUUGCAGCAUAUACCAAGGUUUCAAGCUGAGAAUCUCGAGCAUAACAAGAUCUUAUACAAGAGAAUUUGUCAAAUGGCAACGAAGAAGGGAUGUACGCCAUCUCAACUAGCCUUAGCCUGGGUACAUCACCAAGGAAAUGACGUGUUCCCCAUCCCAGGUACCAGAGACAGGUUCAUGAUUUAAAUUUGACAAGUUCAAAUUUUUAGAUUGAUUUGUGAUGAAAAUACCGGAUUCAGUUGAACUGAUUGGCUAUAUGCUACAUUUGCCAUUGUCAGGUACUACUAAGAUCAAAAACCUCGAACAGAACAUCGAAGCUCUGUACAUUAAGUUAACAAAUGAAGACAUGGUGGAGCUUGAAUCCAUUGCUUCAGCUGAUGCAGUGAAAGGUGAAAGAGAUGCUUCUAGUGCAAGUACUUAUAAAAACUCUGAUACUCCACUUUUGUCAACUUGGAAUGCUGCGCGAUAAAAUUUCGCGUAGUUUCUUAGUUAAGGUGUCUUGAUAUAUACUCGUGUUGAAAAUAGUUAACUUAAAUGUUAAAAUUAUAUAGAUGAUUUAGCAUCUAUGUUUAUUUGUAUUUUGUGUUAGUGAAAUGUGAGUCUUUUUGUAAGUCAAUGUUCAUUAUUUACUCAUACAAUAAUAUUAAUCUUCACAUUAUAGUUCUAGUAUAACUUGUUCACAAAUCAAACACCCUUUAUUCCUUAAAUAUAUUUAUAAUAAUGAGCGACUUGUAAAUUAAUAUCUAUGAAACAAAACAUCAUACAUCGUGGUACCAUUUGCGUGUGUUGUGUGAGGGACGAAAAAAUAAAAUUCUCCGUCAAAUAGGAGAGGGGAUAGCUCGCAAAGGACGGUCUUUGGUUAAAACCAUACCAAAUUUCUACCAUCCCAAUAUACUUGUCACAUUUUUGAAGAGUCAAACAAAAUAAACUUUGAGCAAUAAUUUAAAAUAUAUAUUUUUUCACAUUAUUGAUAUGAGAGAAGAAUUAAUUGUAUGAUCUAAUAGUACUUUUUGUAUAACUUCUGAAUAUUUAAAUUUUAAUAAAUAAAUAUUGAAUGAAUCUAAUCAGAUUUAACUUUCAAUUAGUCAAAUUAGCUACUGAAAAGUAAAACGUGACAACUAUCUUAAGAUCGAAGGAGUAAUAUAUAUGAGCAUGAAAACAAUUUGCAUAAUUUAUUUCAACAAAAGUUAGGCCCUAGUAAUUACUCUACCCAUCCAUUUUCACGGUAUAGACCAAGAAAUUUACUCAAAAUUAAAGAAUACAUAGCACGUAUUGCCUUGCUACGUAGUUUUUCCGAUCAGGUUUUUUGUAUUGCUUUAUGUGAAGAAGUUGCCAUUAAAUGCUAAUAAUUUAAUGAAAAGUCAAUACACAAAAUUUGUAUUGAUCAUGAUAUGCUAAAAAUGAAAAGUCAAUACAAAAUUAAGUUGCCAUUAAAUACUUUCUAUAAAAUAACCAAAGAGAGAAUUUUCUAUUAAUUAAUAAGACUAAAAUCUUCCAACAAAUAAUACCCUUAAAAGUAAUAUACGUGCAAUACACAAAUCAAAUGAAUAUAUAUGCACACUUGGCAACUUCUUUAAACAUCAACUUUGGAAUAGUAUCAGUUAGAUGAAAGAGUGAUGGAUUAUUAUAUACUUGUGUUUGUAUCAAUUUUUGCUAUGAUUUUUCUUUAUAUUAUAGCAAAAAUAAGCACCAAAGGGAGCAAAAAACUUCCACCAGGUCCAUCACCAUGGCCAAUUAUUGGCAACUUUCAUUUGUUAGGUGCAAAACCUCAUAUAUCACUAGCCAAUCUUGCAAAAAACUAUGGUCCAAUUAUGAGUUUAAAGUUAGGACAAAUAACAACAGUGGUUAUUUCUUCUUCAAACAUUGCAAAACAAGUCCUCAAAUAUCAAGAUCAAGUCUUUUCAAGUAGAUUUAUUCCUAAUGUUGUUCAAGCACACAACUAUUCCAAAUUCUCGGUGGUAUGGCUUCAUGUUUGUCCUCAAUGGCGAAUGCUUCGAAGAAUAUUGAAUACAAAAAUGGUCUCACCUAAUAGUCUUGAUGCAAAUCAACAUCUAAGAUCUCAAAAGGUGAAAGAAUUGAUUGAUUAUUGUGAAAAAUGUAGUCUACAAGGUGAAGCUUUGGAUGUAAGUCAAGUUGCUUUCAAGACUAUUCUCAAUUUGUUGUCAAACACCCUUUUCUCCAAGGACUUGGCUAACCCUUUUUCAGAUUCAAAGGUAGAGUUUGAACAAUGCAUUUGAUAUAAUAAAAUGUUGAUAUACAUCUUUAUGACAUACGUUUUUAAAAAAAUUUAAAAGGUUGAUGAGUUGAAGGAUGUUAUCUGACGCAUCAUGAAUGAGGUUGGAAAGAUCAACCUAGUGGAUUUUUUCCCCAUACUUGAAAAGAAUGAUUUUCAAGUAAUAAGGUGUCGUGCAACCAUUCAUAUUGGUAAAUUGUUUGAACUUUUUGAUGGGUGGAUCAAUGAGCGAUUGGAGGAAAAGAGAAGGGGAUGCUGUGAAAAGAGUGAUGUUCUGGAAGUGCUUCUCAACGCAGAAAAUACUGAAGAGAUCGAUCAGAAUCAUAUAAAAUCCAUGCUCCUGGUUCUCUCUUUUAUCCUAUUUUAACAUUUUAACAAGACUCAACUAAUCCUAUCUCCUCGAGGCAAAAGAAUAAUAAUAUAAAGAAUUAGUUCACAAUUACAACUUUUAUAUGUCAGUCCCAAGUAUCCUCCAAACUUAAAAGAAAAUUGUUUUCUAAAACAAACAAAUAAUGGAUUUUUCAAACCUAGUUAUAAGGACUAUUUUUCCCAAACCUAGUAUAUAAUAUGAUAUAGUUUUUUCUUGUAUUGGUAACUAGUUGUAUUCAAUGCAUGGUUAAUUGGGAGAAUUACAAAAUGUUACAAGACUCAUUUAUUGCUGGUAAUGAUACAACUACAAACACAUUAGAAUGGGCAAUGGCAGAAACGCUUAGACAACCAGAGAUUAUGAAAAAAGCCCAAGCUGAGCUUGCAGAAGUCGUUGGAAAAGGAAAAUCAAUAGAAGAAGAUGAUGUAUCCCGACUCCCAUACUUGCAAUUUAUCGUCAACAAAACACUAAGAAUGCAUCCACCAGCUCCAUUCUUAAUCCCACGCAGAGUAUGUUAUCUCCUAUAUUCACAGUUUUCAUGUUAGUCAAAAAUACAGAAACAGAAAAAAGAUGAAAUAGACAGAAUGAUUUUUAAUCCGAGUCCACAGAAAUCACUGUGUUUCCUUGAGAAAUUUAAUCCCCUCACUGUACCCGACGUUGUAGAUUAAUUCCUCCCAAGAUAAAACGGAUUAACCUGUUAAAGAAGUAGCGGUACCUCAAACUUCAAUAACUUCAGCGAACGCAAGAACAGCAACAAGAUCACACACAGAGUCAGUCGAUCGACAAUUUUAUUUAUGUAAGAAAAUGUAUGCAGAGAGGAAAUUUUUUUCAGUGUUAUGAAAAAACAAAAAGGCCUCUUAUUUAUAGCCAUUUGUAGCAAGGAACGCGUCUGUUCAGACCCAUUUUUUCCAGAACGUUGUGUCCUUUGGGAAAAGUAACGACUUUUCGGAAGGAUUAUCGUUUGGGAAAAGUAACGACUUUUCGGAAGGAUUAUCGUUUGGGAAAAGUAACGACUUUUCGGAAGGAUUACCGUUACUCAUGAAUUUCAAAUAAAUUCAGUUGCGCCAAAUUAAUUCUGUUAUUUAAUUAACAACAUUCUGAAUUAAUUUAUAAGAGAAAGGAAAUGAUUUAACAAGAUUGAUUAAAUAAAUUUUGUCCAAAAAUAUUAUCAAUCAAUCAUUUGCCAAAUCCGAAGCCGAAGCCGAGGCCGAGCGAGCGACGACGACAACGCGAGGGGCACCUUCUUCUUAACCCUUUAAGAACUAAAGGAAGUGUUUCCUAAUAUAAGGACAACAAUUUCCUUUCUUCUACCAAUAUGGUAAAAAUGACCUUUCAUUUGCACUUUUGCAAUGACUUUUCAUUUUCCCUCCAAAAUUGGUUCCCCCACCUUGCUAAACCCAACAGAGUAGACCAUGAUGUUAAAUUGUUUGACUAUAUCAUUCCAAAGGGUUCAUUGGUACUAGUCAACGUGUGGGCAAUUGGUCGUGAUUCUACUUUUUGGGAGGAACCUUUAAACCAGAGAGAUUCCAGAGUUUAGAAUUGGAUGUGCGAGGAAAAGAUUUUGAAUUGAUUCCAUUUGGUGUUGGUCGAAGAAUAUGUCCUGGCUUGCCAUUUGCAUUGAGAAUGGUUCAGGUUAUGUUGGGCUCAAUGUUGAAUUCGUUCAAUUGGAAACUUGAGGCAGGCAUUGACCCAAAAGACCUAGACAUGGAUGAGCAAUUUGGUUUCAUCACACCCAAAGCUCAUCCUUUACGAGUUAUCCCAUCUCCUCUUUGAUGUUAUCAGUUGGUUGGUAAGUACUUAUCCAUACUUGAAUUUACACCAAAUCAUAAAUAUCUGAUAUCAGAAUAAAUGUAACAUUGUUCAAAUUUUGAAGACACCUAUGUAUAUGGAUUCUUAUAAAAGAAAAUUAACCGAUGCAUUACUCCAUCUUCUUUUGAUGCAUUUUAUCUUGAUGAUAGUGAGGAUAAAGUAGAUGAUAAAAAAGAAGCACAAACCAGGAGCAAGGAUUUGAUGUGAUUUUGAUCAAUUUCUUCAGAAUUUUCUUCUUGAAUUUUGAGAAACAUUUCCAAAAUAUUAUUCUUUUCAAUACCGUCACUUAGGGGUGUACAAAAUUGAACCGAAAACCGAAUCAAACCGCAAAUUGAGUCAAACCGAAAAAAAAAACCCGACUAGUGGUUUGGUAUUGGAAAAAAAAACCCGACUAUAUUUGGGUUGGUUUGAUUUUAACUAAAAAAAACCAACCCGAGACCAAACCAACCCGACAUUAUAUAUGUANNNNNNNNNNNNNNNNNNNNNNNNNNNNNNNNNNNNNNNNNNNNNNNNNNNNNNNNNNNNNNNNNNNNNNNNNNNNNNNNNNNNNNNNNNNNNNNNNNNNNNNNNNNNNNNNNNNNNNNNNNNNNNNNNNNNNNNNNNNNNNNNNNNNNNNNNNNNNNNNNNNNNNNNNNNNNNNUAAAUAUUUAAUAAUGUAACUAAUACUUAUUAAAUUUAUUUUAGCAUGAUUUAGUACUUUUAAAUUAUGAUCAUUUUCAUUAUGACUUUGCAAUAUUUAUUUUAUAUGACGAUUUCAUUAUUAUUUUUUAUUGAAUAUUUUAGUGUCAUCAGUACUCAUCUCAUAUUUUAUGUUAUUUUCUUAAGAAACACCUUCGAUAAUUGUAUUUUGGUUGGACUAAAGAAAUAUUUGGAGCUAUGCAAACUUAACCGAAAAAUUCCAAAAAUCUGAAAAAAAAUCCGAGGUUUAUUAGUUUGGUUUGAUUUAUAAAUUUAAAAAUUCGACACAAUGGUUUGGUUUGGUAUUUGAAAAACCCGAACCAACCCGAGGUUGAAAAACCCGAAAAAAUUCGAAUUUUAUUAGUUUGGUUUGGUUUAUAAAUUAAAUUUUUUUACAAAAAUGGUUUGGUUUGAUAUUGGAAAAACUUGAACCAACCCGGUCAUGUACACCCCUACCAUCACUUAUUCUCUUUUCCUCGAAUCCUCAUUGAUCAAAUCAUCAAAAAGCACAAAUAACUUGGUAAAAUAAAUGUAUAUAGGCGGAGCCAAGGCUAGGAGUUUGGGGGUUCUAAAUCAAUUUUGUUUGGGGGUUCACAUGUUAAUAUACAUAUAUUGAUUUAAUUUUCUAAUACAAAUAUAGGGUCUAUGAAAAAGCUAGUGGGUUCGUUCGAAUCCAUGAACCCCCACCUAGUGGGACCCACGUCACCGAGAAUUUAACAUUAAUAAAGAUUGUUAAAGUCUUUACUGGCAUUGGUUAAGUGUCAUUAGAUCCAAUGUCGCUAAAGGCUUUAGAGACAUAUACAAAGAGUGUUAAUUGCCGCUAAAAAUACAUAUUUAGCGGCAAUUGAGCUAUUAUCAUCAAUUAAUUGCCGCUAGAGAUAUUUUUUAUGUAGUGAUUAGGGAUAAAUUUAUUGGAAAAUAUUUGGUCUUGGUUUUGUAGGACUUGUUUUGCCAUGGUUGAUGAGAGUUGUUAUGUGCCCUAAUUUUAAACUCAUAUAUAAUUGGACCAUAGUUUUUGGCUAGAUUGACUAGUGAUAUAAUAUAUAUCAUAUAUGGGGUUUUGCACCUAACAAGUGAAAUAAAUUGCCAAUAAUUGGCAAUUGUAGUGGUCCUGGUGGAAGCUUUUUAUUACUUCUUUUUGAUAUAAAAUGAAGUAAAAUGCUAGCAAAAAUUGAACCUAACACAAGUGUAAAAUAAUCCAUAGUACUCUUCUAUUUCAUUCAACUUCAACACUCUUAUUAAUGUAAGAAAUAUGCAACUCAAAUGCUUAUUACUUAUAUAUGUUUUGUCAAGGACCAAACGUAAAAAAUUCAAACAUAUAUCUUAAAAAAUGUUAAUGGUAAAAAACACCAACUAUCAUUUUUUCGCCAGUGGCAUACUCCAAUUAUCACAUGAUUCUUUUUUCCUUCCUGAAUUAUUAUCAUUAUGUAUUGAAACAUACCUCGAAGCUGACUAGAUCAACUAUUCGUUGUUCUCUUUUUUCUAUCCCAACUAUCGCUAUUUACUCAAUUAGGUGUGUUUCAUUACAAAAAUAGUGAUAAUUCAAAUAGAAAAAAGGGAUCUGAUUAUUAAAGUAUGAAACUCGUAGAAAUUAAAGUGAUAGUCUAGAUGCAUUUUUAACCAUUGUCUCUCUUUUUACUAUACAAAAAUUAAAAUUCAAACACAUUUUUGAAGAACGUGUGCAAUUCAAAGACCAUAAUUUCUGUUGUGAAAAUAUUAGUUACUUUUUAAUUAAUUACUAUCAUUUUUUAUUAUUCAAACUUAGGACUAUAGUCAAGAAAUUCAUUUAGAAUUAUCUUAUUCUUUCAAGUUUUUCAAGAGUUAAACUAAAUAAACUUUGAUCAAUAAUUUAGAAUUAAUUAUGUUUUGAUCAUCAUAUUGAUCUUAUGAGAAGCAUUGCAACUUAUAGUAUUUUACUUACAAUUUUUAAAUUUCUAAAGUUUAAUUUGAAAAUAUUGAAAUGAUCUGAUCAAAUUUAGCUCUCAAUUAGUUAAAUUCACGGUCGAGAAACAAACGUGACAACUGUUUUGAGAUCGAAUGAGCAUGUGACUAUUUCAUGAAUAAAAAUAGUUAUUAUAGACCAAAAAGGUUCCACAAAAGUCAGGCAUUAGUAAUUACUCUACACGUCCAUUUCCACACUAUGCUAGUAAAUAAAAUAGAACCAAGAAAAUUUACUCACAAGUUAUUAUUAUUCACAUUGCCUAUUAUUUUGGAAUAUAUAUAAACUUCCUUACAUAUCAAGUAUCAACAUAUAUUGUCAAUAGAGUGGGGGAGCUUUAGUUGGCAUCAUGAAUUAUUAUAUACUUGUGUUGACAUCAAUUUUUGCUUUGAUUUUUCUAGCAAAAUUGUCCAGUAGGGGCACCAAAAAACUUCCACCAGGUCCAUCACCAUGGCCAAUUAUUGGAAAUCUUCACUUAUUAGGUGCAAAACCUCAUGAAUCACUAGCCAAUCUUGCAAAAACUUAUGGUCCAAUUAUGAGUUUAAAAAUAGGACAAAUGAGAAUAGUGGUUAUUUCUUCAUCGAUCAUGGCAAAACAAGUCCUUCAAAAACAAGACUUAGACUUUUCAAGUAGAUUUAUUCCUAAGGUAGUUCAAGCACAAAACUAUUGGGAUUUUUCUGUGGUAUGGCUUCCUGUUUGUCCUCAAUGGAGAACAAUUAAGAGAAUUUUGAACACAAAUAUCUUUUCUUACAAAAGGCUUGAUGCAAAUCAACAUCUAAGGUCUCAAAAAGUGAAAGAAUUGAUUGCUUAUUGUGAAAAAUGUAGUCAACAAGGUGAAGCUUUGAAUGUAGGUCAUGUUGCUUUCAAGACUAUUAUCAAUAUGUUGUCAAACACCCUUUUCUCUAAGGACUUGGUUGACCAUUUAUCGAAUUCUAAGGUACAGCGCCCCACCCUUUGUUUUGAUUUUUUCUUUCGUAUUGAAUGAUGGAUGCAUUAGAUAUAUAACUAUUUUCAAAAUUUAAAGGUCGAGUUGAAGGACGCGAUCUUUGGCAUCAUACAUGAGGCUGGUAAGAUCAACCUAGUGGAUUUUUUUCCCAUACUAGAAAAGAUUGAUCCUCAAAGAAUAAGGUAUCACGCAAACAUCUAUUUUGAUAAGUUGUCUAAGCUUUUUGAUGAUUUGAUAAAUGAGAGACUGGAGGAAAAGAAAAUGAACCAUGAUGAAAAGAGUGAUGUUUUGGAAGCGGUUCUCAACCACAGUGCACAAAAUCCCAAAGAGAUCGAUCAAAAUCAUAUAAAAUCCAUGUUCCUAGUUCGUGCUCUUCUCUUUUAUUCUUUUAAUUAUUAAAUAUGCUAGUUAUUUAAAAUGAUUUUUAAAGUUUAUCUGAGAGAAUUAUAAAACGUUACAGGACUUAAUUGUUGGUGGUACUGAUACAUCUACAAUUACAUUAGAAUGGGCAAUGGCAGAAAUACUAAGACAACCAGAGAUUAUGAAGAAAGCCCAAGCUGAGCUUGCACAAGUCAUUGGAAAAGGAAAACCAAUAGAGGAAGUUGAUGUAUCCCGACUCCCUUACUUGCAAUUUAUCGUCAAAGAAACAUUAAGAAUGCACCCACCAUCUCCAUUCUUAGUCCCCCGCAGAGUAGACCAGGAUGUUGAAUUGUGUGACUAUAUCAUCCCCAAGGGUUCACUAGUACUAGUGAACGCAUGGGCAAUUGGUCGAGAUUCUACUUUUUGGGAGGACCCUUUGGUAUUUAAACCUGAGAGAUUCCAGAGUUUAGAAUUAGAUGUGCGAGGAAAAGAUUUUGAAUUUAUUCCAUUUGGUGCUGGUCGAAGAAUAUGCCCUGGCUUGCCACUUGCAUUGAGAAUGGUCCCGGUAAUGUUGGGCUCGAUGUUGAAUUCGUUCAAUUGGAAACUUGAGUCUGGCAUUGAGCCAAAAGAUUUAGACAUGAAUGAGAAAUUUGGUUUCAUCACACCCAAAGCUCAUCCAUUACUAGCUAUCCCAUCUCCUCUUUGAUGUUAUCGAUCGGUCAAUAAAUACUUAUCCAUAUUCGAGUUUACACCAAAUCAUAUAUGAUGUAAACAUUGAGUAAGUGUAAGUUUUAUCAUUUUUUUUAAAACCAUCUAUAGGAGAAUAAAAGUAAGAAGAUCAUGAUGCUCAGAAUAAAUAUUGUAACACUGUUCAAAUUUCGAAGACACCUAUAUACAUAUGUAUUCUUAUAAAAGAAUAAUAAUAAGUCUUUGCAACGAUGAAUUAUCUAUCUUUUUUUUACCAGUGUUGAAGUAUGUGCCAAACAAAUAGGAAAUGGUCAUUCGGAUAAAUAUACCUUAUUACUCAAUUUCGUUGUUUCUGUUAGCUCAAUUUAAUUAAAUACACUAUAGCUAUUCACUCAACCUGACUGAAUGCUCAAUUUUGCUGAUCGAAUAUACUGAUUUUAGGACAAAUCGUCCUAUAUCAAUAUAUUUUCAACCUUUUUGAGUAUAUAUACGCACCAAAUAUCUUCCAUCAGAUAUCUCUAAAGUUCAAUUUUCUAAUAGCAUUAUUGGUGAUUUGAUUUGUUCAUUAUUGGUUUUCUGAGUAAUAAGAAAUAUUAUUAAUGAUUUGACUUAUCCCUUACUAACACACACAUUGGAAUUUGGAUUCCUCUACUUUCUUAAAUAUUAUUAUUAUUAUUGACAAAAGAGGAAAAUAUACUUGUGUGAGAGAAUGGAUUCCUCUAUACUUGUGUUUUGGUCAAUUUUUGCCUUGAGUUUGCUUUGUAUUAUAGCAAAUAUAUGCAAAGGAGACAAUAAACAACUUCCACCAGCUCCAUUCUUAAUCCCACGCAUAGUAGACCAUGAUGUUAAAUUGUUUGACUAUAUCAUCCCAAAGGGUUCAUUGGUACUAGUCAACGCGUGGGCGAUUGGUCGAGAUUCUACUUUUUGGGAGGAACCUUUGAUAUUUAAACCUUAGAGAUUCCAGAGUUUAGAAUUGGAUGUGCGAGGAAAAGAUUUUGAAUUGAUUCCAUUUGGUGCUGGUCGAAGAAUAUGUCCUGGCUUACCACUUGCAUUGAGAAUGGUUCAGUUAUGUUGGGCUCGAUGUUGAUCAGUUCAUUCAAUUGGAAACUUGAGGCGGGCAUUGACCCAAAAGACCUAGACAUGGAUGAGAAAUUUGGUUUCAUCACACCCAAAGCUCAUCCUUUACAAGUUAUCCCAUCUCCUCUUUGAUGUUGCCAGUUGGUAAUUGGUAAGUACUUAUCCAUACUCGAAUUUACACCAAAUCAUAUAACUGACAUUAAUUCACUGUUGGUAUGAUAUAAAUACUGAGUGCACGUGAGUUUUACCUCGUCCGGCCUAUAUGAUUCUGAAUAAAUGUAACAUUGUUCAAAUUUUGAAGACACCUAUGUAUAUGGAUUCUCAUAAAAGAAUAACAAUUAGUCUUUGCAAUAAUGAAUUUUCGAUGUUAAUAGGUCAUGUUGUGAAGAGCUAUGUAGCUCGGGCCCUCCAAAAACACUAGGCUGUAUUUUUGAAGAGUCUGAGCAACUUAGGUGAAGAGAGGAUUAGAAUGUUUUUGUUUGGUUCUUUCGAUUAAGUUUAACCAAAUGCCCCUUAUUCCUUAUAGUAAAUAGCAAAUCACUACAUGAAACAAUACUCAAAUAAUGAGUACUAACAUCGUAUGAAACAAAACAUCAUAUGUCCAAGGUACCAUUUGCGUCUUAUUGUGUGAGGGACGAAAAAAAAAUAUUCUCCGUCAAAUAGGAGAGGGAAUAGCUCGCAAAGGACGGGCUUUGGCUAAAGUGAUACCGAAUUUCUCCUCCAUGUCUAAUUCUUUUGAUGUACUAGUGCCUUCUUCAAGUUUCCAAUUGAAAGAAUUCAAGAGUGAACCCAACAUUACUGGAACCAUUCUCAAUGUUGCUAGUGGUAAUUCAGGGCAUAUUCUUUGACCAACACCAAAUGAAAUUAAUUAAAAAUCUUUUCCUCGUACUUCGACUUCUUUAUCCAAGAACCUCUCAGGUCUAAACACCAAAGGAUCUUCCCACGAAACUGGGAUCUCGAUCAUUUGUCCACACAUUAACUAGUACCUAUAUGAGCAUUAGUGUCAAAUUUAGCUCAUGUGUUGAAAUUACAUAUGCAGAAUUUGAUGCUUUAUGAUAAUGACUAUAUUUCAAUCAUCAAGAUGGAAAGGGGGCUAUUUAUAAAUCUCAACAUAUGUAGUAUUUAGUCUGAGUAGCAUGAUUGAAGCUUCUUAGCACUUAACUAUCCCACUACCUAAAAGUAAGCUUUUUGCUAUUUUCCUUUUACUUAACUUGGAUGGAAAUCAAUUAGUAUUUUGAUGAUUUAUUUUUAUCAUUAAAUAUUUGAUAAUAUUAUUCAAGUAUAUAUUUAGUCGGAGCAAUAAUACGAAGUUAAAAUACGUAAUUGUAAAGAGAAAUUGAUCUUCAUGAGUUGUAAGUUCAUAUCCUCAUCUCUUGUGUUCCCUUUUUCUUUAUUGGUGCUUGAUAUAUUUAUUGAAGUUUCGAUUAACUUAGAUUCACGCCGAAUAAAUUUUAUAUAUGUAUGGUUCUUUUAAUAUAGAAGAAAGAAAUCUUUGCAAGGAUGAAUAAUCCAUCUUUGUUCCAAAGUAUCUAUUAACUAGUUUCUAGAAAAUCACUGCACUUGCACUAUAUAUUACUUUUAUUUGACAAGGAACAUGAAAUGUUCACAUAACUGCCGGAAGCUAAAAGGAACAAAUAGUAAAUGUGAGAUAUGAGACAGUUGAGUUGUAAAUUGUGUUCAAAUAAUCUGUAUUUUAGUUCAAUAGGGAGAUGAAAGAUUUCUUUCAAUUAUAUGUAGUUAGAUUAAUGACAAGAAUUUAUUUUUAAUAAUGUUAAUUAAAAUGAUGACUCAACUUUUAACUAUUUAAUAUUUUAUAAUAUUUUUAUUUAGUGUAGGGGUAAAAUGGUAAUCCAACUUUAGACUUAGGGCCUUCCCUGUUUUGAGAUCGAUGAGCAUGUGACUAUUUCAUGGAUAAAAAUAGUUAUUAUAGACCAAAAAGGUUCCACAAAAGUCAGGCCUUAGUAAUUAGGAAUGGCAAUAGGGCGGAUUAGGGAGGGGCAAGCCUUGACCUAUCAAGAUUUUGACCCGCCCUACCUGCCCUGUUUAACAUUAUUUAAAAUUUUGCCCUGCCCUAACCCACCCCGCUAAGACCUGCCUCGCCCCAUUUAUGUUAUUUUCCAUUUUUCUUAUUUAUUUUUUUACUUUUAAGAAUGAAUUUUUGUUUAACUUCUUUUGAUAAACCUUUUAAGUUUUAACACUAGUACUGCAAUUGUUUUACAAAUGUCUACUAAGAUUAUUAUUUUUCACCAAAAACUUUAUUUGCUGGUCAUAAUUAAUUAUAGUUUAUCAAAUUAAAUAGAUUCAUAAUAAAAAAUAUACCAAACAGUUUCAUAGCGUUGUGACUUUGACACUUGCUGCAUUGGAAUAUAUUCCAAAAGCUAUACUUUUGGGUUGCCAAAUUUCAGAAAUACCUCUACUUUUUUAUAUUCUCGAGAAAACCACAAACAACCCGUUACCCGCCCUGCCCCGUUAUGUAUUUUAAAUAAAGGGAAAAGGGUCUGAUAUACCCCUCAACUUUAUUAGUUAAAAAAAAAUAAAAUACCCCUCAACUUUGCUAUUUGGGGUUGAUAUGCCCCUCGUUAUGAAAGUGGCUCAUAUAUACCCUUACCGUUAUACAAACGGCUCACAUAUACCCCUACCGUUACAAAAUGGGCUCACAUAUACCCUUCAUUUAACGGAAGUGAAAAAAAAUAGUUUUAAAGUUAUAUUUUUGACUUUUGAUUUUUUUUAAAAACUAUUUAGGGGUAUAUAUGAUUUUUCUAGCAAAUUUCAAGGUAUAUUUUAAUUUUUUCGGACAUAAUUAUUUUUUUGACUUUUUGAUUAUCAUUAUUUGAGUUUCUUAUUCUUGUUUUAUUUUUUCUUUCAUUCCUUAGUGUAAAAGAAAAAAAUUUAAAACUAUUUUUUUCGGAUAUAAUUUAGUUUUUGUAUUUUGAAAGAAAAAAAAUUGGGUCAUCUAUAAUAAAUUUUACAAGAAUAUUAACAAAACUUAAAUAAAUUUGACCAUCAAAAUAAUAAAUCUAAAUUAGUCAUUGAAACAAAAAAAGUUAAAAAUAAUAAUAUAUGUUUGAGGAAGAUUAAAUAUACCCAUAUGUGAUUAUAUUUUUUAAAAAUAAUUAAAAAAAUUAAACUAAAAUUAAUUUUUUCACUUUCGUUAGAGGAAAAUGGUAUAUGUGAGCCAUUUGUAUAACAUUAGGGGUAUAUAUGAGCCACUUUUAUAACGAGGGGUAUAUCAGCUCUAAAUGACAAAAUUGAAGGAUAUAGCAGACCCUUUUCCCUUAAAUAAAUAAUCUUUACCUGGCCCGCCCUAUAUAUAGUUAUUUCCCUGUCCUGCCCUAUUAAGGGUGUGCCCUGCCCUACCCCAACUGCCAUCCCUACAGUAGUAAUUACUCUACACAUCCAUUUCCACACUAUGCUAGUAAAUAUAUAAUAGAACCAAGAAAGUCAACUCACAAGUUAUUAUUAUUCAAAUUGCCUAUUAUUUUUGGAAUAUAUAUAAACUUCCUUACAUAUCAACAUUGUCAAUAGAGUGAAGGAGCUUUGCAUCAUGAAUUAUUAUAUACUUGUGUUGACAUUAAUUUUUCUCUAUACUCUAGCAAAAUUGUCCAGUAGAGGCAACAAAAAACUUCCACCAGGGCCAUCACCAUGGACAAUUAUUGGAAAUCUUCACUUGUUAGGUACAAAACCCCAUGUAUCACUAGCCAAUCUUGCAAAAAAAUAUGGUCCAAUUAUGAGAUUAAAAAUAGGACAAGCAACAAUAGUGGUCAUUUCUUCAUCAAACAUGGCAAAACAAGUUCUUAAAAAUCAAGACUUAGCCUUUUCUACUAGAUUUGUUCCUAAUGUAGUUCGAACACAAAACUAUUGUAAUUUUUCUGUGGUAUAUCUUCCUGUUUGUCCUCAAUGGAGAACAAUUAGGAGAAUUUGGAACACAAAUAUCUUUUCUUACAAUAGGCUUGAUGCAAAUCAACAUCUAAGGUCUCAAAAAGUGAAAGAAUUGAUUGCUUAUUGUGAAAAAUGUAGUCAACAAGGUGAAGCUUUGGACGUAGGUCAAGUUGCUUACACCACUGUUAUCAAUAUGUUGUCAAACACCCUUUUCUCCAAGGACUUGGUUGGCUAUUUAUCGGAUCCAAAGGUAGGAAUUGUUUUGAUUUUUUUCUUUUGUAUUGAAUGAUGCAUUACAUGUAACUAUUUUCAAAAUUUAAAGGUCGAGUUGAAGGACAUGCUCGUUGGCUUCAAACAUGUGGCUGGUAAGAUCAACCUAGCGGAUUUUUUUCCCAUACUAGAAAAGAUUGAUCCUCAAAGAAUAAGGUAUCACGGAAACAUCUAUAUUGGUAAGUUGUUUAAGCUUUUUGAUGAUUUGAUAAAUGAGCGACUGGAGGAAAAGAAAACCAACCAUGAUGAAAAGAGUGAUGUUUUGGAAGCGGUUCUCAACCACAGUGCACAAAAUCCCAAAGAGAUCGAUCAAAAUCAUAUAAAAUCCAUGUUCGUGGUUCGUGCUCUUCUCUUUUAUUCUCUUAAUUAUUAAAUAUGCUAGUUAGUUAAUUAAAAUGAUUUUUCAAGUUUAUCUAAGAGAAUUAUAAAACGUUACAGGACUUAAUUAUGGGUGGUACUGAUACAUCUACAAUUACAUUAGAAUGGGCAAUGACAGAAAUACUAAGACAACCAGAGAUUAUGAAGAAAGCCCAAGCUGAGCUUGCACAAAUCGUUGGAAAAGGAAAACCGAUAGAGGAAGUUGAUCUAUCCCGACUCCCUUACUUACAAUUUAUCAUCAAAGAAACAUUAAGAAUGCACCCACCAUCUCCAUUAUUAGUCCCCCGCAGAGUAGACCAGGAUGUUGAAUUGUGUGACUAUAUCAUCCCCAAGGGUUCACGAGUACUAGUAAACGUGUGGGCGAUUGGUCAAGAUUCUACUUUUUGGGAGGACCCUUUUGUGUUUAAACCUGAGAGAUUCCAGAGUUUAGAAUUAGAUCCGCGAGGAAAAGAUUUUGAAUUUAUUCCAUUUGGUGCUGGUCGAAGAAUAUGCCCUGGCUUGGCACUUGGAUUAAGAAUGGCCCCGGUAAUGUUGGGCUCGAUGUUGAAUUCGUUCAAUUGGAAACUUGAGUCUGGCAUUGAACCAGACAUGGAGGAGAAAUUUGAUCUCCUGAUCUUAACCAAAACUCAUCCUUUGCGAGCUAUCCCAUCUCCACUUUGAUAUGUCGGCCGGUCAAUAAAUACUUAUCCAUACUCGAGUUUACACCAAAUAAUAUAUCUGACAUUCACGGUUGGUAUGAUGUAAACAUUAAGUGCGAGUAAGUUUUAUCAUUUUCUUUAAACCAUAGGAGAAUAAAAGUAAGGAUAGAAUCAUGAUGAUUAUAAAAGAAUAAUAAUAAGACUUCGCAAGGAUGAAUUAUCUAUCUUUUUUACUACUGUUGAAGUAUAAACAUUUAAUUAUUACAGUCUGAAAUGUUAUUGAGAAAUUCUACUUUUUAUGCGAAAAUAAAUUUUGGAUAAAACAUGAAAGAGAACUCCAAUACAAUGUGUUGGAGCAUAUCUAUCACUCAAAUUCGAUGUAUAUGUUCGCUCAAUUUUGUUAUAUCUAUUUGCUCAAUUUAGUUAGAUACACUUAACAUCAUAUUUAUUAGCUUAAUCUAAUUGUAUCAACCCUUUCUUAAUUUUGUUGGCUAUACUGAUUUUAGGACAAAUAGAUUUGUAUACAACUUUUUUUCUUAUUUAUAAAAAUAACCAUUUGAAUUUCAUUACUUUGUUUAAAUUUUCUAUUUAUAUUAGCUAAAAUAAAUAGUAUUUUAACUAAGUUAGGAAGAUUUCCUUCCAAAAAUAAAAAUAAAAAUACAUAGUUAGAAACAAAUAAUCAUUUUAAAUAAAACUAAAAAAAGAAGAAGAUUAUAUUAAUUAUGUGAUAAUUACUAGUUGAAAAAUACCUACUUAAAAAAGUAACAAAAGAGAGUAAAUGGGAUUUAAUCACUUGACAAAAAGGAGUAAAGACCAACUCUCAAUUAAUGCAACACUCAAUCUCUUUUGAACAUGAGUGCCUUAAGAUAAUACUAGCAUAGGCGGACCCACAUGUAUAGGUGGGGUGCACGUGUAUAUAUAUGUUGACUUUAAAAAAAUCAUAUGUAUAUAUGUAUAUCUAUCUUGAGAAAUUGACAUAUAACUAAUCGUGUAACAAUGUAUCCAUAUAUAGAGAGCUCAGAAGUGUACCUUGGGUCACUGGUAGGGUGUCAAAAGAAUGUGAAAAAUCAAUCGAACCGAUUUAUGCUAUUUUUUCAAUAAAACUGUGGACUUUUAUUUAAGUUUAUAACCGUCCUGAAUAAUUGGAAUGGUCUUUUUAAUUAACGAAAAAAAUCAGAACUAUAUGUAAGGGCACUCUCAUCCAUUGGCUGCAAGGAAACAACUGGAUUGACUUUUCUAACUCUCUUUAAAAGAGACUGCUUUCAAAUUCACUUGCCCUAGAACCUGCUUUUUUUUAUAUUGAUCUAGAAUCAGCUAUUCCUAGUUUUUUUUAUUAUUCCUAGCCAGAAAAAUGAAACUAAUCUCGAGAUCCAGAAACCUAUCUAUACGCCUAGCCUUAAGCAAAAGAAAUCUCGUUAGCCCUAACCUUACAUGUAUGUAAAUGUAUUUUAUAUAUUAACAAUAUUAAAUUUAAUAUAUAUAAAUAUAUUUUAUAACAUUUUUCAAAUAUAAAUAUAACGUAGGUCCUAAAUCUCUAGUGACUAGACGACUUUGGAUCUCUACUCUUUAAUUAGUCUUUACUUAAUAAAGUUUAAAAUUAAAAGAUACACAAAUAUAUACUCUAUCAAACAAUACAACAAAAUCUAUUCAAACACUCCUAUUAAAUAUUUAAGAUCAAACAAUAAUACGGCAACCAUGUUUUACAUUCUUGUCUUUUUGAGGCGUUCUAUAUCCCGGUAAGUUAUAGGACAGUUCUGGCAGCGUGGGCGAGACGAUGUAUCAUCACAUAGCUCAUAGUGAUGGUUGUCGGUUAGAGAAACUACUACAUAAGUACAUUACUUUAUUAUAUAUACAUUGAGUUGUUAUCAUAUUUUUCAAUACAUUGAAUUUCUACCUACUGUUUAAAUGCUUUAUAUAAACUGCAUCUUUAUUGUUGUUUAUUUCUGCAUUGAGUCACUAGUGCUUUCCGUUCUAAGUUUUCUAAUUUUUAAAUGUAUGACACAUUAAGAUGGGGAGACUUUUAAAAAAAAAUGUAUUACACACCCACACACCUAUAUUAUCUGAUUCCUCUACACUUUGUAUUUGCAAAUAGCAUAUAAUGGAUUACUAUACACUUGUGUUUGGAUCAAUCUUUUCAUUGAUUUUUCUUUAUAUUCUAGCAAAAUUAUCCAGCAGAGGCACUAAAAAACUUCCACCAGGUCCAUCACCAUGGCCAAUUAUUGGAAAUCUUCACGUGUUAGGUGCAAAACCCCAUACAUCACUAGCCAAUCUUGCAAAAAAAUAUGGUCCAAUUAUGAGUUUAAAACUAGGACAAAUAACAAUAGUGAUCAUUUCUUCAUCAACCAUUGCAAAACAAGUCCUCAAAAUUCAAGAUCAAGCUUUUUCAACAUAUAGAUUUAUUCCUAAUGCCAUUCAAGCACACAACUAUUGCAAAUUCUCUGUGGCAUUUCUUCCUGUAUGUCCUCAAUGGCGGACGCUUAAGCGAAUAUUGAACAAAAAUAUCUUCUCUUCCAAUAGUCUUGAUGCAAAUCAACAUCUAAGGUCUCAAAAGGUGAAAGAAUUGAUUGAUUAUUGUACAAAAUGUAGUCAACAAGGUAAAGUUGUGGAUAUAGGUCAAGUUGCUUUCAAGACUAGUCUCAAUUUAUUGUCAAACACCUUUUCUCCAAGGAUUUGGCUGACCCUUUUUCAGAUUCAAAGGUAGAGUUGAAGGAGGUUUUAAAGAAUAUCAUUGAUGAAAUGGGGAACCCUAACCUAGUGGAUUUUUUCCCUAUACUUGAAAAAAUUGAUCUUCAGGGAAUAAGGCGUCGCACAACCAUUCAUAUUGGCAAAUUGUUUAAGCUUUUUGAUGGUUUGAUCAACGAGCGAUUGGAGGAAAACAGAAGGUUUCAAAGUGAAAAAAGUGAUGUUUUGGAUGUUUUUCUCGAUAUAUGUGAAGAAAAUCCUGAAGAGAUCAAUCAUAAUUACAUCAAAUCCGUAUUUUUGGUUCGCGCUCUUUUCUGAUUAAUUAAUGAGUUUAAGUUAUGUAUAGCAUUAAUUAUCAAUAAUUCCUUUUCAUUUAUUGACUUUAUCCUUUAUUUCCCUCAAAAAGUUAAAAUUAUUUCAGAAAAAUUUUCAUGUUCUUAGCAUUUGAAGACAAAAAAUGUUAUUGUGAUGAAGUAAUCUAUACCUAAAAGUUUCUUUAUAUUAUUGGUAUCUAUUGCUGGGGUGUUAUAGACUUUGAUGUACAAAUGUUAUAGGACCUACUUGUGGCGGGUACUGAUACAACCACAAGCACAUUGGAAUGGAUAAUGGCAGAAAUACUUAAACAACCUGAGAUUAUGAAGAAAGUUCAAACUGAACUUGCAGAAAUUAUUGGUAAAGGAAAAUCAAUAGAAGAAGUUGAUGUUUCUCGACUCCCUUACUUGCAAUGCAUAAUCAAAGAAACAUUAAGAUUACACCCAUCUGCUCUGUUCUUGGUCCCACGCAAAGUGGAGCAAAGAUGUUGAAUUGUGUGGUUACAUUGUCCCAAAGUGCUCACACGAAUGGUAGUAAAGUUAUCUCAAUUAGGGUACAUACCAAGUGAUUAUUUCAUCUUAUAAUUACAUUUUUAAAAAGUUGUUUUUAUUAAAUUUCAUCAUUUAUUAGUUUGCCUUUUGUUGACUUGUUCAAACUUAAACGAGCCUGCCGGCUUAUUUGACAUUCUUAUUUAUAGGUUCUAGUCAAUGUGUGGGAGAUUUGCCGAGAUUCUACUUUUUGGGAGGAUCCUUUAGUGUUCAAACCUGAGAGGUUUUUGCAUUCGAAUUUGGGCGUGAGAGGGCAAGAUUUUGAACUGAUCCCAUUUGGUGUAGGCCGAAGAAUAUGCCCUGCCUUGCCACUCACAUUGCGAAUGAUUCCAGUCAUGUUGGGCUCACUCUUGAAUUCCUUCAAUUGGAAACUCGAGGCAGGCAUUGAACCAGAAGAUUUAGACAUGGAGGAGUAAUUUGGUUUAGCUUUAGCCAAAGCCCAUCCUUUGCGAGCUAUCCCAUCUCCUCUUUGAUUAUACUCUACUAUUUAUAUUUGAUUAAAAUCAUUUUUACAUAUAAAUUAUAAGUGUUGAACCCUUUAACAUCUUCGUGUUUGCUUUUUAUAUUUCAAACCUCAUAAUGAAAAUUAACAUUUUGUCACUAUCAAUAAUUACACAUUAAUUAUUAGAAAUAAGAAAAUAAUUAUGAUUAUCUUGUUACCACCGUUGAAAUAAGUGUCAUACAAAUCAGCAACCAAUCGUCACAAGAUCCGAAGAACUAUAGUUGGAAUUAAAAAAUAACUAUUGAAAUUCAAAAGUCAAAUAUGGUUUGCUAAUUAUUUAAAUAAUUAUAAAGUCUUUGUACAUUUUUUUCAAUCUUGAUAUAGUUUGCUAAUUAUUUAAAUAAUUAUAAAGUCAAUAAUAUAUCUCCUGCCGAUAUAGAAAUAGUGAUCGACGAUAAGUCGUGUGAUUUUUUUUCUUCUUCUUAAAUUAGUGAAUUGAAAGUUUGUGGGCCUAAAAUCGCUCGAUAAAAUUAAAAUUUACUAAAUUAAGUAUCACCAAAUUCCAAGUUCCAGUUGGCAAGUUGAUAUCUUCUCUGAAAACAUGCGCAAAAAUAUUUAUUGAUAAUUUUAUCUUAUUGCCACACACAUAAAAAGAUUGUAGUCGUCAUUAUAAACGUCUAUUUAAACUAGUGAAAUUAAUUGUGCUACACAAAGUAUGACUAUAAAAGAACUACAGAAAAAUUGAUUGGUUUUUAGCAGCGUAGAAUGUUGAUUUUAUUUUAGAGUGGACUUGUUUUGAAAUAAGGACAUUUAAAAUGGGAUGGUGGGAAUAUAAAAAUAUUAAUACUAACAGCAUGGCUGGUCAUGAUAUUGUGCAUUAUUGGUGUUUUGAUUUUUAAAUGUAUAACACACACAUAUUGGCAUUUGGAUUCCUCUGCUUUAUUAUUAGUGACAAUCAUCUUUCUUUUUUUGUGGUCAUAAUAAAUGGAUCAAUCUACACUUGUUUUUGGAUCAAUUUUUGCCUUGAGCUUUCUUUAUAUUAUAGCAAAUAUAUGCAAUAAAGGCAACAACAAAGUUCCACCAGGUCCAUCACCAUGGCCAAUAAUUGGAAAUCUUCACUUAUUAGGUGCAAAACCUCAUGCAUCACUAGCCAAUCUUGCAAAAAUUUAUGGUCCAAUUAUGAGUUUAAAAUUAGGACAAAUAACAACAAUAGUUAUUUCUUCAUCAUCCAUGGCAAAACAAGUCCUCAAAAUUCAAGAUCAAGCUUUUUCUACAAGAUUUAUUCCUAAUGCUCUUCAAGCACACAACCAUUACAAAUUUUCUGUGGCAUGGCUUCCUGUUUGUCCUCAAUGGCGAACGCUUCGCAGAAUAUUGAACACUAACCUCCUCUCUUCCAAUAGGCUUGAUGCAAAUCAACAUCUAAGAUCUCAAAAGGUGAAACAAUUGAUUGCUUAUUGUGACAUAUGUAGUCUACAAGGUGAAGCUUUGGAUAUAGGUCAAGUUGCUUUCAAGACUAAUCUCAACUUGUUGUCAAACACACUUUUCUCCAAGGAUUUGGCUGACCCUUUUUCAGAUUCAAAGGUAGAGUUGAAGGAAGUUAUAUGGGGUGUCAUGGCUGAGGUAGGGAAGCCUAAUCUAGUAGAUUUUUUUCCCAUACUUAAAAAGAUUGAUCUUCAAGGAAUAAGACGUCGCACAAUCAUUCAUUUUAGUAAGUUGUUUAAACUUUUUGAUGGUUUGAUCAAUGAGCGAUUGGAGGAAAAGAGAAGAUCAGGAUUCACAGAAAAGAGUGAUGUUCUGGAAAUGUUUCUUAAUAUUACUGAAAAAAAUCCUGAAGAUAUUGAUCAUAAUCACAUCAAGUCCAUGUUCCUGGUUUGUAUUCUCUUACCAUCAUUUAUCAUGAGCUUAUGUUAGUUUCUAUUAAUUAUUAUUCUAAUUUAUGAAUUUUCUUUUAAUUACUGCAAUAUAUGGUUAUAUAUUUUGAUGUACAAAUGUUAUAGGACCUAUUUGGUGCGGGUACUGAUACAACUACAAGCACAUUAGAAUGGGCAAUGACAGAAUUGCUUAAACAACCUGAGAUAAUAAAAAAAGCUCAAGUUGAACUCGCAGAAACCAUUGGAAAAGGAAAACCAAUAGAAGAAACUGAUGUUUCUCGACUCCCUUACUUGCAAUGCAUUAUCAAAGAAACAUUAAGACUGCACCCACCAAUUCCGCUCUUACUUCCGCGCAAAGUAGAGCAAGAUGUUGAAUUGUGUGACUACAUCAUUCCCAAGGGCUCACAGGUAUGUGUGGUAAUUAAAGUUAUUGGACGAAAAUAAUAUGCAUAGUACUCAAAAAAUGACCCAAAAGAAAAUUUAUCAAAAUAAUUUCAACUUUUGUUUGGUAAUUUUUUUUUCUCAAAAAGUAAUAAUUAAAACUUGGUUAGAGUUGGACGGAUUAGGUUUGACCUAUUGUUUAGUACUCAAUCUUAGCUUAGAUAUUUUUGGGCGAGUUAAUGACCUUUCUAUUUAUUGAUUAGCUCUUUUGACCAAUCCAAACAUAAACUAGCUCACUUAAUUUGAUGCCUCUUUACUCACAGGUACUAGUUAAUGUGUGGACGAUUGGUCGAGAUUUUACUUUUUGGAAGGAUCCUUUAGUGUUUAAACCCGAGAGAUUUUUGAGUUUGAAUUUGGACACGCGAGGACAAGAUUUUGAGUUGAUUCCAUUUGGUGCGGGGAGAAGAAUAUGCCCUGGCUUGCCACUAGCAUUGAGGAUGAUUCCAGUAAUGUUGGGCUCACUCUUGAAUUCAUUCAAUUGGAAACUUGAAGCAGGCAUUGAGCCACAAGCAUUAGACAUGGAGGAGAAGUUUGGUAUCACCUUAGCCAAAGCUCGUCCUUUGCGAGCUAUCCCCUCUCCUCUUUGAUGUUGCAUUGCCUAGUCGAUAAAUACUUAUUUGUAUUUGAUAUUUACAAUGAACCAAGUAUUUAAGUCUUAAUCUUAUCACUUCAACGUGACUUCACCAUGAUUAAGCGAUAAGUAUAAUACCUAUGUAACAUAUAUAUAUAUAUAUAUAUAUAUAUAUAUAUAUAUUGCCUAUAUAUGUAUAUUGCCUAUAUGAUGUUUCUCAUGAAUGUUAUUUGCUUUAGACAAAUAGACAAAAAGAGAAUAAAUAUAAAAGAUUAUGAAGAUCAAAAGAGGAGAUUCAUGUUGUGCAAUACUAUUAGUUAAUUUCCUCAUCAUAAAUAUUGUAGCAAUAAAAAAAAAUCUCUACCUGAAAAAUAAUAAUAUGAUAAAAUGUCAAUGAUAAAUUGAAAAUAUGAAAAUGACAUAAUAAUACAAUAUGUUUUUCUUAAUCGUUUGGUCUAUUAUUAGCUGUAAGAUGUAGACAUCAAGAUAUGGUCGAUUAUAACUUUGUAAUUUAACUCAAUAUUUUAAUUGUAUUAUGGCUCUCAACCAUAUAAAGAUACAUAUGUAGAUAUAAUAUGUAUUUAUAGAUUUGUCGAUGUAAGAUCUUAUAUAUAUUUAAUUGAGAUAAUGGUAUAAAAUACAACUAAUUUUUUGCGAGUUUCCUGCUUGAACUAUCAUAUAUUCACAUUUUCUAUUCAAACUAUCAUAAACUACUUACACAUCUCGAUGAGUAAAUAAUGAUACGUGAUGUACAUUCUAUAUUUUUUUGUUAUUUAAAAAGAUGCCAAAUGGCUUGCCAUGCGAAUAAUUAAAGAAAUUAAUUGAAAAUGGAUCAAAUAACUAUAUUAAUAAAAAUAACAUAAAUUAUGAAUAGAUAAUAUAAAAUAUAAAUUGAAAUGUCAAUGAUAUACUGAAAAUAUAUAGUGUAUUAAUAUAACUCACAAAUAUUGAUAAGUGGGCCAAAUCCACAAUCCAAUAUCUGUUAAGGAUGUUGGAUUGGGCCAUGAGAAGUUGCACAAGGACUACUAUUUUAAAUAUAGCCUAAAUUUAUUUUAUUUAUAUUUUAGCAACUUGGGUUUAAACUUGAGAUUUCAGGUUUGAGUUUCUAUUUCAGUUCUUCCAGACCAAGAACCUACUAAUGGACAAAAGUAAUUACUUCAUCCGUCCUAAAUUAUAUGACAUAAUUCGGAUUUUAAGAUCAAUUUUUUAAAAUUUUGAUUGUGUAUAUUUCUUGUUCAACCAUUGCAAAACAAGUCCUCAAAAAUCAAGAUCAAGUGACUACCAAUCAAAACAAACAAACACAAAUCUAAUGAUAUUCGGUGUGCCUGUCGGAGAAGACAAGGAAGGAUCUACUGUUUAUCGGGAAAACGAUAUAUAGUUAAAUUUGUAUGAAAUCAAUGACACACGUCUCAGUUUAACUAAUAGGGUAAAGUUUUCUCCGCAUAUGUCACAAAUUUGAGCUAGGUAAGUAAUAUCAUUAGGGUGAGAUGUCUAUAUCACACCUCUUGAGAUGCAACACUUCCUCGAACUCAACUAAUGUGUAAUGCUUUGUACAUCAAGCUGACCACCUGAAUAUAUAUGCAUAAUUAUGAAUAUAUAUGCAUAAUUAUUUAAUUUUGUAUUCAGGCAAAAUGAUGAUUUGCAAAUUCAAAUUUAAUUUAAUAUUUUAGUUACAUUUUAUCGCUCUCAAUCAUACAAUGGAAAAAGGUCAAAACUAUCCUUAAACUAUCUGAAAUAGCUUAGAUAUACCCUUAAACUAUAUUUUAGCUUAAAAAUAUCCUUCCCGACAAACUAUUAGGUCAAACCUACCCUUCUAAUUAAUGGAAGUAUUCAUGUGUGUGUUAAAUGCCACAUGGACUCCACAUUGCACGCCAAACAGCUCUCACUGCCACAUAGACAAAUUAAAUCCCUAAUUACUCUUUUCCCCCUCAUUUCAUCCUUUCCCUUAAAAAAAAUUGGCGGAAAUGGCAUGGGUGGGGGUGGCAUAAAAAAUGAAUUUUUUUUAAAUCUGAAAUAUUUUUCAAAAAUAAUUUUUAUUUUUGACGGGAAUGGUAGGGGAAGGCGUAAAAAUGAAAAAAAAUUAAAUUUGAACUAUUUUCCAAAAAAAAAAAAUUAAAAAAAUAAAUAAAUGGGUGAGGGUAUAAGGUUGGGGGUGGCGUAAAAAAUCAAUUUUUUUGAAAUUUGAAAUAUUUCCCAAAAAUAAGUUUUGACGGUGGUGGCGGAGGAGGGGGUGGCCUAGGUGGGGGUGGUCUUGUUUGNNNNNNNNNNNNNGGAGUAGGAGUGGUAGGGGUUGGGUGAGAUAAAAAAAAUCUUAAAAUUAGAAAAAAUUUCAAAAAAUAAUUUUUUUUUUGUUUGGGAUGGGGGGAGGGGGGGGGGGGGCUAGUUUGGUGGUAGGGAUAAAUAUAUUUGAAAUUUUAAAAAUAAGUACUUUUAAAAAAUUUAAUUUUUUUUUUUGAAUGGGUAGGGUCGAGUACGUGGUAUGGAUAGGGUAAGAAAAAAAUAAAAGGAUGAAAUAAAGUUUUGAAAAUUGUUUUUCCUAAUUUUGAAAGUGAAGUCAUUUACCUUAAAUUUGAGGAAAGUUAGUUGAUUUGAAAAACAUUUUCCAAACAUUUAAGUCAACCAAACAUGAAAAAAUUGAAAAACAUUAGUACCAAACACACCCUCAAUGCAUCAUUCAAUUUCUAUAAAAGGUCAAAAUCGGGGGUUGGGAUGUCAAAAUCACAUUCAACUCUACCUUUGAAUCCAAAAAAGCGGUCAUAAACAGUAAUAUCAACAGCAAUUCUUGAUAUUUACACAAAAAAUCAAAUCAUUCGUAUCUACCUUUAAUUGAAAUAAAAAAUCAUAAACUGUUAUAUCAAUAUUGUAAUAAGAGCUGAUAAAAUUAAUCCAUGAAAAUAUAAAUCAUUCAUAAACAUCUUCUUGUCCUUAAUAUGUUAUAUAAAAUCAUUAUAAUUUUAAAAAAAUUAGUUUAAUUUGGCUCUAAAAUGAAUAAUUAUCGCUCAAUUCCUUUAAACUAUCUAGUAUAUAGAUAAUAUACACCUUAUACCAAAAAUACAUAUCGAUACACAACAUACUCAGAUGUUACAAUCAAGUUAUUGUUUUGAAAGCAAUUUGACCUACAAAGUGAAGAUUCCCAUAAUUGGCAAUGGUGGAAGUUUUUUGCUUCCUCUUCGUCAUAUUUUUGCUAUAAUAUAAAGAAAAAUCAAAGCAAAAUUGAUACAAACACAUUUUGUCAGUUAAAAUACAAGUCAUAUGUCAUGUACAUUUUAGUUUUAAUAAUAAAACAAAUAGGCAUGUGCCUAUAUAAGAUGUGUUGGUGGACACAAUGAAUUUUUGCUAUAUAUAAUGCCAAUUUUUUUAGAUUUUUGCUAUAUAAUGCCAAACUUUUUAGAUUUUAAUCUAAUCUUGGCUAAAUAUAUGCCAAUGAUUCUUAGAAUUAACUAUAUAUAGAUAUCAAUAUCCCUAUCUUUGAAGAGAAAUCAUUUCAAUCAAGAAUUUCUUAAAGCAAUGUUUAUUUAAUAUCUCUGUUUAAAAGGAAACGGAUAUAUAUAUAUAUAUAUAUAUGACUGAUUUUAUGAUAUUUAUUGAGUGGUGGUUAUUGACUUGUCCAUUAUUGAUUUUAUGAUAUUUACUGACACACAUGCAUCCUGUAUCAUUUAUCAUAUAUCUUGUUAGCUUUCAAAGUUGAAGCAAGGGAGAGAGGCAUAAUGGAUUGCUAUACACUUGUGUUUGGAUCAAUUUUAGUAUUGGCUAUCCUUUGUAAUAUCAUAGCAAAAAUAUGUAGCAAAGGAAGCUUAAAACUUCCACCAGGGCCAUCACCAUGGCCAAUUAUUGGAAAUCUUCACUUGUUAGGUGCAAAACCUCAUACAUCACUAGCCAAUCUUGCAAAAAUUUAUGGUCCAAUUAUGAGUUUAAAAUUAGGACAAAUAACAACAGUGGUCAUUUCUUCAUCAACCAUUGCAAAACAAGUCCUUAAAACUCAAGAUCAAGCCUUUUCAUCUAGAUUUGUUCCUAAUGCUCUUCAAGCACACAACCAUUACAAAUUCUCUGUGGGAUGGCUUCCUGUUUGUCCUCAAUGGCGAACGCUUCGCAGAAUAAUGAACAUAAAUAUCUUCUCUCCCAAUAGGCUUGAUGCAAAUCAACAUCUAAGGUCUCUAAAGGUGAAAGAAUUGAUUGCUUAUUGUGAAAAAUGUAGUCAACAAGGUGAAGCUUUGGAUAUAGGUCAAGUUGCUUUCAAGACUAAUCUCAACUUGUUGUCAAACACACUUUUCUCCAAGGAUUUGGCUGACCCUUUUUCAGAUUCAAAGGUAGAGUUGAAGGAAGUUAUAUGGGGUGUCAUGGCUGAGGCAGGGAAGCCUAACCUAGUAGAUUUUUUUCCCAUACUUGAAAAGAUAGAUCUUCAAGGAAUAAAACGUCGUGCAAUCAUUCAUUUUGGUAAGUUGUUUAAACUUUUUGAUGGUUUGAUCAAUGAGCGAUUGGAGGAAAAGAGAAGAUCAGGAUUCAUGGAAAAAAGUGAUGUUCUGGAAAUGCUUCUCAAUAUUACUGAAAAAAAUCUUGAAGAAAUUGAUCAUAAUCACAUCAAGUCCAUGUUCCUGGUUUGUAUUCUCUUACCAUCAUUUAUCAUUAGCUUAUGUUAAUUUCUAUUAAUUAUUAUUCUAAUUUAUGAAUUUUCUUUAAAUUGCUGCAAUAUAUGGUUAUAUAUUUUGAUGUACAAAUGUUAUAGGACCUAUUUGGUGCGGGUACUGAUACAACUACAAGCACAUUGGAAUGGGCAAUGACAGAAUUGCUUAAACAACCUGAGAUAAUAAAAAAAUCUCAAGUUGAACUCGCAGAAAUCAUUGGAAAAGGAAAACCAAUUAGAAGAAGCUGAUGUUUCUCGACUCCCUUACUUGCAAUGCAUUAUUAAAGAAACAUUAAGACUGCACCCACCAGUUCCGCUCUUAGUUCCGCGCAAAGUGGAGCAAGAUGUUCAAUUGUGUGACUACAUCAUUUCCAAGGGCUCACAGGUAUGUGUGCCAAAUUAAAGUUAUUUGACGAAUAUAAUAUGAAUAGUACUCCAAAAAAAGACCCAAAAGAAAAUUUAUCAAUUUUUUUUUAACUUUUGUUUGGUUAUUCUUUUUCAAAAAUAAAGAAAUUAAAACUUGGUUAGAGUUGGACGGAUUAUGUUUGGCCUAUUGUUUAGUACUUAAUCUUAGCUCUGAUAUUUUUGGGCGAGUAAUUAAUGACCUUUCUAUUUAUUGAUUAGCUCUUUUGAUCAAUCCAAACAUAAACUAACUAACUCAUUUAAUUUGAGUCCCUUACUCACAGGUACUAGUUAAUGUGUGGGCAAUUGGUCGAGAUUCUACUUUUUGGAAGGACCCUGUAGUGUUUAAACCUGAGAGAUUUUUGAGUUUGGAUUUAGAUAUGCAAGGACAAGACUUUGAGUUGAUUCCAUUUGGUGCGGGGCGAAGAAUAUGCCCUGGCUUGCCACUAGCAUUGAGGAUGAUUCCAGUAAUGUUGGGCUCACUCUUGAAUUCAUUCAAUUGGAAACUUGAAGCAGGCAUUGAGCCACAAGCAUUAGACAUGGAGGAGAAGUUUGGUAUCACCUUAGCCAAAGCUCGUCCUUUGCGAGCUAUCCCCUCUCCUCUUUGAUGUUGCAUUGCCUAGUCUAUAAAUACUUAUUUGUAUUUGAUAUUUACAAUGAACCAAGUAUUUAUGUCUUAAUAAUCUCAGCACUUCAUCAUGACUUAACCAUGGUUGAGUGGUAUAUAUAUAUAUAUUGCAAAUCUAUAUGAUGCUUCUCAUGAAUGUUAUUUGCUUUAGACAAAUAGACAAAAAGAGAAUAACUAUAAAAGAUUAUGAAGAUCAAAAGAGGAGAUUCAUGUUGUGCAAUAAUUCUAGUUUCCUCACCAUAAAUAUUGUAGCAAUAACAAAAACAAAUCUCUAUCUGAAAAAUAAUAAUAUGUUAAAAUAUAUGUCAAUGAUAAAUUUAAAAUAUCAAGAUGACAUAAUAAUAUAAUAUGUUUUUCUUAAUCGUUCGUUCUAUUAUUUGCUGUAUGAUCUACAACAUCAAGAAAUAUGGUCGAUUAUAACUUUUAAUUUAUUUUUCUAUAUACAAAGUGAAUUGCAAAUCCGAAUUUAUAUGAUAUUUUAAUUGUAUUCUAUGGCUCUCAAGCAUACAAUAAAGACACAUGUAGAUAUAAUAUGUAUAAAUAGAUUUGUCAAUGUAAAAUCUUAUAUAUACUCAAGUGAGACAAUGGUUAAAUAAGAUAUUUGCAUAUUCUACUUGACUAAUCAAUAAUUAUUUAUCCAAAUAUAUCUCGAUUAAUUAUUCUAUGUUUUGAUUAUUUAAAAAUGGUGCCAAAUGACAUACCACGGAGAUAAUUAAAGAAUUAAUUGAAAAUGGAUCAAACUUGCUGGUUGGUAAUGGAUCAAAUAAUACUACUCUGUCAUAAUAGAGAUAAAAUAUAAAAUUCAUAAAUAUUGAUAAGUGGGCCAAAUCCACAAUUCAAUAUCUGUUAAGGAUGUUGAAUUGGGCCAAGAGAAGUUGCACAAGGACUACUAUUUAAAAUAUAGCCUAAAUUUAUUUUAUUUAUAUUUUAGUAACUUUGGGUUUAAACUUGAGAUUGCACGUUGGAGUUUCGAUUUCAGUUCUUCAAGACCAAGAACCUACUAAUGGCCAAAAGUAGUUACUCCAUCCGUCCAAAUUUAUAUGAAAUAAUUCGGAUUUUAAGAUUAAUUUUUUAUUUUACUUUGAUCGUGUAUAUUUCUUCUUCAACCAUUGCAAAACAAAUCCUCAAAAAUCAAGAUCACAAACAAACACAAAUCUAUUGCUAUUCGGUGUUUCUGUCAGAGAAGACGAGGAAGGAUCUAUUGUUUAUCGGAAAAAUGAUAUAGUUAAAUUUGUAUGAGAUCAAUGACACACGUCUCAUUUAACUAAUAAGGUAAAGUUGUCUUCGUAUAUAUCAUAAAUUUGAGCUAUGAUAGCAAUCACUAAUAUUUUCAGUAGGGUGAGAUGUCAAUAUUACACCUCUUAAGAUGUGACCCUUCCUCAGACUCUACUAAUGCGUAAUGCUUUGUACAUCAUGUUGAUGUUGGCCACCUGAAUAUAUAUGUAUAAUAGAAUUUUGUCAUGGUGCAAUUUAAAAUAUUUUAGACAUAUUAUGGGAUACAAACACGCACUAGCUAGUAAAUUAGUCCCAAAAAGAAGCACUACCAAAAAAUAAAAUAUAAUAUGACUCAAUGAUAAUAUUAAAUAUAUCAAAAUGACAUAAUAUGUUUUUCUUAAUAUCGUUUUUUCUUCUAUCAUUAGUACGACAAUAUAAUGAUACGAUAUUGUGAUAACUUUGAGAAAAAAAAUCUGUACAUAAAGAUAAGAUUUGCAAAUCUGAUUUUUAUAUUUUUAAUUAUUUAUUAUCGUUCUCAUUCAUAUAAUAUAGAAAUAUAUAUUAUUAUAUUAUAUUAAUGGAAAGCUCCAAAGUGAAAAAAUAAAAAUCAAAAUAGCUAUGAUUUUUGUCGUAUGGAAAAUGCAAUAUCGUAUCAUUAUGUUGUCGUACUAAUGAUAGAAGAAUAUUAAACGGUAAAUAAAAAAACAUAUUAUGUCAUGAUUUUGAUAUUUUUAAUUGUAUCAUUGAGUUACAUUAUAUUUUAUUUCAUGUAGUGCUUUUUUUGGGACUAUUUUUUUUUUCAUCCCUAGGAGCUUCCACCCCUUUUGCUCCCUUGGUGACUCGAACUCGCAACCUUCGGGUUUGAAGUGAGGGGUGCUUACCAUCCGAGCAACUCCCUCUCGUCACGUAGUUUUAAUAUGAAAUUACAAUAUAUCCCUCUUUAGUUUGUAAUUACACUAAUUCCUUAAAAGGUAACACAAACUGGAUACAUAAUAUGUAGCUCAGAUACAUUAAAUAUUGGCUCAUAUACAUUAAUAUGUAGCUCAAAUACAUUAAAGAAAUAAGGAAUUUUAGAGGUUUUUAGAAAUAGAAGGGGAUACUGAAAAUAAGGGAAACAUAAGAACGUGUAUUUCAGUAAUUUUUCCAAAAAAAUAGUCGUCAGAUGUAUAACAUAUGUAUAUUAAUUAACGAUUGUGAAUAGUUUUCAUCGAGCAUCAAAAUAUGUAACUUUCCCUUGAUAUUAUUCCAUAUGCUUAGGUAAUGACCAGACAAUUUUUAUAUUGUUGGGUGUGGAAAUUAUACUCUUCAAGAGAAAAGUUUGAUGACUUUAUUAAGUCUUUUAACACAAGAUAGAUUUAUAUAAAGACACAACAAGUGACAACCAAGGUAAUUAGACAAAAAAUGAUGCUCUUUCUACUCUUUGUAGCCCUUCCUAUCAUUCUUAUUUUCCUUCUUCCUAAAGCCAAAAAGGGUGCAAAAAACACACAGCCACCAGGUCCUGUUGGCCUGCCAUUCAUUGGAAAUUUGCAUCAAUUUGAUAGUUUAACCCCUCAUAUCUAUUUUUGGAAACUUUCCAAGAAAUAUGAAAAAAUAUUCUCAUUGAAACUUGGUUCUACUCCAAUGGUCGUAGUUUCUUCAGCAAAAUUAGCAAAGGAAGUGUUGAAGACACAAGAUUUAGUAUAUUGUAGUAGACCCUCUAUUCUUGGCCAACAAAAAUUGUCUUACAAUGGUCGCGACAUAGCCUUUGCACCUUACAAUGACUAUUGGAGAGAGAUGAGAAAAAUUAGUGUGCUUCAUCUAUUUAGUCUCAAGAAAGUGCAAUUAUAUAAACCAAUUCGUGAAGAUGAAGUAUCAAGAAUGAUCAAGAAAAUAUCUCAACAUGCUGCUUCUUCUCAAAUUACAAAUUUGAGCAAUUUAAUGAUUUCACUUAUAAGUACAAUUACAUGUAGAUUUGCUUUUGGUGUUAGGUUUGACGAUGAAGCACAUGAAAGGAAGAGAUUUGAUUAUCUAUUGGCUGAAACUCAAGCAAUGAUGGCAAGCUUUUUCGUGUCUGAUAUUUUUCCUUUUUUAGGUUGGAUUGAUAAACUUACUGGAUUGACAGAUAGACUCGAGAAGAAUUUCAAGGAAUUGGAUGAGUUUUAUGAAGAACUCAUUGAGCAACAUCAAAAUCCCAAUAGGCCAAAAUCCAUGGAAGGAGAUAUUGUUGAUCUUUUGCUUCAAUUGAAGAAAGAGAAAUCAAUACCAAUUGAUCUCACUUUGGAGGACAUAAAAGGACUUCUCAUGGUAAUUUCACAUGUCUUAACUCAAUACAUUGCUAUUUUAAAGAUAAUUUGAUAGCUAUUUUAAUUAAAUUAUUUGCUUGUAUAUAGAAUGUGUUAGUUGCUGGAUUAGAUACUAGCGCGGCUGGGAUAGUAUGGACAAUGACAGCUUUGAUGAAGAAUCCAAAAGCCAUGAAGAAAGUUCAAGAAGAAAUCAGAAAGUCAAUUGGGAACAAAGGCAUUGUGAAUGAAGAUGAUAUACAAAAUAUGCCUUAUUUCAAAGCAGUGAUAAAAGAGAGUUUUAGAUUAUACCCACCAGUUCCACUUCUAGUGCCAAGAGAAUCAAUGAAAAAAUCUACAAUAGAAGGGUAUGAAAUUCAGGCCGGAACUAUAGUUCAUGUUAAUUCAUGGGCAAUUGCAAGGGACCCUGGAAUAUGGGAAAAUUCAGAAGAAUUUAUACCUGAGAGAUUCCUGAAUAGCGACAUUGAUUACAAGGGACAAAACUAUGAGCUAAUUCCAUUUGGAGCAGGUCGAAGAGGUUGCCCAGGAAUUACACUUGGGGUUGCAUCCAUAGAACUUGCAUUAUCAAAUCUUCUUUAUGCAUUUGAUUGGAAGUUACCUCAUGGGAUGAAAAAAGAGGAUAUUGACACAAAUGUUAGGCCUGGAAUUACCAUGCAUAAGAAAAAUGACCUUUGGCUUAUCCCUAAAAGUUAUUUUUAAAAUAUACUCAGAUGUGAAUCUAAGG
rnacentral:lncRNA from 1 species